CAGUGAAUGGUGAUAUUUUCUUUUCCCCUAUUAUAAACAUCGACGAUGAUCGUCUCUCCUUUCUUAGCAUAUAUAGUUGGUCCAGGAAAUUGUCCAUUUACUGUUAAGAUGUUCUUGGUGCUACAAAGCCUUGUAUAUGAAGCCUCCUUCACCUGCAACCAAUUAAAAGUUAACCAUGCAACCUCAUCCCAAAAGAAAUAUUACAAGCAUGAAUAGUUGCAUCGAUCCACUCAUGCAAGUGUAUAACCAAUAAGAAAUUGAAAGCAUGCAUGAACGACUCAAUGACACCAGGGUACCCGAAGACACCAUGAGGGUCAUACGGUGGAAAAUGAGAGCCAUACUGCUCCCUAAAUAUCAUGAACAAAAGAUGGUGUUAAGGCUAGAAUCAUAUAAGUAUUUACCACAAAAGUAAGCCGACGAGUUGAAGCUUGGCAAUGGAUGCCACCACCAAAAAGUAGAAACGCUAAAAUUUGCAGGAGGAAAACCUUCAUGAUCAGCCACAUCUUCUUUGGAAUAAAAGCCUCUUCUCUUGUCCUAAACACAACUCCUUCAAUUUUCUUACUAUUUCUAAUAAGCACGACUUAUCUUCUCUUUGACAUGAAUAGAUGAAUUCUUAAAGGUAUUUAUAGAGGCUGGAGAGAACCAAAACUGGAAUUGGUGAAAGCUGAACAGCCGGUUUCUCUCGAACUUUUGAUGUAUUUUUUUAAUAUAUAAUUCAUAAUCUAUUCAAGAUGAUUUUCCUGGGGUACAACAAUUCCUUGCCGCGUAUCAAUAUAAGAGAAGUAAUUCGAAUGUGUAUUGGUUUUGAAUGUUCUUCCAGGACCACUUCAAAGAGCAGGUUGUGUAUGAUAUUUGAUUACUCACCAAAAUUUAAAUAAACCAAAUGCCUGAAGAAUGCUAACAAUUGUGAAAAUUUCUCACAGCUCAGCUUCAAUCAGGCUGUGUACCAUAGAAGACGAGUUUCUUAGAAUCUCUUGAAUUUUCUAAUUCAAAAUACAAGUUUGACUUUGAGAAUUGACCAAGAAAUUAAUCAAACACAGUAUUUUAGAACAAAUAUAAAAUAUAUGUAGAAUAUUUUUAAAACUUUGACCUCGCAUAUAUACAGUACCUUUAUCAAGAUUAGUCAAUAUUUUUUCUUUGUUUUUGGUAGGAAGGGAAAAGUCAGCGCUAUAAUCAUAAUCCAUCAAAGAUACACUAUAUGCUACCAUGGGCGUACCGGCCAUUAGUAAUGGGCCAAAAUGUUCCCCAUGAUUAAAAAUAAAAUAUAAUCAUGGCAUAAAAAUCUUGACCCUCAUUUUCAAGAGGUGACUUUCUCCUAGAAAGAAUUAUUUUCCUUUUUAUUUUCUCAUCGGGAGAAAGUUGGAGAUUCACAUUGUUUAUAUUUUUAUAAUAGUUUUAGUUUAGUUUUAAAGCUUCCAAAAACUUCUCCCUUAUUUUUAUUUAUUAGGUUGGCUCAGUCCACUUGGGUACCCAAAAACAAACCCAAUAAAUAAUUAUUUAUUGAAUUGGGUCAAUCCCAAUAUUUUCAUAACCGAAUCAGACAUUGAAUUAGAAAAAUUAUCGAUUCAUACGUCACUGGUCAGACUAGUGACCGAACCGAUGACAUCAUACAUACAUAAUUUAUAUUUUAUUAAAAUUAAAAAUAAUUUUAAAAUAUAUAUAUAUAUAUAUAAUUAAAAAUUAAUAAUAUUUGCAAUAUUAUUUAUUCAUUUUUAUAUAAAUGUAUUAAUAUUGUUAAUUUAUUAAACAAAAUAUACAUAAUAUUUAAAUAUGAAAAUAUAUUAAAAUGGGUAUAUAUAUAGGUAGUCUUUGAGUCAACAUGCAUAACAAGAUUGGACAUCAAUUAAUUCAUUUAAUAAUUAUGUUGAUUAGUUUAAUUAUACUUUUUAAAAUAUUUAACUCAUAUUUGACACAUUUUAAAUUUGAUUUUAGAUAAAUAGGUUAAUCGAGUCAUAAAUAUAUUAGUCAUAUAAAUUAACACAAGACCUAACUCUACUUAAUUAUUAAAUGGGACAUAUGAGUUACACGAUAUGUUACUUGUUUAGUAAUUAUGUAGUAUUUUAGGUUUACGUUUUUAACCAGAUUAUUAUUCGUGUCGAGUUUGACACAACACAAAUAUGACCCACCAACACAAAUUGUAACCCCUAAGCUUGUUCACUCAAAAAGUAAAUUUAUACUAAUAUUUAAUUACCUAGUUUAAACUAGUAGAAAUAUUUUUAAAUUAUUGCUUAGUUUUUUUAAAAUUGUUAAUAUUGGUAUAUGUAUAUAGUUUCUCUAAAGACAUUCCAUUGAUGUAGAAUUCCAAAUAUAAUUUGUCUAUAUAAAUAUAUCAUAUAUUUUUAAUAAAUAUAUAUAUUGUAAGUUAAAUAUUAUAUUGUAUAAUAUGUUGUACUAUAUGCAUAACUACUAUAUUACUAUUUUACAAAAUAAAAAAUACACUAUAUAAUAGUAAUAUAUUAUAUACAUAAAAAGUUUUUGUGUAAAGUAUCGAACCACAUUUUAAUUAAUAAUUGAUUAUUUUAUUUUCAAAUAAUCUAAUUAUGUAUUUAUUAUUUUUAAUUAUUAAUAGCUAAUUUUUCAAAAGUGAUUUGUUAUUAAGAAUAAAAUCAUAAAUUAUGCCAUAAAACUAGUAAUUGUUAUAGAUACUAAUUUGUUAAGGAUUAUUAUUAUUAUUAUUAUUUACUUGCAUACAUUGUUUAAUAAGAUAUUUAAUUUAAGUUUUAAAUUCCUUACUUUAAAUUUUCAAUCUUAUUUUUAGUCUAAUUUUUAAUCUAUAAAUUCUAAUUUUUAAUUUUAAAAUUUUUAAUUCCUAAAUUUUAAAGGGGAAAUCAUGUAACCAUACAUCACCAAUAUAUAUAUAUAUAUAUAUAUAUAUGAGAUUUUUAGAACUUUGCUUUUACCUUUUUAAUUUUAAUGUAAGAUGAGAAAAAAUAUUUCCUAUUCAUGUACUUCAAUAGUGCUUUUAGAUUUGUUCCAUAAUUAUAAAGUAAAUGACAAAAUACACAUCACUUUAAUACCACCUAUUGACAAGUACAUGAAUCAUUUAUUUUUCUUAUUUCUCUCACACGUCUCACGUACCACUUGCCACAUUUCCACUUUUUUCUUUUUUCCUUCUUUCUUUUACCACCAUAAUCCAUAGUCACCUAUUAUAUUUUUCAUUCCUAUUUUUUUUUCCUUUGAUACUCUUUUUAAUAUGCUCAUAUAAACUUCUUUAAUUUAAAUUUUUUUUCACUCUCUAAUUUCUCUAUAUUUAUUGAUUAUAAUUAUUUUUUGGACAUAUUAUACUUAAAAUGAUAAUGUAUAAUAAAUAGUUAAUAUAACAAAUAAAAUAAAAUAAAUGUAUAAUAGACAAAAAUGAAAAUAUUAUCCCACAAAUAAUGUACUUUAUGAUUUUAAAUAUUAAUUAUAUUAAUAUAUUGAAUAAAUUAAGGUUUAAAUUUAAAUAUUUUAUUUUAUUAUUUAGAGGUUUAUGAUAUAAGACUUUUUUUAUAUUAAUGCUAAACAAAAGAUUUAUUUAUUUUGUAAAUUCUAUCACAUGAAAAAGUAAAAAUAUCUUUAUAAUACUAUUUUAUUAUUUAUAUUAUUUUUUAAAUUUUUAUUUUAAAUUUAUCACAUCAAAAUCACAAUAAGUUAUUGUGCUUUUAUCUAUUUUCUUAUGAUUUUAAUUUGAUUGUGGAUCUAACAUUUUGUUUGGUUAAAAUCUUUAAUUUUUAAUUAAAAUAAAAUAUAAAAGAAAAUAUAUUUUUCAUAAAAAAAAAUUGUGUUUAACCUUUCAUAUUAAUUUCAUGAAAAAUAAGUACAUCCGUGAGAAAAAUAGGUAAAUCCAUGCCUAGGGGAAUCGAGACCCCUAUCAUCCUUGUCAUGGUCUAUAUAUUCCUUUGGAACCCUUGAUAAGUGAUUGGAGGUCCUUGCCCACCCCAGAACGAACUUUGGAAUCCUAGGUACAUCCAUUCUUAAGGGAACCAAGACCCUUAUAUCAAUUCUCAUGGUUCAUAUAUUCCUUUAGGGAUCCUCGAGAAUGAAUUAUAGGUUGUUCUUCACCUUGGAUUAGACAUUAGAACCCAAGGUAUAUCCUAAAGACAAUUUGGUACAUUCGAUCCUUGGGCUACCAAAACCCCUAUAUCCCUUCCCAUAGUCUAUUUGAUACUUUGAGGACUCUUGAGAAGUGAAUGGAGGUCAUUUCUAAUCUCAGAAUGGACUUUGGAACCUUAGGUACAUCCUUAAAAAAAUUUGUUACAUCAAAUUCUCGGGCUAUUGGGACCCCUAUCUCCUUUCCCAAGGUCAAUUUGUUCAUUUAGGGAUCCUCGAGAAGUGAUUGGAGGUUAUUCCUCACUCCAAAAUGGACUUUUAAACCCUAGAUACAUCUUUAAGAAAAUCGGGUAUAUCUUAUCCUCUAGCUACCCAAUAUCGCUUCUUAUGGUCCAUUUGAUCAUUUAGAAUUGAUUUUAAGUUGUUCCUCAUCUCAUAAUGGACUUUGGAACCCUAGGUACAUCCUUAAGAAAAUUUGGUACAUCCAAUCAUCAGACUACUAAGACCCCUAUCACCCUUCCUAUGGCCCAUUUGUUCCUUUAGGAACUCUUGGGAAGUGAUUGGAUGUCAUUUUCCACCUUAGAAUAAACAUUGGAACCCUAGGUACAUCCUUAAGAAAUUUUGAAACAUCUAAUCCUUGGGACACCUAUCUCCCUUCCCAUGGUCCAUUUAUUCUUUUUAGAGACCCUCGGGAAGUGAUUGGAGGUCGUUCCCCACAUUGGAAUGGACUUUGGCACCCUUGGUACAUCAUUUACAAAAUUUAGUACAUCAUUUACAAAAUUUGGUACAUCAGUCACAAAAAUUGGUACAUCCUUAAAAAAAUUUGGUACAUCUAAUCCUUGAGCUAUUGGGACCCCUAUCUUAUUACCCAUGGUUCGUUUAUUCCUUUAGGGAUCUUUGGGAAGUGAUUAGAGGUUGAUCCUGAGCUACUUCGAAAUGGACUUUGGAACCCUAGGUACAUCCUUAAGAAAAUUUGUUAUAUCCGAUCCUUGAGCUAACAGGACACCUAUUAUAGACCCCUCAUUUUGACCAUGACACACAUAGGUUACCAUCUAAUAAAUCAUUGUAAUUCAUCGACUUGUAAUCUUUGAUUCUUUCUCAAAGCUUCUUGGAGGAUAAUUUAUAGAAAUUUUGAUGUGAUCACAUAAACCUUUGAAUUUGUAGCUUAAGGCCUUCUGAUUGUUCUAACUUACCAUUAACAGUAAUUUAAAACAAAAUUAUUGAAUCCUUAUUUUUAAAAUAUAAAGCAAAAUAAAUUACUUCUUUGAAUAAUAAAAAUAACUAAAAAGAUGUAUAUAAUAAAAUUUGGUAACAAAUUAAAAGUAGAUUUUAAUACAAACAACUUAACAUGAUUCAAUUUUUUUUAUUAAGCAUUAUUUUUCAAAUUAUAAAGGCCAAUAUAUGAGUAAUAUUCUUUCUCUUUUUGUUUCAUAAACCAUAAUUUAAAAUAAAGUUUUUACUAUUGUCAUUAAAUAUACAUUUUGAAACAUAAAAUACGAUAUCUCUUUAAAUAUUUAUUUAAUUUCGAAUGUGCCAAAAAUCCCCUUUUUCCAUCAAUUCUAACUACAACAACUGCCAUUCAAAAAUCCCAUGCCUAUGCUAGCCACAUAUUCACAAGUCGGACUUUUUUAACUUUUGCGGCAAUUUUAAAAAAUAAUUAUUAAAAAAUGGUAGUUGUGAACAUAUUGAUAGAUAUACAUCAGUUUUGGCUACGUGGAAGGUGUCUUUUGAAGAGACACCUUUCACAAUUUUUAAAAUCAUGAAAGAAUUGAAUUUAAGCUAAAGGUGUCUCUUGAAGAGACACCUUCUACAAUUCCAAAAAAUUGGAUUUAUAUUAAAGAUGUCUCUUGAAAAGACACUUUCCACAUGGCAAAAAAUCCAAUAUGCAUUAAAGGUGUCUCUUGCAAAGACACUUUCCACGUGGCAAAAAAUCCAAUAUGCAUUAAAGGUGUCUCUUAAAGAGACACCUUCCACAAUUUGACAAAUUUGAAUGUCUCAUGAAUUUGAUUUUGAAGUUAAAGAUGUCUCUUAAAGAGACACCUUCUACAAUUCCUAAAACUUUUAAUCUAUACAAAAUGUGUCAAAGGUGAAGGUGUCCCGUCAAGAGACACAUUCUAGAAUUCCAAAAAAUUAGAUUUAUACUAAAGGUUUCUCUUGAAAAGACACUUUCCACAAUUCCAAAAAAUCCAAUAUUUAUUAAAAAUUGUAGAAAUGAUUUUAAAGUUAAAGAUGUCUCUCUUCAAUGUAUGAAAAUUGUGGAAAGUGUCUCUUUAAGAGACACUAAAGAGACACUUUCAGUAUAAACUCAAUUUUUUUAAAAAUAAUGGAAGGUGUCUCUUCAAGAGACACCUAUAAUUCAAUUUUUGGGAAUUGUGAAAGGUGUCUCUUGGCACCUUCCACAAUUUUAAAAAUAUUGGAUUUAUACUGAAAGUGUCUGUUCAAAAGACACUUUCUACAAUUUCCAUUCAAAUAGUGAAAAAUUUCGAAUUUAUGUUGAAGGUGUCUCUUGAAGAGGCACCUUCCAUAAUUACCAAAAAAAUGGAAUUAUAUUCGGACGCCUUUCAUAAUUUUUAAAAAAUUGGGUUUAUACUGAAAAUGUCUCUUGAAGAGACACUUUCCACAAUUUUUUAGUGGAAAAUUUCAAAUUUUGAAAAGGGACAUUCUAUAAUUCCCAAAAAAUAGAAUUAUACUAAAGGUGUCUCUCCAAGAGACACCUUCCAUAAUUUGAAAAAAAAAAAAAGGGUUUAUACGGAAAGUCUCUUCAAGAGACACUUUCCACAAAAUAUAUAUAUAUAUAUAUAUAUAUAUAUAUAUAUAUAUAUAUAUAUAUAUAUAUAUAUAUAGGGUUUAAAUAACAAAUUAAUUAUAACUAUUUUAUAAUUAAAUGAAAAAUUUUCAUUUAAUUGAUUAGUAAAAAUAUAUCAUAAUUUUAUUCAUAGUGUUUUUAAUAUUAUUAAAAUAUUAAAAAUUUAUACAUUUAUCAUCAUUUAUUUUAUAAUAUAUCAUAAUUUUAACAUUAAAUAGAUUUUAAAAUUAAACAUGUUAUAAUCACAUAUCACAAUAUUAUCAUCAAAUAAUAUUUUAUAUUAUUUAAUAAUCAAUGUAUACUUAUCAAAUUUAUUUAUGAACUUUCCAAAAUAAACUAUGAAGCAAAUGUUCUUAAUUGAAAUGAGUGUUACUGGUGAACCCGUGAAUGUUUUAUUUUUUAUUUUUUAUUUUUUUAGAACUAGGAAAAUUGGAUGAAGACUAUGUCAAAGAAGCUUAUAUCUUCAGCCAGGUCUCCCCCAUAUUUGUUCAAGUCUAUCUAUCUCAACAUGAGGUGAAUCCAAGUCUGUGUUUCGAAUCAAAUAUCAAUUCAUGAUUCUUGCAUGCUGUCGUAAUAAAAAAUUUUGUAAGUAAUAUAAAAAAAGUGAGGAAGGAGGUUCAAUGUUGUAACUAUCACUACUUUAUAAUCAAAUUGUAAAUUUGGAGUGCUAAAGAAAGCAGCCGGGUUGUAAGUAUUUGGUUUUUCGUCUUCUAUGAACUAGUGCCUGCAUUAUGGCUAAAUUUCUGAAAAGCCAGUUUAUUACUACCUGCUUGUUUCUCUACCUUAAGAUUCUCUCAUUCUCUCUUCUAUUAUCAUUUCAAGCAGCAGAUAGUGACCACUGUCUAGGCUUUUGUGUAGAAACAAAAAGGCUCUGAUCCAUCAUUCAUGCAAGUGACCUUCAGUGAUGUUAUUCUCUUGUGUGGUCUUCUCAGCGAUGGCCCCAUAUCUCUUAAAUAUCCUUUUUGUCUCUAGUUUACCAUUAACCCUGUUUUGAUCUUCACUCUUCAUUGCCAAAACCGUGCUUGAACCUCACCUGGACGAACUUCACUAUUAGACAAGAAUUGAAUUUGAGGCAACACGAACCAUCCAUGUCGAUGAGAAUAUGAAAUUUGGUAUCAAGUGAAGUGGACAAAAUUCAAAAACAAAAACAAAAAUAAUCAAUGAAUUUUAAUUUUUUUUGCAACCCCCGUUUGAUUCCCAAGAAAAUCCAUCCCCCAUUCGAUUUCCGGGAAAAUUCAUCCUCAUUUGAUUUCCGAGAAAAUCCAUGCAAAACCCCCCAAAGAAAACAAAAAAAAAUGCUUUUUUUUUUUGCUCCCUGUGCUUUCUGGAUCUGUUCUAGGGGUCUCUUUCCUUUUGUGCCAUUGGAUUUAAAUUUCACGAACCCUAAAUCCACGAUUUUUGAGCUAGGCUAAAAAACACAACCUUUCCCCGCAAAUCAUGAUCAGAUUACCAAAUAGCAUCUUAUGUUUUUUUAUAAAAAAAAAUUGGACGGAUUUUGUAUCCUGUGCGCGGGCUGGACUGGUUCGGAUACAGUUGAAAGUCCCAGAGUAUGGUUGGGCCACGAGAAGGUGUUCCACUCUCUCAAUUUCCUGGUGAAUAGGGUUAGAUCACUAGUUUUUUAUGUUCCGUAGAAAUGUGCAGCGCCUGCAUCCAGAGAUUAUCCAACAUGUCUUACUUGAUAUGCCAAGUCUUACUUUCUUCACGACCUAUGCGCUUUUGGCAUUGUUCUGGGUAGAAAUAUACUAUCAGGCACGUGCUGUAUCUACUGAUGUACUGAGACCAAGUUUCUACAGAAUUAAUGCAGUGGUUUAUGCCAUUCAGAUUGCUAUGUGCACCUUGGAUUCGAAACUAACCGGUUAAAAACUGAAACCCCUGCAUGUGAGAGAGCAUCACCACAGGCCACGCGAGGGAGCUCGUCAGUCACGUUUUCCAACUGCCAUGCAUUCGGUGAAGCGAUUUUUUGAAGGGAAGUCUCCAGGAGAAGAAUCUUUUUCUGUUGCGGGAGGAGAAUUGACAUAGUCUCUUUUUCUGGGCGUUUUUUUGGAGGAGAGUUCAAAGAUCUUCUUUCUGUAGAAAAUCAUCACAUAAACCGAUUCAAAGAAUUCAGAAGGCUUCUCAUUAGAGCCAAGGUUCACCAUUCUAGAUCUUCAUGAACAUCUCCUUCAUAGUGGCAUUGGCACCCCGAUCCCUGUACGAAUACACAAUCAGCCUGGAAACCUCUUCUCCAUUCUCUGAAUUGCCUCUUCAUCGUUACGGACUGACGCAUUUUGUUGAUCAUCGAUGUCACCUGUGAACUGGAUCACACACAUGAAGAGAUAUCUAAACAUCUCAAUGGUAGGAACCUCCAUGAUUGAUUGAUCUCCAUCAUCUUCGUGAUCGUGCACAGUUCUGAAAGAAGAGACGAGAAUCUCUUCAUCGUCUUCACUCUCUAUGCUUAUAUCUCGAAGGUUAUCCCGGUUUCUAUGGGCAUCGAAUCUCCAUAGAUGAACUCGGAUUCUGCAUUGACCUGAAUCUCGAGCAUGCAUUAUUUCAUGGACGGAUAGAAGAAAAAGAAGAGACUUCCAUAUUGUGCUGCCAAACUUGGUGUUUUUCUUCAUUUAUUCUUCACCACAACAGUUGGACAUAAAGGUUAGUCUCAAUGAAUCUUUACCAUUUGAAUUGGUUUAUUAAUGAUUUUUAAGUUAUUCAUUGAUAAGGUUAAAGGACAAUGGAUGAAAUUGGUUUGUCGAUUUUGAAACUCAUGGCUGUUUGUGAUGUGUCGGUUACUAUGUGAAUUAAAAAUAAAGAAGGAUAAAUGCAAUGAUGGAAUAAUGCAGAAUUGGUUGAUGCCUUGUUAAUAUGUACUAUACUUUUUUUCUAUAUGUUUAGUGUUGUCAUUUUAGUUCUAAGUAAAAUAUUUUUUAAUUACAUUAGUAGCAAUGAUGGAGAAGUGAUAUAGUUGUGUUAAUGGAAUUGUAUGGCUGAAAAUGCUGUGUGAUCCAUGAAAUUUAUGUGGCUAGGAAAAUUAGAGAAGGAAUAGAGGCUGGCUAUGAUUACUUGUUGAAGUUUUAAAGGAAAUAUCUAGAUAUAUGUUAUGGAAUAAUGACAGUUGUAGUGAAUAAUGCACAAUUGGUUAUGGGAUAAUGUUGAUGAUGCUUGUUGAUUUUUUAAUAAAAGCUAUGUAUAAAAAGUGGAUGUAUAUCCAGCCAUAAGUGUUUUUAGUGGCUCUUGAUGAUAAGUAAUGGUGCCUUGUUCAUAUGUACUAUAUAUAUUUUUUUUCUAUAUGUUUAGUGUCGUCAUUUUAGUUCUAAGUAAAAUAUUCGAUUCCUUAAUUCUAAUAUUUAUUGCCAAUAUUUUCACUUUAUUCAUUUCUUCCCACUUCAUGAUUGAUUUUUUUGAAUACAUGUUAGUUUAGGUUGGGUAUGGACAAUUUGGGCCACACGAGUGUUUAUAGAAUUUGAUAUUUAGGAAACUAAAUGAUUAAAUGUGGAUUACUUGAUGAAUUAUGAUUGAGAUUCAGCUAUUUUUUUCUUUUCUUUUUUUCUUCAAAAUUUCUUUUCAUCUAAAUAAACCAUUGGAUAAUCACAUGACAAUUGACUUUGAAUAAACUCUCUUGAUUUUGAUUCAUGGAAAUUUGAUUUAUCUUAAUUUUCUUAAAUAAUUCACACAUAUACACUUACAAUUUUUUUGGUAAUCCAAAUUUAAAAAUAUAUAUGAAUUAUUUUUCCUUUUGAAAAUUUUUUUUAUACCUCAUUCAUAACAGAAUUAAUCUUAGUCUCUUUUAUAAUGAAUUGUUUUUAUAUUUAAAAUCUAUCUUACUCUCUUUUAAGUAUGAAAUUUCAAUUUCUAAAAAGAAUAAUGCUGCCCAUUUUUAUUCGGUAUGGAACUUUGAAAUGUUUUAAAAAUGAAUUUUGGUUUUAAAUGUACGCGAAUUAAAAUUCAUAGUUCCAACUAAUGGAUUCUUUAUGAACUAAUUCAUGUAGAUAAAAAUGGGAUUUAAUAAAUCCCUACAUACAAAAAAAUUUCAAAAAUAAAGUUUUCUAUUGACACUAUUGACAGCCCAGUGCAUAUUUGAACUUGUAAAUUAUAAUCUGACCAUUUAUAGACUCCUUAAAAUUUUUAUAAUUAUUCCAUGAUAUUCUAACUCUUUGAAAUUAAUUUUAGAAUUUUAUUUUGGUAAAAAAUAAUUUCCCAAUUAGAAGAUAUAAAUCAAUCUUUCAGAAGGUUCAGCUUUCACUUUGUUUUUGAUACUUAGUUUUUUUUUGUAAAAUUAAAUUACUAAAAGAUCUCUUUAAAUUCAUUGAAUAUUUUUCGCUUAAUCUAGACCUCCUAAGUUUAAUUUUUGACACAUAAAAUAUUAAUAUAUAAUUACUAAAAAGGGAGAUAUAAUUUUUUUUCUUGAACCUAUUGCACCUGUGCUCUGCUGGAGCUGAAUGAAGUUUACUUAUUGUUAAACAUAUUAUGAAUGUAAUAUUGCCUUGUGAUUAUUUUUCAUUCAAAAUAGACAUGUUAGGCUAGUUUUACGAAUUUUUAUUUUUAUUUUUUAUGAUUUUAGGACAUCUCCAAAUUAAUUUAAAAAAAAUCAAUUGUUGAAUACUUUAACAAAAUGCCCUGUUCUAAACCUACUAUUAGCAUUAUGAAAUCUGGUAUUAAAUGAGAGCUAGUUGAUUAAUUUGAUCACUUGGAUGAUAAACUAGACGUAUAGAAGAUAUUCUCUAAAAAUUUUCAUGAUGAAAUUUAACUUCAAGAUAUUUGUUUUAGAUUUAUUUUGUAGAAACCCCUGGUUUCAACCAUUUGCUAUUUUUUUUUUUUUGCAAAGAAACCCUCUUGUGAAUACAUUUGACAUUGGUUAUAUAUAAGUUUAGUUUUUGAUUCCUUUUUGAAUUCAUUGCUAUUAUUUGUGAAUUAGUCUCAUUUCUAUGAAAGCACUUUAAAACGCUUGUUAUGAAAUAUGUGACUACUUAGAAUACAAUGUGAUGCUAUUGCUUGUUAUUUAAAUUUUGUGUUUUCUAGAAGCGCUUGGAAUGCAAAUUAGGUAUGCUUUUCUUUAUUAAAUUGGUGAAUUAUGUUGAUGUGUUUAGUUAGUUCAUAGUGUAUAUGAAUUAAUCAACUAAUCCUCAUAAUUAUCUCAACUUAGUAGAGAUCUAGUUUUUUAGGACUUAGAGGGGUGUUGCGGUUCUUUUCCGUACCUUUCCAAUAAAUAAUCUGACUCCUGGACCCAACUUGGUUUUCACAUACCCGUCUUUUCUUUUAGGAGUCACAUUUAGGGUUUUUUUUUCUUAUUUUGUUUGUCUUAAAAAAAAACCAAAGUAAGUGGCGACUCCUUUAUUUAUAAAAUUAAUUUUUCACAAACAAAAAGUGAGCCUUGCCAUCGAGUGGGAACGCAUGUGAAAAUACGGGAUCACAAAGUGGCAACUCCACUAGGGAUCUUAGAGGGUCAAAGCUUGAACUUAAGUUAAAGUAAAUUUGACGUUUAAUUGCUUGAUUAAUGAAUACCCUUUCUUUGCGCCUUUGUGUGAUUGUGUGAUUAAUGGCACAUUGAAGAUUUUUUGAUGCUGUAAAUAUCUAUGAUAGAUGCAUGUUAGAUGAUGAUGUUUAUUUAUGAUUGCUUCUCUUGUCUAUUAUGUUUUUCUUAACAUGAUUGAUUGUAUUCUUAUCACAUGCCUAUUAUCCCUUAGCAUGAUGGUUGAUCUAGUUGUAUGUUUUAUUAGAUUAUUAUGUCUUUGUUUAAUUUGAAUAUAGUGAUGGAUGAUUUAUACAUGUAUUGCAUGAUUGAUUGUUGCAUGACUACUCUUCUCUUAUGUGAUUGCUUGUUGCAUGUUCAUGUAGACGCACUUGUAUCCCCUUAACUCCAAUUCUCUAAUUUUGGUCGGCUUUGUUUCCCUUGAUCUUGUAUUAUAUAUGGGUGUGGACCCACAUUUUUCACGCGCACCCCCACUUGAUCAACGAGACUCGCUUUUAUUUGGUGAAAAAUUUAAUUUUGGAAAAGUUAGAGUCGCCACUUAUUUUAUUUUAUUUUAAAGGGAAAAUAAAACAAGAAAUAAAACCCUAAAAAAUGACUCCAUAGUUUUUGAAAAAACACGUGUCUUUGAAAAACCUGAGUCUAGGUCCGGGGAUCAGGUUACUAAUUGGGAAGGUACUUCUAGAAUGUAGCACCCCUUUAAGCUCUACAAAGCUCUCUACUAACCAAGUUGAGGGAAAUGUGGAAUUAACUAGUUGAUCAUGGAUACCUAGGUAGGCUAAGGUGAUUUCAAAAUUAGCAUGCCAAAAAAGAAAAACCAAUCAUACUCAUAAAGGAGAUUUAGGGUGCAUACCUAGACUCCUUCUUAAGCGCUAUCACAAGACAUCAAAAUUAGUUUGGAAAUAUAGCACACAUGUGUUUUAUCCAAGAAAAUCAAGCAUACAUCUAAGCACCUAAGGAUCACAUCAAGCAUAAAUAAGACUCACAACAACAUGCAUGUUCAUAAAAUUUUGAAAAGUAAGUGAUAGAGAGCAUACCUAGAUAGCAUGCAUAAUUUAUAAGAUUCCUCCAAAAAUGCUAGAGUGAUUAAGACAAGUAUGAAUUAUAUAACAUAUUCAUUAUGUCUAAUACACGGUACCAAAGCCAAAAUUGAGCCAAGGUAAGUCAAAUGACUCCAAAAAUAAAUAACGAAUUCAAGCAAUGUACAAGAUCAUCAGCAUGUAAUUAGAAUAGGGAGCAUCAAAAAAACAAUUUCUAAAAAAUGGAUUAGAGUAGAAUUUAAUUACAAAAAAUUUCACAAAACAACUCCUACACAUCUAGAUCAACAUACCGAAGGCCAAACUCUCAUUCAAAGGAUAGAUUGUAGCAAAGACACCUAAAGGUUCUACAAAUUCCAGAUUAGAUAAGAAAAACUGACAUGUGUAAAUGAAUUUUUUAAAAAUAAUAAAUAAUCACAUAAAAUCAUACAAAAAAUCACACACAUAGUUCAAAGUGUCUAUAUCACAAAAAAAUGAAUCUAGGGUCGGAUAGUACUCAAAAAUAUUUUUAAAGCACUCAAGCUAAUCAGAUGUCCAGAAUUCAGCAUGUGCAAUAGGUACGACUUUGAAAAAUCAUAUCUCCCUUAAAGAAGCAUAUAUUUUAAUAGUUUAUAUCUCUAAGAUCAAAUUCAAGAAGCUUAUAAUUAACGAAAAAUAUCAAAUUAAAUUUAGACAGUCGUCCAUUAUUUUAUUUUUGCAUUAUCCAAAACUGGGUGAAAACAGAGCCCUCCUAAAUUUUCAGUUAUAUUUUCUGUUCUGGAAUUGUUUUCUAACUCAAACGAAACUUUAAAUUCAAGUUCAAGGAGUGAGGAAAGUCAUACAAGCUUUGAAUUUUUUUUUAAAAUAUUCUAAAAUUGCUAUAAUGAAUUUAACUCUAAAAGGUCAAUGGUUGAAUGAAAACUGGCAGCAAGGAAAAAAAAAAGUUUUUGAAAAUUUUUGCAACACUAGAAUUUUCCUCUCAAAAUGGCUGAUGCGUUAGGAGAAUGUCCUCCAUAAGGUAUAAAAUUCAGAUUUACAAAAUCAACACUAAACUCACGAUGGGUAGCUGGAAUUUUGAUGUUAUCAAAGGAUUGAAGAGGAAUUUUAGUGGGUACCAUGAAGUACUCCCUAUCCUAGACAGCAAAGAGGAUGAUGGUUCCAAUAAGAAGAAGUCAGGUAUAUGCAGCCAAAAGGUAAUUAGGAAUAGGGAGCACGUGUCUUUUGAAGAGUCAGAGAUUACCAUCCAUAUUGUGGAGAUGAAUGAAUAACAAGUCAAAUCACAGUAGUAUUCUUGAAAUCCGUUUGAUUUCAAAGAUGAAUGUAUGUUCUUAUUGUAGCCAUGCAUUCUCAAUCACUUCUGCAUAUAUUUUGCAUGUAUUGACAAAUUCAAGGCUCGUGGGACCCUUCACGUCUAUGAACAUAUUCAACCGUGGGCGAAUUAUAACUCUUCUUCGGAAACACCCAUCAUCACACUUCCGGCCAAGUCUCUUGAUGCUGUGUGGUCUCAAGAUUCCCCCUCUAAAAAUCUGUUGAAUCUGCUUCAUUGGCGCGUGUGUGGGCUGUACAAAGGAGUUUCUAGAGAUACAUAGAAAAAAUGCGGAAGUGGCUGCUGCCUCCUCCCAUAUGGCUGCGUCAUGGCUGCCUCAUGCGAACAUGGUGGCCUUAUUGUGUCACUCACUUAAGGUGGCCUUGUGAGCUACUAUCAAUGGAGGAAAGAAGGUGACUAUGAGGCAUCAACCCUCCUCGUGCAGUCCAUGCGGCUGCCACUUAACAACAGAAAAAUCUGCUUAGAGAACUCCUUCACCAAAAUCUGCUGAAUCUGCUCCCGAAAAUCCCCAGAUAGCCUCACCAAAACCAGAACCUGUGUGGACCUUCCUUCUCAAAAAAAAAUGGUGCCUCUCUCUCAAUCUUCUAUCCCCCACAAAAGACCACCAGCCUGUGUCUCCCAUUCCAAUCAACUGAAAGAAACCCAAGCUUUUAAAACCCACCCGACUGUUUUCUUCCCGUAUUCAUCCAAUGAACCAGCAGUUUCAGAACACAUUUGCUGACCCCUGAACUCGCAUUCCUCACCUUCUCAAAGUGCAACCUGCUGCCAAAAGAGGAGUGUUGAAGCUUCACUAACUUCACAGCCUCUUAAACUUGCAAUUGCUCCCAACAGGAUGGCACUUGGUGUUGUAUAUUGCAACAAAAGCAUAAACCGAUACAUUUGAUCUCUGGAACCAAAAAAAUUCAUCUUAUCAUCUAAAAGAAUGAUUCCAAUUCCAAUCGAAGUACCAAAAGCCUUGCAACACUAAUUCCAAUUACAGUCCGAAUUCCAAGUUUAGAUUCAUAUGGACCCUCAACGAGCAUUCCUCCAAGGAUAAGCAACACGAAUGGAAUUGUUGCCCCAGCCAAGAUUGAUAAGUUGUCUGUGAUAAAUGAAAGUGGAGCAUCAUAGUCAAAAACAAAAGAUUUGAGCUGAGGAAACAUCCCAAUAAUAAUGGCUAACAGAGAAGCAACUGUAGGAGGUUGAAGUAUGUGCUGAAUUGGUGUUUGUUCAGCAACGAUCCUAAUUCUCCUAACCACCUUCGGCUCCACCAAACACCUAAUGGACUCGGGACUGUUUGGACCUCCCUCCUCCACUAAACCAACAUCAGGAAAAGUACUUGGUGAAAUGCUAGAGAUUCUGGUAAAGACCCUUGCAAUAAAGGGUGUCUUACAAUGCUCGCUUUCUUUAUCUUCCAUUCCUGGCCAUUUAGCUUCAACAAGCAGCGGCCUACUUAAAUCGUUAGCAGUGACCACCUCCUUAACCUCAUUCCCUUCGUCAACAAUUUCAUAAUACUCAAGGGGUGGUUCCAUCAUGUGGUAUGCAAGUGUGUAAACAAGAAUUACAGCAACCCACUGAGCAAAAGAAACAUAAAACACACCAGAGGUAUGACAAUCAGGACCAAAUGGGUUCUUCGCACUGUGGCAUAUUGACCCAACAAUGGCAAGCGGGAGAUUACCCGUGUUCCCAAAUGCAGUCAUGAUGAUGGUAAACCAAAAGAAUUCGGGUGGUGGCUGGCAUAUUAUUGCCACCAAGUACCUCAAAAUGCAACCGACAGCAGUACUGAUAAUGACGUUUACGGGUAUGAACCACCAGAGGACAAAAUUCUUGCCAGUAAUGGAUUGUCCCAAUUGGGUGAAGAUUAAGCAUAGUAGGAAUAGGACAAAAACAAGCUUGCUGAGAAGCCUGAAAGUAGCUUUUGACAUAACUUGGAGUUUUGGAUGGGCGAGAAUUAGGCCUAUGACAGUGAGUGAGAGCAGUUUCAUCAAAGGCACAACUGCUGAUAGCCAAUUUUCUCCACCAGAUUUCACAUUCCCAUCUGAUAGAUCCCAGAAGGAAUCCAUUUUUUUCCCUCUGUCUAAGAGGAAAAAUCCCAAAAGGAAACUUCCAAUGAAUUUGACGAGCUAAGCAAAAAAUCCGAGAAAUCCCUAGAAUUAACACUAUAUUCCAACAACUAAAUUUCAGACUCCAAUACCACAGACGAGAGUCCAGGAACACCCAGAAAAGGCCGGAUCCGGAGUGAUGGAUGAAAAGGAUUGGUCCACUGAGUGAUUGAUUUUCGGGUGGAUAGUUAGCGAUUCAUCGCCUCACCACGGGGUUCAUCUUUGACGAUGACUGACUAAUUGAUAUUGGUUGGUACAUCUAUCAGCACUUGACUCUCUUAUUUCACUGUCUUUUAAACCUUUAGAUGAGAAUAGAGUGGCAGUAGAGGCAUGUGGGUGCGCGAGAGUGGCGGGUAGCCGAAGGUGGUGGCAAACGAAGUGGUGUGUGGUUGCACCUCCUCUUCCAGUUUUGGUGCUGCCAACCGUGCCCUCUACUGAAAGAAAACCCCACUUUUCCAAAAGCCCUAUAUAUAGGAAGAUCACACAAAGACAGAUUUGCAUCAAAAGCUACGGAGGGCCUGGAUUGAAUUUUUUAGCAGCCAGCAGAAGAGCAUUUAGCAAAGCAUCUUUAGCUCCUAACUGCAAGUAAUAUCCUUCAUUUUGGAUCUUCCGCUUAAGAAUCUGGGCAGCGAAGAACUCGACUUCGAAAUCAGAAAGAAAGGAAUGAUGAUGACGAUGAUGAUCGGAAGUGAGGAUGGAGGUGACGACAUCCCAAGAAAGGUUAGUAUGCUGGAACUGGACGAGCCACUGAUUAGCAGCUACGCGGUUGCAGGACUGAGAGUCAUGAUUGAGGGCGUGAACAGCCUAGGCGGCCUUAAUUUGCAACUCCAUCUACGUCUCUCUUCUAAAUAAGCAACGGACGAAAGAGAACCAUAGAAAAUGAACGAGGAGAGACCGAUGCCUGUAAUUCCCCUUAUUUCCUACAGGCUCCUUAGAUCAGACGGUUGCUGCCUCAGAUCUGUUGCACUGAGUCUUAGAUAUGUGCGUGGGUUUCAAAUGUCUUAUGGAGUGCAUGAAGUGAGGGGGAUGAGUAGCGGAGUAGUGUAAUUCUUGGAGAAGAAAUCAAUCUGACACUGGCAAAACCACUUAGAGACAUGUUUGCUAGAAUGGAAAAGUCAACCCUCGAAAGUGUUUUUCUGGUGGCACGCCUGUUAAUAUAGAAACCACCCAUUCUUGAUCAAUGAAGGAGCGAAUCAGAUUGAUCCACACAAACCCCAAGGCAAACUAAACUUCAUGGAUUUUCCCUUCUCAGAUUCUUCAGAGGCGAGUUGUGCGCUGGUUAUGGGUCCAGAAACUGCAAGCAAUCCAUGAAGAAUCCAAAAUCAACAGCAUCAUGACCUUUAACGGCCACUCCAAUCAUCCAAACGAAUAUCAAUAAUUGCAAAUGGAAUAAAAUUUGAAAGGAACAUGGAUGUAAAAUGAAGAACUUGUCUUAGGAAGAUGCAGGCUGACGAAUAUCCCCUUAAGAAUCCCAGUGAGGUCCUCCCCCUGCUCCUCACUCUUCUUGCAACAACUCUCCUUCUGGACGUCCUCCUUUCCUUCCUAAAAGAUCAGCCAACCCUCUUAUCUUCAUUUUUCAGCCUGUGCUCUCCUCCCAACCCUCUAUUGCAGGCACAUACAUCUCCUUUUUCAGAAUAGCCAGUCCAACCUCCCUUCCAAACUCUCCAUGAUAUCUUCCUAAAGAGCGCCUCCUCAUCCAAAAACAAUCUCAAAGUUUCCAAAGAGAUUCUUAAACCUUCCAAAACCAAAAAUCCCUUUCGUGCAUGAAUAUCCCCAAAAAUUGCUCUUUGUCUGCAAUUGUGGACUUUCACUUGUCUUCCUUUCUAAAAAAAAACCUCAAACUCCGAUCUCUUUCCCCAAGCUGUGUCUAUCUUCAAUUGCUUCCUUAUCUCUUAGAGCCACCUUUCCUUAAACUCUCCCAAAACUUCCACACCUAUCUUCCAUACAUUUCCUACAAAAUUUCAAAGUUAAUAGAUUAAAUAAAAUAAUAAUAAUAAAAUAAUAAUAAUGAUAAAAAUGAGUAAAAGUAUUAAUAAUAAUAAUAAUAAUAAUAGUAAUAAAAUGACAAUAAAAAAAAUUAAACCAAAUUAUUAAAUUAAAAUAAAUAAGUAAGGAUAAGUAUUACAGAAAAGUGACAAAAUAAUAGGAAAAUAAAAUCGAGGAGGUAAUAGACAAGAUAAUAAAUAAAAUAAACAAAAAUAUAAUAAAAAGUCAAGUCAUGUGAUUUUACAAAAACGAGCCAUGCAAAUCAUGCAAGCCAUAUAAAAAAUGCAAUCUAUACCAACCAUGCAAACAUGCAAAAAUUACCUGAAAGGUGACCUAAGUGGGCCUAAGGUGUUGCCUAAUGGGCCAAGUGUAUCUAAAUGGGCCUAAGGUGCCUAAGUGGGCCUAAAGUGGUGCCUAAUGGGCCAAGUGUACCUAAAUGGGCCUAAAGUGCCUAAGUGGUGCCUAAUGGUCAAGUGUAUCUAAACGGGCCUAUGGUGCCUAAAUGGACCUAAAGUGGUGCCUACUGGGUCAAGUGUACCUAAAUGGGCCUAGGGAGCCUAAGUGGGCCUAAAGUGGUGCCUAAUGGGCCAAGUGUAUCUAAAUGGGCCUAGGAUGCCUAAGUGGGCCUAAAGUGCCUAAGUGAGCCUAAGGUGAUGCCUAAUGGAUCAAGUGUGCCUAAAUGGGCCUAAGGUGCCUAAGUGGGACUAAGGUGCCUAAGUGGGCCUAUGGUGCCUACGUGAGCUUAAGGUGCUUAAGUGGGCCUAAGGUACCUAAGUGGGCCUAUGGUGCAUAAGUGGGCCUAUGGUGCCUAAGUGAGCUUAAGGUGCCUAAGUGGGGUUAAGGUGCCUAAGUGGGCCUAUGGUGCAUAAGUGGGCCUAUGGUGCCUAAGUGAGCCUAAGGUACCUAAGUGAGCCUAAGGUGAUGCCUAAUGGGCCAAGUGUGUCUAAGUGGGCCUAUGGUGCAUAAGUGGGCCUAAGGUGCCUAAAUGAUCCCAAGUCUAAAUAGGGUUGCCAAGAGUCACAAUGGGGUUAGGUAAAUCCCUCAACCAAAGUCCCCAAGGUGGCUUAGAAAAGAUAGGCUACACGAGUAGUAAUGAGCCACCAAGGAAUUGUUGUAAAGUAUCAAACAAAUACCUAAUAGGACAUGUUCUAGGAGGACAAAAUGGAGGGUUUACAAUGGGACUUGUUAAUUCAUGUAUGCUUUCGAUCAAGCUAGAGACUAGGAGUAGAGUCUAGUAACGGGUUAUAUUAAUGUUUGGGUGCACUAUGGAGAUAGGCAUGUUAAUGCCAAUAGUAGUCCUAUCAUUGAAGACCUAUAUGACACAAAACUAGAUUGAAUGGAUACUCGUGUGGCCAGUUUGUUCCCUUUAUUGUUUUAGUCACAUAGGUUUUUCGGAAGCACCCACAUUAUUCUAAAUGUACACUUAGAUUAACCCUAAAUGUUGAGAAAUGUAAAAGCUUUACCUAUAGGAAACCCCAUGGGAUGUGAGGAAGUGCAUGUGUGGAGGUGAUGACCACCUUGCAUGGAAGCACCUUAUCUCUUAGGAGGCGUGCAAAAGGUUACAUACCAUCAGAGCAUACGAUCACCUUUGCUAGGGAUUCCCUUAACCCACCUACUUAAUUUUUUUAGGGCCACCUUCUUACCAAGUGGGUGGAGAAAACUUCUUAUACGAGAUUGACAUUAGCCAGAGUUGUUAGCUUCAUCAUAUCACACAUCAUUUGUCGUUAUGGAGUCCCACAUGAGUUGAUAUCUGACAAAGGAAUGCACUUCAGGGCAGAGGUUGAUGUUUUAUUACAAAGAUAUGACAUUUAGCAUCAUAAGUCGUUUGCGUAUAGACUGUAGACUAACGGGGUAGUAAAGGCCACAAAUAAGAAUAUUAAGAGGCUUUUGUAGAGAAUAGUUGACACUUCUCGAAACUGUUCAGAGAAGCUACUUUUGGAAUUAUGGGCUUAUCACACUUCUUGUCACACCUUUAUAGGAGCCACACCCUAUUCUCUAGUGUAUGUUAUAGAGGCAGUGCUACCAGUUGAGAUAGAGAUGAGAUUUUUGAGAGUAGCAUUUGAGCAAGAGAUAUCUGAGGUAGAUUGGACUUAAGCACAUUUUGAUCAACUUAGUCUUCUUGAUGAGAGGAGAUUGAGAGCAAUAGAACACACCUGCUUAUCAGAGGAAGAUGCCCCGUGCUUUUAGAAAUCGGAUCAAGCCUAGACCAAUACUGAGAGGAGAUUUGGUUUUGAGAGUUCUUAGAGGCUCGGUUGGAGACCCUAGAGGGAAGUUCAGACCGACUUGGAGUGGACCAUAUGUCAUUAGAGAGUUAACCCCAAAGGAUGCAACAUGGUUGAUGGAUCUAGAUGGAAACUAAUUCUCAGAGCCGAGCAAUGUAGAUUAGUUAAAGAAGUAUUAUGUUCGAGACUAUGGUUGCAGGAUGAGUGGCUUAUACCCUAUCACCUUUUGGAUAUUUAAACCAUUGCUAGCCCUUUGAGCCUCCCAUGAUCACUAUAGCCUAUUCUUUUUUAUAGCCUUGUUUACUUUUUAUACUUGGGACCCUCUAAUGUACAUAUGCUUUAUUUAGGAAUUUCACGAGUCUUGGACCUAUUGAUAUACUCUUUCCAUUUGUUUUGUCAUUAUCAUGAUACCCUAUUUUAUUCUCACUUCCAUUGUUUUUGUUCUUUGUUAUGCCUUUUUGAUACUAUUUGAUUUAUCUUGUUUCUUCUCAUACAUUGAGUGAUGAUCUUUCACAUUUCAUUAUAUGCAGAUCAGUCAUAUCACCACUUACAUUCCAUCUCGUAGACAUUAAUACAAAGGUCUUUGGUUGAGAUGGUCAUUUCAUUAGGGAGAGCUCGUCAUUUUUUGGAUCACUAUUUAAGAGUAUAUUCAUACCAUUGUAAAUAUAUAUGUGCAUGAGAUGUAUUACUCCAUUGAGCAUGUAUGAGAUAUUUGAGAGUUUAUUAUGUGGAGUUCAUUGGUUGAUGAGAUUGCAUGAGAGUUUGUGAUCCUCAAAUUUAUCUUGUAUAUGUUCCGAGUAUGAGAGAUGGGUGACUCCUUCCUAAAGACUCUAAAUCAUUAUCUCCUUCCAUCACUUUAGUCACCGCUGAUUUGAUCGCUUUCUAUGUUUUGUCUUGAGUAGAUCGAAGCUCUUCUGAUUCCUUUUGAUCUUAUCUGUUCUUUAUAUUCUUCAUCAUUCACCAUACAUUCAUCGUUCUUCAUUCAUAUCUAUCCUCAUUCCAUGAUUGAUAUUCUCUUCACAUUAUCUCUCUUUGUAGCUUGAUACUCACUUCUAUUCCUUUUCUCUAUCAUCGUUGAUUUUGCUGAGACCUUUUAUGUCCCACCCAUGCUCACAUCGGAUAUCUUUAGGUUCAUAGCUUAUGAGAUUAUUUAUGCAUAUUAUGUUUUGUACAUGAGGGUCUGAGUUUGAUCAUUGGGUAUUUGAGCCUAGUUUCCUUUCAUUUUUUUACCCUAUUACCCUAGCCUACAUUUUGUCUUGUGUCUUAAGACCACUUUGAGGCCAUGGGUUCGAAUAUUAGCUUUAACAACCUCUACUUGGGCAAGCGUUUCAGAUUUGGUUGAUGUGUAGGCAUUAUCAUAAUCUUUCUUUUGGGGAAUGUUUCUUCAAUGUUUGGAGUUAAUUCAUGAUGGAUGUAGAGGAUUGCUUGAUUUUAUGGUGGAUGAGAGAUGUUUUCUGACUUCCCAUUCUGUUAUAUUUCAAAUGUCAUACUGCAUGGGGCAUAUCCUUUUUACGUCAAGAUUGCUAGUCUAACAUUGGUUUUCACUUUGUUUCAUGAUGAUGGUUGUUGAUUUUGACUAUUUGAUUUCUUUACGAUCUUUAUUGGAGUUACAUCUCGAGUCAUUGGGUGAGACUUACACUUUCUGAUAUCCUCGCUAUUUUCGAUGGAAUUACCCUAGUGAGGUAUGCUUCUAUCCAGGCUUUUAGUGGAUUAGUUCAACUUCAUUAUCAUAUCCCUUGGUGGAGUUCCAUCUCGAGUCAUUGGGAUGAGCUUACACUUUUUUAUAUCCUCACUUUUUUUAUGGAGUUACCUUGAUGAGAUGUGCUUUCAUCCAUACACACAGUUGACUAGUUCAGUAUGGCUAUUUCUGAUCAUCAGUGGAGCCUGUUUGACCUAAGAUGAUUGGUUGAUGCACAUAUAUGUUCUGAGUCAUUUGAUAAUUUCAUCCAUAGAAAGAGAUGUGAUGAGUUGAUAUCAUUUGGUUAUCCUUAUGAUUUUGCAUUAGUUGCCAUACUAGGACAUAAUCCCCUUUCUUUUGUUGAGAUAAGAUCAUAGGGGAUCAUUACCUUUGAGCUUGGAUAUUUUCCAUGGAUCGGAGAUUCUUAGUGAAGUUGAUUCGUGCCCAAUUGGUGUCUCAGCUAAUUCGUAUCCAGCUGGUGCUCCUUGAUUGAGGGAGUAAUCAACAAAAUUUAUAACCUAUUACACCAUCUACUAGGGUAGCAAAGACAACGCUACUAUAGCAUAGUGGCUCUAGGAUUGUUCACUGGGAUGGGUUUUCACUUCACAAAUGAUAUUAAUUCAAAGUUGAAUUGGUGCCUUUUCAUUUCAAGGUUAGCUUUAAAAGAAAACAUAAACUUGAGUUGGAAAAUGUUUGGUUUUAAACUAACCACAAAUAGUAACUGAUUUUACUUACAAAGAAAAGUGUUUCUUGGAGUUUCAGAUCACUAGGCUCAGAUUCCUCAUACAAAAAGGGAGUUCCAGUCACUUGUUUCUUUUCCUCGCAUUAGAGAAUUAACAUAUAGUUAAUUCUCUAACCGGUGUUGUACAGAUGCUUCCCAUUAAUGGGUUCAAACACUAAAUCCCUCUCACUGAUGCACCUUGCAAUGGCUCAUACCUCUCACCUAGCAUUUACCAUUCAAGGUGAUCUUUAACCUUGGAUUACCCGUCAAAAGCUCGCAAGAGAUAACUAAUGGAUGUCUCCUUGGAGUCCAAAAGCUUACCAAGUGUUGGCUAUUCUAGAAAAUCCUACCUUCAAACCACCUCCCAAAAGCUCGCAAGAGAUAAACUAGUGAAUCUCCAUGGACGGAGAUCACUUGCCUUACCAAGUGUUGGCUCAGGUGAAUUGAAGACGUUUUAAGUUAACUAAAAAGAUAAAAACCAUUAACGGGUCACACUUUCUCUUCAUUAAAAACUAAAACAAAAAAACUUCCAAUUUAUGCAUGUGGAAACUUACCCGGCUUUCCUCACUCCAAGAGACAAAGAGCCUAGCCUCUCAUCCUCUGAGGAAAAAUCCUCAGAGUUUGGUUGGCUAGAAAUAAAAAGAAAUGAAAAUGAAAGAGAAGGAAAAACAGAGCAAGGCUCUGUAUAUUCUAUAUAUUUAUCUAUAUAUAUCUUUUACAGUGGAUGCAAGGGAAUAUAUAUAGAGACGUUUUUCCAACCUUCCUAACUAAGAAAUCUUAUGGUUGGUGGAUUACAAGGAGAAUAAUAGAAAUUUAUACAAAAAUAUCUGAAGAAAAAUAUCCAAAAAUGUCGGUCGCAAAUAUCUGGAAGCACGCGGGAGAAUUUCACAGGCGCACAAAAUGGCUGCGAAAUUUCGCAGACGACCAAGAUGGCUGCGAAAUCAUUUCGCAGCCAAAGGCUGAUUUCGCAGCCCUGCGAAAUUGGCCUUCAGCUUGGAGUGAUCUGCUUCCAAUGGCUGUAACUCCUUUAUUUCAACUCCGAAUCGCACACUGUUUGAAGCAUUGGAUUGUUGACUUCCUGAGCUUCGAAAUGACAUAUAGCAUGCAUAAAUUGAACUUCAGGAAGUGCUGCAAAAGUGGCUGACAUGACUGUCAUCAAGAAUGCUUCAUGGCAGAUUUCUCUUUGCUUCCCCUCCUUGCAUUCCGGAUUUGCUUAUGGCAAAGGACUUCAAAGCUUCAGUUCUUCAUGUUUCUGAGCUUUCCAUUGCUUUUCCAUGGAUUCCAAAGAACUCUCCUCAAUCUUGGAUUGCUUUGGUGAUCAAAAGCUAUCAAAACACCAAAACUUAACACAAUUUGAUUAGAAUUGAUUGCAAGGGUCCUUAACAUGCCAAUUGAGUUAAAAGGUAAUAACUACUACUCAAAAGUGUUUAAAAGAGUUAAUUACAAGCUAUCAAAUAGCACUUUUUGAGUAGUAAUCAGAAGUAUUUUGAGACAACAUUAGUUUUGAUGGAGCAUCUUUUUUGAGAUUAUGACAGUUUUCGCCAUCAUGAUUCCUUAGCAAAGUGUUUAUAAGAUGGAUUGGUUCAAUUAUUCUACAUUCCAGUUCCUAUGAUUAGUUGAUGCACAUAUAUCUUCUAAGUCAUUUGAUCAUUUCAUCCUUAGAGAAAGAUGUGAUAAGUUGGUAUCAUUUGGUUAUCCCCAUGAUUUUGCAUUAGUUGUCAUACUAGGGCAUAUUCUUUUUUCUUUUGUUGAGAUGAGAUCACAGGAGAGCAUUACAUUUGAGCUUGGAUAUUUUCAUGGAUCAAAGAUUCUUAAUGGAGUAUUUUGAUAUAACAUUAGUUUUGAUAGAGUAUUUUUUGGGGGGAUUAUGAUAGUUUUCGCCAUCAUGAUUCCUUAGUGGAGUGUUUUUGAGAUGGAUUGGUUUGAUUGUUCUACAUUCUAGUUCCUUAGUGAACCAUUUUUGAGAUAGAUCAAUUGGUUGUUUUUGAGUUGGAGAUAGUCUUUAGCAGAGUUAUCUCCCUGAGUGACCGAUUGGCCAUAUUGAUUUUUUUAUUGAUGAGCUAAUGGCAUUUUGGUCCCUUAGAGUAUUUUUAGAUGAUCUAUCCUUAGAGUAUUCUUGAUGUUAUGGUAUUGCCAUACUAGUAGUACAUAAACCUUGCAUAUUGGGGCAUAUUUCCCCCAUGUUGAGAUUAUUGAGAUCAUUACUUGUUCAGCUUUCAAAGCAGAGGCAUUCAGUGUCAUCUUUCAAAGCAUAAAUCAUGUGAUUGAUCACGAGUUUGUGUAUCGCAUCCUCCUUUACCAUCAAUUCAUCAGCUUUUAGAGUAGAGGCAUUCAAUGUCAUCCUUCAAAGUAUAGAUCAUGUGAUUGAUUAGGGGUUUGUGUAUCACAUUCUUCUUCAUGGUCGAUUCAUCAUCUUUUAGAGUAGAGGCAUUCAGUGUCAUCCUUCAGAGUACAGAUCACGUGAUUGAUUAUGGGUUUGUGUAUCACAGUCUCCUUCAUGGCCGAUUCAUCAGCUUUCAAAGUAGAGGCAUUCAGUGUCGUCCUUUAGAGUAUAGAUCAUGUGAUUGAUCUGUUUUUUUUUUUACUUACAUUUAAAAAACAAAAAAUUAAAAAUGAUUUGUUUUUACUAGUUAUUUAUAUUUAAGGAAGUAGGAAAGGUUUACUCCAAUGCUAAAAAUAAAUAAAAAUAAAAUAAAAUAAAAAUUGAGGGUUGAAAAGUAAUUAAUCACUAAAAAAUAGACUUGGAGUUCCUUUGGUGUGCGAUUAGACUCAAUUUGUCCCCAUGCAAUGGAAAUGGACGAUUUUUUAUUUUUUAUUUUUAUUUCCUUUUCCUUUAUCUUGGUGUAGUCUUGUGAUAUUGUUACUAAAAUAGGAGGUAAAAAUAUAAAUUAUAUAUCAAUUAUUUUAAAUUUAGAAAAAAAUGCUUAUUUUAAUUUGAAAUAAAUAAAUAUAAAAGAAAUGAUUUUCUCUCAAUUGUGUAAGACUUCACAAAAAUUUUCUUAUUUGCAAAAUAUUUUGAGUUGUAAAAGUAAAAAUUAAAGAAAUCAUUUCAUGGUCUUUUUCACAAGUAUCCAUUUAGAUCAUAGUCUAAUUUUAAAAUAUUUGAAAAAUCCAAUUACUCUAAACUAUAUCAUUUAUAAUUUUUUAAAUUAUUAAUAUGAUACCUAACCUUGUAUGGAAUUGGAAUAAAAUAUGGAUAAGUAAAAAAUGUCAAAUGAAAGAUAAUUUCAAACUUUUCUAAUACAGCUUCUCCCUUAAACUAAUAUAAUAAAUUAAAUGAUAAAAUUGAUUUGCAUAACAAUAAACAAAUCAUAUGAUAUUCCCAAUUUAUUUUAUAAACUAAGGAACAAAUCAUAACAUUUUUAGUAAAAUAUUAUUUGAUUCACUUUAAGGAAUUUAAACAUUUUAAUAGUUUUAAAAUAGAUGAAAAACAAAUAAUAAAUUAUAAAAUGGUUUACUAUACUAUUAACCCUUACCUUGAAGAAAUCGUUCAAAAUCCCAAAAGACUUAAUCUACAUCUAAUAUAAAUAUAAAUAAAAAAUAAUUAUUAAAGACUAAUUAUCUAAAUCAACGACUUCCUAAAUUUUUUGUAAAACUUAUUUUAAUUCCAAACCCUUUUCUAAAAUUCUAUUUUUUUUUAAUUAAUUUUUUUAUUAACCAUAUUAUUAUUAUUAUCAUUUUCACUUCCCAUAAUUAAUCAUAGGACAUAGGACAAUUGAUAAUUGUUAUUACAUAAAUCCUAACUCUAGAGCACCUCUUUUGUGUAGUAAGGCUAAGCUUGAUUCUACUAAGCUCUAGCAUAGAAGACUAGGUCACAUAAACUAUAGGGAUCUUGUGGACUUAGUGAAUAUUGAAAAAGUUAGAGGUAUCCUUAAACUUAGUGGCAAACCUAAACCCAUUUUUGGUGAAUGCAUGAAAGGAAAAAAAAACUAAGGGUUUACACAAAAAGGUUAAGGAGAUAAGGACCACUAGACCUUUAAAUCUUCUUCACAUGGAUCUUAUGGGUCCAAUGCGAAUUGAAAGUAAAGGUGGCCAGAUAUAUGUCCUUAUGGUAGUAGAUGAUUUUCCAAGAUACUUUGUGAGUUUUCUUAGGGAGAAAUCAGAGGCCAUACAACAUUUGAAGUUUUUAUUUAAUAGAAUACAAGUGGAAAUAGGUCAUCCAAUUGUAAGAAUUAGGAGUGAUAGGGGGAGAGAGUUUGACAAUGUUGAAGUUAACCUCUUUUUUUAUUCUAAAGGAAUUAAACAUGAAUAUUCAACACCUAGAACUCCUCAGCCAAAUAAAGUAGUUGAAAGAAGGAAUAAAGUGCUACAAGAAAUGACAAGAGUGAAGAUUCACAUACAGAAUACCCCUAAAAAAAAUAUGGGUAUUGCUUUAAUACCCCUUAAAUAACUGAAAGUCUAAUAGGGAACACCCAGAAGGGGAAAGGGAAUGAGGGAGAGGGGGGGUAUGAAUGGGUGAUUUAAAAAAUUCAACCAAUAUUUGUGAAUUAUAAUCAAUUUUUCUUAUCCUAAGAUGUCAUAAGGAUAACCUAGAUAUUCAAAAAGGAUUCCAUCCUAAUAAAAAAAAAACUGAUUUUUAUGAUUAAUUGAUAUCCAAAGAUUAACAAUAUAUGUUGAAGAAUGUUAUGGAUAAUAAUAACCACAAGAAUAACCAACCUAACAAACUCAACAACCAAUUAACCAAUCAAUCCAAUAUAUUCAAUAUCUUCAACUAGAAUGUUUGUAGGAAAAAAUAUAAACUUUUUAGAAUAACCUUGGAAGAUAUUAGGUUAAAACAAAUUAACCUAUUCUAGGCAAUUAAAAUGUGAUAUCAAAUAUAAAGAGAUAGACAAUGAGACACAAGAUUUUUAUGUGGAAAAUCCUCACAAACUAUGGAGAUAAAAAACCACGAGGUCUAAGACCUAUUAAUCGAAAUCCACUAUUUGAAAUCAAGUCAGACAAAUUUACCUAACCAUUUUACCCUAAAGACUUACUCUCCAAUACUUACAACUUGAUCCACAUCUACAAUGUAGCAAAUACUUGUUGCUCCCUAGUAGAUCCUUUGGUCCCUUUGAAGGGAUUACAAUCUUCAACCAACAAUUCAAAAAAUCGAAUCCUUGAAUGAUAGAAUGAGAAUGUUGUGGCAAUGAGACUUUUCUUACCAAAGAGUACCUUUAAAGAAUGAGAGGUCUCUAACAAUUCGAUCUCUACGAUCUCUAAUCUCUUAGCUUGAAUCUCUAACCCUCAAAGGGUUACAAAGGAGGUAUUUAUAUGUAAAAACCAUAAGGAUUUCGGUAUCUCAAGUUUCGAAAUUAGAAUUAGAUUGAAAUUCAUUCAAAAUACUUUUCUAAACUUGGUAAGACUAUCAUGACCACUAGAGCAUGCUUGUGUCGCUUGAGCGGGAUUAAUCACUUGAGCGGUCUUACUUUUUUAAAAAUAUUUUAAGCUAAAAAAUGAUAUUGAUCCUUUUAUACCUCAACUGAGCCUUUAUAUGCCACAAGUUAAAACCUUUUUAGAUGUACCUAUGACUUCCCAAUUGGACGAAUAACAACCCUUAAUCUUCAAUGGAGGGCAUCUUACUAUCUAAAAAGACUUCUAUGGCCAAACACAAAUUGACAUAAAAUUGCCAACAUAUAAGCAAGACUCAAUGCCCUAACAAUCUCUCCAUUUUGAAAUUUUGUGAUGAAACAUUGUUACAUAAACCCACCCAUACUCUCAUAAUGGAGUUUACAUAACACACAUUGACACUCAAAAAUAAACUAAAGGAAUAUUUUGCAAUGCUUUGUAGUACUUAUCUUCUAACCUUGUAACCUACACAAAAAACUAUACCAAAGACAAAACAGUGUGUGUUAUAAGAUAUGAUCAAGAAAGAAAAAUAGGAUAGUUGGAGAUUUUGCUUGAUGAAUUGUGUAAGCACGAAAAAGGAACAAAUUCCUAUAGUGACACCAAGGUACAAAGCAAAGAUCAAAAGGAAUUUGAAUGUAUGCAAAUCAACCAAACACAAUAGAAGCUAGAUAAGACCUAGUAAUUUAAUAGAAAAGUGCAAGGGACGUUCACCAACCAUAACAUAAGCAAUAAAGGCCCUAGGAAAAAGCUUCUAUGACUGAGAUUUGUUCUAAAGAGAUAGUCAAUCUAACAAUCGUAAUUUGCAAGAAACAUUCGUGUUAGGAAUCUUUCUUAAACUCUAAAGUCAUGUUUCCUAAGGUUGAUUUGGUUUACUUCAAUGCCUCAUUUUUAGUUUCCUCAAAUAUUUCAAAUAAUUCCCCUUAAUUCAGAAUUCAAAAACUACCUUUAAAUUCAGGAGUUUCUAUUUUCACCUUUUUUUUUAGCUCCUCUUUUUUAGGUGAAUCAAAUAUUCAAUGCUUUCUUUUUAUCUUAAUUUAAGUGAGUUAAAUAUGCAUUAUCCCCUUAUUUUUGUCACAAAAAAUGACAAAGCAAUAGAAAUAUAAAUACAAGAAGGCACAUAAAAGAGAAAGACAAAUAUGAGUGACAUAUAUAUAUUAAAAAUAUUAUUUUUGAUACAUAAGAUAAUCAAAGAAUAAACAUCCAGAUCAAUAAAGAUAUAAAUAAAAAAACUCAAUAACUAAACAUCAGAAAAAGGUAGAGAAGGAAAGAAGCUUGAACUCUCUAAGUAUGGAUCCAAGAAAUAAUGUAGGUUAACUGACCCUGGAUCUCAUGGAGUUGAACGUCCUAUGAGUCUAAACUUUGAAGCACUAUAGAUGAGGGAUCCAUUUUCUAAGAAGUUAGGGGUGCGGAAGACGAUGUGCCAUGAGAGGCUUUAGAUGAUCUAGCACAUCCUUAACUGGAGUGAGUCCUCAAUGCAAUAAUAAGAAUGGGUGCAUCCAGCUUCAAAGUUUGAAUCUCAUCCUUCUCAGCAAGUGCCUCUUAAGCAGCUUAUUGAUUUGGUGCAACAGCCUAGGAGCCAUUUGGAACUAGAGGACCCAAGGGACCAUACACGUGACCGUAGUGUUUGCCCCAAGAGCUCUCAUCCAACAAGGCAUGAGCAACCUAUACCCUCUAUGUAGUAGCAAUCUCAAAACUAAUAUGCUAUAAUAAUCUAGAGUUGAGGAGUAUGAAAAUAAGUGCACCACGACGGAAGAAGAAGUCUCGAUAAGGGGUGAUGGUAUCGAUGGUCACUUGACCAAUGUCGAAUUGCUGUCCAAAUAGAAUGGCAUGGAUGAGACAAGCAGUCGAUUGACAAAUUUAGGUGCAAUGGGAAGAAUGGUAGAAAGAAUAUGUCAAGAAAGUAGCAAAAAUCCAAACUAGCUCGGAGAAGCCAGCCAGAGGAAUAUAAGAAGAAGGCUCUCAAGGAGCACCAUAUAACGAAACGAGAAUAAAAAAACAAGCUCUCUAAGAGUGGGAGAUUGAAUCUCUAGAAGAAAAUAAAGAAGACAUGCAUCAAGUAUAGGCAUGUUGAGUACAUGCCUGAUUGACAAUGAGGUGAUCUGGAAUGGAUGACAAAACAUGGUCACUCAAAAGAAGCAACUAUGAGAAGUGGUAUGCAUGUUUGUAUAGAACAUGCGAACUAGAAGAGGAUAAUANNNNNNNNNNNNNNNNNNNNNNNNNNNNNNNNNNNNNNNNNNNNNNNNNNNNNNNNNNNNNNNNNNNNNNNNNNNNNNNNNNNNNNNNNNNNNNNNNNNNUAACUAGUAGGAAUACAAAAAAACACAAAAAAUAAGAAAUAUAUUGAAAAAUCUAAGCAGCUAUAAAUGUCCUAAACAAUGCGAAGAACAAUAUUAUGAAGUUGAAAAUGCGAAAAACAAAGAAAAUUGAUCUCAAAAUACAAAGAAACAAAGUCUUAAAGCGCUUGAGAGAAUAGAAAAAUGAUUGAAAUUACAAAAGGCACACUAGAUGGGUUUUUAUACUCAGGCGUACCACUAGAUGUAGAUUAGUGCUCAAGCAGGAUGCUCGAUCGAUACACUAAUAGAUGUAACUACGAGUGCUUGAGCAAUAAAGACGUUGGAAGUGGCUUGAGUGCUUGAGGACACUAAAUGUAGCACUCAAGCCACUAGAGCCAAAUAAAAAAAAUAAAAUAAAAAAUCUAGCAAGGGAUAGAAUACUCAACUAACUAACAUAUAAACAAGGAUUGACACCAAUUGAAACAAAUUUUGACAAUAAAGAGUAGAUAAUUAAGUUCAUAAACUUUCAACAUUAGCUCAAUCAGUAAUAGAUGAAGUAUGUUACUUUAGAUAGUAUAUGUCAAUCCAUUAAGAAUGAAAUUUCAAGAUCAACCAUUAGAUUUAAUCCUAAUCACAUAUUCAAAAACCCAAUACAUAACCAUCAAUGUAUAAGAGAGUCAACAUAGAAACAUAAGUAUUGAUUUUCAAGGAAAUACAACUUCCUAUUUAGUUCAAUAUUUUGAAAUUAAUUACUUCGAAUGGAUCCAACCACCACUUUGGUCAAAUUAAAGAACACAUUCAGUCAAUUUGAACUAAGAUUUUCAGAUUUCUAUUUAACAUGACCUCGUUGAUCUACAUACAAUGCAACUUGACUCCCCUUUAAUAUGAUAUCAUAUUUCUAUUCUUUACUUUUUAUUUUUCUAUUUAAAAGUGGAGGCAUUAUACAUCAUGAUCAAUUGAUUUUUUAUUUUUUUUCAUUCAUAGUUGUCUUUGUGUCCACUUUGGGGGUGUUUCCAAAUGUUGCAAGUGAGUAGUAUACGUUUAAGAGCAUGAAUCUUGCUAAGAGUUAUAUUUAACCAAAGAUUCAAUAUUUUAUACUCAUGUACCUUGGGAAACAAAAAAAAUGAUUUUAGUCAAACAAGGUAUGUGGAUAAUAAGAUUUGAGCAUGACAACAGAUCCUUUCAAAGUAAUCAAAGUCUACUUUAUGAGUUCAACUUAAGAAGUCUCCCCCUUGAUCAAGUAUAAGAUGUAACCAAUAUUGAAUUUUUCAUAUACAAUGACAUUUAAUUAUCAGGAAUCAAAUGCAUCAAUAGUUAUUAACAAUUAUCUAUGAUUCUAUCCAGAUCAAAUCUUGUAGAUAUAUAUAUAUUUCUUUAAAUCACAAACUUGAAACAUUACGAAUCAUGGUAAUAUUUCAAGUAACUAAAAAAAAUAAUAUGCCUAAAAAAAAAGGCCAAAGAAAACAAAAAGAUAUAAACACUAAGCUCAACACUUUUGAAGCCUAAACCUAUGAUGAUCAAUCAAUUAGCCAUAUGCCCAAGGAUUUCCUUAGGUACUCAAACCUAAGAGAAUCCAAGUGUUUGGUAAGAAUGUCUGCUAAUUAAAGUUCAAAAAGGAUAAACUCUAAAUAAGCAACCUUUUCUUCAACAAGAUCCUUAAUGAAAUGAUGAAGAAUUUCAAUAUGAUUACUACAGGAAUGAAGAACAAGAUCCUUUGAGAUAUUUAUAGCACUAGAGUUGUCAUAAUGCAUGUUCAUGGUUCUUUGUUUAAUUCCAUAGUCUUUAAGCAUUUGCUUAUCCACAGGAGUUGCAUACAACAACUUCUAACAACAAUAUACUUAGCUUCGACAAUAGAUAAAGAUAUAAAAUUUUGUUUCUUACUAAGGCAAGCCACAAGACAAUCUCCAAUAAAAGAUGUGUUUUUUCUAUCAUCAACGUUUCCAGCCCACUCAACAUCAAAAUAUCUAGCAAUUACAAGAGAAGAGUCAUAGGGAUACCACAAACCAUAAUUGAGAGUUCCAUUUAUAUAACGAAUAAUUCUUUUAAUAGACAUUAGGUGUGACUGUUUAGGGUUUGCUUGAUAUCUAGCACAAGCUCCAACACUAAAAGAUAUGUCAAGACGACUCGUAGUGAGGUAAAGUAAGCUUCCUAUUAUACUUCUAUAAAGAUUUUGCUCAACAUCUUUUCCAGAUGCAUCCUUGUUAAGCUUAGUGGUAGUGCUUAUUAAUGUCUUAUAGUGUUUAGAAGAUUCUAGAUCGAAUUUAUUAACAACUUUCCUAGCAUACUUAGAUAGAGAAAGAAAGAUUCCAUCUUUGAAUUGCCUAAUCUGCAAUCCUAGGAAGAAAAUUAAUUCACCUACUAUGUUCAACUUGAAUUCAAUCUUCAUCUCUUCUGCAAAACUAAGGGCAAGUUCACUAUAGGUAACUCAAAAAACUAUAUCAUCAACAUAAAAUAUAAGCUACUAACAACUCAUCAUUGGACCUAUCUAUAAACAAGGUUCUAUCAACUCCCCUUCUUUCAUACUUUUUCUCUAAAAGAUAGGUUAUGAGUCUCUCAUACCAUGCUCUAGGAGGUUUCUUUAACCAAUAAACAUAAUUGAGGAAUUUAGGAUCCUCAAAACCCUUAGGUUGCUCAACAUAGGCUUCUUCACUCAAAAUUUCAUUGAGAAAAGCACUCUUGACAUCCAUUUGGUAUAGCUUUAUCCUCAAGGAGCAUGCUAUUGCCCAAAGUAUCUUAAUUGAGUCUAAUCUAGCUAAGGGUGCAAAUGUCUCUUCAUAUGCAAUCCCUUCUAUUUGUGAAUAUCCUUUGGCAACUAGUCUUACUUUGUUUCUCACAAUGACCCCAUUUUCAUCUUGUUUGUUCCUGGGUUGAAAUUUGAUUAUCAAUUAUAUUCUGAUCAUACCCAGUAUCAUUUAUAACUACAUUAGAAGAUUCCUGGAUGACUUGUGAAUUUUGAUUAUAAACCCUAUAAACUUUACUCAUAGUCGAAUAACCUAGGAAGUACCUAAAUUAGAUUUAACAUCAAACUUUCCAAGGUUCUUCCCAUUCUUAAGAAUGUAGCAUUCACUUCCAAAAGUCCUAAAUUAUGAAGGUUAGGCUUUCUCCCAAUCUAUAAUUCAUAAGAUGCCUUUUUUGUUCCUGGUCUAAGAAAAAUCCUAUUAGUAUAACAAGCAAUAUUAAUUGUUUCUACCCAAAAUUGCAUAGAGGUAUUAUUCAUGUGAAUCAUCACCUUACUCAUCUCUUGUAGUACUUUGUUCUUUCUUUCAACUACUCCAUUCUAUUAAGGAGUUCUAAGGGUUGAAAACUCAUGUUUAAUUCCUUUUGACUCACAAAAAAGGUCAACGCCCACAUUGUCAAGCUCUUUCCCUCUAUCACUCUUAAUCGUUACAAUUGAAUGACCAAUUUACACUUGUACUCUAUUAAAUAAAGACUUUAAAUGUUUUAUGGCCUUAGAUGUCUCCCUAAGAAAACUCACAAAGGAGUAUCUUGACAAAAUUAUCUACUACCAUAAGGACAUAUCUCUUGUUGCCUUUACUUUUAGUUUGCAUUGGACUCAUAAGAUCCAUGUGAAGAAGAUCUAAAGGUUUAGUAGUCCUUAUCUCCUUAACCUUUUUAUGUGAGCUCUUAAUUUUUUUUCCUUUCAUGCACUCAUCACAAAUGGGUUUAGGUUCACCACUAAGUCUAGGGAUAUCUCUAACUCUUUCAGUAUUCACUAAGUGCACAAGAUCCCUAUAGUUUAUGUGACCUAGUCUUUUAUGCCAAAGCUUAGUAGAAUCAGGCUUAGCCCUACUGUACAUAAGAGGUGUUCUAAAGAUAGAAUUUGUGGCAUAACAAUUAUCAAGUGUUCUAUGUCCUAUGAUGACUACCUUUCCCUUUUUAUUAAUUACCUUGUAUAAGUCUUGGUGAAAAUUCAGUUUAUGGUCUUUUUCGCACAUUUGACUAAUACUUAUGAGAUUUUCUUUAAGCCCUUCAACAUAAAGAACUUCAUCUAAUUUGGGCCAACCAAGGGUAACUAUACCACCCCUGUCUUUCACUUUAGCUAGGUUUCCAUUUCCAAAAGCAACAGAUCCCACCAUCAAAGUUUUCUAGAGAAAUGAAAGAGGAUUAUCUCCUAUCAUGUAUCUAGGGCACCCACCAUCAAGGUACCAUUUAAUAGAAGAUUUAGCUUUAAGAGAAUUUAACACAACUUGACAUUUGAACUUAUCCUUUCUCAACCAAACUUGCUUAGUUCUAGGUGGUAACUUGGAGGAACUAGAUUGAUUUCUAGGUUUUUGAUUGGUUUUAUUUCUUUUCCCAUUAUUCAAAAUGUUAUUUUUAAGGGAAUUAAAAUCAUUCAUAAGUCUAUUCAUUUGAGUUUCAAACAUUUUGAGAAACCUAGAGUAGCAUCUAGAUUGAGAGUGUCCAGUUUUCUUAAAUUGUGUGCAUAGUGAUGUAUUUUUAAGAGAUUCUACUUGGUUAAGGGUAUCAUCCUUACCUUUAACAAACACAGUUUUUCCACUAGAUGCCUUUAUCAAGUAUUUCAUUAAGCACUUUAGUUCCAGGGUGAAAAUUUUCAUUCAUAGAUGAAGAAGACUUAUUAUUCUUGAUCUGUUGAGUGGGGACAUUAUUCUUCUCAAGGAGAGAAUGAUGCUCAGAUUUAAGAAAUCUAAUUUUCUCAAGUAAAUUAGAAUUUUCAGCAUUAAGCACAUCAAUCUUAUUUUUAUUUGCAUCAAGAAUUUCAUGAUUUGUCAUAUAACUCUUAAUUAAUCUUUCAUGCUCAAUAAAAAGAUUGUCAAAAAAUUUAGCCCUUUGUUUAUUAGUAAACUCAUCAUCAUUAAUAUCACUAUCACUAUCACAAUAAGAAUUAUUCUCAUGCUCUAUAGAUGCAACAAAAGCUAACAUGUCAUUGGGAUCGUACCUUGCAUCUUCAAAAGUUGUAGAAGCAUUGUCUUCAAAAUAUGAAUCACUCCAUAUUACUUGCAUAAACAUUUUAAUAUUUUUGGAGCUAAGACACUCUUAAGAGUAGUGUCCCACGCCUCCAUAGUUAAAGAAUUCAACUUUCUUGUCUUUGAAAGAACCUUUUCCUUUCUCAUUGGAUGUUUGUUCAUUUGGUCCUUUUCUUUUUCCCAAUUCUUGGUUCUUGUAGAACAUUUUGUUGAAUCUCAUAGCCCUUUUAAUUCUUUUGGGCAUAUGUGCCAAUUCAUCAUGAGUUAUAUCUUUUGGCAUUUCAAUAUCUUUUUCCUCAUUCUCAAAAACCUUAAAGGCAGAGUCUUUAGGAUUAUGGGAAUUUGGUAGGUUCAUUUCAUAUGUUUGAAUGGAGCCUACAAGUUCAUCAACUCUUAUGGAAUCACUGUCCUUGCUUUCCUCUAUGACAAUUACUUUGGGUCUAAAUCUCCCUGGAAGAGAUCUCAAUAUUUUUCUAACUACCUUAGAAUUAGGAAUAGGUUCUCCAAUAUUAAAUAAAGAAUUUAGAAUAUUACUCAAUUCAAAAUAAAAGAAAGAUAAAGUUUUAAAAUGGGUAUUUAUGGAGUUCACCGGCUGUACAUAUGAGGUGGUGAUUAAAUAAUUCAAUGAAAAUAUGGUUUUGUGUAUGAUGUUUGGUGGAAGAAUGUUUUAGUGGGAUUGAAGUUUUUAGUGGCCAUGUUGUAAUUUUAUUUUUUUUUUGGAAAGUUCAAUGGGGAUUUAAGGGGUGGGAAUUGGAAAGAGAUCUACAUGCUACAACAAAAGAGAUAUCCACGUUGCUAUAUAAGGAUCUCGACACCGUAUGCGCAAGGAGAAGGCGGUAUGUUCAGCAGCACCUAAAAAAAUCAGAUUUGGUUGCCUCUUUAGCGCACUAAGAGUUGAUUUUUUGAGAAAUGCAUUCGGGAGGGUAUCAACGACACGGGAUAAGUUCCAAUUUUUAAAUACGAUUUAGUUUAGUUUUAAUCUUUUUUUUUUAUUUUAAAUUUGGAUGUGUUUAUGAUUUUAAUUCAUUUGUUUGAUUAAUUCUGUUAAAUAAAGUUCAUUUUUUGUAAUUCCAAUUUAGUUUAGUUUUAAUUUAUUUUUAAAUUUAGAUACAUUUGAAAUUUUGAUUCUUAAGAUUAAUUAAUCCUAUUAGAUAUCAUGUUUUUAAUUCCGAUUUUGUUUGGUUACAAUUUAUUCUCUUAAUUUAAGUGCGUUUGUGAUGUUAAUUCAUUAAUUUAAAUAAUCUUGUUAUAUAAAGUUUGUAUUUUUAAGUCUCAAUUAAUUUAGUUUUAUUCUAUCUUUAGUUUAAAUGUGUUCGUGAUUUUAAUUUAUUAGUUUAAAUAAUCUUGUUGUAUAAAGUUUAUAUUUUUAAUUCUCAAUUAGAUUAGUUUUAACCUAUCUUUUAGUUUAAAUAUGUUUGUGGUUUGAAUUCAUUAAUUUGAAUAAUCUUGUUAGAUAAAGUUUUUUUUUUUUUAAUUUUGAAUUAGUUUAGUUUUAAACUAUCUUUUAGUUUAAGAAUGUUUGUGGUUUUAAUUCAUUAGUUUAAAUAAUCCCAUUGGAUAAAGUUUAUGUUUUUAAUUUCGAUUUAGUUUAGUUAUAAUUUAUUUUUUUUUAGUUUAGAUAUGUUUGUGAUUGCAAUUCAAUAGUUUAAUUAAUUCUAUUAAAUAAAUUUCAUGUUUUUAAUUACAAUUUAGUUUAGUUUUAAUUUGUUCUCUGGAUAGGUCUUAGACCUCGUGGCUUUUCAUAUCUCCAUAGUUUGUGGGGGCUUUCCACAUAAAAAUCUUGUGCCUCAUUGUCUACCUCAUUAUAUUGGUUAAUUUGUUUUAACCUAAUAUCUUGUAAGGCUAUUCUAAAAGGUUUAUAAUUUAGAUUUAUUGCUACAUAUAUUCUAGUUAAAGAUGUUGAAUAAAUUGGAUUGAUUGAUUAAUUGGUUAUUGAGUUUGUUGAAUUGGUUAUCUUGUGAUGGUUAUAUCUCUAACUUGUGGAUUAUUAUUAAGUUUGUUAGGUUGGUUAUUCUUGUAGUUAUUAUUGUCUCUAGCAUUUUUCAAUAUAUAUUGUUAAGAUGAAAUCCUUUUCGAAUAUCCAGGUUAUCCUUAUAAUAUAUUGAGAUAAGAAAAAGUAAUUAUAAUUCAUAAAUAUUGAUUUAAUUUUUUAAAUCAUCUAUCCACCCCACCAUCCCCUCUAGGGGUUCUUAUUGGACUUUUGGUUAUUUAAGGGGUAUAUAGAGCAAUACUCAUAUUUUUUCAAUUGGUAUGGAAGAGGGAUAAAAAAAACUGAUUCUUUAUCCUAUUGAUUAAAAAAUCAAUUUUUAUUAUUUAUCUUUAUAGUAUAAAAGCCUUUGUUGUAACUUUUUUACCCCUAUUUUCUUUGAAUAUUUACCGAACUACCCACACCAACUUUUUGAUGGGAUGGAUGGACGAUGAUGCCCUACACACACCUUGCUAUGUUGGUGCAUGAUAAGGGCACUUCCGGAAAUCUAGGAUUUCGUGGUGCCCACAUGGAUUUGGAGACUUGUCUUGCAAAGUUUUGAGAAUCACCGGGUCUCUGCAGCCUACUACUACUUCUGCUGCUACGUCAUCUUCAUUGAAGGAUCUGAAUAAGAAGAUCCGUCAGCCCUAUACCAUCACCAAGUCCAGAGAGGGUUGGAUUGAGCAAGAGCACGAUAAGUUUCUCGAAGCUUUACAAUGGUGUGUCACUCUCAAUUACUUGAUUUUGGAGUUUUGUUUUGUAGAUGAGAACAUUCAGCGGGAAUUGGAGAAUUGUGUGUGUGUUUUAUUUCUUCAUUUCGAGGAAAGAUUGGGAAAAAUGUUCAAUAGAGUCAAGUCAAUUGAUCAAUUGAGUGAGGUGGGUUUAUUGUUUUUUAGGACUUGUUUCUCUUUUCUUUCGUUUCUUUCUAUUUUCUCGCACUUUCUCCACAACCAAAUGAGGAAUUGAGGUUGGUAAUUCCGUUAAAUAUCAAAAAUUGAACAUUAUCUUAAUUGGUUAAUAUUUUUAUUUCCGUUUUUCCUAAUAAGGCUUCAAUUUUUGUCAUUUCACUUUGGUUUCCCUUUCUUUGCUUUUCUUUUUUUUUUUUUUCCUUUUUAAUAGAUGAUUUUAGUUUAUUUUAUGAUAAAUUACGAUUUUCAGUUGCAUUAGAUUGUAGAUUUAUUUAAUUUAACAUCUAAUUUUAGUAAUUUCCAUGGAUCCCCAAGUCUAAUCAUAAUUCCUCAAGAAAUAAUUGAUUAUUGGGGGAUUCUAGGUGAGACUGAACUAAAAUUUGAGGAUUUUUUUAGUUAGAGUUUUGUUUAUUUAGCUUUGUUAUGAAAUGGCUUUCUGUUUCAUUUCAUACGGUAGGAAAAUCAUGCAUUCUGAUUUUUUUUUUCUUUUGUGAUUUUUUUACAUAGGUUGAUUGAGAUUGGAAGAGGAUUGAAGCAUUUGUUGGGUCCAAAACAAUUAUCUUAGGAUAAAUUUGUAUCUUUUUAAAAUAUUGUAAAUUUGUUUAACUUGCCAAAAGAGCUACGUUUGGACUUUUUUUUCAAGCUAAAUUUGAAAGAGGAGUGAAAAGAAAGAGAAAUGAUGGAAAUUAGCUACAAGACAUUCCUUUUUUAAGUUAUUCAUCAUUUUCCUCUUCUUUCCGAAUCCAAAUCCUUGCCUUAGUAAGGUUGAACUGAAUUUGAUUUAGAAUUUCAUUUAUGUGAAAUGGUUUUGCUUUUGGUUUUAGAUUUUUUUUUUUUAAACACAAAUUUCUAUUUAUCAAAUUAAAUAAUAAAAAAUAUUAACAAAUUUAUAUUUAAAAGAGAAAAAAAUAUAAAUAUACCUUUUAAAGAUAUUCUUUAAAAUAGAGAAUAUAUGUGAUUUUCUAUGUAAUCCUUUUUUUUUCAUUUUUUUAAUAAUUUUUUAUUUAUAUAGAAUUAUAGAUAAAAAUAUAUUGAUUUCAAAUGCAAAUAAUUAUUUAAAUUUAAAUUUUAAGUUUUCAUUUGUAAAUUUAAAACUUAGAUAUUUUCUAAUUAUGCAUGUCAUUAAAUUGGGAUCUAUCUUUGGCUUGGUGUUUAUAAAUGCCUCUACUUUUAUAUAUAACUUUAAUAUAUAUAUUAGAAAAUUAUGAUUGAAGAGUAAUUUCUUUUUCUUUUAAUUUGAUCAAAAUUAGAAAUCUCAUCUAAAUAGGAUCAUUAUUUUAGUUUUUAAAAAAGUUUGAAAAUAUUGUUUCUAAUAAAUUUUGGUUAAAUAGAAUUAAUAAUUUUUUUAUUUCUUGAAUUUAAAAAAAAAUAUUUUCAAAUAAAUAAUAAUAUAUGUUUGUUUAUUACUAAUCUUAACAUUUUAGGAAAUUUAAAGCCAUAUACACUAUCUCAAAAAAUAAUAAUGUAUAUUUAUUUAUUAUAAUAAAAAAUAAUUAAUCACUUUUGAUUUGAUAUCUAGAUUUUUUUUAUUAUAUAAUAAAUAUAUGCAUAGAAUUAUCAUGAUUCUAUAAUAUAUUUUUAAAUACAAAUAUCUAAAAAAUACUUAAAAGUUUGACAAUUUUAUUUUAAUUAAAUUAAUUUUUAUAAUUUUUAUUAAAUAAUUUAAAAUUUAUAUAUAAUAUCAACUUUAUUACCUAUCUUGUCCACGUGCCUUGCAUGUGGAUCAAACCUAGUAUUCUUUAAAAAAACAAAUUUUUAUUAAUCAUAUAAGAUAAAAAUCAAAUUUUUAUCGAAACAAUCAAAAAGUGGUGCUCCUUUGAAUGGUCUACCCUAUUUUGAUGGAAAUAAUUACUUCCAUUGGAAAGAACAAAUGAUGGUUUUCGUCAAAAUGCAAGACAAAAUAAUUACUUAGUUGAACAUGGUUAGGGACCACCAUUAAUCCUUGAUGCUAAAGGAAGAUCGGAGAACUUAAACCUAAACAUGAAUGGGACAAAGCUAAUAAUGAAGGUAGUGAAGCUAAAGCUAGGGCUUCAUUUAGUAUUUUUAAUGGAGUUUAUCCAAAUGAGUUUCAUAGAAUAGCAAAUUGUAAACAUGGGAUAUUCUUCAAGUCACUCAUUGAAAAUCCCAUCUCUAAAUUCCAUUACUUGGCCACUUUUUACACAGCAAGAAAGAUAAAAGAUGACGCUUCUUUAAUGCGUCAUCUUUUGGCUUGUCAUUGUAUGUGUUAGCUAACAAUGACGCUUUUAGUAAGCGUCAUCUUUCAUAAAUGCUUUCAAUGACAUUUAAUAAAGCAUCAUCUUUGAAUAAUAUUAAUGACACUUAUAAAAAAUGUCAUCUUUGAACAUUUACUAGUGAAAUAAUUUUUACAAAGAGCUUCAUCUAUAAUAUAUUUUAUAAAUGACACUUUUAAAAACGCCAUCUUUGAUUAAUGUUUAUUACAACAAUGGGUUUCCUAUAUAAUUAAAUAAAAGAAAAAAACAAGCCCCAAAAUUAAAUUAAAUUUUAUAAUUAAAAUACCAUCAAAUAUUGAUAUACAAUAAUUUCUAAUUUUCAACAAAAGAACAAAUAUUAGGGCAACAACUAUUAAGAUCUAAAUUCUACAAAAACAUAGUUCAAUCUCCUAAUCACUUUAUUGAUAUAAUCUUCAUGAUUUCCGGUAUCACUUCCUUUACACAUAAUGGCUUAUCUUCUUUUGUCAAAUCAAUUUCCUUUGCAACUUGUAAACAAAUAUUGGAAAAAUAGAAAACCUCUAAAUUAUAUAUGCAACCAAUAAAUACAAUUGAAACAAUGACUUCCACAAAAACACACAAGUUAGGAAAAAAUAGUUAGAGGUUAUCACUUGAGGAUAAGAUGUCCUUCCCUAAUUGAGUGAAGAAACUCUAUAACAAAAUAAUGCUUCAUAAUUGAAAACGAACUCUUCAAGAGUAAUAUAUUUCUAAUUAUGAUAUAACAUUAAAAAGUUAAAAUAACAGGCCAUAAUGAAACUUUAUACAAAUUACAAUAACAAAAUAUAACACUAAUUUAUCCCUUAAAAAGGUUUUCUAAAAUUAGAGGGAGUUUGCCAUAAUGAAACUUUUAAAAUAUGGGGUGUAUAGGAAAGUAAAUAAUCUGAAGCUCACAAUGGAAAUGUCAACACCCAUAUAUUGAUCUGUUUAGCAAACCUUUAUACAGACGUUUACAAACCUAUCUAAGGAAUUUGUACAGCUAAGGAAAUAUCAUGUACAACGGUUACAGAUUUGCUUUACUAAAAAUAAAACAAUUACAUCAAUUUCAGGCCAUGAUACUCGGCUUGAUGAUUGCUGCAAAUCACUUCCAGAUUUGUUGUUGGGGCUUGAUGAUUGCUGCAAAUCACUUCUAGAUUUAAAUCUUAUUCUUGUCUUGUGUCACUUUCCUUAAUACGCCCUCGCAAAAUUGAGCUUCCAUCGGCAAGACCAAUUUUGGCUCUUAGACAUUUUGUGCAUUCCUGGGACAGUGGCUUAGUUAGUAGAUCAGCCAAUUGAUCUUGAGUAUGAACAUAACUCACUUUAAGUGCACCUUUCUGAACUUGAUCACGCACAAAAUGAAGAUCAAUUUGAAUAUGUUUCAUUCUUGAAUGUUGGACCGGAUUGAAGCUGAGAUGAGUUGCUCCAAGAUUAUCACAUAGAAGAGAAGGUGGCAGCUUUAAUGAAAAACCCAAUUCUUGAAGAAGGGCAAGUAACCACAUUGUUUCUGAUGCACCAUUGGCCAGCGCUCGAUAUUUUGCUUCUGUGGUGGAACGAGCAACAACUCGUUGUUUUUUUGAACUCCAUGAGAUGGGAUUGCAACCCAGAAAUGUAAUGUAAGCUGAUGUGGAUGUUCGAUCAUCAAUGUUUUCAGCCCAAUCUGCAUCAGUGUAGGUUAUUAAGCAUGGUGCUGCAGCUGACUUGAGGUGAAGACCGUGAAAGAUUGUCUUCUUGAGAUAUCGAAGAAGUCUCUUAGUGGUAGUCCAAUGAGUGAUUGUUGGCUUGUGCAUAAAUUGAGAGAGCUUAUUAACAGCACAAGAAAUGUCGGGCCGAGUAAGAGAAAGGUAUUGUAAGCUGCCAAUAACACGCCUAUACUCUGUGCUGUUUACAGCAUUCGUGACAUCUACCAAGUGAAGGGAUUGAGUUGUUGACAGCGGGGUAAAGACAUCCUUUGCACCAGCCAUGUGUGUAUUCUCCAAGAUGUCACGAACAUACUUAUGUUGGGAGAGAAAUACACCUGCAGUAGUCGGUAUAACUUCCUGUCCAAGGAAGUAAUGAAGGGAACCCAUAUCUUUCAAGGAAAAUUGGUCACCAAGUUUGGUAACAACAUGAGCUACACACUUCUUGUCAUUACCUGUAAUGACUAAAUCAUCAACAUAAACAAGGAAAUAGCAGACCAUGGAAUCAUGGCGAUAAAUAAAAAGAGAGGAAUCAACUUUAGAAUUUUGGAACCCGAGUGCUAGAAGAGCAGUUUUUAAUGCUGAAUACCAGGCCUUUGGGGCUUGUUUGAGAUCAUAAAUUGCUUUCCUGAGCCGACACACAUAAUCAGGUAGAGACAAAUCUUUGAAACCCGGAGGUUGCAUCAUGUACACAGUUUCAGUCAGAUUUCCAUGUAAAAAAGCAUUGUUUACGUCCAUUUGUUUCAAAGGCCACCCAUUCAUGAUUGCAAUGCUCAACAAUGUCCUUAUGGUGGCUGGUUUAACCACAGGACUAAAGGUUUCAUUAUAAUCAACACUAGGUUGCUGAUUAUAGCCCUUGGCAACAAGCCGGGCUUUAAAUUUAUCAACCGAGCCAUCUGCUUUCCUUUUGACUCUAAACACCCACUUACAACCCACUGGAUGACAAUUGAUGGGGGGAGGAAUUAAAUCCCAUGUACCAUGUCGCAUGAGAGCAGUCAAUUCACUAGACAUGGGUUCAUGCCAUUCAGGGUGAGAUACAGCUUAAGUCGCGCAUGUUGGUUCUAGAGGUAAUGGAAGAUAGUGCUUAGACAUAAUGUGUAAUUGCUUAGGUUUAAAGAUGUUGUUCAUAGAUCUAGUAGUCAUGGAAUGGGUUCGGUGGGAAGUGGGUUUAGUGUGUACAAGAGAUUGUGAAUCAAGAAUUAAAUUAGAUGCAAGUGAAUUUGAAAGAGAAGCAUGCGGAACAGUCAUAUGUAUACCAACAUCUAAGUUCAGAUUCAUAUCACAGGUAUUGUCAUGUGAUUCAUAAUGAAAAGAAGGAGAGAUAGAGGGGGAUAUACCUAGAGGUGGUGCAGGAAUGGCAGCUGCAGGUUCCGAGCUCAGUGGUGGCUGUGAGGAGCGAUCGGGACGAGAUGGAGGAGCAAGAAUGGAAGGAGGAGGGGAAGGAAAUUAGGGCACGGGUUCUGCUGAAGGAAAAGGUGAGGAGCAGAGGAAAAUAAGUGGGUUUCGGCAGAUGGCCCGUGCUUGGUUUUUGAAAGGAAUGGGCUCUGCAAUUCAUCAAAAGUCACAUGCCAUGAGAUAUACAACCGAUUCGUUAAUGGAUCCAUACAUUUAUAGGCAUUUUGUGUUUGGGAAUAGCCGAGAAAAAUGCAAGGGAUUGAUUUUGGUUGUAAUUUAUGGGUAUUGUAUGGCCUUGUGAGAGGGUAACAUAAACAACCAAAUUUUCUCAAUUUGAGAUAAUUUGGUCGUUGACCAAAAAGAACCUCAAAUGGAGACUUGUGUUUAAGAAGAGGGGUUGGUUGGCGAUUUAUGAGAUAAGUGGCUAUUUGAAAGGCAUGGGGCCAAUAAGAAAGAGAUAAAAAAGCAUCGUGAAGCAAGGUGAUACCCGUUUCGACAAGAUGACGGUGACGUCUUUUGGAAACACCAUUUUGUUGGGGGGUAUGGAGGGCGGUGGUGUAGUGGCUUAUGCCAUGAUCGGACAAAUAUUUUUUUAAACUCAAAAAUUCGCCACCAUUGUCUAAGUACAAGCUUUUUAUGGAACACUUGAAUCUUGUUUCAACAAGUAAUUUAAACUGUGGAAAGACUGUAGAAACAAGAGAUUUUGUGGACAUUGGAUAAAACCAUAUAUAUUUGGUGUAAUGAUCCACAAAAAUAAGAUAAUAACGUUCACCAUUUAAACCGGUAAUGUGCACAGGACCCCAAACAUCACUGUAAAUAAUUUCAAGGGGAGAAUGACUUUGAAAACUUGUAGAGCCAAAUGGUUGUUGAUGUACUUUAUUGAUUGAACAUGAAGGACAUGACAAUGGUAAUUUAUUUGUUGUCAGAGGAAGAGAAAAAAGAUUAACAAGAUUUUGAACAACUUUAAUCGAUGGGUAUCCAAGACGCUUGUGCCAUCCAUCGAUUGAAGUCCGUUCAUGCACAUAAGCAACCAUUUUGGGAGUAGAAGGAGCCACCAUGGAGUUGGGAAAAAUGUAGACGCCAUUCUCACACGUACCUCUUAGUAGUAUCGCCCCCGUGGAUCGUGCCUUCACAAGGAAAAAAAAAGGUGAAAUUAAAGAAAAACAUCAUUUUGCUUGGUGAAAUGAUGAACUGAAAUGAGAUUUUUGUGAAUAUUGGGAACGCAUAAAGUAUCAUGUAAAUGAAAUAUUUUUUUGGGUGUGGGUAAUGCUAAAGAACCAAUAUGCGUAACCGCUAAACAUGUACCAUCACCAAGAAGGACUUCAUCAGUGCCAUCAUACUCAGAGUGAAUUGAUAAAUUUUUUAUAUUUCUCGUGAUAUUGUGAGAGGCUGCAGAGUCAAUUAACCAUUUAUUUUCUUGACCAUCAGAAGUUCCUGCACAAUUAACAGUCAUUUCAGAAGAAUUUAAUUGAGGGCAGGCCUUGGCCGUGUGGCCCAUUUGAUCAUAGUACUGGCAUUUGGGCUGAUAGCGUCUCUUAUUAGAGUUGAAUUGGCCCUGAUUGUUGGAACGACGUGGGUCACGAGAUGGGCCAUUUGAGCUGGAAAACCAAUAAUGGCCUUGUGAACGGGGAGACCCAUUUCCCUUGUGAGAAGCUUUCUGUUGCUGAGAUGCAGAAAAGCCAGAGCGUCGGCUUGUGAAAUUUCCAGUGGCCACGAGCUGCUGGGUAGCAGCCUCCAUCCUAUGCAGGUAAUUUUCAUGCCUUAUAAGGAGGUCAUGAAGCUCCUCAAAGGCAAGGGAUUUUUCUCUUGCCCGAAUAGGGGCAGCAAUCUCACGAAAUUCGGGUCCUAACCCGUUGAGGACAUAGAGAGUGAUGUCGUCGUCGGAGAUUGGGUGGUCGAUGAGUGCAAUCUCAUCAACCAGGCCUUUAACAACAUGAAGGUACUCCAGAAUUGGGCGGUUUCCACGCUGAAUCAAGGUGAGUUCUUCCUUGAGUUGCAUGGCCCUUGUACGUGAUUUACUUACAUACAUGGUGGAUAAUUUUUUCCAGGCAUCAUAGGAGGUUUUUGCUGUGGCAAUAAGAGAGGUAAUGGUUGGGGAAGUAGAGGCAAGGAUGGCACUAAGAAUUAAUUUAUCUUGCCUAACCCAGUGGUGUUUCUUGGCUAUAGAUGGUGGGGUGCCAUCAGAGGGAGGGCAACGGGAUUCACUAGUAAUGUAGUCCAUUAGAUCAUAGCCAAUUAGGAGAGCCUUAAACUGAGCUCUCCAUUGGGGAAAAGAGGAAGGUGUGAGUUUCUCAUUGAUCUGAGCUGUGAUGUUAAAAACAACAAGGGGGAUUUCGAAGGUAGGCUGUGUUGGGGAAGACAUUAGGAUCAAAUUCUCGUUGGAGAGAUGCUCUGAUACCAUAUAGGAAAGUAAAUAAUCUGAAGCUCACAAUGGAAAUGUCAACACACAUAUAUUGAUCUGUUUAGCAAACCUUUAUACAGACGUAUACAAACCUAUCUAAGGAAUUUGUACAACAAAGGAAAUAUCAUGUACAACGGUUACAGAUUUGCUUUACUAAAAAUAAAACAAUUACAUCAAUUUCAGGCCAUGAUACUCGGCUUGAUGAUUGCUGCAAAUCACUUCCAGAUUUGUUGUUGGGGCUUGAUGAUUGCUGCAAAUCACUUCCAGAUUUAAAUCUUAUUCUUGUCUUGUGUCACUUUCCUUAAUAGGGUGAACCAAUUUAUUAGCUCAUUGAUCUCCUUCAUCGCGAUUGCAUCAUCCAACGGUUCUUGAUUUGGAUAGUAAAUUAAAUUUACCCAUAAUAACAAUUUUCCUUGUCAAAUUAUAUUUUUCUUACACUUUGCAUAUUUAUAAAUAAGUGAUGUUAAUGUUUCCAAUUCAACUUUCUCAAUCAUAUAAAUAUAAAUUUUUUUUCUUGUUAAAUAAAUUGUAAAUAAAAAGGAUAUUAAGAAAUUAUUUCAAAAUUAAAAUGAAAAAUAUUUUUCCUUCAAUUGAUUCUAAUGAACAAAACUUAAAAAUCAUGUAUUCAUUUUGUAGAAGUGAAUUACAAUCACCGAGUGUCAUAGAAGAUUAAUAUGAUGAUGCCAAUAAAUAAAAUCAAGAAUUGGUAUACAAGUUAGUACAAUUAAAAGAUCUUAAAAAGAGUUUUGAUAAUUUAUUUUAUGACAACAAAGUAAAUAAAUGAUAUAAAAUAUACUUUAUCUCUUUUGGGCUGAGCUCGUGGUGCGCAUGAUGGGAGUGUUAGAACUGUGAAUCUAACAACAUGAAUUCUGAAAGGCCUCAGAACAUAGAUAGGGAUUGUAAAAAGUAAUAAAUUUUUUUUGGGACUUUGAAUCAUAAGGUACAAAGCAUGAAUCAUUUAUUUGAUGGUCAGCAUUAUCCUAUUUUCAACUAAGUGAUCUGCCUCUCUAAUCUAUUACUCUAAUUUCUGUGAUUCAUCAUAUUAAUUUUAUGUAGUGUUAUAGCCCAAAUGAAGUUUGAAUAUUCUACUAGUCAAAUAAAGUUAAAGUGUUAUAGCCCAAAUGAAGUUUGAAUAUUCUACUAGCCAAAUAAAGUUAAUCUUGCUAGUGAAAAAUAAUUAGAAUUCAUUGUCUUCUAUUUAAUAAAAAACUUAUUAUACAUUAAUUUAUAUAUAUAUAUAUAUAUAUAUAUAUAUAUAUAUAUAUAUAUAUAUAUAUAUUAUUUCACUGUUAUUAAAAACUAAUAAAAAUAUGACAUUUAAAAAACAAUACAUUGUCUAAAUAAAAUAAAGAAAAAUAAUUACUUAAUUCAUUAUUAAUUUAUUGGAGAAUCGAUUUUAUUACCUAUUGAAACUAAUUAUAAUAUUUAAUAGUAAAUUUUUUUAAAAUACUAUACUUAUAGAGGUAUUAUUAAAUUUUCUACCAUAUAAAAAUAAUUAUAUAUUAUCCAUAAUAAAAACAAAGCUGAGUAUUUUCUUUUUUAAUUUUGUUAUAGAAAAUAGCAAUCCAAAAUUAAGAAUCUAUUAAUAUUAAAAAGUCAAACUUUAUAUAUAAGUUAACCACUAACAAUCCAAUUUAAUAGUUAAGACCCAAAAACGUUUGAAAUUAAGAAAACUAAAUAUUCUAUAAUUGUUUUUUUAGGGAAGAAUCAUUCACAAAAUCACUGCUUUCCAAUUGGAGGACUCCACUUCAAACCACAAACAGAGAUGAAGCUCCCAUUAUCCCAAUUCACCAAAGCCCUAACAUAUCGCUCACCACUCUCUUUCUCUUUGAAAUUGGAACAAAGCCAAACCUGUACAUACCCAAAUAAACAUUAAACUAAAUUAAAAAUUCAAAGCCCCAAACUCAAUUUUGAAACAAUUUUUUUUUGCAUAUUUGUAGCUAAUUCAUCCACUUUCCCUACAACCAAACACUAUAAAUGAAAAACCACUUACUUCAAUCUAAAGAGACCAAUGAAACCUAAGAUUUUGAAACAACAGAAUCUUUACUUCUCCCUUUACUUCACUUUCUCUUAUCUCGUUGUGGACCUGCAUUUUUCACAUGCGUCCCCACUCGAUUGGCGAGACUUGUUUUUAUUUUAUGAAAAAUUUAGCUUUUGGAAAAAAUUCGGAGUCGCCACUUAUUUUAUUUUAUUUUAAAAGGGAAAAUAAAACAAAAAAGAAAACCUUAAAAAAUGACUCCAUAGUUUUUGGAAAAGCAUGUCUUUGAAAAACCUGAGUCUAGGUCUAGGGAUCAGGUUACCUAUUGGGAAGGUACCUCUAAAAGGUAGCACCCCUCUAAGCCUUACAAAGGUCUCUACUGACUAAGUUGGGGGAAAUGUAGCAAUUAAUUGAUUUAAUUGAGGGUACCUAGGUAGGCUAGGGUGAUUUCAAAAAGUAGCAUGCCAAACAAGAUCAAAUCACAAUAAAGAAGAUUUUGGAUGCAUACCCAAACCACUUCUCAAGCGCUAUCAUAAAACAUCAGAGUUAGUAUAGCGAAUCAAGCAUACAUCUAAGCACCUAAGGAUCAUAUCAAGCAUAAAUAAGGCUCACAACAACAUGCAUGUUCAAGGAAUCCCGGAAAGUAGUGAUAGAGAGCAUACCUGAAUAUCAUGCAUAAUUUAUAAGAUUCCUCCAAAAAUGUUAGAAUGGUUAGAACAAGUAUGAAUUAUAUAACAUAUUCAUAAUGUCUAAUACACAGUACCAAAGUCAAAAUUGAGCUAAGGUAAGUCAAAUGACUCCAAAAAUAAAUAACUAAUUCAAGCAAUGUACAAGAUCAUCAACAUGCAAUUAGAAAAGGGAGCAUAAAAAAAACAAUUUCUAAAAAAUGAUUUAGAGUGGAAUUUAAUUAUGAAAAUUUUCAAGAAACAACUCCUAUCCAUCUAGAUCAACAUACCGAAGGCCAAACUCUCAUUCAAAGGACAGAUUGCAGCAAAGACACCUAAAGGUUCUACAAAGUCCAGAUUAGAGAAGAAAAAAUAACAUGUAUAAAUGAAUUUUUGAAAAACAAUAAAUGAUCACAUAAAAUCAUAAAUAAAAAAAAAAAAAAAACCACCCACAUAUUCAAAGUGUCUAUAUCACAUAAAAAAUGAAUCCAAGGUCGGAUAGUACUCAAAAAUAUUUUUAAAACAUUCAAGCUAAUCAGAUGUCCAGAAUUCAGCAUGUGCAAUAGGUACGAUUUUGAAAAAUCAUAUCUCCCUCAAAAAAGAAUAUUUUUUAAUAGUUUAUGUGUCUAAGAUAAAUUUCAAGAACCCUAAAAUUAACGAAAAAUAGAGAAUCAAAUUUUAAAAGUCAUCUAUUAUUUUAUUUUUUCAAAAAGAUCUCGGGUGUCCAGAACUAGGUGAAAACAGAGCCCCCCAUUCCCCCCUCCCCUAAAGAUAAGUUUAUAUCUUCUAUUCCAGAAUGGUUUUCUAACUCAAAAAAAAAAAAAUUUAACUCAAGUUCAAGAAGUGAGGAAAAUCAUACAAGUUUUGAAUUUUUCUUUAAGAGCAUUUUGAAAUUGCUAUAAUGAAUUUUAACACUAAAUGGUUAGUGGUUGAGUGGAAACUGGCAGCAAGGAAGAGUUUUGAAGAGUUUUCUUAUGUAGGGGUUUCACCAAUUCCCCAAUUGAUAUACACAAAUCUAGCCCAAAAUUAUCCCAUUUAUUUGAAUUUAUUUGCAUAGCAAUACAUUGUAGCCCCCUCUUAGAAAUAAAAGAAUGUAUGUCAUGCGGGCAUGCUACCAACCGCUAUCUUUCUCUGAGACAUGCAUGGGACCUACCAAUGAAUGGUGAUAUUUUCUUUUCCCUUGUUAUAAAUGUUAAUAAUGAUCGUCUCUCCUUUUGUAUUAAAAUAACAAGAAUAAUGUAAAGUUGUAAAAUAUUGUGUCUAGGAUUAUUAUAUAAUUUGUCAAUUUCUUGGAUUGUUAAAAGUCUACAAAGAUAAUGUUGUAGAAUAAUCUUUGAGAUAUGCAAUGGUGGAAUUUGCCAUGGAAGUCUUCAUUUGACAACUUUUGACCAUUCCAAUUUUAUUCAACAUGAUAAAAUAUCAUGUUGUGAAAAAGGUCAUGAAAUGAUUUGUUUAAUUUUUACUUUUACAACUCAAAAUAUUUUGCAAAUAAGAAAAUUUUAAUGAAGUCUUUAACAAUUAAGAUAAAAUCAGUUUUUUUUCUACUUAUUUAUUUCAAAUUAAAAUAAGCACUUUUUUCCUAAAUUUAAAAUAAUUGAUAAUAAUUUAUAUUUUUACCUCCUAUUUUAGUAAUAAUAUCACAAGACUACACCAGAUAAAGGAAAAGGAAAAAACAAAUAAAAGAUAAAAAAUAAAAAAUUUUCCAUUUCCAUUGCAUGGGGACAAAUUGAGUCUAACCGCACACUGAAGGAACUCCAAUUCUAUUUUUAGUGAUUUAAUUACUUUUUAAACCCUCAUUUUUUUUUUUUUUUUUUUUUUUACAUUAGACCAAACCCUUUCCUGCUUCCUUAAUUUAAAUAACUAGUAAAAACAAAUCAUAUUUAAUUUUUUGUUUUUUAAAUGUAACUUAAAAAAAAUAUUUGGAAAUUAUUUUUAAGUGAUUUUUUGGAUUUUUAAAAGUGAUUUUCAAAUAUAUAUAUAAAUUUAAUUUGGAUUGACUUUUAAGAGUUAAAUAAAAGUUUUUAUACCUAUUUAUUUAUUUUUUUAAAAAAAACUUGUAACUUUAAAAAAAAAAAAAGUUUCAUGUAGAAUUCAUAAAAAUGUUAUUUCUUAUAAGAAUUUUAUAAUUCCAUUUUUUUUAUAUAAGAAGUUCUUUCAUGUUUAAUAAAACUUUUACAAUAUCAAUAUUUCCCCUUUAAAAUUAUUACUUUAGUUUUUAUUUUAAUUUUCAGUUAAAGCAAAAAUUAUGAAGCUAUCCCGAAUUUGACCUUACCAUCCACCUAAUUAAUUUUUGUAAGAAAGAGUUACUUUUUAAUAUUUAGAAGGGCUUUUAUUUAUUUAUUUUUAAAUCAUUCCCAAAUGAAAUUUAUAAGAAACAAAUAAAAAGUUUGCUCCAAUAUUAGAAAAAAAUUGUUGACUAAGGAUUCCUCUUGUAUUAAAAUAACAAGAAUAAUGUAAAGUUAUAGAAUAUUGUGUCUGGGAUUAUUAUAUAGUUUUUCAAUUUCUUGGAUUGUUAAAUGUCUACAAAUAUAAUGUUGUAGAAUAAUCUUUGCGAUAUGCAAUGGUGGAAUUUGCCAUGGAAGUCUUGAUUUGACAACUUUUUCCCAUUCCAAUUUUAUUCAAUAUGAUAAAAUAUCAUGUUGCAUUAGAAAAGUUUGAAAUUAUCUUUCAUUUGACAUUUUUUACUUAUCCACAUUUUAUUCCAAUUCCAUACAAGGUUAGGUAUCAUAGCAAUAAUUAAAAAAAUUAUAAAUGAUAUAGUUUAGAUUAAUUGGAUUUUUUAAAUAUUUUAAAAUUAGACUAUGAUGUAAAUGGAUACUUGUGAAAAAGGUCAUGAAAUGAUUUGUUUAACUUUUACUUUUACAACUCAAAAUAUUUUGCAAAUAAGAAAAUAUUUUUGAAGUCUUACACAAUUGACAUAAAAUCAGUUUUUUUUUCUAUUUAUUUAUUUCAAAUUAAAAUAAGCACUUUUUUCUAAAUUUAAAAUAAUCGAUAUAUAAUUUAUAUUUUUACCUCCUAUUUUAGUAAUAAUAUCACAAGACUACACUAACAUAAAGGAAAAGGAAAAAAAAUAAAUAACUAAAAUAUCUUUAUAGACUUUUAACAAUCCAAGAAAUUGACAAAUUAUAUAAUAAUCCCAGACACAAUAUUCUACAACCUUACAUUAUUCUUGUUAUUUUAAUACAAGAGGAAUACUUAGUCAACGUUUUUUUUAAACAAAGAGCUGAAUAAUGCAAACAUUCAAUGAAAUCUUUGGCAUGUUAAUUCUUUGUAGCUUCAACAUGGUGGCAUGUCAGAUGGCGAAGGCAGCACUUGAGCUUCUGGGUGUUUACCAUUUUUCACUAUGAACGCAGUGUCCAUGCCCCAAGUCUGAUGGCGUUCUACAUGGCAGUGCAUGAACCACACUCCUGCAACAGAGAAAAUAUACCAACAUUACACCUAACUUAUUGCAAUAUUAAGAAAAAUUAUUUCCUUGUAUGCAGGUUGGCAGUUUCAAGGGUUUUUAAAAAAAAAUAAAAAAUUCACAUGAGUGCUUGCAACAUACCAGGGUUGGAUGCCUCGAAUCUGAUUGCAGCCCAACCUUUCGUAGGAACGGAGAUGGUACUCUGAAGGGGAGGAUCCACCAGAUUGUAGUGCAAUGGGUCCUUAUCUUUAUCGAAAUUCCCAAAUCCCCAUCCAACAACAUAGAAACUGUAUCCAUGGAGAUGCAUGGGGUGGUGUGUCCCUGCAAUCAAGUUUGUCCCUUGAAAAACAAUCUCCACUGUGGAGUUAUACUCAAGCACCCUUACUUCUGUUCCGUUUUUUGGCGUUUGAUACUCUAAGGGAAUAAUAUCAGUGGUAAAAUCGAACACCAGUUCUGGAACACUAGGAAAUUUAUCUCCAUAUACACCACUAAUGUUAUAAUAGUAAGCUUGCAAUAUGUCAAUUGUAGGGAAUUGGAAGCUUAUGUUGUUUAUACUUGCGAAGAACCGCGUCCCAUUAGGCCCUGCACAUGAAUUAUUGGGGCAUAGGUACGAGUUCAUACCAACCGUGUAAAUUAGUUUAGUGCUCGGGCUCAAUGGGACAUUGCAAGGAUGUUCCGCAUCUGCUAAGCUUCGGAGGCCGGCCAUGACCUGAACCGAUGCAUUUGUGUCAUUGUAUGUAGGCAAAUAAGGCAAGGAGAGAGGUGAAGAUGGAGUGUAGUAUCCCCUGUACUGUAUAAUAGCUGUGGUGGUUGUGUUGUCAAAAAAAUUACGAGCUGCCGGGGCAAUGGAAUAAGUUUUAGCUGCCAUGUAAUAGUGAUCCAGGUGUUGGUUAGCUUCUAGUAAGACAUCGUAGGUUUGGCCAGGAUAUAUUGUGAUAUAAUCUCGUGUCAAUGGUUUUGUGUAGCUACCAUCUGUUCCAACCACUGUCAUUUUAUGCUUGGCAAUGGAGAAGAAGAGAGCCUCGUGCAAGGCAGCAUUGAUUAUGCGAAGUAGAUAGGUCUUUCCAUGAUCCACCGUUAGCUUGAAUGUGUCUGCAAUUAGAAAGGGAAAUUUUUAUACUUAUGACUAGUGAAAAGAAAAAGAAAAAUUUCCAUGAGGAUCCACUAAUUAUGAAGUGAUUAGGGGUGUAAAUUUGGCUCCAUAGUUCAAAAUUAUAUUCGGACUAGCCUUUUCUUAUGUGUUAAAUCAUGGCUCUACCAUCCUUAUAGGUAUAUUCCUCUUUUUUAGCAUUAAGCUUUAAAUAUGUUGAUGUUAAUAAGAAAAAGUAAUAUGGUCAACAUACAAGAAAAUGAAAUCGUGUACAAUUUUAAAAUGGGAAGUUAAACUUAAUUUGUACCUGAUUUUGAGCAUGGAAAAAGAUCACCAGGUUGUCCAUUUAUCAAUAAAGAAUCAGAGGCAUUGGGGUCAGCUCCAGUUGCAAGCGCUUCAUCUCGAACCACAUUCACAUCACUCUUCCACCAUUGUCCUGCAUUUCAACAACUCCAAUAAUUUUAGACUUUGAUUUGUUGGUUAAUUCGUGAUAUGUAAAUUAACCUUUAAAAGUAACAACACUUAUACCUAAUAUGAUGGGAACUUCUGCAUUAGGUUUGGGAAAAGGAUACUUGGUUCCAUUCUUGGGAUAGAUGAUUAUAGCUCCAUGAACGGUGGCUCGGGUCCAAUCACUGUGAGCAUGCCACCAUAGAGUGCCUUCCUCAAAGGAAAGGAUGAUCUUUUGGCUAAACUUUGACCUUGGUUGAAUUAGGCAUUGUGUGAUAUACUCGGGACCAUCUGUCCAUGGAUAUCUAGGCAUGCUCACCCCAUGCCUGCAAAACAAUAACUAUACGUUAAAACUAGUACUAAUUUUUGGACUAACAAAAGAUGGCAUGCAACAACAUAUUGUCAUAGUAACAAGAGGCAUCAACUGUAUUUCAAUGGAAUUGAAGCAAAUAACCAUAAAGUAUUGUUUAAAUUUGACUUUAUUUGCAAAGCAAUAUAUUGCAGCCCCCUCUUCGAAAUAAAAAAAUGUAUGUCAUGUAGGCAUGCUGCCGAUUGCUAUCGUUUUUUGGAGAUACGCACAAGACCUACCAGUGAAUGGUGAUGUUUUCUUUUCCUUUGUUAUAAAUGUCGACAAUGAUCGUCUCUCCUUUCUUAGCAUAUAUAGUUGGUCCCGGAAAUUGUCCAUUUACUGUUAAGAUGUUCUUGGGACUACAAAGCCUUGUAUAUGAAGCUUCCUUCACCUGCAACCAAUUAAAAGUUAACCAUGCAACCUCAUCCCUAAAGACAUAUUACAUGCAUGAAUAGUUGCAUCGAUCCACUCAUGCAAGUGUAUAACCAAUUAGAAAUUGAUAGCAUACAUGAAUGACUCAAUGACACAGGUACCCGAGACCCUAUGGGGGUCAUAUGGUGGAAAAUGAGAGUAAUACUAGUCCCUAAAUAUUAUGAUCAUAAGGUAGCGUUAAGGCUAGAAUCAUAUAUAGUAUUUACCACAAAAGUAAGCCGACGGGUUGAAGCUUGGCAAUAGAUGCCACCACCAAAAAGUAGAAACGCUAAAAUGUGCAAGAGGAAAACCUUCAUGAUCAGCCACAUCUUCUUUGGAAGAAAAGCUUCUCUUGUCCUAAACACAACUCCUUCAAUUUUCUUACUAUUUCUAAUAGCACGACUUAUCUGCUCUUUGACAUGAAUAGAUGAAUUCUUAAAGGUAUUUAUAGAGGCUGGAGAGAACCAAAAAUAGAAUUGGUGAAAGCUGAACAGCAACUUUUAUGGCUGCUGUCACCUUCUGUGGGAACCCAACAGCCGGUUUCUCCCGAACUUUUGCUGUAUUUCUUUAAUAUAUUCAAGACGAUUCUCCUGGGGUUCAACAAGUCCUCGCCACGUAUCAAUAUAAGAUAAAGUAAUUUGAAUGUGUAUUAGUUUUGAAUGUUCUUCCAGGACCACUUCAAUGUGCAGGACCAGUUCAAUGAGCAGGACCACUCUAAUUAUGAUAUUUGAUCACUUACCAAAAUAAACCAAAUGCAUGAAGAAUGCUAACAAUUGUGAAAAUCAAUUUCUUGCAACUCAGCUUCAAUCAGGUUGCGUAUCGUGGAAUACAAGUUUGACUUUGAGAAUUGACCGAGAAAUAAAUUUAAAAUAUAUGUAGAAUACUUUUAAAACUUUGACCUCGCGUACAGUACCUUUAUCAAGAUUGGGCCUGGGAAGUGUUCUUGAGAUUUCAUGAAUACUUUUAAAAGUCUUCAUUAACUCUCCAGCCAUGAUGUUCAGAUUUUCUCUUUGUAUUUGGUAGGAAGGGAAAGGUCAGCGCUGCUUUCAGAAGGAAUAUAGGAUUCCAUUAUAGGAAAGAAACAAUCCAUAUGUUUAGAUUUCCAAAUUUGUGUGUUAAAAGGUUAGAGAGGAAUAUAGCCAUAUAUUUUUAUUCACGAUUUGAGAUGAAAAAAUUAUCAAUGAAAUGAUCAAUCUGUUUUAGAAGGUAACUCGAAAUGUUUCAUUUUUUUUCUUUCAUAUAUAAUAACGAACAAUCACCAGCAAGUCCAUGUAUUUGUCAUGUGACAUGAAUUUCAAUCCCACCACCUUUCAUAAUUAAAAUGCAAAAAAGACCCUCACAAAUAAUGUAAUUGCCUAUCCUCACUCUGCCUUAUCAUGGGCCCUUGAACUCGAGAGUUCACCUACUUGGAAUUAUAACCAUCUCUUCUUUCUUUCUUUCUUUCUUUUUUAAUUAUUAUUUUUGUCUCUUUUAAAUCUUUAUUAUGUUAGAAUUAUUCCUCUUUAAUUGAAUUUGUUAAUUGUAAACUUUGUUAUCAAAACACUAUGAGGAUAUAAUGACGAUGGGCCUACUUACAAGUUUUUCAAAGUUUACAUCUUAUUUUAUAAAAUUUAAAUUUAUUUAAUUUAUUUUUCAAUUAUGUUUAAAAUUAGUAAGAUCGAAAGCUUAUUAAAUUGGAAUUUUUUUCGGCCUAUAUGUGACCCAUUUUGUAUAAUAUAUGCUUGCAAAAGUUAAAUAAAAUCAUAAUUAAAGCAUGACAACCGUAUUUUGACCAUGCAGGACAAUAUUUUAUUUUCCACUUGCACUUGCAUGUAGACAAACGUGUACGUUAACAUCUUUUAAAGAAAAAAAUAAAAAAUUGUAACGGGUUGACCCGUUUUAAAUCAUAUAUGAAUCUAUUUUGAAAAAAAAAUCAAAAUUAAAUAAUUUAUAAAGAUUGGACCUGGAAGUGUUCUUGAGAUUUCAUGGUUCCUUCUAGGAAGAAGGAAUAGCACCAGAAUCCAUGGUAGUGGUAAAAAUCUUCAUUAACUCUCCAGCCAUGAUGUUUGCAUUUGGUAGGAAGGGAAAAGUCAGCGCUGCUUUCAGAAGGAAUAUAGGAUUCCAUUAUAGGAAAGAAUGUUUAGAUUUCCAAAUUUGUGUGUUAAAAGGUUAGAAACAGGAUCCAUUCUUAUAGAGUAACUGUAUCAGGUUUAUUUUAAUCAUAUGUUCAUUUCCUUUUUAAAUUUCUAAAGUACAAACCUAUACCCAUGCUUUCAUCUCCAUUCAAAUAUUUACCACUUUUUUUUACCUAUUUCUUAUCUUGCUGUAGACCCUCAAUUUUGUUCCUUUAGCACAUGUCUUUAAAUUCAUUUUCAAUGCUCCACAGUAGUUCCUUGGUGGCCCAGUACUACUCACCACUUACCUUUUUCUGAGUCACCUUGGAGACUUUGGUUGAGGGAUUAUUUGAUCCCUUAUUGUGACCCUUGGCAGCCCUAAUUUAGACUUAAGCUUUUCUUGUUUUUUUAGGAUAGCCUUUAGAUACACUUGGCCCAUUAGGCACCACCCUAGGUCCACUUAGACGCCCUAGGCCCAUUUAGGCACACUAGGCCUAUUAAGACUUUUUUUUUAGCGUGACUUAUAUGACCUGCGUGUUUGCAUGGCUCGUAGGGCCCAUUUUUUUGUUAAUUUGUUUAUUUUUAUUUUAUUUUAUUUUAUUUUUAUUAUUAUUUUUUAUUUUUAGUUUUAGUUUUAUGAUUAUCAUUCACUUCUUAUUGGUUAUCUUCCUCUUUAUAUUAUUUUCCUUAACUUAUUUAUUUAUUUAUUAUUUUUACUAUUUUCUAAUUUAUUUACUUAUUUAUCUAUUCAUGCAAUUAUUUAACUUCUAAAAUUUCAUGUUUUUGCAAGGAAACUUACCAUGGGAGUUUAAGGAAAGUGGGACUCUCCUUGGAAGGUUUUGGAGGGGGGAAGAUUUAAAAAAAGGAAAAUGAGAAAAGGAAGUAGGAUUUUCCUUUUCAGCAAGAAGGUUUUUUUUGGAAAAAGUGGGACUAAAAGCACGCAUUCGGAGGAUUUUUCUAGGAGGAGCAGCACGUAUUGGAGUCGGGAUAGGGAAAAGAAAGAAAGGAAAAAGGAGAAAAAGAGAGAUCUUGAAAAAAAAAGCGCAGAAAGAGAGGGAGAUUGGAGGCAAGACUGCCCAGGUACAUUUCUGGUUACUUUUGGUGUUCUUAUUCAUACUCGAUUCCUCCAUUUGAUGAUUUCUGAAUAUUCAAUAUAUUAUUGGUUGGUGUGGACGGAAAGGGCCACAAAUUGCUGUGUUGAAAUUAGAUCUUUGUCUGUUUGAUAUGUUCAUCAUUCUGUUAAUGUCAUCGAUCUCGCCUGAAAAUAAAUUGCAUACAUGUCCAUCUUCAGAAUGGAUGGUAGAAAUCACGUCCUGUUUUUAUUCAAAUCUUAUUCUGAAAUCACUCCCCUGUUCUAAGCUAAUGGAUUGAAAUGCGAAAUUGUGACUUUUGUUGAUCAUCUUUCCUCUCUUUCUAUACGUUUUUGUUGUCUUCUUCUAUUUUUGGUCCAUACCUCAACAAGCUCUAUUCCUGGCCGUCAAGAUUUGUUCUCUGCUUCGGAGUUAAAAAUUAAAAAUCAUGGGAAAAGGGGCACUCUGCUUUUUCUGCAUUCGAAUAAGCAUAAUGUGGUGCUCGAAAUCAUGGACUUCUCUAAGCCUUCUGGUACUGUCGUUGUGAUCCUAAAAUCUAAAAGUCAAAUACAACUUGGGCCAUUCACCUUCAGUAACAGCUCUAAUCAGUUCUACAGAGGAGCGUGUGAUUCUGAAAGCAAGGAAAAAGUUGACAGCGUUGGUUCAAAAAUUUUAGGGAUUAUGGAAAGAGAUGAGAAAUAAUGAGGAGAUGCGAUUGGGGUUGAGAUUCUGGAUCUUUAAGGAAAAAUGUCAUGGGGAAUGGAAGCUGGCAAUGUUCUUACACUAUUUCUACGGCUUCAGCCAUUGGUAGCUGUCAUGGGUUAGGAUCUAGUGGCGGGCAAAAUAGCAGAAAGAAAGAAAUUGAUGCAGCUUCUGUUGAUAAGUGAGUCCCAAAUGCUCCGGUUGGAAGAAUGUUCUCUAUAUGUUAAUUGAUCAGAUGAGUCAGUCAUGGAAUUCAAAAUCCUCAUUGCUGCUGUCUGGAAGAAAAACUAUGGCAAUUAGAGAAGACAAUCAGUUCGACCCUUUUGUUGAAGAUUUUGUUUUGGAAAGACUUCCUGUUCAAAUUUCUCUGCGGAUAUUGUUCGAUGUAGUCCCUAACAUUAGAUUUCAAAAUGUUAUUGAACUGAUAAGUGUGCAGUCAGUUGCUUCUAAUCUAGCAUUCUUGAAGAGAAUAUGCAUGGUGAUGUUUUUAUGAUGCUUUAAAUCAGAAUCCCAAGAGAUCAAAGUGGAAGGGAUCGGAUUGAAGGAAUUUCAACAACCGCUGACUUCUUGAAGCCCAGCUUGACUGUGCCCAGUCCGUACAAGAAGUCUGACUUAUCUUAUCUGGUUGGUUCAUCUGGAGAUUAAAGUUUGAACAGCUUUGGGACAAUGUUGCGUUUCUAGAGAACCCGCAUGCUAGGCAGAAUUCGGUUGAUGAUGUUCUACAUAAUAAGCAACAGGGGAAUGGUUUGGACAGAAGCAAUUUUCUUUCUAAAAAGUUCAGUUGCUACUUCACAAAGUAAGUUGCAAGUGCUGGCGAGCAAAUGUCUCGCUGCCUGAUAUACUGAGAUGAUAUUGUUCCUAAAGAUGCGAAUGCAGCUGUGGCCAUCUAUCCAGCAGUUUGUUUGCAGCAAGGACUCGAAUGAACUAUGGUUCUGGUGCCAAAGUAUACUAGAAGUUGCAGAGAAGUUAUGUGGAUCUUUGCUUGUUCAUCAUCCUGAAGCACUCCUGAUGAAUACGUAUUCAGGCAACUGGAAACGUGCUUAUAUGGCUUUGUAGCAUCUUGUUGAAUGUCUUACUUCUACUCAUGCUCCCAAGCAAAGAGCCACCUGCCAGGCCAAGAUGGAAUCUGUCCUUCAAUCUGAUUCUGUUCAACACUGAAAGAGAUGAUUGAUUAAGGCAGGAUUGCACUAGAAACUCCAUCUCAAGAACCUUCAAACAACCACUUCAAAAAGGGCAGUAAAGCAGACACCAAAAUCCAUAGAAGCUUUUAUGAGGCCGCACUUCCUAUUGAUGAUUUAGUCGACCGGACUACUGAGGUCCUCAACUCUUUUAAGACUUGGUGCAGUGAUUGAUUACUACCAAAAAGUGCUAUUUUGUAGACCUAAUAAUAAUGGUUUUAAGCACCUUUGAGUAGUAAUCAUAUUCAUUUAACCCAAUUAAUUCAUUAAGGUCCUUAGUAAUUGGUUUUAACCAUUUUGUGGCAAGUUUACAUGUUUUUAUCAGCUUAUGAACCAAUUCAAGCAUGCCAAUUGAUGGAGGAGCUAUUUGGGCGAGUUAAGCAAGGAUUUUGGAUGAUUACAGGCUUGAAUUUCAAGUGGAAACACGAGCACAAGCAAUGGAGAAGAGGAAAACAGAGUGAAGAAAACAGCUGCAGUCUUCUUUCGCACUUUUGAAGUACUUCCCGAAGUCCAUUUUCUACAUGCUAUAUACCAUUUCAAAGCUCAGGAAGUCAAGAAUCCAACACUUCAAACCGUGUAUGAUUUAGAGCUAAAAUGAGGAAGAUAUGGCCUUCGGAAGACAACUGCAUCAUGCCAAAUGACCAAUUUCGCAAGGUGAAUUUUACCUUGCGAAAAUUUCGCAAGGAGAUUUUCCUCAUGGUGCGAAAUUUGGCCAUUUCGCACCAUGAAGAAAUACCUUGCGAAAAUUUCGCAAGGAGGAUUUAGGCACCUUGCGAAAUUCCUUUGAAUCCUCUGUUUCUCCACGCACGCACCACCGACUUCCCAGAUAUUUUUAGCUUGAUAUUUUCUCGUGUAAAUUCCUGUUGUAACCUUGUAUUCAGCCGACAUAAGGCUUUAUCUUGUAAUUUUGCUAUAUAUAGAGGUGCACAACACCUCCAAAAAAUGGGAUUGGAUGGGGGAUGAUUGGGGGAUCGAUCCUCUGUACAUUAACUGAGAAAUAUAUAAAGCUCUGUUUUUCUCUCUUCUCCUGUUCUUCCCCAUUUCUAUUUUCUUAGUAGCCAAACAGCCUCUGAGGGCUUUUCCUCAGAGGAUGAUUGGCUAAAACUUUUAGUUUCUCAAAGUAUGGAUGUUAUGUGAUGGCUUGGAUGCAAUCCCAUGGAAAUUUCUCGCACCUGGAAGGUAAGGUAGUCGUUUUUCAUUAAUGGUUCAUUAAUGCAAAGUUUGGUUUUUAUUUCCUUUGGACAACUUCCAACGGCCAAUACUUAAUAAGCUUUUGGAUUUCUAUCCAUUAGUUAUCUCCUACGAGCUAUUGGAAGGUGAGGUUUUCAAUUCCAAGUUUUGCAUUAAUCCGUUAGAACCAAUUUCAAUGGCCAUUGAAAGGUGAGUUUAUCACCUGGAAUGACUUUGAGUUGCUAAUAUUUGGUAAGCUUUUGGCUUUAGACCAUUAGUUAUCUCUUACGAGCCAUUCAAAGGAAGUCUAAGGUGAAUAACCAUUGAUGAAAUUCACUACCAUCUGUUUUGCCAUUUUAAAGGAUUAAAACUUGAUUUGCUAAAUCCAUACCGGUUCAGGAAGCAAGCAUCACCAUAGUUGCAACCCCAACGCGAGGAGCCUAUCCUGAUAUUUCCAAUUUGCAUAAGAGCCAGAGCAUAGCUAUCCUAUCUUUGAGAAACUUGUUUUUACACCCUUUCAUUUUAGUCUUUAAUAUUAGCUUAGAUUAGUUUAAAUCUUUCUAAAACAUUUACAUCUUCUUUUAAAGCUAACAUCCAUAAGAAAAUCACCUAUUUUCCUAAUUUGAAUAUCACUUGUGUUUGCGAAAACCCUUCCCAGUGAACGAUCCUAGAACCACUAUGCUAUAGUAGCUUGGCUACUUUAGUAAUAGUAUUUAAGGUAUAAAUUUUGUUGAUACGCCUUUAAAGCUAAGCUACCAUGAGUCGCAUCAGUGAUGUACAUGGGGGUGUUGACUGAGCAGCUUGCAUUCCAUACAGAUGCUACAGUUGGGGAUUUUCUUAACUCUACCUUCGGCAAUGCAACUUGUAAAAAACCUGGAUCAGACUAACAGCCUUGUACGUAAAAAAGAGAUCAUCUCUAAAACCAUGGAUGGGUUUAUGGAUUAACGACAGCUCUGGUAUCAAUUCUGGAGGUCCUGUUACAACUUCUUUACAAAAUUCUUCAUUUGGUAAGAUGAAUUCAGAAGUGUUCUAAGAGAAUCAGUCAGAAUCCAGGCGCAAAUAAAGAAGAAUGAGUUAUUCUGCUUUUUCUUUAGAAAUUGAAUCAAAUACUGGGUCGGAGCUUAAGGUGAAACUGCAGAAAGAGCAUCUCAGGCAGGAGGUUAUCAUGAACUUGUAUGGCUAUUCUAAAGGAAGAACUAAGACCAAUCUCGCUGAAACUAGUGGUAGUUCCCCAGAUCAUGCAAGUGAUGAUAAUCUUAAUGGGCAGCAAGCUUUGGAACAUGGGGAAAUAGAAGGAGUUGAAUCAACUCAAAGCAGAGCUUGUUUCUCUGAAGUUUGACAAUGGCUGGUUCCAGUAAUUCUGCACUAAAGCUGGGUCAAAGACUUGCAUCCUGUGGUGAAUCCGUUUCACUUGCUUCUUAAAGCAAAAACCACAAUUUGAAGACUCUGCAAUUUGGUUAGAAAAUUAGAUCCCUUCAGAGUCAACUUGCCAUCCAAAUUUUAAAGGUUCAGAAUUUCUAGUUAUUUGAGAAUUUAGUGGCCUCUAAAAUACCAGAAACCACAGAAGAGUCUAAACCAACUGCUGGAAUGGCACUUCCACACAUUUCAGUAAGGCCAUUUGCCUGCUACUUCAUCUCGGAAAACUGCUGGGUGUGGAAUUAAGAAUUCUGACCUUCCAGAUUUAAAAUGCUAGAAGUACAGAAAAUACCCAGCUUUGCAAACUGUGUUGUUUCCCACCUACGACACUUGCUUUAGACACUACCUUAGGCCUCCACGUGAUUCCAGAUCUGCAUCAUAAAAGGACAUUGUGGUGGAUUUCUCACUUAUGCUUCAUAGUUCAGCGCAAAGAUCUGAAAAGGCCUGACGAAGAUGAACUUCCCAUGAAUUACCAAAAAAUAGACUUGACUCAAGGAUAAGAAGAGAGGUGAAAGAGAAACGGUGGCUAAAGAGGCAGUCCAGAUCAGUCAUGGACCAGAAAGUGGGAUGUUUCUGAUGAGGUUUACCUUGGAGUUGCCAAACCGAGUUCUGCAGCAUUUCAUUCUGUCACAGUCAAUGAGGGACAGUCUGGAAUUCAUGAAACUGUCCCCAAUAGCUCAGUCUCAAAACAUUCCUCUCAUUGAAUUUCUAACUCUUCCAAUAACUGUCAGUGGUGAGGGUGAUGGGUCGACUACCGAGGCUACAGAGAAUGAGCUGAAUACUGUCAGGUCUUUCACGGAUCAUAAUUAUGAAAAUGAUACCAAAAAUGCAAGAUUAGUGCCCGAGCCUGCUGAGAAUCUGAUCUAGGAAAUUGCAGUUCUGAGGCUGGAAGUGUCCGUCCGGGACAAUAUCUCCUUUCAUUGCAGCUGAGAAGCAGAGAUGCUGCAGGAGAAUUCUACAGGCUUCGAGUUGUGGAUGGGGUCAUCUUUGAGCCACUCAGGGGUGCACAUGCAGAUCUGUCUUGAACUCUUUCCAGUGUAUAGAAGCAUUGUCUGUUAUAGAUAAUUUUCUGAAGCUGAAAUAUAAAGACUGUAAAAAUUCCAAAGCUCUCAAUAAGGCCGCCCCUGUGAAUCUUGCAUAUCAUGCCUAUGGUACACCUUGGUCAAUCAUUGUACUGUGUUAACAACCAGAAUUCGGAUUUCCAAUGCGCCUGAAGAGAGAAGGAUAUGGUUCUAUGAAGCACAAAAAAUUUGAUUUCUAUGUGUCAUUUAUUCUUUUGAGCAAGAGUUACAUCCAAGGAAGAUAGAAAAACUACAGAUGAAAUAGAACCUCUAGAUUGCAGAGUGGUUAUCAAACUCCAGGAUUCUGCAGUAGCAGAGCUCUUUGGGCAGUCUCCUCAGCCUUUCAUCAACUUCAAUUGCAGCAACAAUUUCCUCAUGCACAGAAAAACUUGUCAGACUAAAAUGCUUGGAAAAAGACUUGAAAUUUUGAUUUGGGCACCAAAGAGAGCAAAGCGUAGUUAAGGAUCCAGCAUCAGCAAUGCAAUUCCAGUCUCAAGUGCACUCGCAGGCUCUUCUCCGUCUGGUCACCUCGGUGCACACCUCCUCCUCUGUUUGCUUCUUUGAUUGGGAAUUCAUUGUUUUAAAUUGAAUUUUCAAAUCCUUUUUCAACUAAACAUUUCCAGCUUUGAAAAAUCCAUCUUUAAAUCCCUUCUAGAUAAUAAAACCCAGAUUUUAGUAAAUUUGCUGUCAUUUUCCUUUUGACAUGCAUUUUCACUAUUUUCUUUAAUUUUCAACCAUUUUCUUGAUUUUCUCGAUUUUCAACAAGCAUGAACAAACUUCAUGAUUCCAAACAAUGGAAUUCAUUGAAUCGACUCAUGCAAAAUCAACUAGGGCUUUGGUGGGGGCCCGACAUUCAUGAUACCUUCUUCAAUAUUGUUUGCUUGAUAUGUUGAUUUUUUUUAUUCUUCUUGAUGAUAUACAUGAAUUUGUUUCGUAUUUAUUGUUGAGAUGCUCUUGAUUCCCAUAGAGGAGUACUAGCUUGCUAUCUAGGUACGCUCUCUUCUCAUCUAUUUUUUAGAACUCUAUAGACUUGUAUGCCAUUGAUGACCAUAUCCAUAUUUGACGUGAUUCUUGGAUGACUUGAUAUAUGCCUGACUUACUUGAAUAAAACAAAUGUUGUGUGCUACAUUUCUACACUAACUCUGAUGUUUUAUGAUAGCGCUUGAGAAGCGGUUCAGGUACGCACCCUAACUCUCCUUUAUUGUGAUUUGAUCUUGUUUAGCAUGCAACUUUUUUUGAAAUCACCUAGCCUACUUAGGUAUCCAUGAUCAACCAUUUAAUUGCCAUGCUUCCCUUAACUUAGUUAGUAGAGACCUCUUUAGGGCUUAGAGGGGUGCUACCUCCUAGAGGUACCUUCCCAAUAAGUAACCUGAUCCCCGAACCUAGACUCAGGUUUCUCAAAGACAUGCUUUUUCCAAAACUAUGGAGUCACUUUUUAGGGUUUUUCUUUCUUGUUUUAUUUUCCCUUUAAAAUAAAAAUAAAAUAGGUGGCGACUCCAACUUUUUUUAAAAUUAAUUUUUCACAAAUAAAAAGCAAGUCUCGCCGAUCGAGUGGGGACGCACGUGAAAAAUGCGGGUCCACACUUGCAUUUAUAGUUGUAUACAUUUUUUUAACAAUUUUUCUUAUAUCAUAAAUUAUUAUAUGAUUUACCUUUAUAGUGUUUUAUUGUGUUUGAUAUUUUUGUUUGAAAUACAAUAGAAAGAUAAAGAAAAAAGAAAAGGAUGUAGAAUUAUUGAUUAGUUUAACUAUAAUUUUUAAAAUAUUUAACUCAUAUUUGACACAUUUUAAAUUUGAUUUUAAAUAAAUAGGUUAAUUGAGUCAUAAACAUAUUAGUCAUAUAAAUUAAUACAAGACCUAACCCAACCUGAUUAUUAAAUGACAAAACCUAAUUAUAAAAUGGGACAAAUGAGUUACACGACAUGUUACUUGUUUAGUAAUUAUGUAGUAUUUUAGGUUUACAUUUUUAACCAGAUUAUUAUUCCUAUCGGGUUUGACAGAACACACAUAUGACCCACCAACACAAACUAUAACCCCUAAGCUUGUUCACUCAAAAAGUAAAUUUAUACUAAUAUUUAAUUACCUAAUUUAAGCUAGUAGGAAUAUUUUUUAAUUAUUGCUUAGUUUUUUUAAAAUUGUUAAUAUUGGUAAAUGUAUAUAGUUUCUAUAAAGACAUUCCACUGAUCUAGAAUUCCAAAUAUAAUUUGUCAGUAUAAAGAUAUUAUAUAUUUUUAAUAAAUAUAUAUUGUAAGUUAAAUGUUAUAUCGUAUAAUAUAUUGGUACUAUAUGCAUAACUACUAUAUUACUAUUUUACAAAAUAAAAAAUACCCUAUAUAAUAGUAAUAUAUUAUAUACAUAAAAAGUUUUUGUGUAAAGUAUCCAACCACAUCUUAAUUAAUAAUUGAUUAAUUUAUUUUAAAAUAAUCUCACUAUGUAUUUAUUAUUUUUAAUUAUUAAUAGCUAAUUUUUCAAAAGUGAUUUGUUAUUAAGAAUAAAAUCAUAAAUUAUGCCAUAAAAGUAGUAAUUGUUGUAGAUACUAAUUUGUUAAGGAUUUUUUUUUUUUUACUUGCAUACAUUGUUUAAUAAAAUAUUUAAUUUAAGCUUUAAAUUCCUUACUUUAAAUUUUCAAUUUUAUUUUUAGUCUAAUUUUUAAUCUAUAAAUUCUAAUUUUUAAUUUUUUAAUUUUUAAUUCCUAAAUUUUUAAGGGGAAAUCAUGUAACCAUACAUCACCCAAAAAAAAUGAGAUUUUUAGAACUUUGCUUUUACCUUUUUAAUUUUAAUGUAAGAUGAGAAAAACUUGCCUAUUCAUGCACUCCAAUAGUGCUUUCAGAUUUGUUUCACAAUUACUUUCAAAAGUAAAUGACAAAAUACACAUCAAUUUAAUACCACAUAUUGAUAAGUACAUGAAACAUUUAUUUUUCUUAUUUAUCUCACAUCAACUCUCUCACACAUCUCAUUUACCACUUGCCACAUUCCCUUCUUUUUUUUUUCUUUUUUUCUUUCCUUUUUUUCCCCCUCUUUUACUACCAUAAUCCUUAGUCACCUAUUACAUUUUUCAUUGUUAUUUUUCUUUUUUUCCUUUGAUAUUUUUUUUUAAUAUGUUCAUAUAUUUUCUCAUAAAACUUCCUCAAUUUUAAUUUUUUUUUUCACUCUCUAAUUUCUCCAUAUUUAUUGAUUAUAAUUAUUUUUUGGACAUAUUAAACUUAAAAUGAUAAUAUAUAAUAAAUAAUUAAUAUAAAAAAUUAAAUAAAAUAUAUGUAUAAUGGAAAAAAAAUAAAAAUAUUGUCCCACAAAUAAUAUACUUGAUGAUUUUAAAUAUUAAUUGUAUUAAUAUAUUUGAUAAAUUAAGGUUUAAAUUUAAAUAUUUUAUUUUAUUAUUUAGAGGUUUAUGAUAUAAGAUUUUUUUAUAUUAAUGUUAAACAAAAGAUUCAUUUAUUUUGUAAAUGCUAUCACAUGUAAACGUAAAAAUGUCUUUAUAAUACUAUUUUAUUAUUUAUAUAUAUUUUAAAAAAAUUUAUUUUAAAUUUAUCACAUCAAAAUCACAAUAAGCUAUUGUGCUUUUAUCUAUUUUCUUAUGAUUUUAAUUUGAUUGUGGAUUUAACUUUUUGUUUGGUUAAAAUCUUUAAUUUUUAAUUUUAAAAAAUAUAUAUUUUUCAUAAAUAAAAAAAAUUGUAUUUAACCUUUUAUAUUAAUUUCAUAAAAAAUAAAUACAUCUAUAAGAAAAUUAGGUAAAUCCAUGUGUAGGGGAAUCAGGACCCCUAUCAUCCUUGUCAUGGUCUAUAUAUUCAUUUGGGACCCUUGAUAAGUGAUUGGAGUUCCUUGCCCACCUCAUAACAAACUUUGAAACCCUAAAUACAUCCAUUCUUAAGGGAACCAAGACCCUUAUCUCAAUUCUCAUGGUUCAUAUAUUCCUUUAAGGAUCAUUGAGAAUGAAUUAUAAGUUGUUCUUCACCCUGGAUCGGACAUUGGAACCCAAGGUAUAUCCUAAAGACAAUUUGGCACAUUCGAUCCUUGGGCUAUCGAGACCCCUAUAUCCCUUCCCAUAGUCUAUUUGAUACUUUGGGGACUCUUGAGAAGUGAAUGGAGGUCGUUUCUCAUCUCGGAAUGGACUUUGGAACUCUAAGUACAUCUUUAAAAAAAAUUGGUACAUCCAAUUUUCGGGUUAUUGGGACCCCUAUCUCAUUUCCCAAGGUCCAUUUGUUCAAUUAGGGAUCCUUGGGAAGUGAUUGGAGGUUAUUCCUCACCCUAAAAUGGACUUUUGAACCCUAAAUACAUCUUUAAGAAAUUUUGGUAUAUAUGAUCCUCUGGCUACCCCAUAUCACUUCUUAUGGUCCAUUUGAUCAUUUAGGGAUCAUUUAGAAGUGAUUUCAAAUUGUUCCUAAUCUCGGAAUGGACUUUGGAACCCUAGGUACAUCCUUAAGAAAAUUUGAAACAUCCAAUCAUUGGGCUAUCGGAACCCUUAUCACCCUUCCCAUGGUCCGUUUGUUCCUUUACAAACUCUUGGGAAAUGAUUGGAUGUCGUUCCCCACCUUGGAACAGACAUUGGAACCCUAGGUACAUCCUUAAGAAAAUUUGAAACAUCUAAUCCUUGAGUUAAUGUGACACGUAUCUCCCUUCCCAUGGUCCAUUUAUUCCUUUUAGAGACUCUCAGGAAGUGAUUGGAGGUCGUUCCUCACAUUGGAACGAACUUUGGUACCCUUGGUACAUCAUUUACAAAAUUUGGUACAUUUUUUACAAAAUUUGGCACAUCCUUUAUAAAAUUUAAUACAUUCUUUACAAAAUUUGGUACAUCCUUAAAAAAAGUUGGUACAUCUAAUCCUUGAGCUAUCGGGACCCCUAUCUUAUUACCCAUGGUCCGUUUAUUCCUUUAGGGAACUUUGAGAAGUGAUUAGAGGUCAAUAUCUAGGUACUUCGAAAUGAACUUUGUAACCCUAGUUACAUCCUUAAGAAAAUUUGUUACAUCCAAUCCUUGAGCUAAUGUGACACCUAUUGUAGACCCCUCAUUUUGCCCAUGACACAUAUAGGUUACUAUCCAAAUAAAUCAUUGUAAUUUAUCAACUGGUAAUCUUUGAUUCUUUCUCGGAAGCUUCUUAGAGGAUAAAUUAUGGAAAUUUUGAUGUGAUCACAUAAACCUUUGAAUCUGUAGCUUAAGGCCUUCUUAUUGUUCUAACUUACCAUUAACCGUAAUUUAAAACAAAAUUAUUGAAUCCUUAUUUUAAAAUAUAAAGUAAAAUAAAGUACUUCUUUGAAUAAUAAAAAUAACUAAAAAGAUGUAUAUAAUAAAAUUUGGUGACAAAUUAAAAGUAGAUUUUAAUACAAACAACUUAACAUGAUUCGAUUUUUUUAUUAAGCAUUAUUUUACGAGUAAUAUUCUUUAUCUUUUUGUUUCAUAAACCAUAAUUUAAAUUAAAGUUGUUACUAUUGUCAUUAAAUAUACAUUUUGAAACAUAAAAUACGAUAUCUCUUUAAAUAUUUAUUUAAUUUUGAAUGUGCCAAAAAUCACCUUUUUCCAUCGAUUCCAACUAAGCAACUGCCAUUCAAAAAUCCCAUGCCUAUACUAGCCAGAUAUUCACAAGCCUUUCACGUAAUAUUAAACCCAUAAUUCCAGCAUCCACCACCAGCCAUCACCAGCCGUCCUUUCUCACAUUCUGUAACCCAUCCAUUUGGCUGCCUAAAAGCAUACCUAGGCCCAUACUUCAACCCCUGCAACCAGCCAUGCUGACGACACUCUGCACCAGCCGUCCAUUCUCCUCUGUUGCAGCUCAGUUUUAGCUGCCCAAGACCCAACUCCUUCACCCAUCAAUCCGUCCUAUCCCCCAUGCUAUAGCCAUACCUUUUAGCUGCCCGUGAUGCACCUUAGUACAGGUCCUGUUAAGCCGCCUCAUCCCCUGCAACAGCUCCAUUCAUAAAUUAUACCUUAAAACAGUAACUACUAUAGCUACUGACUUGUAAAGGAUUUUUUAAGCUUGCAUACAUUUUUUAACAAUUUUUUUUUAUAAAAAAUAUAGUUAUAAAGGCAAUUGAAAUAUAUCAUAAAUUAUUAUAUGAUUUACCUUUAUAGUGUUUUAUUGUGUUCGAUAUUUUUGUUUGAAAUCAAUGUUUUCAGAACCGGACCGGUGAUCGAACCGGAAAAAUUACCGGUUCACGGUUCACCGGUCGGACCGGCGGUCGAACCGCUAUUGAACCGGUGAUGUAAUAAAUAUAUAAUUUAUAUAUUAUAUAAAAUUAAAAAUAAUUAUAAAAAUUAAAAAUAUAUAAAAUUAUAAAUUUUAAUAAUGUUUGAUUUUUAUAUUUGGUAUAUUAUAUUAAAUGAUAAAGUUUAAUAUUUUAAAUUUUAUUAAAUAGAAAGAUGUAAUAUUUAAGAAUGAAGAUAUAUUUAAAAUGAAAAAAAUUAUAUAUUUAAUUUUAUCUUUUUGUCUUUGUAUUUUAUUGUUUUAAAAUUAUUCUAUUAAUUAAUUUAUAUUAUUUUUUAUAAUUGUUAUAAAAAUAAACAGGAAUUUAAAUAUUUAUAUUUCUUUAAAGAUUUUAUAUGAUAAAAAUUUAAAAUAAAAACAUUAAUGUUAAGUCUUAUUUUAUAUAUAUAUAUUUUAACAACAUUGCAAUGAUAUGAAUAGCUCACGCGUCCAGCCCUCAUGCUGCCAUGCAUCCGCGUCCAGCCCUCAUGCUGCCAUGCAUCCAGCCUUUGAGGCCAGCCCUCAUGCUGCCAUGCAUCCAGCCUUUGAGGCAGUCCUAUUCCAGUCCCACAUCGGAAGCACAUGAAUUCCAUGUGCUUCAAGUGCUCUAUAAAUACCUUGCAAGUUGCAACAGGCAAACCAAGCUAAACAAGCCAACAAAGUGGGCUUGAAAAGCAUGGCCCAAGGGACAUGUUAAUGAGUUAAUGAUUCAUUUGUUUGGGCCCAGUUGUUUAAACCAACUAUGGGCUUAUAAUUAAUUUGAGUUUCAAAAGUUAUGGAUGUGGAAUGGGCUCAAUGGAUAAUGGGCCUUUCAAUUUUAAACAAAUUUUUGAAGAAUUUUAAAAAGAAGGCUUGGCCGGUUCGUGAAAAAUCGGACGGUUUGUACGGUUCGGCAGUCCGACCGGUGGUUUGAACGGUUCAAUGCCGGUUCGACCAUAAAACGGUUCUUUGAGACGGACCGAACCGAAAAGUUGACCUGUCGGCGGUUCGACCGGUCGGACCGGCCGGUUCGGUCCGGUUUUUAAAACAUUGUUUGAAAUACAAUAGAAAGAUAAAGAAAAAAAGAAAAGGAUAUAGAAUUAUUGAUGUUGGUUCAAGUAUUAUACUUUAGCAUUGUUCCAAUGUUUUCUAUUAAUCAUACUUUUAUUUUAGCAUUGUUCCAAAAGUCUAGAAUUAAAUUUAUAUUAGCUAUGAAUAAACCAUAGUCCUCUAAUUUGUUAUUAUUCAACAUCAGGCUUGUUUAAGGAUGAUAAAAUUUGAUACACUUUUUCAACAAGACUUGAAUCUACCAUGCUUUUUAUGGGUUUGAGUUGAGUAUAAUUGAGUUUGAGUUAAAUUCAUGUUGACCUAUAAAACUCAUCUAAUAACUAGGUAGUCUUUGAGUCAACACGCAUAACAAAAUUGGACAUCAAUUAAUUCAUUUAAUAAUUAUGUUGAUUAGUUUAAUUAUACUUUUUAAAAUAUUUAACUCAUAUUUGACACAUUUUAAAUUUGAUUUUAAAUAAAUAGGUUAAUUGAGUCAUAAAUAUAUUAGUCAUAUAAAUUAACACAAGACCUAACUCAACCUAAUUAUUAAAUGGGACAAAUGAGUUACACGAUAUGUUACCUGUUUAAUAAUUAUGUAGUAUUUUAGGUUUACAUUUUUAACCAGAUUAUUAUUCGUGUCGGGUUUGACACAACACAAAUAUGACCCACCAACACAAAUUGUAACCCCUAAGCUUAUUCACUAAAAAAGUAAAUUUAUACUAAUAUUUAAUUACCUAGUUUAAACUAGUAGGAAUAUUUUAAAAUUAUUGCUUAGUGUUUUAAAAAUUGUUAAUAUUGGUAUAUGUAUAUAGUUUGUCUAAAGACAUUCCAUUGAUCUAGAAUUCCAAAUAUAAUUUGUCUGUAUAAAGAUAUCAUAUAUUUUUAAUAAAUAUAUAUUGUAAGUUAAAUAUUAUAUUGUACAAUAUGUUGUACUAUAUGCAUAACUACUAUAUUACUAUUUUACAAAAUAAAAAAUACACUAUAUAAUAGUAAUAUAUUAUAUACAUAAAAAGUUUUUGUGUAAAGUACCCAACAAUAUUUUAAUUAAUAAAUAAUUAUUUUAUUUUUAAAUAAUCUAAUUAUGUAUUUAUUAUUUUUAAUUAUUAAUAACUAAUUUUUCAAAAGUGAUUUGUUUUUAAGAAUAAAAUCAUAAAUUAUGCCAUAAAAGUAGUAUUUGUUGUAGAUACUGAUUUGUUAAGGAUUAUUAUUAUUUUUUACUUGCAUACAUUGUUUAAUAUAAUAUUUAAUUUAAGUUUUAAAUUCCUUACUUUAAAUUUUCAAUUUUAUUUUUAGUCUAAUUUUUAAUUUACAAAUUCUAAUUUUUAAUUCCUAAAUUUUAAAGGGGAAAUCAUGUAACCAUACAUCACCAAAAAAAAUAAAAAUAAAAACUGAGAUUUUUAGAACUUUGCUUUUACCUUUAUAAUUUUAAUGUAAGAUGAGAAAAAAUAUUACCUAUUCAUGUACUUCAAUAGUGCUUUCAUUUUGUUCCACAAUUACCCUCAAAAGUAAAUGACAAAAUACACAUCACUUUAAUACCACCUAUUGAUAAGUACAUGAAUCAUUUAUUUUUCUUAUUUCUCUCACAUCAACUCUCUCACACGUCUCACUUACCACUUGCCACAUUUCCACUUUUUUCUUUUUUCUUUCUUUCUUUUUUUUUUUCCCCAUCUUUUACCACCAUAAUCCAUAGUCACCUAUUAUAUUUUUCUUUGUAAUUUUUUUUCCUUUGAUGUUCUUUUUAAUAUGCUCAUAUAUUUUCUCAUCAAACUUCUUUAAUUUUAAUUUUCUUCACUCUCUAAUUUCUCUAUAUUUAUUGAUUAUAAUUAUUUUUUGGACAUAUUAUACUUAAAAUGAUAAUGUAUAAUAAAUGGUUAAUAUAACAAAUUAAAUCAAAUAUAUGUAUAAUGGACAAAAAUAAAAAUAUUAUCCCACAAAUAAUGUACUUGAUGAUUUUAAAUAUUAAUAUAUUUAAUAAAUUAAGGUUUAAAUUUAAAUAUUUUAUUUUAUUAUUUAGAGGUUUAUGAUAAAAGAUUUUUUUUAUAUUAAUGGUAAACAAAAGAUUUAUUUAUUUUGUAAAUUCUAUAACAUAUAAAAGUAAAAAUAUCUUUAUAAUACUAUUUUAUUAUUUUUAUUAUUUAAAAAAAAAUUAUUUUAAAUAUAUCACAUCAAACUCACAAUAAGUUAUUGUACUUUUAUAUAUUUUCUUAUGAUUUUAAUUUUAUUAUGGAUCUAACCUUUUGUUUGGUUAAAAUCUUUAAUUUUUAAUUAAAAUAAAAUAUAAAAGAAAAUAUAUUUUUCAUAAAAAAAAAAAAACCAUAUUUAACUUUUCAUAUUAAUUUCAUAAAAAAUAAGUACAUUCAUAAGAAAAAUAGGUAAAUCCAUGCCUAGGGGAAUCAAGACCCUUAUCAUUCUUAUCAUGGUUUAUAUAUUCCUUUGGGACCCUUGAUAAGUGAUUGGAGGUCCUCGCCCACCCCAUAAUCAACUUUGGAACCCUAGGUACAUCCAUUCUUAAGGAAACCAAGACCCUUAUCUCAAUUCUCAUGGUUCAUAUAUUCCUUUAGGGAUCCUUGAGAAUGAAUUAUAGGUUGUUCUUCACCUUAGAUCGGACAUUAAAACCACCCAAGGUAUAUCUUAAAGACAAUUUGGUACAUUCGAUCCUUGGGCUACCAAAACCGCUAUAUCCCUUCCCAUAAUCUAUUUGAUACUUUGGGGACUCUUGAGAAGUGAAUGGGGUCGUUUCUAAUCUCGGAAUGGACUUUGGAACCUUAGGUAUAUCCUUAAAAAAAAUUGUUACAUCAAAUUUUCGAGCUAUCGGGACCCCUAUCUCCUUUCCCAGGGUCCAUUUGUUCAUUUAGGGAUCCUUGAGAAGUGAUUGGAGGCUAUUCCUCACCCCAAAAUGGACUUUUAAACACUAGGUACAUCUUUAAGAAAAUUUGGUAUAUCUUAUCCUCUGGUUACCCCAUAUCGCUUCUUAUGGUCCAUUUGAUCAUUUAAAGACCAUUUAGAAGUGAUUUCAAAGUCGUUCCUCAUCUCAUAAUGGACUUUGGAACCCUAGGUACAUCCUUAAGAAAAUUUGGUAUAUCCAAUCAUCGGGCUACUAGGACCCCUAUCACCCUUCCCAUGGUCCGUUUGUUCCUUUAGGAACUCUUGGGAAGUGAUUGGAUGUCAUUUGCCACCUUGGAAUAAACAUUGGAACCCUAGGUACAUCCUUAAGAAAUUUUGAAACAUAUAAUCCUUGGGUUAACGGGACACCUAUCUCCCUUCCCAUGGUCCAUUUAUUCCUUUUAGAGACCAUCGGGAAGUGAUUGGAGGUCGUUCCCCACAUUGGAACGGAUUUUGGCACCCUUGGUACAUCAUUUACAAAAUUUAGUACAUCAUUUACAAAAUUUGGUACAUCAUUCACAAAAUUUGGUACAUCCUUAAAAAAAUUUGAUACAUCUAAUCCUUGAGCUAUUGGGACCCCUAUCUUAUUACCCAUGGUUCUUUAUUCCUUUAGGGAUCUUUGGGAAGUGAUUAGAGGUCGAUCCCUAGCUACUUUGAAAUGGACUUUGGAACCUUAGGUAUAUCCUUAAGAAAAUUUGUUACAUCCGAUCCUUGAGCUAACGGGACACCUAUUGUAGACCCCUCAUUUUGCCCAUGACACAUAUAGGUUACCAUCCAAAUAAAUCAUUGUAAUUCAUCAACUUGUAAUCUUUGAUUCUUUCUCAGAAGCUCUUGGAGGAUAAAUUAUAUAAAUUCUGAUGUGAUCACAUAAACCUUUGAAUCUGUAGCUUAAGGCCUUUGAUUGUUCUAACUUACCAUUAACCGUAAUUUAAAACAAAAUUAUUGAACCCUUAUUUUAAAAUAUAAAGCAAAAUAAAUUACUUCUUUGAAUAAUAAAAAUAACUAAAAAGAUGUAUAUAAUAAAAUUUGGUGACAAAUUAAAAGUAGAUUUUAAUGCAAACAACUUAACAUGAUUCGAUUUUUUUAUUAACCAUUAUUUUCCGAAUUAUAAAGGCCAAUAUAUGAGUAAUAUUCUUUCUCUUUUUGUUUCAUAAACCAUAAUUUAAAUUGAAGUUUUUACUAUUGUCAUUAAAUAUACAUUUUGAAACAUAAAAUACGAUAUCUCUUUAAAUAUUUAUUUAAUUUUGAAUGUGCCAAAAAACCCCUUUUUCCAUCAAUUCCAACUACAGCAACUGCCAUUCAAAAAUCCCAUGCCUAUGCUAGCCACAUAUUCACAAGCCUUUCACGUAAUAUUAAACCCAUAAUUCUAGCAUCUUAGCUGCACCACCAGCCACCAUCCAGCCGUCUUUUAUUGCUUUUCCCUUACCAAGAUCACUUUCACCCAGCCAUAACCAGCCGUUCUUUCUCACAUGCUGUAAUCCAUCCAUUUGGCUGCCUAAAAGCAUACCUAAACCCAUACUUCAACCCCUGCAACCAGCCAUGCCAAGACACCCCACCAGCCGUCCCUUCUCCUCUGUUGCAGCUCAGUUUUAGCUGCCCAAGACCCAACUCCUUCACCCAUCAAUCCGCCCAAGAUCACUAGUUUUUUAUGUUCCACAGAAAUGUGCAGCGCCUGCAUCCAGAGAUUAUCCAACAUGUCUUACUUGAUAUGCCAAGUCUUACUUUCUUCACGACCUAUGCUCUUUUGGCAUUGUUCUGGGCAGAAAUAUACUACCAGGCACGAGCUGUAUCUACUGAUGGACUGAGACCAAGUUUCUACAGAAUUAAUGCAGUGGUUUAUGCCAUUCAGAUUGCUAUGUGCACCUUGGAUUCGAAACUAACCGGUUAAAAACUGGAACCCCUGCAUGCGAGAGAGCAUCACCACAUGCCACGCGAGGGAGUCGUCAGUCACGUUUUCCAACUGCCAUGCAUUCGGUGAAGCGAUUUUUUGAAGGGAAGUCUUCAGGAGAAGAAUCUUUUUCUGUUGCGGGAGGAUGGACAUCACACCAGAAAGAAUAACGGUGGCCGUUUUAGAGACUUCGGAGGUUGAGAGAGGGGAGGAGAACUGACAUAGUGAGUCUCUUUUUCUGGGCGUUUUCUUGGAGGAGAGUUUAAAGAUCUUUUUUCUGUAGAAAAUCAUCACAUAAACCGAUUCAAAGAAUUCAGAAAGCUUCUCGUUAGAGCCAAGGUUCACCAUUUUGCACAGUGCCGUGGUGUUCUCUUGAAGCUUUUCGAUAUGUGCGACCAACAUUUUGAGAUAUUUUUCUUUAGAUAUUUAAUGUCUAAAUCCCCAAACUCUCCUUAUAACCCACCUAUCAUAGGAUUCCUUAGUCUUUAAGUAAGAACAAAGGGUGAAUAACCUCUUAUAUAUAGUUUGUAAUUUCCUUUACAUGCUAGAGAUCUCGGGAGCUUGUUCUCAGAGACAACCUUUUGUAAUAGUAAGAAAUAUAUUUUACAGAGCACUUGCUCUGCUUUUCCUAUAUAUUUUUGUUUUCUCGUUAUUUUUCUUUCUAGCCAACCAAACUCUGAGGAUUUUUUCUCAGAGGAUGAGAGGCUAGGCUCUUCGUCUCUUGGAGUGAAGAAAGCUGGGUAAGUUUCCUUAUGCAUAAAUUGGAAGUUUUGUUGUUUUAGUUUUUAAUGAAAAGAAAGUGUGACCCGUUAAUGGUUUUUAUCUUUUUAGUUAACUUAAAACGCCUUUAAAUCACUUCAGCCAACACUUGGUAAGGCAAGUGAUCUCCAUCCAUUGAGAUGCACUAGUUUAUCUCUUGCGAGCCUUUGGGAGGUGGUUUGAAGGUAGGAUUUUCUAGAAUAGCCAACACUUGGUAAGCUUUUGGACUCUAAGCAGACAUCCAUUAGUUAUCUCUUGCGAGCUUUUGACGGGUAAUCCAAGGUUAAAGAUCACCUUGAAUGGCAAAUGCUAGGUGAGAGGCACGAGCCAUUGCAAGAUGCAUCAGUGAGAGGGAUUUAGUGUUUGAACCCAUUAAUGGGAACCAUCUGUACCACACCGGUUCGGGAAAUAACUAUAUGUUAAAUCCCCAAUGCGAGGAAAAAAAACAAGUGACCGGAACUCCCUUUUUGUAUAAGGAACCUGAGCCUAGUGAUCUAAACUCCAAGAAACACUUUUCUUUGUAAUUAAAAUCAGUUAUUAUUUUUGGUUAGCUUAAAACCAACCUUUUCCACUAAAGAUUAUGUUUUCUUUUAAAGCUAACCUUGAAAUGAAAAAGCACCAAUUCAGCUUUGAAUUGAUAUCAAUUGUGGAGUGAAAACCCAUCCCAGUGAACGAUCCUAGAGCCACUAUGCUAUAGUAGCUUUGUCUUUGCUACCCUAGUUCAUGGUGUAAUAGGUUAUAAAUUUUGUUGAUUACUCCCUGAGGACCACAAUCAAGGAACACCAGCUGGACACGAAUCAAAUGGCACCACUGUCAAGGACCAUUGAGAGGACAUGAAUCAGCUGAGACACCAAUUGGGAACGAAUUAAUUCAACACAAGAAGAGGUACAAAUGGUGGGCGCUCACAAUCAUCUCACCAUCGACCACAGUGCCAGCUUUGUGGUAAGUUUGGCCACACCGUGGUUCGCUGCUGCCACAGGUUUGAUAUUAACUUCUAAGGCUUCAACCUUAAUAUGGACACUGUUCAAACCAAUAAACCAAAUGCCAAGAAUCAAGUGCAAGCUAUGAUGGCAUCUCUUUCCACUAUAUCUGAUGAGGCAUGGUUUUUUGACAUUGGUGCUACACAUCACCUAUCACAAAGUGUUAAUCCACUCUCAGAUGUACAACCAUACAUGGGUAAUGACAAGGUGAUUGUUGGGAAUGGUAAGCACCUUCGUAUUUUACAUACAUACACUACAUUCUUUCCUUCCUCUUCUAAAAUCUUUCAACUGAGACAAGUACUUCACGUUCCUGAUAUUGCUACUAAUCUCAUUAGUGUCUCACAGUUUUGUGCCGAUAAUAAUACUUUCUUUGAGUUUCAUCCUCGAUUCUUUUUUGUCAAGGAUCAGGUCACCAAGAAGAUACUUCUUCAAGGAAGUCUUGAACAUGGCUUAUAUAGAUUCCCUGCCAGAUUUGUGCCUUCCCCUACAGCUUUUGUUUCUUCCAGUUAUGACAGGUCUUCCAAUAUUUCUUUAACAACCAUAACUACACUUUGGCAUUCUCGGCUUGGACACCCUACUGAUAAUAUCUUGAAACACAUUCUUACUUCUUGUAAUAUUUCACAUCAAUGCCAUAAAAACAAUGUAUGUUGUGCUUGUCAAUUUGCAAAAAGUCAUAAAUUGCCUUUCAAUGUGUCUGUUUCUAGAGCUUCUCAUCCUUUUGCUUUACUUCAUGCUGAUCUUUGGGGCCCUACUUCCAUUCCGUCCACAACUGGUGCACGCUACUUCAUUUUGUUUGUUGAUGAUUUCUCUCAUUUUUCUUGGAUUUAUCCAUUGCACAGCAAAGAUCAAGCAUUAUCUAUAUUCAUAAAGUUCAAAAGUCUAGUUGAAAAUCAGUUUAAUUCUCGGAUACAAUGUUUACGGUCUGAUAAUGGUGGCGAAUUUAAAGCCUUCUCUUCAUAUCUUGCUACGCAUGGUAUUAAAAGUCAGUUUUCUUGUCCAUACAUACCUGAACAAAAUGGUCGAGCGGAGCGCAAAUUAUGACAUAUAAUUGAAACUGGUCUUGCUCUAUUAGCCACUGCAUCCUUACCUUUCAAGUUUUGGCUAUAUGCAUUUCAUACAACUAUUUUCCUUAUAAAUCGGCUACCUACUAAGGUUCUCAAUUAUCAAUCUCCCUUUCAAAUUCUUUUUGGCAAAUCACCAAAUUAUCACAUCUUUAAAAUUUUUGGUUGUUUAUGCUACCCUUAUAUUCGACCAUACAACAAAAAUAAACUCUCCUAUCUCUCUAGUCAAUGCAUUUUCCUUGGCUAUAGUUCCAAUCACAAAGGCUAUACGUGUCUUGACCCAUUGUCAGGCCGUCUCUAUGUUGUGUUUCAUGAAACGGUGUUCCCAUUUCAGUCUACUCUGGAUCAAUCCUCAUCUGUAGUUACUAUCCCCACUCUAGCCCUUCUUCCUUUCUCAUCUCCUCCCAUGUCCUCACUACCUUCCCAUACAACUCCUUCCACCUCAAGCCCAUCGUUAACUAAUAUGCCUUCCUCCACUACUUCUUUACCAGACUUGAUACAAGUUCCUUUUGUUGACAUCUCCACUUCUAAACCUCACCCUACUAAUCAGCAUCCCAUGGUCACACGUGCAAAGAAUGGCAUCAGCAAGAAGAAGGUCUACUUCUCAUCUCACAUCUCUGAACCUACUACAUUCACACAGGCUGUUAAAGAUUCAAAUUGGGUUCUUGCCAUGGAAAAAGAGUUUUCUGCUCUCCAAAGAAACAACACAUGGCAUCUAGUUCCACCACCCUCCAAUGGCAAUAUAAUUGGUUGUAAAUGGGUCUACAAACUCAAAUAUAAACCCGAUGGAACAGUUGAUCGCUAUAAGGCCCGGUUAGUUGCACAAGGAUUUACUCAAACUCUAGGUCUCGAUUAUUUUGAGACUUUUAGUCCAAUUGUCAAGGCUUCUACUAUCCGCAUUAUACUUGUAGUUGCACUCUCAUUUAACUGGUCAGUUCACCAACUUGAUGUUCAGAAUGCCUUUCUCCAUGGAACUCUUGAAGAGCAUGUGUUUAUGCAUCAACCCCCGGGCUUUAUCAAUUCUCAAUUUCCUUCUCAUGUUUGCAAGCUUAACAAGGCUUUAUAUGGCCUUAAGCAGGCCCCUCGGGCAUGGUAUACCAAACUCAGCACUUCACUUCUUGGCUGGGGAUUUCAAGCUUCUCGAGCUGACAGCUCGAUGUUUAUUCAUCAUUCAACACAUGAUGUCCUUAUUUUACUCAUUUAUGUAGACGACAUACUAGUAACUGGCAGCAAUUCAGCUCAGGUUUCGUCAUUUAUUACUCGACUCAAUUCUUCUUUUGCUCUUCGUGACCUGGGCUAUGUCAAUUAUUUUUUGGGCAUUAAAGUAGUUCGUUCUGGUAUUAUGUUUCAUCUCAGUCAGCACAAGUACACACAAGACCUCUUAUCUCGCACAGCCAUGUUAGAAUCCAAACCUGCUACUACUCCGGGAUUGUUAGGACAAACAUUAUCUCAUCUUAAUGGUGAACCUCUCUUGGAUACCACCUUAUAUCGCAGCAUGGUUGGUGUGCUUUAGUAUCUUACCCUUACCAGACCGGACAUUUCUUUUGCUGUUAAUAAAGCUUGUCAAUUCAUGGCUACACCCACUACUACUCAUUGGCUUGCUGUGAAAUGGAUUUUGCGAUAUCUCAAAGGCACUUUAUCCUAUGACAUUCAGAUGCAAUAGUCCACCUCGUUGGAUAUUCAUGGAUAUACUGGUGCCGAUUGGGCAUCUUGUCCAGAUGACAGAAGAAGCACCGGUGGCUAUGGCAUCUUCCUUGGUCCGAAUUUAGUGUCAUGGUCUUCCAACAAACAGAAGGUUGUGUCUCGCAGCAGUGCAGAAUCUGAGUAUCGUGCUCUUGCGUCUGCUACUUCAGAGAUUAUUUGGAUUCAAUAUGUUCUACAAGAACUUUGUCUCUCUUCCUUCUCUCCACCUCUACUUUGGUGUGAUAAUAAAAGUGCAGCUCACUUGGCUGCAAAUCCCGUGUUCCAUGCUAGGACCAAACACAUUGAAAUGGAUCUUCACUUUAUACGGGAUCAUGUUCUUCGUAAACAGCUCGUCAUUCAGUAUCUUCCUUCCGCUGAACAGGUUGCUGACAUUUUCACUAAACAUAUUUCAAGCUCCCAGUUCCUUAGUUUUAGAACGAAGCUUUCUGUUGUUCCCUCCCCUGUGAGCUUGCGGGGGGAUGAUAGACGAUACCUAGCUGAUCAACAAGAAAGUAACUGUCCGGGGUCAGCUGCAACAAACCUAGAUCAGGUGCAACAAACUAAAGUUAGCUGCAACAAACAGAAGCCGAUUAAGAACGUCUCGAAGAAGGAAGUUAGUUAGUUAGGUUGUUGUAGAUAUAAAUAUAAGAAAACGUCAGUGUAAAAACAUGGAUCACCUUUUCUAAUAGACAAUGAGAAAUAUUAGUUUUUCUAAAACCCAGUUUCUAAAACUUUCAAAGGUUACCAUCCAAAUAAAUCAUUGUAAUUCAUCGACUUGUAAUAUUCGAUUCUUUAUCAUAAGCUUCUUGGAGGAUAAAUUAUAAAAAUUUUGAUGUGAUCACAUAAACCUUUGAAUUUGUAGCUUAAGGCCUUCUGAUUGUUCUAACUUACCAUUAAUCGUAAUUUAAAACAAAAUUAUUGAAUCCUUAUUUUAAAAUAUAAAGCAAAAUAAAUUACUUCUUUGAAUAAAAAUAACUAAAAAGAUGUAUGUAAUAAAAUUUGGUGACAAAUUAAAAGUAUAUUUUAAUACAAACAACUUAACAUGAUUCGAUUUUUUUAUUAAGCAUUAUUUUCCGAAUUAUAAAGNNNNNNNNNNNNNNNNNNNNNNNNNNNNNNNNNNNNNNNNNNNNNNNNNNNNNNNNNNNNNNNNNNNNNNNNNNNNNNNNNNNNNNNNNNNNNNNNNNNNNNNNNNNNNNNNNNNNNNNNNNNNNNNNNNNNNNNNNNNNNNNNNNNNNNNNNNNNNNNNNNNNNNNNNNNNNNNNNNNNNNNNNNNNNNNNNNNNNNNNNNNNNNNNNNNNNNNNNNNNNNNNNNNNNNNNNNNNNNNNNNNNNNNNNNNNNNNNNNNNNNNNNNNNNNNNNNNNNNNNNNNNNNNNNNNNNNNNNNNNNNNNNNNNNNNNNNNNNNNNNNNNNNNNNNNNNNNNNNNNNNNNNNNNNNNNNNNNNNNNNNNNNNNNNNNNNNNNNNNNNNNNNNNNNNNNNNNNNNNNNNNNNNNNNNNNNNNNNNNNNNNNNNNNNNNNNNNNNNNNNNNNNNNNNNNNNNNNNNNNNNNNNNNNNNNNNNNNNNNNNNNNNNNNNNNNNNNNNNNNNNNNNNNNNNNNNNNNNNNNNNNNNNNNNNNNNNNNNNNNNNNNNNNNNNNNNNNNNNNNNNNNNNNNNNNNNNNNNNNNNNNNNNNNNNNNNNNNNNNNNNNNNNNNNNNNNNNNNNNNNNNNNNNNNNNNNNNNNNNNNNNNNNNNNNNNNNNNNNNNNNNNNNNNNNNNNNNNNNNNNNNNNNNNNNNNNNNNNNNNNNNNNNNNNNNNNNNNNNNNNNNNNNNNNNNNNNNNNNNNNNNNNNNNNNNNNNNNNNNNNNNNNNNNNNNNNNNNNNNNNNNNNNNNNNNNNNNNNNNNNNNNNNNNNNNNNNNNNNNNNNNNNNNNNNNNNNNNNNNNNNNNNNNNNNNNNNNNNNNNNNNNNNNNNNNNNNNNNNNNNNNNNNNNNNNNNNNNNNNNNNNNNNNNNNNNNNNNNNNNNNNNNNNNNNNNNNNNNNNNNNNNNNNNNNNNNNNNNNNNNNNNNNNNNNNNNNNNNNNNNNNNNNNNNNNNNNNNNNNNNNNNNNNNNNNNNNNNNNNNNNNNNNNNNNNNNNNNNNNNNNNNNNNNNNNNNNNNNNNNNNNNNNNNNNNNNNNNNNNNNNNNNNNNNNNNNNNNNNNNNNNNNNNNNNNNNNNNNNNNNNNNNNNNNNNNNNNNNNNNNNNNNNNNNNNNNNNNNNNNNNNNNNNNNNNNNNNNNNNNNNNNNNNNNNNNNNNNNNNNNNNNNNNNNNNNNNNNNNNNNNNNNNNNNNNNNNNNNNNNNNNNNNNNNNNNNNNNNNNNNNNNNNNNNNNNNNNNNNNNNNNNNNNNNNNNNNNNNNNNNNNNNNNNNNNNNNNNNNNNNNNNNNNNNNNNNNNNNNNNNNNNNNNNNNNNNNNNNNNNNNNNNNNNNNNNNNNNNNNNNNNNNNNNNNNNNNNNNNNNNNNNNNNNNNNNNNNNNNNNNNNNNNNNNNNNNNNNNNNNNNNNNNNNNNNNNNNNNNNNNNNNNNNNNNNNNNNNNNNNNNNNNNNNNNNNNNNNNNNNNNNNNNNNNNNNNNNNNNNNNNNNNNNNNNNNNNNNNNNNNNNNNNNNNNNNNNNNNNNNNNNNNNNNNNNNNNNNNNNNNNNNNNNNNNNNNNNNNNNNNNNNNNNNNNNNNNNNNNNNNNNNNNNNNNNNNNNNNNNNNNNNNNNNNNNNNNNNNNNNNNNNNNNNNNNNNNNNNNNNNNNNNNNNNNNNNNNNNNNNNNNNNNNNNNNNNNNNNNNNNNNNNNNNNNNNNNNNNNNNNNNNNNNNNNNNNNNNNNNNNNNNNNNNNNNNNNNNNNNNNNNNNNNNNNNNNNNNNNNNNNNNNNNNNNNNNNNNNNNNNNNNNNNNNNNNNNNNNNNNNNNNNNNNNNNNNNNNNNNNNNNNNNNNNNNNNNNNNNNNNNNNNNNNNNNNNNNNNNNNNNNNNNNNNNNNNNNNNNNNNNNNNNNNNNNNNNNNNNNNNNNNNNNNNNNNNNNNNNNNNNNNNNNNNNNNNNNNNNNNNNNNNNNNNNNNNNNNNNNNNNNNNNNNNNNNNNNNNNNNNNNNNNNNNNNNNNNNNNNNNNNNNNNNNNNNNNNNNNNNNNNNNNNNNNNNNNNNNNNNNNNNNNNNNNNNNNNNNNNNNNNNNNNNNNNNNNNNNNNNNNNNNNNNNNNNNNNNNNNNNNNNNNNNNNNNNNNNNNNNNNNNNNNNNNNNNNNNNNNNNNNNNNNNNNNNNNNNNNNNNNNNNNNNNNNNNNNNNNNNNNNNNNNNNNNNNNNNNNNNNNNNNNNNNNNNNNNNNNNNNNNNNNNNNNNNNNNNNNNNNNNNNNNNNNNNNNNNNNNNNNNNNNNNNNNNNNNNNNNNNNNNNNNNNNNNNNNNNNNNNNNNNNNNNNNNNNNNNNNNNNNNNNNNNNNNNNNNNNNNNNNNNNNNNNNNNNNNNNNNNNNNNNNNNNNNNNNNNNNNNNNNNNNNNNNNNNNNNNNNNNNNNNNNNNNNNNNNNNNNNNNNNNNNNNNNNNNNNNNNNNNNNNNNNNNNNNNNNNNNNNNNNNNNNNNNNNNNNNNNNNNNNNNNNNNNNNNNNNNNNNNNNNNNNNNNNNNNNNNNNNNNNNNNNNNNNNNNNNNNNNNNNNNNNNNNNNNNNNNNNNNNNNNNNNNNNNNNNNNNNNNNNNNNNNNNNNNNNNNNNNNNNNNNNNNNNNNNNNNNNNNNNNNNNNNNNNNNNNNNNNNNNNNNNNNNNNNNNNNNNNNNNNNNNNNNNNNNNNNNNNNNNNNNNNNNNNNNNNNNNNNNNNNNNNNNNNNNNNNNNNNNNNNNNNNNNNNNNNNNNNNNNNNNNNNNNNNNNNNNNNNNNNNNNNNNNNNNNNNNNNNNNNNNNNNNNACAUGUUAGUUUAGGUUGGGUAUGGACAAUUUGGGCCAUGCAUGAGUGUUGUUAGAAUUUGAUAUUUAGGAAACUAAAUGAUUAAAUGUGGAUUACUUGAUGAAUUAUGAUUGAGAUUGAGUUAUUUUUUUCUUUUCUUUUUUUCUUCAAAAUUUCUUUUCAUCUAAAGAAGCCAUUGGAUAAUCACAUGACAAUUGACUUUGAAUAAACUCUCUUGAUUUUGAUUCAUGGAAAUUUGAUUUAUCUUAAUUUUCUUAAAUAAUUCACACAUAUACACUUACAAUUUUUUUGGUAAUCCAAUUUUAAAAAUAUAUAUGAAUUGUUUUUCCUUUUGAAAAUUGUUUUUAUACCUCAUUCAUAACAAAAUUAAUCUUAAUCUCUUUUAUAAUGAAUAGUUUUUAUAUUUAAAACCUAUCUUAGUCUCUUUUAAGUAUGAAAUUUCAAAUUCUAAAAAGAAUAAUGUUGCCCAUUUUGGUUCGGUAUGCAACUUUGAAAGGUUUUAAAAAUGAAUUUUGGUUUUAAAUACAUGUGAAUUAAAAUUCAUAUUUCCAACUAAUGGAUUCUUUAUGAACUAAUUCAUGUACAUUAAAAUGGGACUUAAUAAAUCCCUACAUACAAAAAAUUUUCAAAAAUAAAGUUUUCUAUUGACACUAUUGACAACCCAUUGCAUAUUUGAAUUUGUAAAUUAUAAUUUGUCCAUUUAGAGACUCCUUAAAAUUUUUAUAAUUAUUCCAUGAUAUUCUAAACUCUUUGAACUUAAUUUAAGAAUUUUAUUUUAGUCAAAACUAAUUUCCUAAUUAGAAGAUAUAAAUCAAUCUUUUAGAAGGUUCAACUUUCAUUUUGUUUUUGACACUUAGUCUUAUUUUGCAAAAUUAAAUUACUAAACGAUUUCUUUAAAUUCAUUGAAUAUUUUUUUCUUAAUCUAAACCUCCUAAAUUUAAUUUUUGACACAUAAAAUAUUAAGAAAUAAUUACUAAAAAGGGAGAUAUAAUUUUUCUUCUUGAACCUACUGCACCUAUGCUCUCCUAGAGCUGAAAGAAUUUUACUUAUUUUUAAAUAUAUCAUGAUUUUAAUAUUGCUUUGUAAUUAUUUUUCAUUCAAAAUAGACAUGUGAGGCUAGUUGUACAUAUAUAUAUAUAUAUAUAUAUAUAUAUAUAUAUGUGUAUUUAUUUUAUUUUAGGACAUCUCCAAGUUAAGUAAAAAAAAUCAAUUGUUGAAUACUUUAACAAAAUGCCCUGUUGUGAACCUACUAAUAUCAUUAUUAAAUAAGAGCUAGUUGAUUAAUUUGAUCACUUGGAUGAUAAACUAGACAUAUAAAAUAUAUUCUCUAAAAAAUUUCAUGAUGAAAUUUAACUUCUAGAUAUUUGUUUUAGAUUUAUUUUGUAGAAUCCCCUUUUUGAUUUUUCACAAACAAAAAGUGAGUCUUGUCAUCGAGUGAGAACACAUAUGAAAAUAUGGGAUCACAAAGUGGUGACUCCACAGGGGAUCUUAGAGGGUCAAAGCUUGAACUUAAGUUAAAGUAAAUGUGAGGUUUAAUUGGUCGAUUUAUGGAUACCCCUUCUUUGUGCCUUUGUAUGAUUGUGUGAUUAAUGACACAUUGAAGAUUUUUUUAUGCUGUAAAUAUAUAUGAUAGAUGCAUGUUAGAUGAUGUUGUUUAUUUAUGAUUGUUUCUCUUGUCUAUUAUGUUUUUCUUAACAUGAUUGAUUGUAUUCUUAUCACAUGCCUAUUAUACCUUAGCAUGAUGGCUGAUCUAGUUGUAUGUCUUGUUAGAUUAUCAUGUCUUUGUUUAAUUUGAAUAUGGUGAUGGAUGAUUUAUACUUGUAUUGCAUGAUUGAUUGUUGCAUGACAACUCUUAUCUUGUAUGAUUGCUUGUUGUAUGUUCAUGUGGGACACACUUGUAUCCCCUUAACUCUGAUUCUCUAAUUUUGGUCGAUUUUGUUUCCCUUGAUCUUGUAUUAUAUACAAGACUAGUUAAUUCAAGUCUGCUUUUGACCAAGCUAGAGACUAAGAGUAGGGUUCAAUAAUGGGUUAUAUUGAUGUUUGGGAGCGUUAUGGAGAUGGGCAUGUUAAUGCUGAUAGGAGUUCGAUCAUUGAAGACCUCUAUAGCAUAAAACUAGAUUGAAUGGAUACUCGUGUGGCCAAUUUGUUCCCUUUACUAUUUUAGUCGCAUAGGUUUUUUGAAUGCACCCACAUUAUUCUAAAUGUACACUUAGAUUAACCUUAAAUGUUGAGAAAUAUAAAAUCUUUACCUAUAGGAAACUGCUUGGGAUAUGAGGAAAUGCAUGUGUGGAGGUGAUGACCAUCUUACAUGGAAGCACCUCGUCUCUUACGAGGCGUGCAAAGGGUUGCGCAUCAUCGGAGGGUACGAUCACCUUUGCUAGGGAUCCCUUUAACUCACUUUCUUAAUUUUUUUUAGGGCCACCUUGUCCUUAUAGGUUAAACUUAGACCUUUUUAUUAAGAAUUCUAAAUCCUGUAUGUGGGCGCAUCUGAGGGCCUUCAAAAGUCACUAUAAUCACAUUAGAGAUCCAAUACUUCCUCCACUUAGCUUCUUUUUAGGAGUAAUAAGAGACUUGUAAGAGUUUGAGUUAUAAUAAUAUACUUGGAAAUGUCAUGCUUGGUUAUGGUUCCUUAGUGCAAUAUAUGUAUUCCUUUUGCAUUGUGCCUUAUCCAGUCUUUGUACACCUUGUAGGAGUAGUCAUCCCUCCCAGUCUAGGUUCAUCGACGUGGGUUAGAGUCAAUGGUAGACUUGUUCGCAUAAGAGAUUAGAGAGAUAUGGACUAUAGCUAGUUACAGUUGAUCAGUUUUCCUCGGCUACGGUUUCUAUCCAAGAGGUUAUUGUGAGCCUCAAACAGAGGAUGGAUAGACAGUAGAUUCGAUAGACACCUAUUUAGGAGGAUCCUCAGUUUGACCCAGUGCCACCACUACCUCCCUCUAUUAGUCAAUUAGACCCAUCACCUGCACCAUUUAUUCUUCAUAGUCAGACUGAGGUUGCACCACCUCCUAUCAACAUGCCUACCCCUACUUCAGAUGAUACCCAUGCUCGCAUGGAUAGGCUUGAGCAAAGGCUAAGACAGAUGAGAGCUUCAGAUGGAGGGAUUACGUGGGAUGACUUUGAUGGAUCGCCAAUGGCCAGCUUAUUGGCUAAGUUCAGGAUGCCAAAUAUUGAGAGAUAUAUGGGCAUAGGUUGUCCCCGUAUUCAUUUGGGACUUUACAAUACUAUUAUGAGGGCUCACGAGUUGGAUGAAAGCCAAAUGAUUAAGCUCUUCCCUAUGUCUUUGAGUGGCAUUACCCAGAGGUGGUUUUCUUCAUUAGAUGCUCCGUGUCGUAGGACUUGGGACGACUUGGCUUAGGAGUUCUUGAGAUAGUUUACCUUUAACACUAUUAUUGAUAUCUCUAGGAGGGAAUUGGAGGCUCUGAGACAGAGGCUAAACGAGUCAGUGACUUCGGUUAUCUCUCAUUGGAGGGAGAAGAUAGCAUUGAUUAUUGAUCAUUCUUUAGAGAGAGAUCAUAUUUGCAUGAUUAUGAGGAGCUUACAACUUAGGUUUGCUAAGCAUUUGAUGGGGUUUACACAUGCAGAUUUUAGAUCUUUAGUUCAGGCUCUUUAUGAUGUUGAGGAGGGUAUUUCACAAGAUGGCCAGAGUCUUGCCCUACUAAUCUUAAGAGAAAGAAGUCAUUAGGAGGUCAGUGUUCAAAUGUGUGUGCUAUAUCUAUCUUUAGGUCGAGGCCGCCUAGAUAUCAAUUAGUCAUUUCCAUAAAAUUUCAAGGCUCAUUCUCUUUACACACCAUACCCUCAAUACUAAUAGAGGUUGUCGAUUCCUCCACAAGCUUAUGAUCAGACUUAUCUAUAUUCCAUUCUCUCUUAGCCUUACCAUGCUGCUCAGGCUAUUGAUACACCUGUUGCAUACUCCAAGUCUUGAGCAUCUCAAACCCCGGUUACUUACGCUUUUAGACUAUAGAGGUAGUUUUCCUAGUUGGGGAUGCCAUUGAGUCAACCCUUCAAGAAGCUUGCUGAUGUCGGAUUAUUAGCAGCACUAGCUCACACCCAAUACCUUUGUCGAUUCUCUCGAACUAUAGAUUGGAUCUUCAUUGGCUACACCAUCAAAUUCUAAGGCAAGACACAAAUAGGUGCACGACUUUGACACAUGCCAUACAGGAUUUGAUAAAUCAGGGUUCAGUGAACUUGGGAAGCCAAGUGUCACCACAAACCCACUACCGACUCAUUCCACUCAUCUAAUACCACCACCGAUCAGAGGUGUCCACUUUAUUGAUCUUGAUCAAGAUGACUUUAUUCACAUGAUGAGUUAGGAGGAUCAUGCACCAGAGCCUAUAGUAUUACAUGUGAGAUCAAAGGUUGAUGGGGUCACUUUGUGUACAUUGUCUAUCAUACUAUAGACCCUCAAUUUUGUCAUCCUAGCACAUGUCCUAUUAGGCACUUGUUCGAUACUUUACAACAAUUCCCUAGAAGCAGUUCACCAGUAGGUAUGAGGUUGGCGAAGAAGUGGGGAGAGGACAUUUUGGGUAUACUUGUUCUGCUUGGUUCAAGAAACCAAUGCCGAAGGGAAAAGAAGAAUUCACAGCCACGCAUUCGCCAUUAGAAGAGAAGGGGAAUAUGAGUAGGGGUCCACCAGACAAUGUUCUUUGGGUUGGCACGUUUCUUUUAUUAAGUCAAUUGAAAUAGAAAGUGCCAUUGGAAGUUUAGAAAGUGGGAUCUCUUUUAAGGCUAGAAAUACAUCUCCAAAAAGGAAAUAAAAAUUUCCCAUAGGAGUGGGCUGCCAUAUAAAUAAGACAAAAGGAACAGAAAAAAAGGAUGGAUUUUUUGGGGAGAGAUCCAGACAUAAAGCAGAGUUCUUCCAAAGAGGAUAGGCAUGGGAUACUUUUUGGGUUUUUAGAGAGAACACACGGAAUUUUGGAGGAGAGCGAGGGACUUCGGACGGAGAUCGGGCUGUCACUUUGAUCAUCAAGAGAGUAUUUUUUCAGACACAACACAGGUUAGUUUUCGUUUUCAAUAGAGCAUUCUCUUUAGUUUAGAUUUUAGUUCGUUAGUUUAAGUAAUUUUCAUGGUAAAUUCUUUUGAACGUCAAUUCGUACAAUUUUUUUCAUUUCAUUUUUUUUAUUUUUCUUAAAUUAGAUGUCUUUUUUUUUUUUUUUUGUGAUUGCAAUUCAUUAGUUCCAUGCUAGUUCAUCUUAAUUUAUAUGAUAGUUUAAUUAAAGUUUGUGUUUUUAAUUCCAAUUAGUUUAAUUUUAAUUUGUUUUUAGUUUAAAUGCAUUUGUUAAUCUUAAUUCUCUAGUUUAAAUAAUCAUAUUGAAUAAAGUUUGUGUUUUUAAUUCUAAUUAGUUUAAUUUUAAUUUGUUUUUAGUUUAAAUGCAUUUGUUAAUCUUAAUUCUUUAGUUUAAAUAAUCAUAUUGAAUAAAGUUUGUGUUUUUAAUUCCAAUUAGUUUGAUUUUAAUUUGUUUUUAGUUUAAAUGCAUUUGUUAAUCUUAAUUUUCUAGUUUAAAUAAUCAUAUUGAAUAAAGUUUGUGUUUUUAAUUCCAAUUAGUUUAAUUUUAAUUUGUUUUUAGUUUAAAUGCAUUUGUUAAUCUUAAUUCUCUAGUUUAAAUGAUAAUAUUGAAUAAAGUUUGUGUUAUUAAUUCCAAUUAGUUUAAUUUUAAUUUUUUUUAGUUUAAAUGCAUUUGUUAAUCUUAAUUCCCUAGUUUAAAUAAUCAUAUUGAAUAAAGUUUGUGUUUUUAAUUCCAAUUAGUUUGAUUUUAAUUUGUUUUUAGUCUAAAUGCAUUUGUUAAUCUUAAUCCUUUAGUUUAAAUAAUCAUAUUGAAUAAAGUUUGUGUCUUUAAUUCCAAUUAGUUUGAUUUUAAUUUAUUUUUAGUUUAAAUGCAUUAGUUGAUCUUAAUUCUUUAGUUUAAAUAAUCACAUGAAAUAAAGUUUGUGUUUUUAAUUCAAAUUGGUUUAAUCUUAAUUUAUUUUAUAAUUGGAAUGAGUUCAUGAUUUUAAUUCAAUUGUUUGAUUAAUCCUGUUAGAUAAAUUCCAUGUUUUUAAUUUCGACUUUAGUUUAGUUUUAAUUAGCUGAUUUAUUUAUUUGUUUUAGUUUAAAUGUAUUUGUAUGUUCAAUUUGAUAAUAUAGCCAAUCUUUUAGACGAUGUUGAUGUUUUUAAUUCUAAUUUAAUCUAGUAUUAAUUAUUUUUUAGUUUGAAUGUGUUUGUGCAUUUUUUAUUUUAAUCCAUUUAUAUCCAAUUUCGUAGUUGAUUAUAAUUUUAGUUAAUUAAUUUAGUUAAUCAUGUAUUAUUGUUUUCAUUUUCCAAGUAUGACAAUUUUAAUUUUAAUAUAUCAACAUUCAAUUUUAGUGUUUUUAGAGUUUUAGUUAAUUAAUCUAGUCAAUCACAUGUUAUUAUUUUCAUAUUUUGAGUAUGGCACAUUUCGGGUUUUGAUCUAUUAAUAUUUAGUUUGAGUUUUUAGGAGUUUUUGGAUAGUCAAUCUAGUUAAUUGCAUGUUAUGUUUUCAUAUUUUUAAGAUUGCUAAACUUUGGUUUUUGAUUUAUCAUAUUUCGUUAGAAUGUUAAUUUAUUUUUAUUGAUCCCAUGUUAUUAUCUCUAUAGGUUUAGUUUGUUGGUUUUAAUCCUUGAUUGGUCUGUACCUUAAUUCAUGUGCUUCUCAAAAUCAAUAUGUUAGUCUUGAAUAAUAUUUUGAUAGCUUGCUUGAUUUAGAAGUCAUUAGUUUGAUGCCUUAGUGAUUGUUGGUUAGACCCCUUUUUUUUGUAAGGCCAUUGGAAACUCAUGAAAGUUGGCCCUGUUCUCACCACUUUAGUUUGCUCGGAUUGUCCAAAAUUUCACUUUGUGAAUUCGUUUUCUUAUAUUUUGCUCGGUUUUUUAUUUCUUAUGUUUUGUUAUUUUCACAUUAAUUCCCUUUAUUUUAAAAUCAAAUGUUUUUCUCAAAAGAUAUCUUUGAAAAUUUUAUUUUAAAAAAAAUCAUUUAGAGUCUUUAGAAUCAAAAUUUUUUUUUCCUAAAAAUAAUAUGCAACCAUAUCUUGAUCAGUUCACAUCCUUCUCAAUUCUUAAUGAAAAUUUUGGUUUUGAACAAAACACGAAUCAAUGCUUGUGGUCCCAAAUAAAUAGGACAAUUCUAGGAUAAAUUCGUGUAUAUCGAUUGGGGAAUUGGUGAAACCCCCACAUAAGAAAAUCUUUUCAAAUCUUAUUUUUUCUACCACCCUUGUUAUUUAUUGUAAUCAUAUUUACAUUUUUCUUUUUUUUUUUUAGGAAUUAUAUAAUACUUGAUUAUUUCGUAUACUCUGAUCGUUUUGCUAUGCUAAUUAGAUAUGCAUGUUAGGAUUUCUUAUUUUAUUAUUUAUUGCCUAACCCCCCAUGUCCUGAGGAAGCGUAUUAUGAGUUAUCAAUGCUAUCCAGGUACGCCCCUUAUCUCCUACCUUCUAAAUUCUGUAAAUAUGAUUGUCAUUAUGAACUAUGCAUAUGUUUGAUAGUACUUGGGUGUCUUGAUAUUUGUUACAUUGUUCGAUUAUUUAUGAUAAAGUGCAUGCUGGGUCAUAUACUAUUUAAACUAACCUUUGAUGUUUUGUGAUAAUGUUUGAGAAGUGGUCCAGGUACGCACCCUAAAUCUCCUUUAUGAUUUGUGAUUGACUUUCUUGUUAGGCAUGCUAUUUUUUUUAAAUCACCCAACCUACUUAAGUAUUUAUAAUUAACCAAUUAAUUGCCACAUUUCCUACAACUUAGUUAGUAGAGACCUUUAUAUGGCUUAGAGGAGUGCUACUUCCUAGAGAUACCUUCCCAAUAAGUAACCUGAUCCCCGAACCCAAACUCGGGUUUUUCAAAGAUAUGCUUUUUCCAAAAAUUAUGAAGUCACUUUUUAAGUUUUUCUUUCUUAUUUUAUUUUCCCUUUAAAAUAAAAAUAAAAUAAGUGGCGACUCCAACUUUAAAAAAAAUAAAUAAUUUUUCACUAAAUAAAAGCGAGUCUUGCCGAUUGAGUGGGGACACAUGUGAGAAAUGCGGGUCCACACAUACCUUUUAGUUUGAUCCCAAAUAGACCUCCAUUCCAAUUUAUCCUAGUUCAUGACUUAGUUGUUGGCCACGAUGCUAUGGUUUUCUUUGUUUUGAUGCCUUAGGAUACUAAUGAGAUUAUUGAUCUAGAUGUCCAUAUAGUCACUUGUGGUGAGAGAGUGACUUAGCCUCCAUUAGAAGAGACUAGACCAUUUAAGGGCAUAGGAUCUAGAGAUGUCGUGAUACAAGAGCAUGAUGAGAUGAUGAGGUAGUUACAGAGUACACAGACUCGCAUCUCUAUCUAGAGUUUGCUAGCUUCUUCUACUACUCAUAGAGAUGCAUUGAUUAGGACUCUGAGUCAAACCAGAGUUGAGUUUGUUAUAUCUCUAAACAGUUUGAUUCACAUGUUGAUUACUAAUAGAGCUACAUGCAUUGUAUCAUUGUAUUCUCUGUUAAUGACUUACCCUUGGAGGCCUAGAUCAUACCCUACCUUUAUAUAUCAUUAUUGGUUGCUCAGGGCACCGAGUUCCAUCUAUCUUAUUGGACAAUGGCUUCACCCUAAAUGUGUCUAUUGGCUACUACUGUGGCACUUGGGUUUGGCUUGUCAAAUUUUAGGCUAUCUACGCAAUUUGUUAGAGCUUAUGAUAGCACACAGAUGGAGGUCCUUAACACAUUGACACUUGAGCUAUAGAUUGGUCCAAUUGUAUUCUUCACAAUAUUUCAGGUUUUGAGGAUACCUACAUCCUUUAACUUGUUAUUGGGCAAACCCUGGAUUCAUCGAGCUAGCACCAUACCAUCUUCCCUUCAUCAGAAGGUGAAGUUCAUACAUGAGGACAGAGUCAUUACCAUAUAGUCUAAUGGAGAUAUUUCUUCAUUCUCUGAGCCAGUUUUAUAAAUCAACCAUAGUGAGGAUGACUUAUUUUUUAUUGGUUUCACAUUUGAUGAGGUUCAUAUUGUGACUAUUAAAAAGUCUCACAAAGAUCAUGUACCUUUGCCUUUUGAUUGCCAUAGUGGCACCAUUUUUUUGAGUAUGAUGAGAGACAUGUUUUAUCUUCCUGGUUUGGGAUUGGGAUAACAACAACAUGGCAUCAGUGAGUUUAUAACUACUAUGAGUCAUGAUACACCCUUCGGUUUAGGAUAUACACUUAUAGAGGCAGACUAUCAAUACAUAGCAUAUCUACACAGACAGAGGCUUAGAGCCCGGUUACUUCACAUACCAUUUGAUUACCCACUCUAAUCAUGCAUGAUGGCUAUGACAUAUUAUUUUGUGAGCGCUUUUGAGAUGACUUUGACAUUGGAGAGUAUUAUUGGUAAAUCUGAUGGUGAUCAACAAAUUAAGGAACUUUUUCAGUAGUUUCAGUUGACAGAUAUAUUUCUUAGUACUUUCACCUCAGUAAUGGUGGCUCAUCCAUCUCUAGAUCAUGGCAACAUGAUGUCACUUUGUUUUCAUAAGGAGAUAGGUAGCCAGGAGCCAUUACUUCAACAUCUAGACAUAUCUGAUGAAGUUGACUUACCAAAUGACUACCAGGAUGAGAUAGCUAUGAUGAGUUUGAGCUAGACAUUUGAUACCAUUCAACUAGAUUCUUCUACUCCAACUGCCACAUCCAAGGCCUCUACCAUCGAGAUAUUCAACAUUGUCCAGACUAGACCCAUUUUAGAUUUAUUUGAUGUUGAUGUUUCUCUUAUAGAUGAUAUACUUGAGGGCACUAUUAGCCCGAUGGUGGUAGUGUCCAACUUUGUGGACUUAUUCCAUUCUUUUGAUGUAUUUUCGAGUUUUGUUUCAUGUGUUGAUGAAGUAUUUACUGAUUUUUCAUAUAUGGACAUAAGCAUUUUUUAAUAUUUGCCUACUUCUCAUGAGGAUGUUACCGUACAUGCACUUUGCUCUAUUUUAGCUCUUGAUUCCAUUCCCAUAGAUUAAAGGGUCUCACCUACUAUAGGAGACACUAGGUUGAUUUUGGCACACCAGAUCAGCCCAGAGAAUUGAAGAUUGGAUUGAGUUUGUCCACAUAUGAGAGAAAUUGACUUGUGCAGCUACUUAGGACAUACUUAGAUGUCUUUGCAUGGUCCUAAGGACAUGCCUUCUAUUGUUCAACACCGAUUACAACUUUUGCCACAUGUUAGACUAGUUAAGCAGAAGUUGAGGCAAUUACAUUCUCAGUGGAGUCUGAAGGUAAAAGAGGAGAUCCAAAAGCAGUUCAGUGUUAGAUUUAUAUUAGUAGUAGAGUAUCUUGAGUGGUUGACCAAUGUCAUCCUCGUUCCUAAUAAGGACAACAAAGUCAGAGUUUGUGUGAACUUUAGAGAUUUCAACAAGGACAAUGCUAAGAAUGACUUUCCCUUAUCUCACAUUCAUAUGUUGGUCAAUAGCAUAGUUAGUCAUUCAUUGUUAUCCUUCAUGGAUGGGUUUUCAAGGUAUAACCAGAUCUUGAUGGCUCUAGAGAACAUGGAGAAGACCGUUUUCAUCAUUGAGUGGGGCAUGUACUCUUAUAGGGUGAUGUCAUUUGGGUUGAAGAACAUAGGGGCUACAUAUCAGAGAAUGGAAACUAUUUUUUUCCAUGACAUGAGCACCAGGAUGUUCAGGUUUAUAUAGAUGACAUGAUAGUGAAAUCAUAGGAUAGAGCAGAUCAUUUAGUAGCCUUGGAGAGAUUCUUUGAGAGGAUCAGACAAUUCAGAUUAAGACUAAAUCCUAAGAAAUGCACCUUUGGAGUGACUUCUAGGAAAUUAUUGGGAUAUAUGGUUAGUGAGAGAGGCAUAAAGGCAGACACAAAGAAAAUUAGAGCCAUUCUUGAGAUGCCUACAUUGAGGACCGAAAAAAAGAUUGGGAGAUUUCUUGGCAGGCUACAAUGCAUUAGUAGAUUCAUAGUUAGAUUGACAAACAUAUGUGAGUCCAUCUUCCGACUCUUAAGAAAGAACCACCCUACUAUUUGGGAUGAUCAUUGUCAAUGUGCCUUUGAGAGGAUUAGAGAGUAUUUGUUGUACUCUCCAAUUUUUGAACCCUCUACUCUAGGUCGACCUUCCUUUUGUAUUUGUUUGUCUUAGAGAUAGCUUUGGGAUGCAUAUUAACUCAGCUCGAUGAUCUAGUCAAAGAGCGAGCCAUUUAUUAUUUAAGUAAGAGGAUGCUAGAGUAUGAGAUGAGAUACAUUUUGAUGGAGCGCUUCUGCUUAGCAUUGGUAUGGGCUACCAUGAGACUAAGACAUUACAUGACAUAGUAUUCAACACACUUGAUAUCUCGAUUGGAUCACUUGAGAUAUUUUUUUGAUAGGCUUACUUUACCUAGUAGAUUGAUGAGAUGGCUAGUACUCAUGAUUGAGUUUGAUACUCAAUAUGUUACUCAAAAGUCUAUCAAAGGGAGUGUUUUUGUAGGUCACCUGGCUUCAUUACUAGUUUCAGAUAGUGGAGUUAUAGAUGAUGAUUUCCUUGAUGAAGGGAUUGUUAUUGUGACUAGACUACCAGGUUGGGGUAUGUACUUUAAUGGUACAGCCAACCCUUUUGGAUAGGGGAUAAGAGUAUUUUUUAUAUCCCCUUAUGGUGAUCAUAUUCCGAGAUCUGUUGUUUUGACAUUCCCAAAUCAAUAUCCUACCAUGAACAAUAUAGUCAAGUACAAGGCUUGCAUAUUAGGAUUGGAGACAGCUUUAGAGUUGGGUAUUAGACAAAUGGAAAUAUAUAGGGACUCCAACUUGAUACUGAGACAAAUUUAGGGCACCUAGAAGACUAGGGAUGUGAAGCUCAGACAUUAUCAUGCUUACUUAAAGCUACUGGUCAGGAGGUUCAAGGAUUUAAGAUACACCCAUAUGCCAAGAGCAUAAAACUAGUUUGUUGAUGCCUUAGCUACCCUAACUUCUAUGAUUGACAUUCUUAUUUAUGUUGUUAUUUGUCCAUUGGUGAUAGAGUCGAGGAUUGUGCCAGCAUAUUGUUAUUUGAUUGAUGAUGUAGAGAUUCAUGAUGACUUUACUUGGUAUUAUGACAUUUAUUAGUUUCUCAUUUUCGACACAUACCCUAAGGUUGCCACAACUAAGAAUAAGAGAGCUUUGAGACAGUAGACCACCAGAUUUGUGAUAUGUGAUGAGACAUUGUACAGACGAUUAGCUAAUGGCAUGUUACUGUUAUGUCUAGACCGUACCUCUAUCGAUAGAGUGAUGAGAGAGGUUCAUGUGAGAGUUUGUGGAUGACACAUGGGAGGACAUAUAAGAUCAUGAGGAUUGGAUACUUUUGGUUGACCAUGAAGACAGAUUGCUACCAAUUCAUUCAGAGAUGUCUAGGGCGUCAGAUGCACAGUGAUCUUAUUUAUACUCGACCUUUAAAGUUACAUGCAUUGACCUAAUCGUGACAUGUAGACCCUUCAUUUUGUUCUACUAGCACAUGUCCUAUUACAUGUCUAUUUGAUACUUUAUAAUAAUUCUCUAGUGACCCAUUAGUCACCACCUUAGGCCCACUUUGGCACCCUAGGCGCAUUUAGAUGCACUUGGCCCAUUAGGUACACUCCUAGGUCACUUGACACAUUUCUAAUCACCCUACAUCACUAUUGUCCCACUGGCAGCUGCGACGACUCCCCUUUUUGGACAGCAUGGGCAGCGUACAUUUGGCCACCUUUGUCAGGACCACCCUAGCCCCGGGGUAGGUUUUUUAUCAUGUGAACCUCGUCGGCGAUGGCAUUUCGCCACCCCCACCGCACCAUGCAGUAGCCACAUUUUUUUUGUUUAUUUCUUCUUUUAAUGUUAAAGUUUAUUUAUUUAUUUAUUUCUCAAAUAACUCUUUAAAAUUCCAUUUUUUCAAAUACUAUUCUCAAAUAGUUUUCCAAAGUUUCCAAGAUUCCAAAAUUUCAAUUUAAUUUUUUAAGAUACCAUUUCCAAGUAAUUUCCAAAAUUCCAAAAAAAAAAAGAACAAAAUUUAGUUUUAAAAAAAUACCAUCUUCAAAUAAAUUUUCCAAAAUUCCAAAAUUUCAAUUUUUAAAAUACUAUCUUUAAAUAAAUUUUCCAAAAUUCUAAAAUUUGAAUUUUUAAAAUACUAUCUUCAAAUAAAUUUCCCUAAAUUCCAAAAUUCUUUUUUUUUUAAAAAAAAAAAUACCAUUUUCAAAUAAAUUUCCCAAUUUUCCAAAUAUUCCAAUUUUCGAAAUUUAAUUUUUUGAAAUAAUUUCUCAAAUUUUCAACUUUCGAAAAUUCUAAUUUAAAAAAAAUACCAUCUUCAAAUAAAUUUUCCAAAGAUUCCAAUUUAAAAAAUUUAAUUUUCCAAAAUAAUUUCUCAAAAUUCCAAAAUUCCAAAAUUCCAUUAUUUUAAUAAAAUUUAAUUUUCAAAAUUCCAAUUUUCCAAAAUUUCAAAUUUUAAAUUUAAUUUUUUAGAAAUCCAUUUUCAAAAUAAUUUUCUAAAAUUUCAAUUUCAAAUUUAUUUUUUUCAAGAUUCCAUUCUCAAAAUAAUUUUCCAAAAUUCUAAUAUUCAAGUUUAAUUUUCUAAAAUUUCAUCCUUGAAUAAUUCUUCAGAAUUCCAAUUUUUGAAACUUGAAUUUUCACACAAUUUUUUAAAACUCUAGUUUUAUUUCAAAUGAUUUUAAUCCCUCUCCAGUUUUCAAAUUUUUUUUUUUUAAUUCUAAUACUUUUCAUCCUUCAUUUAAGGUUUUAAGUCACUAAAAAUCCCAUUUUUAAAUAAAGUUGUUGCUUUUCCUUUCACUUUCUCAAAUUUUCUUUGAUUCUUAAAUUAAUUUUCUACUUUCCUUGAUUUUUAAUAAGCAUGAAGGUAAUUUUCAUAAUUCCAAAAUAAUAGAAUUUGUGAGAUUAAUUCAUGCAAAAUAAAUUGGGCUUUGGUGGGGGCCCAACAUUUAUAACAUUUCUUUCGAAAAUAAGUAAUCGAUUUUGUUUGAUUUUGAUUUGGUUUUGUGUGAGAUUUUUUUUUGCGUUUGUCACUGCACACUAACCUUGUGUUCAUGACAACACUUUAUUACUUGCUACCAAGGUAUGCUCUUAUCCUCACUUUGUUUAUUAUUUUGUUAUCAUGACUUGUUUUCAAACUAUGAUCAUUUUGGUAUCCAAUGAUUUCCUAGUUAAUUUUCAUGCUUGCUUCACCUUAUUUAAUAGAGACUCAUUUUUAGGGGCUUAAAGGGGUGCUACGAACCCAGUUUUGGUUUUUCACAUACCGUCUUUUCCAAAUGAGGAGUCACACUUAGGGUUUUCUUUCUUAUUUUGUUUUCCCUUAAAAAAAAUUUUAAAAAUAAGUGGCGACUCCAAGUCUUUUAUAAAAAUCAUGUUUUUCACCAAAUAAUAGAAAAAGGAGUCUCGUUAAUCGAGUAGGAACGCAUCAUUGAAAAAUGCGGGGUCUAUAAAUUAGUGACUUUGUUAGGGAUCGAACCCAGAAUCUCUGGUUUCAUAGAAGAUCAAGCUUGAUAAGUUGAGGCAAAUGUGGUGUUUGAUUAGGUGAUUGAUAGAUACCUUCUCUUUGUGCUUUUCUAUGAUCAAGUGUUCAUUGCACACUAAGAGUUUAAUGUGAUGAUUUCCCAUGCUUAACUAUCAUAUUCAUUUGGGACAUUAAUGUGCUAAUAACAUUGAUUGAUUCUCUUUGUUGUCAUUAGUCUAUUGGUUUUGCUCUUGCCAUGAUUAUCCUACUCACUUUGACAUGUAUGCUCACUUUGUUGUAUCUCUUGUUUGUCUUAGUGUUAACUCUUUUACUUGUAUAUUAUCUUGAUCAUCUUUAAGCAUGCUAUAUUUGUCACUAUUCGUCUUAAUUGUCAUAUUCUCGUUUAGCUUGUGUGUAGACAUGGAUGAUAUAUCUACGCUUUGCUUGAUUUUUUGUUGCAUGACUACUCUUCUCCUGUGUGUUUGCAUGUUGCUUGUCUGUGUGGGUCGCACAUCUACCCCCUUACCUCCAACCCUCUGGUUUCGGUCAUUUCCUUCAUCUCAGUUCUUACUUUUGCAAGUGUGAGGCCUUGUGUGUGCUUGUUUCUUUGAUCGAGCUAAAGGUUAGGAGUAGGGUCUAGUGACGGGCUAUAUCGAUGUUUAGGAGCAUUCUAGAGGAGGCCGAAACAUUGAUGCUGAUUGGAGUCUGAUCUUUAAAGAUCUGUAUAGCCCAAAGCUAGGUUUUAUGGAUAUUUGUGUGACCAGUGUGUUUCUUUUUUUGUUUUAGCUUUAUAGGAUUUUGGGAUGCACCUACACCACUCAAUGUGCACUUUAGUUGACUGUUGAAUGCUGAGAGUUGUGAGAGCUUUCACUCUAGGAAACCCCCUAGGAUGUCGAGGUAGUGCAUGUGUGGAGGUGAUGACCACUUUGCAUGGAAGUGUCUCAUCUCUUUGGAGGCGUGCAGAUGGUUGUGUACCACCGGAGGCUAUGAUCGCUUCUACUAGGGAUCCUUUAACCCACCUUGUUUUUUUUUUGUUUUUUUUUAUUUUUUUAUUUUUAGAGCCAUCUUGUCCUCAUAGGCUAAUAUUAGGCCAUAUUAGGACUCCCUUCCUACACAUGGGUGCAUUUGUGGGCCUUCAAAGUUGGGUUAGUAGCAAUAGGUUUAGUUACUUUCGUAGUAGUCUCUUUUAUAUUUGCUUAGAAUUGGAUAUCAGUUUGAGUACUUCCAGGUUACCUUCCUGCAUAGUUAAUAGACAUUCCUUGUAGAGUUUCCCUUACACCAUAUCUUAUCUAGUGUUUCCACUAUUCCAAGAGUAUUGAUACGUUCGAUCUGGGUUCAGCUUCUUAGAUCAAAAUUAGAGGUAGAUUGAUCAGAGUGUCAAACUAGUCAGAUAAGACAAAUAUAGAUUCAUAGGUGGUUACAAUUGAUUAGUUCGUUGUUGCUAUGGCUUCGAUCCAAUAGGCCAUAACUAGUCUUUAGGUUAGAGGAUGGAUGGGCAACAGACCCAACAGGUUCCAAUUCAGGAGAGUGUGUUGUAUGAUCCCACUAUUCCGCCACCUCUCCUACCUUGUUAGGCAACUCCACAAGACACUCAGAUAUCACCACCUUUCCCCACUUGGUCAAACACUUCCACAACCUACACCAUUUAUUUUGCAGAGUCAGAUUGAGGUUGACCCAUUACCUGCCAUGGUGGUUGUUCUGACCUUAGAGGAUGCCCAUGCACACAUGGAUAGGCUUGAGUAGAGGAUGAGACAGUUGAGAGUAUUAGAUGGAGGGAUGGUAUGGGAUGAUUUUGAUGGACUACCAAUGGCCAGUUUACCUGCCUAAUUCAAGAUGCUAGAGAUCGAGCGAUACACGGGGAUUGGAUGCCUCUACAUUCAUUUGAGACUAUAUAGUAUUAUGAUGAGGGUUGACCAUUUGGAUAAGGCUCAGAUGAUUAUGCUAUUCCCUAUGUCCUUAAGUGGGGUGACCCAAUGUUGGUUUGCUUCUUUGGACGUGUCACGCCAUCGAACAUGGGAUGAUUUAGCCCAAGAGUUCCUACGAUAGUUUGCAUUUAACACUAUCAUAGAUGUCUCAUAGAGGGAGUUUGAGGCCUUUAGGCAAAGGCCCAAUGAGACAAUCACAUCAUUCAUUUCCCGUUGGAGGGAGAAGAUUGCCUAGAUCAUUGAUAGGCCAUCUGAGAGGGAUCAAAUCAGCAUGAUUAUAAGGACUUUUCAACCUCGAUUUGUUAGACAUUUGAUGAGGUUCCCACAUGUGGACUUUGGAUCUUUGGUGCAGGCAUUAUAUGGUAUCGAGGAGGGCAUUACUAGAGGAUUGUGGCUUGAGUCUUCUUCUUCAAACUCGAAGGGGAAGAAACUAGCUAUUGGAUAGAGAUCAGGAGACAUCAAUGCCAUCAGUGUUUGGACAGAAAUUGGGAGACAUCAGUGCCACCAGUGUUGCUAAACCGAGGUCCCCUAUAUAUUAUCAGACAGUUGGGUAGACUUCGGGAGUUUAUUAUCCAUCAUCAUCCUAGGUGCAGUAUAGGCCACCUUUUCCUUUUAGACCUAUGUCUCCCACAUAUUUACACCUAACUCCACAACCAGUUUAUGCUACUUAGACCACAUAGAGGCUGCCUUCUCAUUAUCCCCAGCAUAGGGCUCCAUCUGCAUAGAGACAGAUGCGACAGUUUUCCUAGUUGGGUAUGCCUUUGAGUAGAGCUUUCUAGAAGCUCCUAUAGGGAGGAUUAUUGAUUGCAUUAGCAUUGAGACCACCACUUCAGCCUAUGUCACCUUAGUUCAGGUUAGACCUUCAUUGUGCUUACCAUCAGGGUCUAAGACAUGACACUGAUUACUACUCUGCUCUGAGACAUGUUAUUUAGGACUUGAUAGAUCAGGGUCUGGUUAACUUGGGGCAACCAAGUGUGACUAAAAACCCUUUACUUGCUCACACCACACAUUCAGUGCCUCCACCUACUGGUGGUAUUCAUCACAUGCAUUUUGUUCAAGAUGACGUCAUGCACAUGCUGAGUUGGGAUGAUGGAUUGCCUAAAAUGAUUGUUCCAAAUGAUGGCUAUGAGAUUGUAGGAGUUACAUCAAAUUUUUCGAUCCCUAUACCAUUCAAUUUGGUCCUAGAUAUAACAACAUUACAAUUGAUUCCUUCUACACCAUCAAAUGUCGGGCAUGAGGACACGUUUACCUCGUUUAUUCUAUGGCCAAAGGAUAUUGAUGUACAUGUUAUGACUCGUAGUGGGAGGAUAGCUCAAGCUACACCUCCAAUUACUAGAACAUUUGAUGGUACAGACUCUCGCAAGGAGGUUAGAAGGGAAGAUGAUGAAAUCUUGAGACAACUGUAGAGCACCCAGGCUCGGAUAUCCAUUUCGAGUUUGUUGGCCACUUCUAGUACCCAUAGAGAUGCACUUAUUCGAGUUUUGAGUCAGAUACAUGUUGAGAUCUCUACUACUCCAAAGGGAUUGAUUCAUAUGAUGACAGCCGAUAGGACCACUUGUAUUGUGUUUUCUAUUGAUGAUCUACCACCAGCGAGUUUUGGUCAUACUCGCCAUCUCCAUAUUACAGUUGUUUGUUUAGGCCAUAGAGUCUCAUAUGUCAUUUUGGACAAUGGCUCGGCUCUGAAAGUCUACUCCUUAUCUACUGCCAUUGCUCUUAGUUAUGCACCCUUAGACUUUGGUCUCUCUACUCGGACAGUCAAAGUGUAUGAUAGCACUAAAAGGGAGGUCAUGGGCACUUUGGAGAUUGAGUUAUUGAUAGGUCCAACCACAUUUCCUACUUUGUUCUAGGUUUUGAGGAUUCCUACAUCCUUUAACCUACUAUUGGGCCGACCUUGGAUUCAUAGAGCUAGAACCAUUCCAUCUUCCCUUCAUAAAAAAGUGAAGUUUAUCCAUGAUGGGCAGGUUAUUACAAUAUAGUCUACCAGGAACAUGAUUUCAUCAUCUAAGGCAGUAUUGCAGAUUAGUCAUAGUGAUGGUGAUAUUUUUCUCGCAUGAUUCACAUUUGAUGAGGUAUAAACCCUUGAGAUUCAGGAUUUUUGUAAAGAUUUCGUGGCCAUGUCAUUUGACCAAUAUAGUAGUAUCCUUGUUCUUGAUAUGAUGAGAUAUAUGUCUUUUCUACAUGGUUUUGGGUUAGAACAACGCCAACAUGGAUCUAGUGAGUUUGUGACUACAGUUGAUCGUGAUACUCCUUUCAGUCUUGGUUUUGUUCCUACAAAGGUUGAUUACAGAUACAUGGCAAUUUUGCACAAGGAAAGACUUAGAGCUUGAUUGCUCCACAUGCCAUUUGACUAUCCUAUUUUUCCAUACAGGAUGAGCUUAGCAGAUUAUUUCAUGAGGGCACCAGAAGACGUUGCAUGGUUGAUGGAUCUAGAUAGAAACCAAUUCUCGGAGCCAACCAAUGUAGAUCAGCUGAAGAAGUAUUAUGUUUGAGACCAUGGUUUUAGGAUGGGUGACCAUCAUUUCAGUUAGCCACAUACCUUGUUAUCCCCUUUUGACAUACAGACCGUUGCUAGCCUAUUGAGCCUCGCAUGUGCAUCAGAGUCUUUAUUUCUUCUUAUCUUGCUUACACUUCUACACUGAAAUAUAGGCCCUUUAGUGUAUGCAUGCUUCAUUUAGGAGUUUCAUGAGCCUUGGGCCUAUGGGCGCAUCUUUCUCUCAUUAUUUUUCCUACCAUCACACUAUUGCAUUUCCUCAUAUCUAAUUGGUUCUAUUUUUCAUCUCUAUUUUGUCGCAUUUUCUACUUGUUCUGCUUCAUCUUUUCUCCACCUUGAGUAGUGAUCCUUCUCAGUUCAUUACAUGGAGGAUAGUCACAUCAUUUCCACUAUCUAUCUCACAAACACUGAUUUAGAGAUCCUUAGUUUGAGAAGGUCAUCUCAUUAAAGAGAGCUUAUGUUACUUUAGCACUUGAGAGUGUGUCUAUCCAUUAUUGAUAUCAUCUUUGGGGCUUAUUUUGUUCAUGUUCAAGGGAUGUGCAUUUGUAUAUAUGUAAAAAAAAUGAAAAAAAAAAAUUGAAAGGAGAAAAAAAAUUAAAAUAAGCACAUGUGUGUAUGUGCAUAGUAUUCUCCAUCAUUGAGCAUACAUAUUGAUAUCCGAUGGUCAUUUUAUCGAGUAUGUUUGUUGGUGAAAGUUUGUAUGUGAGCUUUCCAAGAUCAUUUUUUAUUUGUAUUCACUUCGUCACAUAUUUUCUUUGAGAGUGAGAUGAAUGACCUUCUCAUAGGGCUCUGGGUCAUUGUCUUUUCCAUUAUUAUAUUCAUUGUUGAUGUGACUUAACUUCAUGUUUGAUUUGGGUUGAUCAUCACUUUUUUUUUUUGCAUAUUCAUUGUUUCGCUAUCAUCCUCAUCAUUGCUUUUGAUUCAUCACCUUUGCUUCACCCACUUUUUUUUUCUUACACUGACCUAUUCCAAGUUUGAUAUUCCCCUUUGCAUCAUUCUGGCACAUCUCAUUAUCAAUUUGAUUUGCUUCAUUGUCUCAUUAUUGAUAUUUUAUUCACAUUGGGCACCCUCAGGUCCAUGACUCACAAACUCUUCUAUACAUGUUGCAUUUUAUACACGAGGACAUGGGUUUUUGAUCAUUGAGUAUUUGGGCUUAGUUUCCUUUCAUUUCUAUUACCCUAUCACCCUAGCCUAUGUUAUGUCCCGUGUCUUAAGAUCAUCCUGAGGCCAUGGGAUCAGAUGUCGUCUUCGACAGCCCCUACUUAGACAAGUGUUUGAGAUUUGGUUGAUCUUUAGAUACCAUCAUGCUUUUUCUUCUGGGAGAUGCCUCUAUGAUGUUUGGACCUGAUUCAAUUAUGGAUAUAAAUGAUUGGGAUUGGACAUUUGAUGAUGGAUGAUCCGAUGUUCUCUGAUUUUUUUGAUCUACCAUACAUAUGAUGUCGUACUAGGGCAUAUUUUCAUUUUAGUUGAGAUUUAUAGAUCUUCAUGGAGUUGCAUGAUCAUCUCCACUUACGAGAUGAAGCACUGUUUGUUAUCUUAUCAUGAUUUCCUAGUGGAGCCUUUUUUGGGCCAUUCAAUCAGGCCCACACUUUUUGAUAUUUAGAUGCCAUCAUGCUUCUUCUUUUGGGAGAUGCCUCUAUGAUGUUUGGACCCGAUUCAAUUGUGGAUAUGGAUGACUGGGAUUGCACAUUUGAUGAUGGAUGAUCCAACAUUGUCUGAUUUUUUUUAUCUACCAUACAUCUGAUGCCAUACUGGGGCAUAUUUUCCUUUUGGUUUAGAUUUAUAGAUCUUCAUGGAGUUGCAUGAUCAUCUCCACUUACGAAAUACACAUUGAGACAAUGACCUAUUUGUUAUCUUAUCAUGAUCCCCUAAUGGAGCCUCUUUUGGGCCAUUCAAUCAAGCACACACUAUUUGAUAUUUAGAUGUCCUCAUGCUUCUUCUUCCGAGAGAUGCCUCUGUGAUAUUUGGACCCCAUUCAGUUUUGGAUAUGGAUGACUAGGAUUGCACAUUUGAUGAUGGAUGAUCCAAUGUUGUCUGAUUUUUUUUCGAUCUACCAUACAUCUAAUGCCAUACUAGGGCAUAUUUCCAUUUCGGUUGAGAUUUAUAGAUCUUUAUAGAGUUGAAUGGUCAUUUCCACUUAUGAGAUACACACCAAGACGAUGACCUAUUUGUUAUCUUAUCAUGAUCCCCUGGUGGAGCCUCUUUUAAGCCAUUUAGUCAAGCUCACACUUUUUGAUAUUUAGAUGUCCUCAUGCUUCUCGUUUUGAGACACGCCUUUUGAUAUGUCGAUCUGAUUCAGCUAUGGACAUGGAAUACUAGGAUUACACACUUGGUGAUGGAUGAUUUGGUGCCAUCUGAUUUUUCAACCUACCACACAUCUGAUGCUAUACUGGGGCAUAUUUCCAUUUUGGUUGAGAUUUGUAGAUCUCCAUUGAUUUGCAUGAUCAUCCAUAUUUAAGAGAUACAUGUCAAGUUGUGGUUGGUUUUUAUUUUACGAUGAUUCCCUAGUGGAGCCUUUCUUGAGUCAUUUAGUCAGGCUCAUACUUUCUAAUAUUGUCGUGAUUCUUUGAUGGAGUUAUCUCAGGCGCAUAGACUCCCAUAUCAUCAUUUCAGUGAAGUACAUGUUAGAUUUAUUAUAUAUCCCCAUUGAGUUAUUCUCAAGUCAUCAGGACAGACCAGAUGUACUAGUUGCUAUACAAAGCUGUUACCAUUUUCUUUAUUCAGUUGAGGGAUAUUUAUUCGUAUUACUGGUCACAAUAUCGAUGAUUUAUGCCGAGAUGAGCCUUUAAAGGAGCCUGACCUUUGGGUUUUGACUAUCUCAUUACCUAUGACUCUUUAGUAGAUCGUUAUGCUGCGAUUGUGACAGUUGCCCUAGUGGACCAUUUUUCUUGAGACCCGCCAAUGGAUCGUUCCUUUGAGAUGACGACAGAUUCCUCCAGUAGGGUAUCUUGAGUUAGAGGCAUCUGGAUUAUUAUGACACUUUGUUAGGCCUCGUGAUUUAGUCAAAUGGGUUGUGAGACUUUAUUUUAUAGUUGAUUUGACCAUUCCGACUUGUCAGUAGAGCAUCUUUUGAGACUCAUGGAGUCUCUUUUAGACCCUUUUAGUGGGUUGAGAUUUGCAACAACAUGCCACACUAGGGCAUAUUUCCCCUCAUCAUUCAUUUUAAGCUUGGCGUUCAGAGCCACCAUCUCUUCUAGUUUUAGGCAUUCAGAGCCACCAACUUGGUUUUCAUAAACCCGUCUUUUCUUUCAAGAGUCACAUUUAGGGUUUUUUUUUCUUAUCUUGUUUCCCUUAAAAAAAAAGAGUAAGAGAUGACUCCUUUAUUUAUAAAAUUAAUUUUUCACAAACAAAAAGCGAGUCUUGCCAUCGAGUGGUAACAUAUGUGAAAAAAUGGGAUCACACCUAUCUCUCUUUCCAUAGUUUAUUUAUUCAUUUGGAGACCCUUGGAAAGUGAUUGGAGGUCGUUCCCUGAUUCUUUAAGCUUGACUUCCCCAGCCGGAUCUUUUAAUCAAAAACAUUUAUAAAACCUAUGACCUUAUACUGGCGUAGCAAAGCUACUGUAGUAUAGCAGUUCUAGGGUCGAACUCAGGGAUGGGUUUUCACUCUACCAAUGAUAGACUCUAAAUUAGAAAUUGAUUCUGAUGAUUUCCUUUAGCACAAACUUGAAAUUUAAAAGAAAUUAAAAUUGUUUUGAAAGUGGUGAUUUAAACUAAACUCACAUAGAACUAAGUAAAAAGUGGAAGAAAGAAAGUCUCUCGGAGAUAAAGGUUGCUAGGUUCAAGUUCCAGAUGCAAAGUGGAAAAUUCCGGAUUUUUCUCCUCGCAUUGGGGAUUUAACCUAUAGUUAUUUCCCGAACCGGUAUAGGUUUGACAAUGAAGUUUUAAUCCAUAAAAAAUCAUUAGAGAUGGUAGUCAAGGUCCAUUAAUGACUUAAGACACUAUGGACUAUCACCUUGAAUCACUUUCCACUGGCUCGUACAUGAUAACUAAUGGACUGAUAUGGAUCUAGCAAUAAGCAUCCACAGAGACCUUAAGCUUACCAUGUAUUGGCCAGUCAAAGUGAUCCUAAGGGACUUAAGGCAAAAACCUUGGCUUUAAAAGCCAUUUAUGGACUCCAACUACCUGAAUUCAAUGCACGAAAACUUUCCACCUUUUAAUCUGGACUUUUCACCUAGCUUCCUUCACUCCAAGAAACUAAAUGUUUAGCCUCUCAUCCUCUGGGAAAACAUCCUCAGAGGGUGUUUGGCUUGCAAGAAAAUAGAAAAUAGAAGAGAAAAGAAAGUAAAAGAGAUCUCUGUAUUUCACUAAGUAACAAAUUUACAAUAGUUGGUCUCCUGGAGAAAGCUCCCCGACGAAGAUAUAUAUUCAGUGAUUACAAGAGAAUUUAUAUAGGAAGGUAGUUUUACCCUUCCUUGGAUACUUCCUAGCUAAGGAAUUACAUGGUUGGUUGAAUACAAGGAGAAAAUGGAAAUUUAAACACAAAAAUAUCAGAAGAAAAAGAGUCGGCAAAAAUAUCCAAUUUUCGCACGCUGAGUUCCAAUUUCGCAUGUUGGUUUGAGGUGUGCGAAAAUUUCGCACAGUGGACUGAGGAUUUCGCACCUUAAACAGUGGUGUGCGAAAUUGUUCCUCAGCUUGAUGCAGUUGUCUUCCGAAGUCCAUAUCUUCCUCAUUUCAGCUCCAAAUCAUAUAUGGUUUGAACCGUUGGAUUCUUGACUUUCUGAGCUUCGAAAUGGUAUAUAGAAUGCAGAAAAUGGACAUCGGGAAGUGCUCCAAAAGUGCACUAAAAGACUGCAGCUGUGUCCCCUGUUUUCAUCCCCUGUUUUCUUCUUCUCCAUUGUUUCUCCCUUGUAAACUUUGAACGAUUAAGGCAAAGGAUUAUGAGGCUCCAUAGCUUGAUUUCUUCAUAAAUUUAAGCUUUCAAAAGCUUUGCCCUGAACUAUAAAUAGCUCUCCCUCAUUCUUAAAUUGCUUUGGUGAGCAUAAAGCUAUCAAAAAGCACCAAAACUUAACACAAUUGUUAGAAACGAUUGCAAGGGCUCCUAACAUGCUAAUUGGGUUAAAAGGUAAUAAUUACUACUCAAUGGUGUUUAAAAGAGCUAAUUACAAGCUAUAAAAUAGCAUGUUUUGAGUAGUAAUCACUCCCCCCAACCGACAUAUUGCUAGUCCCUUAGCAAUUAAGGAGAGGAAAACUAAGCAAACGUAAUAAUAUAUAUAAAAGAGGUCAUGCAAUUCAUUCCAAAAAAUAAUUGAGUGGCAUGACUGAUAUCAAAACACAUCUCACAUGGUGAACUAAAGAUAUGAAGAUUCAAAAUGCAAUAGGAGUUGUCCAAGCUAAAAACUUAAACAAAAAGUACAAAGAGUGGAGAUUAUGCAAUUAAGUAUCAAAAGAAUCUCUACUCUCAAGGUUCCAAAUCAAACUCUUCCAUAAUAAGCUAAGUGUUAAUGAAAUUAGCUUCCGGAUAUAGUAUAUACAACUAUCCUCACCCUCCAACCUAAGCUUUUCUCGGAUAUUGGUAACAUUAACCAACUCUUAAUAGGUUAAGAACGCACCUUCUUAUUCGCAAUUCUUUUUACUUACUAAACUUAACCAAUUCACCCAUGUAGCAAGCAGAGGAUCGAUGACUCCCAACCAAUUAAGGUUUAGGGCAUCGGGUUUUAAAGGCUUUCGCCACCCCUUCGGAUCAUACUUAGGUUUCAAGGAAAGAAUAGAAGCUUAUUCUCUUUUUCUUUUUCUAAGACUCAUUGGUCUUUUUCUAAGACUCAUUGGUCUUUAUGAGGUGUCCCAACACUAUUUAAAAAGAGGUUAAGUAAUAAACCAAGUCAAAAUUUUCCUAAGCUUAGAAAGUGAGAAAGUUUUACAUUUUAUAUCCGGGAUCUAAUGUGCACAGUGUGUGUAAAGCUCGAAAUGGAAGAAGAAAGUUCAAAAUCAAAGAGGCUUCAAUAGAUUAUCAACUUUGAAAGCAUAAAACAAACUCUAAGACUUAAAUAAUUAAGUUAAAACUCGACUUAUCCUAUUUUAUUUUUGAGAAAUUAUCUUUAACAACCAGAGAGAAUGAUUCAAAAAACUUUAAAAAAUUUUAAAAUUUAAGCAAAAAUUAACUAAAAUACCAAAAUAACUUAAUAUUGACAACAAAACUUCCUUUCUCAAUUCUCCCCCCCCAACCAAGUUGAACAUUGUCCCCAAUGUUUCAAAAGCGAUUAAAAAUAAAGGGAGGAAGUGGUACCUCCUGAGUGAGAGAAAGUCUGAGUGUAAAGGAGGUAUGCAGUACCUUAAACCACAUGUUCCAAGGACAAAAGAGUAAUGAGAAAAGGGAAUAUAAUAAAAAAGGAUAUAUAUAUAUUACUUGAAAAAGAAAUAUACAAUGUAUGAUUUCAAGUACUAUUUCCAAUCCCAAUUUAUAACACAUGCAAAAGAUGGGAUUUACAAGUCUAAAAUAAAAAGUAAAACAUAAAAAGAUCAGAUAUGAGUGGGGUCAUGUGAUGGCUCUGCUCUGAUCUCCUCCUCUGGUAUAGGCUGCUCAGCUGGCAAGCUCUCCUCAUCUGGCACUAGAGGCUCGGAUGGUGCAGACCUAUCAUGCCCAAGAGGGGUCUGCAUACUCAGAUGUUGCUGAAUCUGAUGAAGGAUCGUGGUAUGCUGGGCCUGAGUAGCGAUGAUCUGAUCCUGGUGUGCCCGAAUAGUGGCCAUCUGGUGGAUAAUAGAAUCCUGAGCAGUGCUCAGUGUCCGCAAUGAACGCUCUAAGCCUCUGAAUUCUGUAAGAGAAAUGGUGACAGUGGGCUCAGAUGGAGGAGGAGGUGCUGGGGUAGCNNNNNNNNNNNNNNNNNNNNNNNNNNNNNNNNNNNNNNNNNNNNNNNNNNNNNNNNNNNNNNNNNNNNNNNNNNNNNNNNNNNNNNNNNNNNNNNNNNNNAAGGAGCUUCCCCCUCAGAUGGGGGAAUGGCCGGGGUCUGAACGGGAGGUGAAGGUGCAGCUCCAUGGCGGCUCGCUGUGGCGAGGUGUCGGUGAGGAUGGGGAGGCGGAAAGGCCUCCUCUGGUCUUCGCCAUGGCCGAAAUGAAGGGGAGAUGGGUGUUCGGGAUUCCAGAGGUUUUUCAGAUGGUGCUUAGGAGAGUCCUUUGAGCUUCUGGACUUCAGGGGUUUAUAUAGGAAUGAGGUUUAAGGGGUUUCUGAUCUUUUAAAAUUUUCCAAGGCAACCGAAAAGUCGUUUUUGGACGUUAGGCACAAUUUCAGGGGUAAAAUUUUAAUUUAAAAGUCGGUUUUAAAUUUUUAGAAGUUAAAAUUUUACCGUGCGAAAUUUUCGCACCUUGGCCUGCAAAUUUCGCACAUUGGAAUUGGGUGUGCGAAAAUGGCACCCUUUUUACUGAUGAUUUCGCACGUUAAAAGGAGGUGUGCGAAAUUUUCGCACCUUGAAUAGUGGUGUGCGAAAUUUUCGCACACUAUUUCGCACAGUGCGAAAAUCAGCUUGAGGUGUGCGAAAUUGGCACACGUGUGCCAGGAGAGGAUUUCGCACAGUGCGAAAAUUUUCGCACCUUCCACAGUGGUGUGCAAAAUUGGAUUUUAGGAAAUUCGCACCUUGAAAAGGGAUUUCGCACCUUGAAAUUGAUUUCGCACCUUGAGGUAGGGGUGUGCGAAAAUGGCUUCUUUUGGCCCAAGGAUUUCACACCUUGGUUUUGGGGUGUGCGAAAUUUUCGCACCUUGAAAUCAGGUGUGCGAAAAUUUUGGCACCUUGAAAUUGGGUGCUCUGCUUCCUUGGUUUUACUCCCAUGUUCUGCUUUUGAAGAGCUCUCCUCACCUUUCAUGAUUUUUUCUGAAAUUUAUCAUGAAAAUUGACUUGAAUUAAGACAAAAUAAACUAAGAUUAAAGAAAAAUUAAAAUAUAAAGAAAUAAAAAUACUAAUAUAACUAUAAAACUAUAACAAAAAAUUCAUGGACUUCUUUAGCCCAUGAUACCCUGCUUUUCCUCAAAGUUGUGGUGGUUCAAGGAGGUUGAUCUCCUCCUUGUCUGUAUUGUAAGGCUCUAUAAAUGGCUUGAGACGAUGGCCAUUGACUUUGAAGGUUUGAUUGCCUGUGGGAUUGAAUAUUUCCACCACUCCGUUGGGAUGCACUUCAUGAAUUAUGAAAGGACCCGUCCACCUGGAUUUCAAUUUUCCCGGAAAAAGAUGAAGCUUAGAGUCAUAAAGCAAAACUUUUUGUCCUUUGGUAAAAUUCUUCUGAUUUACCAACUGAUCAUGCCAUUUUUUCAAUCUUGCUUUGGCAAUUUUUGAAUUGAGGUAUGCAUCAUUCCUCAAUUCCUCUAAUUCAUUCAAAUCUAAACAUCUCUUUAACCCGGCUCUUGACAAAUCCAUGUUGAGCUUUUUGAUUGCCCACCAUGCUUUAUACUCAAUUUCCACUGGAAGGUGACACGCUUUGCCAUAAACAAGGCGAUAGGGAGACAUUCCUAGAAUGGUCUUGUAAGCGGUCCUAUAAGCCCAUAAGGAAUCCAGGAGCUUGAUAGACCAAUCCUUCCUAUUCACAUUGACCACCUUCAUCAAUAUAUUCUUGAUCUCACGGUUGGCUAACUCAACUUGGCCACUAGUUUGAGGGUGAUAAGGUGUAGCUACCUUGUGCUUAACCCCAUAUUUGGCUAGAAGAGUCUCAAAAGGUUUAUUGCAAAAGUGGGUUCCCCCGUCACUUAUAAUGGCCUUUGGCACUCUAAAUCUUGCAAAGAUGUUGUCCUUGAGGAAUUUAAGUACCACCUUAUGAUCAUUGCUCCUACAUGGGAUUGCUUCUACCCACUUAGAGACAUAAUCCACUCCUACCAAGAUGUAGGAAUGUCCAAAUGACAUUGGAAAUGGUCCCAUAAAGUCUAUACCCCAGACAUCAAAGAUAUCCACUAUUAAGAUGGGGUUCAAGGGCAUCAUAUUUCGGCGUGUUAGCUUACCAAGCCUUUGACACCGAUCACAUGCCUUACACAUAGUAUGGGCAUCCUUGAAAAGAGAGGGCCACCAGAAGCCUGAUUGGAUCACUUUCAUAGCUGUUUUCUGGGAGGCAAAAUGGCCUCCACAUGCAUUAUCAUGGCAAUGGGAAAGAAUUCCCGAUUGCUCUUGCUCAGGAACACAUUUCCUUAUAAUUUGAUCUGCACAAUAUUUGAAAAGAAAAGGUUCCUCCCAAUAAUAGGCAUGGAUCUUAGCCAAGAAAUGCCUCUUGUCUUGAGCACUCCACUCACUUGGUACUUCUCCAGUAACCAAAAAGUUUGCAAUGUGAGAAUACCAUGGAGCUACAUCUACUGACAUGAGAGACUCCUCAGGGAAGUCAUCAUUGAUAGGUAGACCAUGUGAGUCAUGUGCUAUCACUAGUCUGGACAAGUGGUCAGCUACCACAUUUUCUACCCCCUUUUUAUCCCUGAUUUGGAGAUUGAAUUCUUGGAGCAAAAGAAUCCAUCUUAUCAAUCUUGCCUUGGCAUCCUGCUUGGUUAGCAAGUACUUCAAAGCAGAAUGGUCAGUGAACACUACUAUAGAGGACCCUACCAAAUAAGCACGAAACUUAUCCAAGGCAAAAACUACAACCAACAACUCCUUCUCAGUAGUUGUGUAGUUCUUUUGAGCCUCAUUCAAAGUUCUGCUUGCAUAAUAGAUCACAUAGGGCUUUCCAUCUUCUCUUUGCCCUAAAACAGCCCCCAUAGCAAGAUCACUUGAAUCACACAUUACCUCGAAAGGUAAUUUCCAAUUUGGGGCUCUCACUAUUGGUGCAGUUGUGAGGAAUUGCUUCAAUUCCUCAAAACUUCUCUGACACUUCUCAUCCCACACAAACUUGGCAUCCUUUACCAAAAGCUCACACAGGGGUUUUGAGAUUUUUGAGAAAUCCUUAAUAAACCUCCUGUAGAAUCCUGCAUGUCCAAGGAAUUGCCUAAUUCCUUUAACAUUUGUGGGAGGUGGCAACUUAACAAUAAGUUCCACCUUUGCCUUAUCUACCUCAAUGCCAUUUUUGGAGAUGAUAUGUCCUAAGACAAUUCCUUUUUGUACCAUAAAAUGGCACUUCUCCCAAUUUAGCACUAGGUCUUUCUCAAUACAUCUAUGGAGAACAGCUUCUAAAUGCAUCAAACACUCCUCAUAAGAACUUCCAUAUACAGUGAUAUCAUCCAUGAAAACUUCCAUGAUACGUUCAACCAUAUCACUGAAGAUGCUUAGCAUGCAUCUUUGGAAAGUUGCAGGAGCAUUACAUAGACCAAAGGGCAUUCUCCUAUAUGCAAAAGUACCAAAGGGACAAGUGAAGGUUGUUUUCUCUUGAUCUUCCAAAUCAAUUUCUAUUUGGAAGUACCCUGAAUAACCAUCUAGAAAACAAUAGAAAGGAUGUCCUGAGACUCUCUCAAGGACUUGGUCCAUGAAAGGCAGUGCAAAAUGGUCCUUCCUAGUUACUGAAUUCAACCUCCUAUAGUCUAUACACACCCUCCAUCCUGAAGUAGGACGUGUAGAGACUUCUUCCCCUUUCUCAUUCUGGAUCACAGUGAUUCCAGAUUUCUUUGGGACUACUUGGGUGGGACUCACCCACAAGCUGUCUGAAAUGGGAUAGAUGAUCCCAGCUUGAAGUAGCUUCAAAACUUCAUUCCUCACCACCUCUUGCAUGUGAGGAUUCAGUCUCCUUUGGGGUUGCCUCACUGGUUUUGCAUCAUCCUCCAUAUAAAUAUGAUGGGUGCAAACCAAAGGGCUAAUCCCUUUCAAAUCAGAAAUUUGCCAUCCAAUGGCUUUCUUACAUUUUCUGAGGACUCCUAAAAGACUAUCCUCUUGAUCACUAUUGAGGGUUGAGGCAACCACUACUAGACAUUUUUCAUCAUCCUCCAAGUAUGCAUACUUCAACUCCACAGGAAGUGGCUUUAAAAUAAGCUUUGGAGGGUCCUCCACAGCAACUCCUUGUGAGUCUUCCUGGUUGAACAGUGGCAAGAUCUCUUCCCGUCUCCUCCAAGGAGACAUAAUGGCUAGCACAUCAGAGGGUUCAGGGAACCCAUCUUCAAGGACUUCCAGGUUUUCAUUCAAGCUCUCCUCUAAACUCUUGUCACAGUGCUCUUCAACCAAAGUGUUGAUCAAGCAUACUUUCUCAAAUCCUUCUUCCUCUUCAGGGUAAAGAUGCCUCUUACAUAAGUGGAAUAUGUUUACUUCCAAAGUCAUGUUUCCAAAUGUGAGCUGCAUCACCCCAUUCCUACAGUUAACGAUGGCAUUUGAGGUGGCUAGAAAAGGCCUCCCUAGGAUGAUUGGCACAUAAUUUUCUUCUUUGACAGAGGAAUCAGUAUCAAGCACCACAAAAUCCACAGGAUAGUAGAAUUUGUCCACUUGAACUAGAACAUCCUCUAUCACACCCCUUGGGAUUUUGACUGACCUAUCAGCUAAAGAGAGGGUCAUGGCUAUAGGCUUUAAUCCUCCAAGUCCCAGUUGUUUAUAAACAGAGUAUGGGAGCAAAUUCACACUUGCUCCCAAAUCUAAUAAAGCUUUUUCCACAUGUGUCCCUCCAAUGUUGACUGAUAUGGUGGGACAUCCCGGGUCUUUAUACUUAACUGGGGACUUACUCUGGAUGAUAGCACUCACUUGCUCAGUGAGGAAUGCAUUCUUUGUCACCUGUAAACCUCUCUUGACUGUGCACAAGUCCUUUAGAAACUUUGCAUAUGUGGGGACUUGCUUGAUCAUAUCAAGUAAAGGUAUAUUCACCUUCACUUGCCUCAGCNNNNNNNNNNNNNNNNNNNNNNNNNNNNNNNNNNNNNNNNNNNNNNNNNNNNNNNNNNNNNNNNNNNNNNNNNNNNNNNNNNNNNNNNNNNNNNNNNNNNNNNNNNNNNNNNNNNNNNNNNNNNNNNNNNNNNNNNNNNNNNNNNNNNNNNNNNNNNNNNNNNNNNNNNNNNNNNNNNNNNNNNNNNNNNNNNNNNNNNNNNNNNNNNNNNNNNNNNNNNNNNNNNNNNNNNNNNNNNNNNNNNNNNNNNNNNNNNNNNNNNNNNNNNNNNNNNNNNNNNNNNNNNNNNNNNNNNNNNNNNNNNNNNNNNNNNNNNNNNNNNNNNNNNNNNNNNNNNNNNNNNNNNNNNNNNNNNNNNNNNNNNNNNNNNNNNNNNNNNNNNNNNNNNNNNNNNNNNNNNNNNNNNNNNNNNNNNNNNNNNNNNNNNNNNNNNNNNNNNNNNNNNNNNNNNNNNNNNNNNNNNNNNNNNNNNNNNNNNNNNNNNNNNNNNNNNNNNNNNNNNNNNNNNNNNNNNNNNNNNNNNNNNNNNNNNNNNNNNNNNNNNNNNNNNNNNNNNNNNNNNNNNNNNNNNNNNNNNNNNNNNNNNNNNNNNNNNNNNNNNNNNNNNNNNNNNNNNNNNNNNNNNNNNNNNNNNNNNNNNNNNNNNNNNNNNNNNNNNNNNNNNNNNNNNNNNNNNNNNNNNNNNNNNNNNNNNNNNNNNNNNNNNNNNNNNNNNNNNNNNNNNNNNNNNNNNNNNNNNNNNNNNNNNNNNNNNNNNNNNNNNNNNNNNNNNNNNNNNNNNNNNNNNNNNNNNNNNNNNNNNNNNNNNNNNNNNNNNNNNNNNNNNNNNNNNNNNNNNNNNNNNNNNNNNNNNNNNNNNNNNNNNNNNNNNNNNNNNNNNNNNNNNNNNNNNNNNNNNNNNNNNNNNNNNNNNNNNNNNNNNNNNNNNNNNNNNNNNNNNNNNNNNNNNNNNNNNNNNNNNNNNNNNNNNNNNNNNNNNNNNNNNNNNNNNNNNNNNNNNNNNNNNNNNNNNNNNNNNNNNNNNNNNNNNNNNNNNNNNNNNNNNNNNNNNNNNNNNNNNNNNNNNNNNNNNNNNNNNNNNNNNNNNNNNNNNNNNNNNNNNNNNNNNNNNNNNNNNNNNNNNNNNNNNNNNNNNNNNNNNNNNNNNNNNNNNNNNNNNNNNNNNNNNNNNNNNNNNNNNNNNNNNNNNNNNNNNNNNNNNNNNNNNNNNNNNNNNNNNNNNNNNNNNNNNNNNNNNNNNNNNNNNNNNNNNNNNNNNNNNNNNNNNNNNNNNNNNNNNNNNNNNNNNNNNNNNNNNNNNNNNNNNNNNNNNNNNNNNNNNNNNNNNNNNNNNNNNNNNNNNNNNNNNNNNNNNNNNNNNNNNNNNNNNNNNNNNNNNNNNNNNNNNNNNNNNNNNNNNNNNNNNNNNNNNNNNNNNNNNNNNNNNNNNNNNNNNNNNNNNNNNNNNNNNNNNNNNNNNNNNNNNNNNNNNNNNNNNNNNNNNNNNNNNNNNNNNNNNNNNNNNNNNNNNNNNNNNNNNNNNNNNNNNNNNNNNNNNNNNNNNNNNNNNNNNNNNNNNNNNNNNNNNNNNNNNNNNAUAUAUGGUUUGAACCGUUGGAUUCUUGACUUUCUGAGCUUCGAAAUGGUAUAUAGAAUGAAGAAAAUGGACUUCGGGAAGUGCUCCAAAAGUGCACUAAAAGACUGCAGCUGUGUCCCCUAUUUUCAUCCCCUGUUUUCUUCUUCUCCAUUGUUUCUCCCUUGUAAACUUUGAACGAUUAAGGCAAAGGAUUAUGAGGCUCCAUAGCUUGAUUUCUUCAUAAAUUUAAGCUUUCAAAAGCUUUGCCCUGAACUAUAAAUAGCUCUCCCUCAUUCUUAAAUUGCUUUGGUGAGCAUAAAGCUAUCAAAAAGCACCAAAACUUAACACAAUUGUUAGAAACGAUUGCAAGGGCUCCUAACAUGCUAAUUGGGUUAAAAGGUAAUAAUUACUACUCAAUGGUGUUUAAAAGAGCUAAUUACAAGCUAUAAAAUAGCAUGUUUUGAGUAGUAAUCAUUCCCCAACUUAGAAUGGACUUUGAUACCCUUGGUACAUCCUUUACAAAAUUUGGUACAUCCUUUAUAAAAUUUGGUACAUCAUUCACAAAUUUUGGUACAUCUUUUAAAAAAAAAAAAAUGGUACAUCCAAUCCUUGAGCUAUCAACACUCCUAUCUUGUUACCCAUGGUCCAUUUAUUCCUUUAGGGAUCUUUGGGAAGUAAUUAGAGGUCAUUCCUUACUCCGAAAUAAACUUUGGAACCCUAGGUACAUCCUUAAGAAAUUUUGAUACAUCCAAUUCUUGGGCUAACGAGACACUUAUCUCCCUUUCUAGGGUCCAUUUAUUACUUUGGAGACCCUUAGGAAGUGAUUGAAGGUCGUUUCCCACCUUAGAGUAGACUUUGGCACCCUUGGUACAUCCUUCACAAAAUUUGGUACAUCCUUAAAAAAAUUCGAUACAUCUAAUUCUUGAGUAAUCGAGACCCCUAUCUUAUUACCCAUGGUCUGUUUAUUUCUUUAAGAACAUUUGGGAAGUGAUUGGAGGUCGUUCCCUACUCUAAAAUGAACUUUGGAACCCUAAGUACAUCCUUAAGAAAAUUUGGUACAUCCAAUCCUCAACCUAUUGGGACAUCUAUCUCCAUUUUCAUGGUCCAUUUGUUAAUUUUGGGGACACUUAGAAGGUAAUUAGAGGUCGUUCUACACCCUGGAAUGAACUUUGGAACCUUAGGUACAUCUUUAAGAAAUUUUUGUAUUUAUAUUGUUAUGUAAUGGUUUGAUGUUGCUGAUUUAAAUAAGGUAGUUGAGUCAUAUUUUAAAAUCAUUCGGGGAAAACAAAUUGUAUUUAUUCAUGAACAGAUGAAAAUGAAUAACAACUGAGGUUAUUAUUACUUUUAAUGGUAUUAUACUAUGAAUCAUUGAUUCGUUCCCAAUUAGUGUCUUAGCUGAUUCAUAUCCUCUCAAUGGUCCCUGAUAGUGGUGUCAUUUGAUUCGUGUCCAGCUGGUGUCCCUUGAUUUUGGUCCUCAGGGAGUAAUCAACAAAAUUUAUAACCUAUUACACCAUGAACUAGGGUAGCAAAGACAAAGCUACUAUAGCAUAGUGGCUCUAGGAUCGUUCACUGGGAUGGGUUUUCACUUCACAAUUGAUAUUAAUUCAAAGCUGAAUUGGUGCCUUUUCAUUUCAAGGUUAGCUUUAAAAUAAAACAUAAUCUUUGGUGGAAAAGGUUUGGUUUUAAGCUAACCAAAAAUAAUAAUAACUGAUUUUAAUUACAAAGAAAAGCGUUCCUUAGAGUUUCAGAUCACUAGGCUCAGGUUCCUUGUACAAAAAGGGAGUUUCGGUCACUUGUUUCUUUUCCUCGUGAUUACUACUCAAAAAGUGCUAUUUGAUAGCUUGUAAUUAACUCUUUUAAACACUUUUGAGUAGUAGUUAUCACCUUUUAACUCAAUUGGCUUGUUAAAGACCCUUGCAAUCAAUUCUAAUAAAAAAUGUGUUAAGUUUUGGUGUUUUGAUAGCUUUUUGAUCACCAAAGCAAUCUGAGAUUGAGGAGAGUUCUUUGGAAUCCAUGCAAGGAGUAUACCCAGACAGGGCGUUCGGAUACAUCAUCGGAUUGCAUCCGGACAACAUUCCACCCGGAUGUCUUUUCAUCCGGAUGGCGCUGCUCCGCCGCCAUUCCAUCCAAAUGUAUCAGCCGCCAUUCCAUCUGGAUGUAUCUCAACCGCGCACUUUCCACCCGGAUGGCUUACAUCCGGGAAUAUGCUUACAUCCAGAAAUCUACUGCGCCGACAUUCCAUUCGGAUGUCUCACAUCCGGCACAUUCCAUCUGAUAUUUUGCAUCCGGCACCUGACGCCGGAUGGGAGAGGAGGCAUUUUAACUUCUCCAGACGGACGUAUCUGGAUCAUCUGAUAGCGUCUACCCGGAUGGGAGAGCAGCCAUUUUGCACAGUGCCGCGGUGUUCUCCUGAAGCUUCCCGAUUUGUGUCACUGACAUUUUGAGAUAUUUUGGGAUAUUUUGAGAUAUUUUGCUUUACAUAUUUGUUGUCUAAAUCCCCAAAAUCUCCUUGUAAUCCACCAAUUAUAGGAUUCCUUAGUUAUUAAGUUUGGAAAAAGAAUAAAUAACCUUUUUAUAUUAUUAUUGUAAUUUUCAUAUAUAUAUCUCUCGGGAGCCUGUUCUCGAGACGAUCGAUCCUUUGUACAGUUUUCAAGGGAAGUAAAAUACAAAGCCUUUGCUCUGCUUUACCUUCUCAUUUUUAAUUGUAUUUUCUUACUAGCUAAACAAGCUCUGAGGAUGUUUCCUUAGAGAAUAAGUGGCUAGACUUUUAGUUCCUUGGAGUUAAGAUUGUCGGGAAAGGUUCCAAGUGCAAGAAUUAGUAGCUUUGUGGUUUCAACCAUUAAUGAAGAGAAAGUGUGACCCGUUAAUGAUUUCUAUGUUUUUAGUUAACUUAAAACGCCUUUAAAUCACCUGGCCCAAUACUUGGUAAGGCAAGUGAUCUCCAUCUGUAGAGAUGCACUAGUUUAUCUCUUGCGAGCCUCUGGGAGGUGGUUUGAAGGUAGGAUUUUCUAGAAUAGCCAACACUUGGUAAGCUUUUGGACUCUACGGAGACAUCCAUUAGUUAUCUCUUGCGAGCUUUUGACGGAUAAUCCAAGGUUAAAGAUCACCUUGAAUGGCAAGUGCUAGGUGAGAGGUAUGAGCCAUUGCAAGGUGCAUCAGUGAGAGAGAUUUAGUGUUUGAACCCAUUAAAGGGAAGCAUCUGUACAGUACCGAUUAGAGAAUUGACUAUAUGUUAAUUCUCUAAUGCGAGGAAAUGAACCAAAUGACCGGAGCUUUGUUUUUGCAUGAGGAACAUCCCCUGUAAACCUAAACCUCCAAGGAAUGUUUUUCUCCAUAAGUAAUUUUCAUUACUUCCUUUACCGUUAGUUUAAACCAAACCUUUUUCAUCCAAAAAUUAUGUUUUCUUUUAAAGCUAACCUUGAAAUGAAAAAGCACCAAUUCACUUUGAAUUGGUAUCAUUUAUGAAUUGAAAACCCUUCCCAAUGAACGAUCAUAGAGCCACUAUUCUAUAGUAGCUUUGUCUUUGCUACCCUAGUUCAUGGUGUAAUAGGUUAUAAAUUUUGUUGAUAACUCCGUCAAUUAAGGAGCACCAACUGGACAUGAAUCAGUUGAUACACCGACUGGGCACGAAUCACCUCGCAUUGGGGAUUUAACAUAUAGUUAUUUCCCGAACCGGUGUGGUACAGAUGCUUCCCCUUAAUGGGUUCAAACACUAAAUCCCUCUCACUGAUGCAUCUUGCAAUGGCUCGUGCCUCUCACCUAGCAUUUGCCAUUCAAGGUGAUCUUUAACCUUGGAUUACCCGUCAAAAGCUCGCAAGAGAUAACUAAUGGAUGUCUCCUUAGAGUCCAAAAGCUUACCAAGUGUUGGUUAUUCUAGAAAAUCCUACCUUCAAACCACCUCCCAAAGGCUCGCAAGAGAUAAACUAGUGCAUCUCAAUGGAUGGAGAUCACUUGCCUUACCAAGUGUUGGCCCAAGUGAUUUAAAGGCAUUUUAAGUUAACUAAAAAGAUAAAAACCAUUAACGGGUCACACUUUCUCUUCAUUAAAAACUAAAACAACAAAACUUACAAUUUAUGCAUGAGGAAACUUACCCGACUUUCUUCACUCCAAGAAACGAAGAGCCUAGCCUCUCAUCCUCUGAGGAAAAAUCCUCAGAUUUUAGUUGGCUAGAAAGAAAAAUAACAAGAAAAAAAAAAUAUGAAGGAAAAACAGAGCAAGUGCUUUGUAAAAUAUAUUUCUUACUAUUACAAAAGGUUGUCUCUAAGAACAAACUCCUGAGAGAUCUUUAUAUGAAAAUUACAAUAAUAAUAUAUACAAGGUUAUUCAUCCUUUCACUACUACAAAAAUAGUUUAUGGUGUCACUAUUUACGGUGUCACUUUUAAAAUAAUGACACCAUAGGGUUUAUAAUUAAUAAAGGUGACACAUCAUAUAAAAAAUAUUCAAUUGAGGUAGUUAGAUGAUAUUAAUUUUAUAUUUAUAGUGUCAUUUUUUGGGAAGUGACAUCAUAUAAAAUAAAUUUUUUUAAGUAUUAUAACUUAAUGAGCCCACUUUUAGAAUUAAUAAUGAUGGAUACUAUAUAAAAAUCCCAUUGUUUCCAUAUCUCACCCACAAUCCAAAAAAUCUCAAUAUAUAAAUCCUAUAUAUAAAAUCAUGAUCUUCUUCAACCUUUUCUCUCACCCAUCCAUAGUCAACACGCUCAAAACCGACAUUCUUCACUUUGUGGACUCCCAGGUAACCCAAAAUCUCUUGGAUCUAUCAUUUUUUUUUUUCUUUUAUUAAUGCCAUUAUAUUAAUUGUUUCAACAUCUUUGUAUUAUGGUUUUUGUGAAUUGUGUNNNNNNNNNNNNNNNNNNNNNNNNNNNNNNNNNNNNNNNNNNNNNNNNNNNNNNNNNNNNNNNNNNNNNNNNNNNNNNNNNNNNNNNNNNNNNNNNNNNNUCAAAUGAAAGUGAUGAAAGAGAGUAAAUAUUUUAAUGCGCAAUUAUAUUUUAAUGUUAUUUUUUUUUUUACAUAAGGGUUUAUUUAUGUUUUCAAUUUUGAAGUUCCCUUUCCAAGUCCAGAAACAAAAGUAGUGUCCAACCUUAAAAUGGGCAUGUGUGGUAUUGACGGGAGAUGAUAAGAUGGAAAUCAUAACCAUAGCCAUGUUCUCUCUAUGUCUUUCUAUCAUCUUCAAUUAAUUCAUGGGCAUAGAUAUUUUAUUUAGUUUUUAUAUUUAGUUUAUUUAGUUUCUAAAAUCCAAUUAGCUAGAUAUUUUAUUUGAUUUUAUUUUUAUAUUUAAGUAGUUGAGUUUUGGAAAGUUUUUAUAUUUUGUUAAUAGAGAUAGAAAUUUUAUAUUUUUUAUUAUUAGCAAUUUCUAUUUUGUUAAAUUGUAAGUAUCUAUCUCAAUAAGAGAUUAUUAAUAUUCAAAUGAAAGUGAUGAAAGUGAGUAAAUAUUUUAAUGCUCAAUUAUAUUUUAAUGUUAUUUUUUUUUUUACAUAAGGGUUUAUUUAUGUUUUCAAUUUUGAAGUUCCCUUUCCAAGUCCAGCAACAAAAGUAGUGUCCAACCUUAAAAUGGGCAUGUGUGGUAUUGACAGGAAAUGAUAAGAUGGAAAUCAUAACCAUAGCCAUGUUCUCUCUGUGUCUUUCUAUCCUCUUCAAUUAAUUCAUGGGCAUAGAUAUUUUAUUUAGUUUUUAUAUUUAGUUUAUUUAUAGUUUAUUUAGUUUCUAAAAUCCAAUUAGCUAGAUAUUUUAUUUGAUUUUGUUUUUAUAUUUAAGUAGUUGAGUUUUGGAAAGUUUUUAUAUUUUGUUAAUAGAAAUAGAUAUGAGGACUUAAAGGGUUUAUAUUUAGGUAGUGCUUGAGCCAAGGAAAAUGAUAGUCCACUAUCUUGACCUUAUGCAUCACAAACCAUGUGAGGACUUAAAGGAUAUCGUAAACAUGUAAGUUCUUCUUAUUAUUUUUCAUAGUAUUAUUUUUAAAUAAAAAAAAUACAUUCACCUCAAACACAUUUUUUUAUUAUUUAUAUAUAUUAAAAUAUAUAACAUUUACCUAUUUUAAAAAUGUACCCAUUGAACUUAUUUACAUAGGGCUCUUCAAAUAUUUGCAAAGAAAACAUUUAAGAGGGAGCCAUCUUAGCAACUAGUGCAGGUGACAUCCAAAAAAUUUUCUUUACACAUUAGCUUAUGCAUUUGCACCAUUUAUAUAUGUGAAUACUAAUGUUAUUUUAUAAUUGAUCGAUUAGUGUCCAAGACAAGAAGGAGGGUUCGAAUGUGGCUACUUUGUUAUGAGAUUCAUUAAAGAGAUAAUUUUUUAUCCUACAAUUAUUGCUUCAAAGGUAUUACUUAUUUAAUGAAUUGUACAUAGUUUUAGGCUUCCAAAUGUUAUGCAUUUUAAUGUUAUUUUCUUAUUUGAUUUCAGUUUGGUAAUAAAAAAAACAUAUUCUCAAGUAGAAUUCGAUGAAAUUAGAGGAGAAUGGGCUACUUUUGUGCUACAAUUAAUCAUGAAUCAUGUUGAUGCAUCAUGAUCACCAUGCAUGGUGAGUCCCUUAGCUACUACAUGAAUUUUUCCAUAGGUAUUGUAUAGUAAUGCUUAUUCUUUGAAUAAUGUUUCUAUUUGAAAAAAAAAAAUUAAUUCUUAGAUUUGUUCAUUUAUGAUAACAUAGAUCCAUGUUUAUUUUCUUCAAUAAAAAUCUCUAAAACUCAUUAAAUUUUGAAAUGCAGGUAUACACUCUUGGGAGGGUGAAAUGGAGAAUAAAAAGAAAGAAAAAGGCAACAAGAUUUUGGGUUUUUAAAUGCAACUCUUAUGUCAUAUGUUGUAGGACAUAAACAUUACUUUAAUUGCAACUGAGAAAUUUAGAUUUUUAGAUGGGACUUCUAUGUCAUUUUAUGGUUAGCCGGUUUUAUGCUUAUGAAAUGGAGGUAUACAUAAAUCUUGGGAUCUUUAACAUUUCUAAAUCAUGUUUUGGUAUGUAUUCACUCUUCUUUUUUAGUUUUGAUGGGUUUGAUAUGUUGGACGUACUAUCCUUUUGUGAACAUUUGAUAUACAAAUAUUAUUAGAUGAUCAAUGUAUUAUGAGUUAUUCCAGAAACAUUACAGAAAAAUGAGUUAAAUAUAAUAUGAUUGUUAUAUUUAUGGACAAAAUAUAAACAGGUUAAUUAUAUUAAUUCAUAAGCAUUACAAAAAUCAACAACUAAAACCAAUCAUAUAUUCCACAAUAAUUUACAAUGAUGUGAUACCAUAACUCAAAGGUGAUGCAUUUAAUGUGACAUCAUAACUCAAAGAUGAUGUAUUUAAUGUGACACCCUAUCAUCACUAGAAAUAUAUGGUGUCACUUCUGAAUGGGUCACCAUUUAUAUACUUUGGUGUCACUUCCAAAUAUGUCACCAAUUGGUACCCUCUAUGGUGUCAGUGGAGAAGGUGACACUAUGUUGUAGUGACACCUUAUGUUUAUGGUGACUCGUUAUAAAUGUCACCAUAUACAUUUUUCCUUGUAGUGUUUUUUCAAACUUAAUAACUAAGGAAUCCUAUAAUUGGUGGGUUACAAGGAGUGUUUGGGGAUUUAGACAUCAAAUAUCUAAAGCAAAAUAUCUCAAAAUGUCGGUCGCAAAUAUCGGGAAGCUUCAGGAGAACACCGCGGCACUGUGCAAAAUGGUUGCGAAACUCUCUGGAUAAGCACUAUCAGAGGAUCCAGAUAUGUUUGUCCAGGGAAAUUGAAAUGCCUUCCUCUCCCAUCCAGCGUUAGGCGCCAGAUGUGAGAUAUCCGGAGAAGGUGCCGGAUGUGAAAUAUCCGGAGAAGGUGGAACGUCACAAGGGAGACUGUCUGCGUGUGCAAGGUGCAGGGACCCCUCCCCCUAAUGACACGGAGCGCGCAUCACUAUCCGGAGCACUCCAUCCAGAUUCCCCAAAUGACACGUGGCACGCUCCCCUAUCCGGACUCCCUUAGGGAGAAGCACACGACACUCGUGAUCAUCACACCCCGGACGAUAGCAUAUCCUAUCCGGAUAUGUUGUCCGGAUCAUUGACUAAAGUGAGCAAGCCUUGCUACAGCCCACGUUCCGCCGCCCUCCGAUGGUGUGUCCGGACGCCCUGUCCGGACAUCUUUUGCAUGAAAGACCCCAUACUCCUUGUAUUUUGGAUUUGCUUAUGGAAAAGUACUUCAAAGCUUAGGUUCUUCAUGUUUCUGAGCUUUGUCCGGACACCCUGGAUUCCAAAGAACUCUCCUCAUUCUCGAAUUUCUUUGGUGAUCAAAAAGCUAUCAAAACACCAAAACUUAACACAAUUUGAUUAGAAUUGAUUGCAAGGGUCCUUAAUAUGUUAAUUGGGUUAAAAGGUGAUAACUACUACUCAAAAGUGUUUAAAAGAGUUAAUUACAAGCUAUGAAAUAACACUUUUUGAGUAGUAAUCAAUCAUUUGAAUAGUUUUCUUCAAAAAUUUUGUCAAUUUCAAAUGGAUUAUAGUUGAAUUGAAAAAGGAAGGAAUAUAGUUGUAGCAAAGAAGGAUUGAAUUUGUGUGGGCAAUAUAGAAGAAAGAGGUUGACCCUUAUAUGAAAAACAGAUUGUUAACCAGUAGGCAUAAUAGUGGCCGACCUUUUCAUGUAGGGGUUGACCCUUUUUAGCUUAUGACCCUUAGUCAUAAUAUUAGUUUUGCUUGAAGUGGUUAGUAGCAAAAAUAAGGGUCAACCCUUUAGUUCAUAGGUAGUCCCAUCAUGUUUUUAAAAUUGUUUUUGUUUUAUGUGGGUAGUAGGCAAAACAAAGGUUGACCCAUUGUUUAAUUGGUAAGCCUUUAAAUAUGGAUGUUAUAACGUUAGAACAUUAAUAGUGAGGAAAAUUAUAGUUAGCUCAUGUAUUCAAAGGUAGAGCCUGAACUUAUAUUACAUAUCAAAUAAGUACCUAAUAAAUAAAUAAAUAAAAGUAAAUGCAUUGCGUGAUGUUUGGUAUAGAUAAUACAUUUCAAUAUUUAGCUCAUUAAUGUCACUCUAUAAAGUGUUAAUGAAGCGGAUUUGGAUUGUUCAUAAUCUAAAUGAGGUAUUAAUAUAUGAUGACUACAUGUAUGAUCGUGACAAUUAUUAUAAGUAGUUAGUUUUGAUAGGGUUAUUUAUAAAUAUAUAUUUAAACAAUUAAAUACCUAAUGGGGUCUAAGUGUGAGAAUAAAAUAAUUUAUGCUUAUUUUGUAAAUAUUGUAAGUAUUUUUGUAAUGAAUAUAUGUAUUAUUGGAAAUAUUUAUGAACAUGCCUAGUUUAUUGCUAUUUCUAUAUGUAUGUAUGUAUGUAUGUAUGUAUUAAAAAGUAAAAUCAAGGAUGUUCAUCAUCUCCUCAUAAGGAUGUAAUUGGGUUCUGAAGUCCAUUUUAGGGUAGGGAACAACCUCCAAUCACUUCUCAAGGAUCUUUAACGGAACAAACAAACCAUGAGUAAUAAGAUAGGGUCCUAGUAGCUCAAGGAUUGGAUGUCGCAAAUUUUGUGAAUAAUGUUCCAAAUUUUGUAAAUAAUAUACCAAAUUUUGUAAAUGAUGUACAAAGUUUGUUUUGAGGUAAGGAACGCCCUCUAAUCACUUCUCGAGGGUCUCCAAAUUAAUAAAUGGAUUAUGGAAAGGGAGAUAAGUGUCUCGUUAGCCCAAGGAUUGGAUGUAUAAAAUUUUCUUAAGGAUGUACCUAGGAUUCCAAAGUCCGUUUUGGAGUACGAAAUGACCUCCAAUCACUUCCCAAAGAUCCCUAAAUGAAUAAAUGAAUCAUGGGUAAUAAGAUAGGGGUCCCGGUAGCUCAAGGAUUCGAUGUACCAAAAUUUGUAAAGGAUGUAACAAGGGUGCCAAAAUCCAUUUUGAGGUGAAGAACGACCUCCUAUCACUUUCUAAGGGUCUUUAAAGGAAUAAAUAGACCAUGGAAAAGGAGGUUGGUGUCCUGUUAGCUCAAGGAUUGGAUGUAACAAAUUUUCUUAAGGAUAUACCUAGGGUUCCAAAGUCCAUUUCGAAGUAAGGAAUAACCUCCAAUCACUUCCCAAAGAUCCCUAAAGGAAUAAACGAACUAUGGGUAAUAAGAUAGGGGUCCCGGUAACUCAAGGAUUGGAUGUACCAAAUUUUUUUAAGGAUGUACCAAAUUCUAUGAAGGAUGUACCAAAUUUUGUAAAAGAUGUACUAAAGAGGCCAAAGUCCAUUCUGAGGUAGGGAACGACCUUUAAUCACUUUUUGAGGUUUUCCAAAGGAAUAUUUUUAAAGUGUCCCAUUAACUCGAAGAUUGGAUGUACCAAAUUUUCUUAAGGAUGUACCUAGGGUUCAAAAGUCUAUUUCGAAGUAGGGAUAAACCUCCAAUCACUUCACAAAGAUCCCUAAAUGAAUAAAUGGAUCAUGGGUAAUAAGAUAGGGGUCUUUGUAGCUCAAAGAUUGGAUGUACCAAAUUUUUUUAAGGUGUACCAAAUUUUGUAAAGGAUGUACCAAAUUUUUUAAAUGAUGUACCUGAAGGGAAAAACACAGAUAUCUCUGUUUCCCAAGUCUAAAUCAGGUUAGGAAUAUGCAUAACUAUCCUAGGCUUUUUUAAAAUCUUAUGUAUAACAAAAAAAUAACAUUUGUAUACUUUAAAAGGAUUCAGAAAGUGCUAACGAAAACUAUACCUCAGAUUCAAAUGUUCUCGAAUCAAAUCCACAUGGUAAAUAUGAAGAUUGAAAUUGCAAAGUCUCGUAAAUCUAAAGUUUUCAAUCUGAUGACUCGACCCUUGAUCUUGGCACACUUUCGGUGGAGAAGAAAAAAAGGGUGGAUGCUAUGGCUCUCAAUCUUUCUGGAUGAUGAGAGACAAAAACUAUGAAAACCCUAACCUCUAGGAGGUAUUUAUAAGGUUCCUAAGUGGGCUUAAGUGACUUAAGUCCACAUGGGAUUGGGUAACUUAAUUUAGCCUAAAAUGGGUUCUAAUUGAUUAAUUAACCCAAUAGGUUCAACUAAUUAAUCAGUAAGCCUAAUCCAGAGACCUUGUUCACUUACCUUUAUGCAACCUUGCAUAGUAACCAAAACAUCCUUAUGCAUAAAAGUGAACUUAGAGCUAAUUCGACCCUCAUAAUUCAUGCUAACAAGGUAUAUGAGCUCAAAAUGGGGAUCAUUAGGACCCAUAGGAAUACUGGCUCCCUCAUAAUCCAAUUCUAAAGUUGAUUCAAAAUCACACUAUAGAGAAUCAAUUGAAAUCCAAUAUCCUAUGUAAAUAACAACGAGACACCAAGUGCUUGAGUCUAUGACCUGCUAUCCAUUGUGUUCAGUCUCCCUAUGAACUAGUGUCCAUAGUCUACCAAGGUGAAAGCUAUCAACCUUUCAAGACUACUUCUACCAUCCUUAAGUUACAAAUCCUUCUAUUGUGUGUUUAAUUGGCAUAUCUUAGCUCUCAAAAGAGCCUAUGUAAAGUUCCACUUAAGAAACUACCAUGGCCAUAGUUUCCAUGAACACACCUCCUUAGGAUCACCCAAGGGGACACACUAUCUCAAUCCCAAGAGAUAUAAUAGUGCCUCUAUUGAGAAUACUUAUUGCUAUCGGUUUCCAUCAAUAAUGAUUUAAUCCAUAGGGAAUAUAUGAUCGACUUACGAUCUCACCCAUAGGUCAAAGUCGUUGCUAACUUUAGCAUAAACUCAAUAUUCUCUCAAGGUUGAGAGAAACACAAUGAAGCAGUUUGGUGAGGUCAUGACUCACCGUAAGUCCUGUCCAAUGUAUAACCAUACACACUAAUGCACUCACCAUGGGAAACCCAUCCCGAUAGCCAAGACUAGCCAUCCUUUCAAUUAGGAGGUGGUGUGCUACAACCUCUAAUGGGUUGCCUAAACCUAUGAAUCGGUUGUAGUGCACCAUGGGAAACCUAUACCAAUAGCCAAGACUAGCCAUCCUUUGAAUUAGGAAGUGGUGCACUACAACCUCUAAUUGGUUGCCUGGACCUAUGAAUUGGUUGUGAACAAGUCAUUUAUUUGCAAAGAACCUAUGACGUAGAUCUUCUAUGCAACUCUAAUGCACCUAAGUCACGUAUAAUGCAAAAUAUGUAAGCAAGAAUGCUCAUAAAGUAUAAUACAUGGAAUAAGGAUAGAUAAAAGUGAAAUUGGAACAUCAUUAAAUAAAUAAUGAAUUCCAAAUUUAUUACAUCAUGUCAUGCUUUAAGGGCACUAUCUUAACAAUAAAAAGGGUGGCAAAAUCCGUUCCGAGAUCGAGAACAACCUCUAAUCACUUUUCAAGGGUCUCCAAAGGAAUAGAUGGACCAUGGAAAGGGAGAUAGGUGUCCCAUCAGCCUAAGGAUUGGAUGUACCAAAUUUUCUUAAGGAUGUACCUAGGGUUCCAAAACCCAUUUCAGAGUAGGGAACAACCUUCAAUCACUUCCCAAAGAUCCCUAAAGGAAUAAUAUACCUUGCCUAAUAAGAUAGGGGUCCCGAUCAAGGAUUGGAUGCAUUAAAUUCUUUUAAGAAUACACCAAUUUUUGUGAAUGGCGUAUAAAAUUUUAUAAAAGAUGUACCAAAUUUUGUAAAUGAUGUACCAAGGAUUCCAAAGUCCAUUCCAAGGUUGGGAACGACCUUCAACCAUUUCCCAAAGGUCUCCGAAUGAAUAAAUGAACCAUGGGAAGGGAGAUAGAUGUCUUAUUAGCCUAAGAAUUAGAUGUACCAAAUUUUCUUAGCGGUGUACCUAGGGUUCCAAAGUUCAUUUCAGAGUAGAAAACGAUCUCUAAUCACUUCCCAAAGAUCCUUAAAAAAAUAACAGACCUUAGGUAAUAAGAUAGGGGUCCCGAUAGCUCAAGGGUUGAAUGUAUCAAAAAAUUUUAAGGAUGUACCAAAUUUUAUGAAAGAUGUACCAAAUAUUGUAAAGGGUGUACCGAAUUUUAUAAAUGAUGUACCAAGGGUGCCAAAGUCUGUUCUGAGGUCAAGAAUGACCUCCAAUCACUUUCUAAGGGUCUCCAAAAGGAAAAUAAUGGACCAUGAGAAGGGAGAUAGGUGUCCCGUUAGCCCAAAGAUUAUAUGUAUCAAAUUUUCUUAAAGAUGUACCAAAUUUUUUUAAGAAUGUGCCUAGGGUUCCAAUGUAUAGUUCGGGAUGGGGAACGACCUCCAAUCAUUUCUUGAGGGCCCCCAAAUGAACAAAUGGACCAUGGGAAAGGAGAUAAGGGUCUCGGUAACCUGAUGAUUAGAUGUACCAAAUUUUCUUAAUGAUGUAACUAAGGUUCCAAUGUACGUUCUGAGGUAGGCAACGACAUCUAAUGACUUCCCAAGAGUUCCUAAGGGAACAAAUGGACCAUGGAAAGGGAGAUAGUCUAGGUAACUUGAGGAUUGAAUGUACCAAAUUUUCUUAAGGAUAUACCUAGGGUUCCAAAGUCUAUUUAGAGGUGGGAAAUGACCUCCAAUCACUUCUCAAUGGUCCCUAAAUGAUCAAAUGGACCAUGGGAAGGGAUAUAGGGGAUCCCAAUAGCUUAAUGAUUGGAUGUUCCAAAUUUUCUUAAGGAUGUAACUAGGGUUCCAAUGUUAGUUCCAGAGUGGGCAACGACCUCCUAUCCUUCUUGAGAGUUCCAAAAUGAACAAAUAAACCACGAAAAAUGAUAUAGGGAUCCUAGUAACCCGAUGAUUAGAUGUACCAAUUUUUCUAAUGGAUGUAAUUAGGGUUCCAAUGUUAGUUUUAGGUGGGGACUAACCUCUAAUCACUUUUUGAGGAUCAGAAUAACAAAUUUUCCUAAAUAUGUAUCUAGGGUUCAAAAGUCCAUUUUGGGGUGAGAAAUAACCUCAAAUCACUUCUUGAUGGCCUUUAAAGGAGCAAAUGGACCUUGGGAAGAGAGAUAGGGGUCUCGGUAGCCUGAUGAUUUGAUGUACCAAAUUUUCUUAAAGAUGUACCGAAUUUAUAUAAAGAUAUAUCUAGGGUUCCAGAGUCUAUUCCGAGGAGGGAAACGACUUGCAAUCACUUCUUAAGGGUCCUCAAAAGAUCAAAUGGAUCAUGAGAAGGGAUAUAAGGGUCCUGGUAGCCCGAAGAUCAGACAUACCAAAUUUUCUUAACGUUAUACCUAGGAUUCCAAACUUUGUUCCAAGAUGGGAAACAACCUCCAAUCCUUUCCUAAAAGUCUCCAAAGGAAUAUAUGGACCAUGAGAAGGAAGAUAGGGGGUUCUACCCUAGGAUUAGAUGUACCUAUUUUGUUAAGGAUGCACGCAGGGUUUCAACGUUUGUUUUGGGAUGGGGGAGGACCUCCAAUCACUUAUCGAUGAUCCUCAAAGGAAUAUAUAAACCAUGAUAAGGGAGAUAGGGAUCCUUGUUCCUUUAGGAAUGGAUGAACCUAUUUUUCUUACGGAUGGAUGUACCUACUUUUUUUAUGAAAUUAAUAUAUAAGGUUAACUAUAAUUUUUUUUUAAUAAAAAUCUAUAUUUUAUUUUAAUUAAAAAUUAAAGAUUUUAAUGAAGCAAAAAAAUUAGAUUCAUGAUCAAGUUAAAACCAUAAGAAAAAAUAUUAAAGCAUCAUCACUUACUGUGAUUUUGAUAUGAUAAAUUUAAAAUAAUAAAAAUAAUAAAACAGUAUUACAAAUAUAUUUUUACUUUUACGUGUGAUAUGAUUUACAAAAUAAAUAAAUCUUUUAUUUAGCAUUAAUAUAAAAAAUCCUAUAUCAUAAACCUGUAAAUAAUAAAAUAUAAAUUUUAAAUUUAAUCCUUGAUUUAUAAAAUAUAUUACUAUAAUUAAUAUUUAAAAUCAUCAAGUAUAUUAUUUGUGGAAUAAUAUUUUCAUUUUUGUCCAUUAUAUAUUUAUGCUUUUAUUUAAUUUGCUAUAUUACCUAUUUAUUAUUUAUUAUCAUUUUAAAGUUAAUAUGUUAAAAAAUAACUAAAAUCAAUAAAUAUGGGAAGAUUAGAGAGUGAAAAAAAAAAUUGAAGAAGUUUUAUGAGAUAAUACAUUAACAUAUUAAAAUAAAUUGAAAAUGAGAGAUAGAAAAAUAGGACAUGCUUGCAAGAAAAAAGAAAAAAGGAUAAAAGAAAAAAAUAAAAUGUAGAAACGCGGCAAGAGGUGAGAUGUGUGAGAGAGUUUAUGUAAGAGAAAAAAAAAAGUGAUUGGUGUACUUGACAACAACAUUUAAUGUGGUAGGUGUACUUGCCCUCAACUUUCGAGGGUAAUUUUGGAACAAAUUCAUAAGCACUAUUGCAGUGCAUGAAUUGGUAAUAUUUUUUUCCAUUUUACAUUAAAAUUGAAAAAGUAAAAACAAAGUUCUAGAAACCAUAUUUUUUUUAUUGGUGAUGUACCAAAGCAUGAUUAUCCCAAUCUUAAAUAACAAAAAAUCAUAAAUUUUGAAUUUUAUUUUUAAUCUAUUUUUAAAAUUUUUUAAAUUCUAAUGUUUAAUUUUUUAAUUUCUAAAUAUUAAAUAAUAUAAAACUCAUGGCAUGAUGAAGCGCAUUAAAUGCAUUGUAGUAGCAUAUGGUAUUUUUGUAGCAAAGAUGACAUAGAUGGAGUUGUGUGGAGUGUUGUUUGGGAAAAAAAAGAUAAAAAAAAAUUAGAAAAAAAAAAUCUCAAACCCUCACCUAGUCAAGCACCCUUGCAACUUUGAAAAGAAAAAAAAAAAACCCAUCUUUAAAAAUGGAGAAAACCACCAUCGCAAACAAUGGCUCACCACAUUUGUACUCGAUGCCAUAUUCUCUUCAACCUUUCAUCAUCUUCACCACCAACCCAUUUACCUUCUUGAAAAGUCAUUUUCCAAUUGCCAGUCAUACCCACCAUUCUCCAUUACACAUUUGUAUCUGAUAAUAAUUGUGAACAAUAGCCAAUUUGAUUAAGCAAAUCACUAAAGAAAGGGAAGGGGUGGAAGGAGAUGAAUUAGGUGUUACAUUUUUUAUUUUUUUUUCAAAAAAAAAAAAACCAAUUAAUAAAAAAAAAUAAUAAAAGAUAUUAAGUAAGACAACAAUUAAGUAAAAGAUAAAGAGAAAAUAUAUGCAAACUCAUUUAUAGUGGUUCAAAAAUCCACCUAUGUCCACUCUUUGUAACCUCCUAAGCAAGUGAGAGUUCCACCAUUAAAGGCCUUCAACUUAAGCCUUCAAGCUUUAUAUUUAGAUUCAUGGGCUCCAAUGGGCACUCACAAUCCCUUCAAGUACUCCACCUAUUUGAAGUCUCUUCACUCAAAAUGAGUAAAUAAGGAAAGUUCUAAUGCUUUCUGUUAGGACAUUGAGUCUUAUUUAUAUGUUGACAAUUUUGUUAUGUUUUAUGUUUGACCAUAAAAGUCUUUUUAGAUAGUGACUUGCUCUCCAUUAAAGAUCAAUGGUUGUUGUUCAUCCAACUAAGAAGUCACAGGUACAUUUAAAAAGGUUUGGCUUGUGGCAUAUAAGGCUUAUUUAAGGUAUAAAGGUUCAAUAUCAUUUUUGGACUUAAAAUGAUUUAAAUUGAUUUUUCAAAAGAAGCAGGGGCUGCUCAAGUGGAAAGGACCACUCAAGCAGUCAGCUUGCUGAAGUGGUCUAAGUCUGUUCAAGCAGUCAUGACAGCCCUGCCGAGUUUAGACACAGAAUUUGGAUGAAUUUCACUGGAACUCUAGUUUAAAAACUUAAGAUACUAAAACUCUUUGGGCUAUAAAAUACCUCCUGAAUAACCCUUUAAGGGUUAGGGAUCGAAAAUUGAAGAGAUCUUAGAGAUUAGAAACCACUCAUUCUUAAAAAGAGGGACUCCUUGAGAGAAAGCUUAAAUUGUUAUAUCAUUCAUGAUUUCUCAUUCAAGGAUUUAAAUCUUUAAAUCAUGGUUUGAAGACCUUAAUCCCUUUGGAGUGGCAAAAUGAUCUACUAGGAAGUAAUAGGAAGCUGCUACAUCGUAAAUAUGGAUCAAGUUGUAGGUGUUGAAGAGUAAGUCUUUAGGGUAAAGUAGCCAAGUAAAUUUGUUUAACUUGAUUUCAAAUAGUGGAUUUAGAUUGGUAAGUCUUAGAUCUUGUGGUUUUUUUUCUCCAUAUUUUAUGGGGGUUUUUCACGUAAAAAUCUUAUGUCUCAUUGUCUAUAUCUUUUAUAUUUGAUAUUAUGUUUGUAGGGUUUUCAUAAAAGGUGAAUAUCUAUAUAUUCCUGCUUAGAUUUUAUUUGAUUAAGUUUGAUUGAUUUGUUGGGAUUGCUAUCAAGGUUGUUAGGGUUGUUAUCUUGGUGGUUAUGGUUGUUAUCCUUAUAACUAAUUAUUAUUAUCUCUAACAUCUCUCAGGAUAUCCUUUGGAUAUUAAUAAUUAAUUUAUUUUAUCCCAAAUAAUUUUUAGAUAUCAAUUAGCCAUAAAAAUCAAGUUUUACCAUUCUAAAUUUGUGUUGAACUCCGUUUUUAAUAUCCAAGAGAACCUUGAAAAUUUCUUAAAGGUAAAAAAAAAAAUGAUAUAAUAUAUAAAUCUUUAUUUAAAUUUUUAAAUCACCCAUUCAUUCCACCUUUGGAUAUUUGAUAUUGGACUUUUAGUUGUUAUUCAAGUGAUAUUAAAGCAAUACCCAUUUUUCAAUUGGUAUGAAAGCAAAAUGAAAAAUCGAUUCUUUAUCAUAUCGAUUAAAAAUCCAAUUUUUAUUGAUUAGAUUGUUUAAAAAUCAAAUUUUUAUUAAUCACAUAGGAUAAAAAUCAAAAUUUUAUUGAUCCUGUAAGUCUAAUAUGGAACAAUAAAAAAAUGGCGCUCCUUUGAAUAGUCCACCCUAUUUUGAUGGGAAUAAUUACUCUUAAUGGAAAACAUGAAUGAUGUUUUUCCUUAAAACGUAAGGUGAAAGGGUGUGGAACUUAUUUGAAUAUGGUUGGGGACCACCAUUAAUCCUUGAUUCUCAAGGAAGAUCAACAGGUGAACUUAAACCCAAAAAAGAAUGAGACAAAGCCGAUAAUAAAUGUAGUGAAGCCAAUGCUAGGGCUUUAUUUAAUAUUUUUAAUGAAGUUUGUCCAUAUAGGUUUUUAAUGAAGCAUGGGAUAUUCUUCAAGUCACUCAUGAAGAUACGUACUCUGUAAAGAUUUCUAAAUUACAAAUGCUUGCUAAUAGGUUUGAAAAUAUUAGGAUGCAUGAAAAUCAAACUUGUUCUUCCUUUUAUUUUAAAUUAAGUGAUAUUGUAAAUUCUUUGUUUAACCUUAGAGAACUUAUUUCUAAUUCUAAGAUAGGAAAAUAUUGAGAUUUCUUCUAGAGAAAUUUAAACUGAAAGUAACUACCAUAGAGGAGAGCAAGGAAAUUGAUUCCAUAAGAGUUGAUGAACUUGUAGGCUCCAUUCAAACAUAUGACAUUGACUCUACCUAGUUCCUAAAAUCCUAAAGACUCUACUUUAAGGCUUUUGAUGAUGUGAAAAAAUAUAUUAAAAUGAAAUAUGAUAUAACUAAGGGUGAAUUGGCCCAUAUGGCCAAAAAGAUUAAAAAGGUCAUGAAAUUCAAUAGAAUGUUCUAUAAGUACCAAGAAUCUAGAAAAGGAAAAAGACCUAAUGAACAAUCAUCCAAUAAGAAAAGAAAAGAUUCAUUCAAAGGUAAGAAAGUUGAAUGCUUUAAUAGUGGAAGUUUAGGACAUUAUGCUUAAGAUUAUCCUAGCCCCAAAGAUGCCAAAAAGUCUAUGCAAGCAACAUGGAGCAAUACUGAUUCUAAAGAGAGUGCUUCCAUAGCUUCUGAAGAUGCAAGGUAUGAUCUCAAUGACUUGUUAGCUUUUACUGCUUUUAUGGAACUAGUGCAUGAUGGUGAUGAUGAUGAUGAGUUUACUAAUGAACAUAGGGCUAAAUUCUUGAGUAAUCUUGUUGUUGAGCAUGAAAGACAAAUUAAGAGUGAUAUGAAAAAUAUGAUAUCCUUGAUGUUCAUAAAAACAUAAUUGAUGUGCUUAAUGUUGAAAAGACUAAUUUGCUUGAGAAAUUUAGGUUCCUUGAAUCUGAACACCAUUCUCUCCUUGAGGGGAAUAAUCUUCUCAUUUAAAAGAUAAAAAAUAACAAGCCUUUUUCAUCUAUGAAUAAAUUUUUUUACUUCGAAACUAAAAUGCUUAAUGAAAUUCUUGAUAAAUGCAAAACCUAUGGUGAUAAAAGAGCGUUGGGGCACAUUAAUAAAGAUGAAACUCCUUUUAGUGGAGAUAUUGUGUUUGUCAAAGGUAAGGAUGAUACCCCUAACUAAGUAGAAUCUCAUAAAAAGACAUCACUAUGCACACACUAAAAGAAAACUGAAUUCUCUUAGUUUAGAUGCUACACUAGGUUUUUAGAAAGGUUUGAAACUCAAAUAAAUAGACUGAUGAAUAACUUUAAUUCCGUUGAAAAAUAAUAUCUUGAAUAGUGGAAAGGUAAUAAAACCAAACAAAAGCCUAGAAGUCAAUCUAGUUUCUCUAAGUCACCACCUAGGACUAAGCGAGUUUGGUUGAGAAAGGAUAGGCCAAAAUGUCAAGUUAUGUUUAAUGCUCUUAAAGCUAAAUCUUCUAGUAAGUGGUACUUGGAUAUUGGGUGCUCUCGGCACAUGACAUGCGACAAAUUCUCUUUUACUUCUCUUGAAAAUUAUGAUGGUAGGGUUGUUACUUUUGGAGAUGGAAGCCUAGCUCAAGUAAAGGGCAAGGGCUAAUAGUGAUCCCUGGUUGUCCUAAACUAAAUGGAAUUAUAGAUGUUGAAAGACUGAAGGCAAACCUCUCAAGCAUUAGUCAAAUGUGCGACAAAAACCAUAAAGUGAAUUUUCACCAAGACUUGUGUGGGGUAGUUAAUAAAAAAAGGAAAGGUAGUCAUCAUAGGGCAUAAGACAGUUGAUAAUUGUUAUGACAUAAAUCCUAACUCUAGAGCACCUAUUUUGUGUAGUAAGGCUAAGCUUGAUUCUAUAGAGCUCUGGCAUAGAAGACUAGGUCAAAUAAACUGUAGGGAUCUUGUGCACUUAGUGAAUAUUGAAAAAGUUAAAGGUAUCCUUAGACUUAGUGGUGAACCCAAACCCAUUUAUGAUGAGUGCAUGAAAGGAAAACAAACUAAGAGUUGACACAAAAAGGUUAAGGAGAUAAGGACCACUAGACCUUUUAAAUCUUCUUCACAUGGAUCUUAUGGGUCGAAUGCGAAUUAAAAGUAGAGGUGGCAAGAUAUAUGUCCUUGUAGUAGUAGAUGAUUUUUCAAGAUACUUUGUGAUUUUUUUAAAGGAGAAAUCAAAGGCCAUAGAACAUUUGAAGUCUUUAUUUAAUAGAAUACAAGUGGAAAUAGGUCAUCCAAUUGCAAGAAUUAGGAGUGAUAAGGGGAGAGAGUUUGACAAUGUUAAAAUUGACUUUUUUAUUUUUAUUCUAAAGGAAUUAAACAUGAAUAUUCAACCCCUAGAACUCCUUAUUUGAAUGAAGUAGUUGAAACAAAGAAUAGAAUGCUACAAGAAAUGACAAGGGUGAAGAUUCACAUCCAUAAUACCCUUGAAAAAAUAUGGGUAUUGCUCUCAAUACCCCUUAAAUAACCAAAAGUCAAAUAGGAAACACCUAGAGGGGGGAGGGGGAGAGGAGGAUGAAUGAGUGAUUUAAAAAAUUAAAUCAAUAUUUGUAAAUUAUAAUCACUUUUACUUAUCCUAAGAUAUUAUAGGGACAACUUGCAUAUUCAAAAAGGAUUUCACCCUAAUAAAAAACUUAUUUUUAUUGUUAAUAUCCAAAGAUCAACAAUAUAUGUUGAAGAAUAUUAGGGAUAAUAAUAACCACAACCAACCUAAAAAGCUCAACAACCAAUUAACAAAUCAAUCCAAUAUAUUCAAUAUCUUCAACUAGAAUAUAUGUAGAAAUAAAUAUAAACUUUUUAGAAUAGCCUUGGAAGAUAUUAGGUUAAAACAGAUUAACCUAUUUUAGGCAAUUUAAACGUAAUAUCAAAUAUAAAGAGAUAUACAAUGAGACAUAAGAUUUUUAUGUGGAAAACCCCUACUAACCAUGUAGAUAAAAAAAAAAAACAUGAGGCCAAGACCUAUUAAUCAAAAUCCACUAUUUGAAAUCAAGUCAGACAAAUUUACUUGACCGUUUUACCCUAAAGACUUACUCCCCAAUACCUAUAACUUGAUUCAUGUCCGCAAUGUAGCAAAUACUUAUUGCUCCCUAGUAAAUCCUUUGGUUCCUCCUAAGGGAUUAUGAUCUUCAACUAACAAUUCAAAAAAUCAUAUCCUUGAAUGAUAGAACAAGAAUGGUGUGACAAUAAGGCUUUUUUUACCAAAGAGUACCUCUAAAGAAUGAAAGGUCUCUAACAAUUAGAUCUCUACGAUCUUUAAUCUCUUAGCCUGAAUCUCUAACCCUUAGAGGGUUACAAAGGAGGAAUUUAUAGGUAAAAACCAUAAGGAUUUCGGUAUUUCAAGUUUCCAAAUUAGAAUUGGAUUGAAAUUCAUUCAAAAUACUUUUCUAAACUUGAAAAGACUGUUAUGAUUGCUUGAGAAAACUUAUACCGCUUGAGCGCUCUAACUGCUUGAAUGGGAUUAAUCACUUUAGUGAUCCUACUUUUUAAAAAACCUUUUAAGCUCAAAAAUGAUACCUAUCCUUUUAUACCUCAAAUGAGCCUUUAUAUGCCACAAUUCAGACUUUUUUAGACAUACCUGUGAUUUCCCAAUUGAAUGAAUAACAACCCUUAAUAUUCAAUAGAGAGCAUCUCACUAUCUAAAAAGACUUCUAUGGCCAAACAUAAAUUGGAAUAAAAUUGCUAAUGUAUAUGUCCUAACAAUCUCCCAUUUUUGAAAUUCUGUGACGAAACAUUGUUACAUAGACCCACCCAUACUCUCAUAAUGGAGUUUACAUAACACACAUUAACACUCAAAAGUAAACUAAAGGAAUACUUUGCAACGCUUUGUAGUACUUGUCUUCCAACCUUAUAACUUGCACACAUACAAAAAACUAUACUAAAAACAAAACAAUAUGCAGUAUAAUAUAUGAUCAAGAAAGCAAAAUAGGAUACUUGAAGAUUUUUCUUGAUGCAUUGUGUAAGCAUGAAAAAAAAAAGAACAAAUUCCUAUAAUGACACCAAGGUACAAAGCAAAGCUCAAGAGGAAUUUGAAUGUGUAAAAAUCAACCAAACAUAAUAAAAACUAGAUAAGACCCAAUAAUUUAACAGUAAAGUGCAAGAGACAUUCACCAACCAAACAUAAGCAAUAAAGGCCCUAAGAAAAAACUUAUAUGCUUGAGAUUAGUUCUAGAAAGAUAGUUGGUUCUAAUAGUAGUAAUUUGCAACAUUCACGUUAGGAAUCUCUCUUAAACUUUAAAGUCAUGUUUCCUAAAGAUGAUUUGGUUUACUUCAAUGCCUCUUGUUUAGUUUCCUCUAAUAUUUCAACUAAUUCCCUUUAAUUAAUAAAUAAAAGAAUUCAAAGAAUUCAAAAACUACCUCUAAAUCAAGGAGUUUCUAUUUUUCACCAUUUUUUUUACUCCUUUUUUUUAGGUGAAUCAAAUAUUCAAUGUUUUCUUUUUAUAUUAAUUUAAGUGAGUUAAAUCCUUAUUUUUGUCAUAAAAAAUGACAAAGCAAUAGAAAUACAAACACAAGAAGUACAUAAAAGAAAAAUACAAAGAUGAACAACAUAUAUAUAUAUAUAUAUAUAUAUAUAUAUAUAUAGAGAGAGAGAGAGAUAAAUAAAAGCUAAUCUUAAUAGAGAAAACACCCAAGAGGGGGGGGGGGUGAAUUGAGUUUUAAAAUAUCUUUUUCAAACACCAUAAAUUCAAGGAAAAAAAAAAGCACAAAUAUAAAGAGAUAGGGUUAGAGGAAGCAAACUCAUAAUUUAUAGUGGUUUGACAGUCCUUGUCUACAUCCACUCUUCUCAAGUUCCUAACUGAGUGAGGGUUCCACUAAACUUGAAGCUUCAACCAAGCUUCCAACACCUUUACACUUGGAUUCCUGUUCAAUGGGCUCUUAUAAAAUCUUUUCAAGUCUUUACACACUUGAAGCUUCUAACACUCAAAUAACAAGUUCAAAUCUCUCAACUUAGCUCAAUAAUGGCUUAAAUACAACUCAAAUUUAGGAUGAAUCACAAUAGUACACUAAAGAAUAUUCAUAUGAAGAUUUAAUGCACCAAGAAAAUAAUGAGAGCUUUUAAUGUAAGAACAAGUAGGUAAACAAAUAAAUGCUUCUCUUACUCAUAAAUGAAGUGGAACUUUCAAUUUAUAGGUUUCUAGCCUCCGGAGCCAAAAUGGAAAAAGGAUAGCCAUGAUUGGUUGAGUUGGGGUUGAUCAGUUCAUUAGUCGUUGGACAUUAAAUGCAUGACAGGUGACCGUUAGGCCUCGACUAAUCCUUGAUCGGACAUCGACCAAGAAGACAUAUCCCUCAAUUGGGAAAGAAAAGCUACUAGAAGAGAUAGAAGGUUUUUUGCAUCUCUUGAUCAAACCUCAAUUGGGAAGGGUUAAUCGAUCAAUCGGUACUCCUAACUAGUUGAGUCAGUUCACCAUUUUUGGCCUGACUCACCUAUAUUUUUUUUGGUCUUUUUGCUUUUAACACUUAGGCAAGAUCUUUAGGUAAAUUAAUAUGUCAAUUUUGAAACAAUUUGUUUAAGGUUCAUUUGAUAAAACUCGGGUUUUGAUGGAAAUGUAACUUUAAUGCAUAAAUCGAGUUUUCAAAGAUACAUGGAAAUAUAUGAAAAUCCUAAGUGCACCCAUGCAUUCGUCUUACACAUGUUUCCUAUGAUUAAAAAGUCUUCCAAUUGUCUUGAUCUUGCAUCCAUUAGUCCUUAUAUGAAUUUCCAAAUUAACACCUGAAAUUCUUUAUAAUUCAAACCAAUUAGCAACUUAACCAUGGUUUGUUAUCAUCAAAAUGCAGUUAAAAGAACCCUUGGGCUAACAUAUAUAUAUAUAUAUAAUGUAAUUCUAGAUACAUAAGAUAAUCAAAGAAUAAAUUUCUAGAUCAAUAAAUAUAUAAAAAGAAAAACUCAAUAACUAAACAUCAGGAGGAGGUGGAGAAGGAAAAGAGCUUGAACUACUCUGAGUAUGGAUCCAUGAGAUGAUGUAAGUUAACUAACCCUGGAUCACAUAGAGCUAAACAUCCUAUAAGUCCAACCUCUAAAGCACUAUAGAUAUGAGAUCCAUUUCUUAAGAAGUUAGGAGUGCGGAAGACGAUGAGCCAUGAAGGGCUCUAGAUAAUCUAACACAUCCUCGACUAGAGUGAGUCCUCAAUGCAACAUCAAGAAUGGUUGCAUCCAACUCUAGAGCUUGAAUCUCAUCCUCCUCGGCAAAUGCCUCCUAAGCAACCUAUUGGUCUAGUGCAACAUCUUGGGAGCCAUCUAGAACUAGAGGAGCCAUGGGACUAUACACGUGACUAUAGUGUUUGGCCUAAGAGCUCUCAUCCAACAAAGCAUGAACAACCUAUACCCUUUGUGCAGUAGCAAUCAUAAAACCAAUAUCCUCCAAUAAUCUAGAGAUAAGGAGUCUGAAAAUGAGUACACCACGACGAAAAUAAGAAGUCUCAAUAAAUGGUGAUGGUAUCGAUGAUCACCUGACCAAUGUCGAAUUAUUGUCCAAAUAGAAUGGCAUGGAUGAGACAAGUAGUCAAGCAAUGAAUUUUGGUACAAUAGGAAGAAGAGUAAAAAGAAUAUGUCAAGAAAGUAGCAAAAAUCCAAACUAGCUUGGAGAAACCAACUAGAGAAAUCGAAAUGAGAAUCGAAAAAAGCUCUUCAAGAGUGAGAGACUGAACCUCUAGAAGAAAAGAAGGAAGACACAUCAAGUCUAGACAUGUUGAAUACACACCUAACUGACAAUGAGAUAAUCUAGAAUGGCUAACCAAAUAUGGUCACUCAAAAGGAGUGAAUAGGAGAAGUGGUAUGCAUGUUUGUAUAGAACAUGUGAACCAAAAGAUGAUAAUAUGAACCAUGUAAGGUAAAUAAGGACUUCCACCCUCUCACUUUGAGAAUGGUAGGAAAAUGACUAUCCUGAAAGGCACAAAGAUCAAUAAAAUGCUCGACCUCAAUGCGACAGCUCUAAAAGCAAGCAUAGAAAUGAUCAUGUGUCUCAUGAGAAAGGAAACACUCUAUAAGGAGAUCAAAAGGGUCAAAAUGGCCUUAAAGAGCAAUGCCCUAAAUUAGCUCAAGUAACCUAGGAGGAGUCACCUCUCGUUAACGUUUGUGACUAGACAUAACUAGAGAAAUACCAAAAAAACACAAAAAAUAAGAAAUAUAUUGAAAAAUCUAAUCCGCUAUAAAUGUCUUAAACAAUGCAAAGAACAAUACUAUGAAGUCGAAGAUACAAAAAAUGAAGAAAAAUGUUUCAUAGCGCUUGAGAAAAUAGAAAAAUGUUUGAAAUGAAAAAUGACACACUAGAUGAGUUUUUAUACUUAGAUGUACCAUUGGAUUAGAUUAGUGCUCAAGUAGGAUGCUCGAUGGAUGUGCCACUAGAUGUAACUAAGAGUGCUUGAAUAGUAAAGACGUUGGAUGUGGCUUGAGUGCUUGAGUGUUAAGGACGUUAAAUGUAGCACUCGAGCGGCUAAAGCCAAAAUAUACAUAUAUAUAGCAAGUGAUAGAAUACUCAACUAACAUAUAGACAAGGAUUGACACCAAUUGAAACAAAUUUUAAUAAUAAAGAGUAGAUAAUUAAGCUCAUAAACUUUUAACAUUAGCUCAAUCAGUAAUAGAUGAAGUAUGUUACUUUAGAUAGUAUAUGCCAAUUCAUCAAGAAUGAAAUUUCAAGAUCAAAGGUCAGAUUUAAUCAUAAUCUCCUAUUCAAAAACCCAAUGCAUAACCAUCAAUGUAUAAAAGAGUCAACAUAGAAACAUAAGUAUUGAUUUUCAAGGAAAUACGACUUAUUGUUUAGUUCAAUAUUUUGAAAUUAAUUACUUCAAAGAGAUCUAAUCACAACUUUGGUCAAAUUAAAGAACACAUCUAGUCAAUUUGAACUAAGGUUGUCAGAUUUUUGUUUUGGCCUCGUUGAUCUACAUACAGUACAACUUGACUCCCUUUUAAUAUGAUAUCAUAUUUCUAUUCUUUUCCUUUUGUUUUUCUAUUUAAAAGUGGAGGCAUUGUACAUCAUGGUCAAUUGAUUUUUCUUUUUCUUUUCAUUCAUGGUUGUCUUUUUUAUCCAUUUUGGGGUGGUUUCCAAAUGUUGCAAGUGAGCAAUAUACAUUUAGGAGCAUGAAUCUUGGACAAGAGUAUAAGAGUUAUGCUUAACCAAGGAUUUAAUAUUUUUUACAAACUCACCUUGAGAAACAAAAAAAUGAUUAUAGUUAGACAAGGUAUGUGGAUAAUACAAUUUGAGCAUGACAACGAAUCCUUUCAAAGCAAUCAAAGUCUACUUUAUGAGUUCAACUUAAAAGGUCUUCCCCUUGAUCAAGUAUAACAUGUAACCAAUAUUGAAUUUUUCACAUACAAAGACAUUUAAUUAUCAGGAAUCAAAUGCAUCAAUAGUGAUUAACAAUUAUCUAUGAUUCUAUCCACAUCAAAUCUUAUAGAUAUAGUAUAUUUUUCUAAAUCACAAACUAGAAACAUUAUGAAUCAUGCUCAUAGCUGUGAAAGGCGCGCCUAGGCUCGGGGUGUGAUUACUACUCAAAAAGUGUUAUUUCAUAGCUUGUAAUUAACUCUUUUAAACACUUUUGAGUAGUAGUUAUUGUCUUUUAACCCAAUUAACAUAUUAAGGACCUUUGCAAGCACUUCUAAUCAAUUUGUGUUAAGUUUUGGUGUUUUGAUAGCUUUUUGAUCACCAAAGCAAUAGGAGAUUGAGGAGAGUUAUUUGGAAUCCAUGGCAAAGCAAUGAAAAGCUCAGAAACAUGAAGAACCAAAGCUUUGAAGUCCUUUGCCAUAAGCAAAUUCGAAAUGCAAGGAGGGAAAGUAAAGAGAAAUCUGCCAUGAAGCAUUUUUUAUGAUAGUCAUGUCAGCCACUUUUGGAGCACUUCCUGGAGUCCAAUUUCACUACAAGGAAAAAGAUAUAUGGUGACAUUUAUAACGAGUCACCAUAAACAUAGGGUGUCACUACAACAUAGCGUCACCUUCUCCACUGACACCAUAGAGGGUACCAAUUGGUGACGUAUUUGAAAGUGACACCAAAGUAGAUAAAUGGUGACCCUUUCGGAAGUGACACCAUAUAUUUCUAAUGAUGAUAGGGUGUCGCAUUAAAUGCAUCAUCUUUGAGUUAUGAUGUCAUAUUAAAUGCAUCACCUUUGAGUAAUGGUGUCAAGUCAUUGUAAAUUAUUGUGGAAGAUAUGAUUGCUUUUAGUUAUAGAUUUUUGUAAUGCUUAUGAAUUAAUAAGUAAGAUUAACUUGUCUAUAUUUUGUCCAUAAAUAUAACAAUCAUAUUAUAUUUAACUCAUUUUUCUGUAAUGUUUCUGGAAUAACUCAUAUACAGAUCAUCUAAUAAUAUUUGUAUAUCAAAUGUUCACGAGAAGAUAGUACAUCCAACAUAUCAAACCCAUCAAAACUAAAAAAAGAAGAGUGAAUACAUACCAAAACAUGAUUUAGAAAUGUUAAAGAUCCCAAGAUUCAUGUAUACCUCCAUUUCAUAAGCAUAAAACCGGCUAACUAUAAAAUGACAUAAAAGUCCCAUCUAAAAAUCUAAAUUUCUCAGUACUAAUUAAAGUAACAUUUAUGUCCUACAACGUAUGACAUAAGAGUUGCAUUUAAAAACCCAAAAUCUUGUUGCCUUCUUCUUUCUUUUUAUUCUCCAUUCCACCAUCCCAAAAGUGUAUACCUGCAUUUCAUAGUUUAAUGAGUUUUAUAGAUUUUUAUUAAAGAAAAUAAACAUGGAUCGAUGUUAUCAUAAAUGAAAAAAUCUAAGAACUAUUUUUUUUAUUUUCUUUUUUUCAAAUAGAAACAUUAUUCAAAUAACCUAUGGAAAAAUUCAUGUAAUAGCUAAAGGACUCACCAUGCAUGGUGAUCAUGAUGCAUCAACAUGAUUCAUGAUUAGUUGUAGCACAAAAGUAGCCCAUUCUCCUCUAAUUUCAUCGAAUUCUACUUGAGAAUAUGUUUUUUUUAUCACCAAACUGAAAUCAAAUAAGCAAAUAAGAUUAAAAUGCAUAACAUUUGGAAGCCUAAAACUAUGUACAAUUCAUUAAAUUUGUAAUACCUUUGAAGCAAUGAUUGUAGGAUAAAAAAUUAUCUCUUUUAUGAAUCUCAUAACAAAGUAGCCACAUUCAAACCCUCCUUCUUGUCUUGGACACUAAUCGAUCAAUUAUAAAAUAACAUUAUAAUCAUACAUAUAAAUGGUGCAAAUGCAUAAGCUAAUGUGUAAAGAAAAUUUUUUGGAUGUCACCUGCACUAGUUGCCAAGAUGGCUCCCUUUUAGAUGUUUUCUUUGCAGAUAUUCGAAGAGCCCUAUAUAAAUAAGUUCAAUGGGUACAUUUGUAAAAUAGGUAAAUGUUAUAUGUUUUAACAUAUAUAUAAAUAAUAAUAAAAAUGUGUUUGAGAUGAAUUUAUUUAUUUAUUUUAAAAAAAAAUAAUACUAUGAAAAAUAAUAGGAAGAACUUACAUGUUUACGAUAUCCUUUAAGUCCUCACAUGGUUUGUGAUGCAAAGGGUUAAGAUAGUGGACUAUCAUUUUCCUUGGCUCAAUCACUACCAAGACCCAAUGAAAGCUAAAACAUUAAAAACAAAAGUAUCAUCUAAUUAGAAAUAUAAAUUAAUCAUAAAACCUCAAAUUAAAGUAUAAUAUUUGUCACUUACUCGGGGUUGUAAGGUAUGAAAACAUAUUUAGCAUCUUGGCACUCCAUUAAGCGUUUUGGCAACAAUUGUGCUCUUUUCUCUGUUUGAGGAGAAAAUAAUCUUCAGAAAACAAGUGAAAAUAAUAUAAAAUAACUAAAAAAUGUUCUUUGAAAACACUACUAUGUUUUCUAUUCUUAAGAACAAAAAAUAUGAAAUAAUUUUUUAUCGUUGAAAGUAUUUUCUAUGUUUUUUGUUUUGAAAAACAGAAAACUGCUCUAAAAAUAAUUCUCAAACAAACCAUAAGUUUUUUUCUAAUUCAUUGCCACCAAAAUAGAUAAGCUUGGAUUGGAUUGCUUUGGCUUAUUUAGAUUGGGGAUAUUCUUUCAUGGUAAAAGUUUAUGCCUCAUUUUUUUCCAUUUCUACUAUGUAGCAAUUAAUAUCUUUUUUUUCUCUCUUAUGCAAGAUUGACCAAACUGGAUUUUGUUGCCAAAACAAGUGACCAUCAUGGCUUUGUGUGUUUAUAAAUACAUAUCUAGUCUGAUCAAUUUCCAAAUACAUUCAUUUAAUUCUGAAGUUCUGGAGAUGUCUCAAUUCAUAGAUUAUUCACUGUCAUUUGGCUCUAAGUGGAAUCGCUCAGGAGACAUUCUUUUUGAAAGAGCCAUUUUGAUUUUUCCAGAGGAAACCCCAAACAGGUGGUACAAGAUUGUCACUCAAAUCCCAAGAAAAUCUCCCAUGGAUAUGCUUGAACACUACAUAAAACUCAUACAAGAUAUCGAUGUGAUCGACUUCGGUAGUAUGGAUCACUACAUUCCAGACCGGUGGGAUUUAGAGGAGGAAGAUCAAGAGGAAGAAGAAGGUAGUACUAGCUCAAAAGUCGAGAAGAAGAAAGGGACUCCAUGGAUUGAAGAAGAGCACGUACUGUUUCUUGAAGGAUUAGUUAAAUAUGGAAAAGGUGACUGGAAAAGCAUCUCUAGAAACUUUGUGAUCACCAGGACGCCAUCCCAGGUUGCAAGCCAUGCUCAGAAGUACUUUGCAAGACAAAGGCCUGGGAAUAUGGGCAAGAAAAGGAAGAGAACCAGCAUUCAUGAUAUCACGACUGAUGAUCUUCCUCCACUAGGUGGUGUAACUCCAUAGCCACUUUUUCAUGCAUUGCAGUAUCAUUACAUGGUUGUAAUGGUUGCAUCCUAUAUGAAUUAGACAUUUUGUCAUCUCAUAAAUUUCUACAAAUGAUCAGUAUUUCAAUUUAAUUUAAUUUACUUUGCUUUGUGUGGAGGUCAUACUCAUACCUUCUUCCAUGAAAAUUGAUUCUGAGAAAAUUUGAAGAAGUUGUCCAUUAUAAGGAAUGUUGUAUUUUUCACCAAACUAAGGCAAGAAAAUGAAAUUAUGUUAAUUAAGAAAAGUAAUAUAUAGUAAAGAAUUUUGUACUGGUGACCAACUUUACAAUAUUACAAUAUACCAAGGCACGUACAUGUUAUCUCUCAUCUCCUUAUACAUAGAUCAUUGUGUCUCAGGAGGCACGUACCAAGGCAUCCAUUGAUUCACAAUUGUUCUCAUCUCCCACACAAUAGGGGCCAAGUUAACUGAACUAUCCUCCACUAGGAAUAUCAUGUAUGGUAGAAUAUUGAUUUAGUGGAGCUUGAGUACUUUGAUUUUGGGGGGGCUAUUUGCUGCCAUGGGUGGUCAGUAUUUGUCCAUGACGGAGACUAUCUAUCCUCAAGUGGUGAGAUGCUUCUACGCCGACAUGUAGUAUGAAUUUGGGUGGGCUAUUGAGACUACUAUGAAGCGGUUAUGUGACCCCACAAAAGUAAAACAUUAUGAAAUACCUAAUAUUCGAAGCUCAUGAAAAACAUCCCCAACCCAUAUUUAUAAAAUGGCUUGCUAGUUUACAAUAAUAGAAAACUGAUUGACGUGCCUAUUCAAUCUGUAAAAGGACAUAAAGAAGUAGCGAGAAUGGCAAGCCCCUGUUAUCCUACACGGUUUUAGAGUUACUUUCUUGUCUAAAAUUGAUUAUACCACAAAUUUCAAAUUUUAGUAAUUUUUUGACAACGGAUUUGAUGUGGGGACCACAAGAUAAAAUGUUCUACCAAAUGAAUUUAUUUUUCUCAUUACUAAAUACUAACAUUAAAUUUUCUUCCAUUUUCUUAGUCUCCAAGCAUCACCAAAACUAAUUGAUAAUGCCUACUUACAAUCAAAUUAUAUUAUUUUCUUCCUCCUCAAUUGAACAACUUAUGUCACUUCUAAAGUCUUAGGUGGAUAGAAAAAUGGAAAAGGUUUUUAUUUCUUUAACUUAUGUUAGAAAGAAAAUUAGAGGGAGAAAAAGAAAAUAUUCCAUUUUAGCUCAGGAUCAAUAUGGGAAUUAUGUUGUACAGGUUUGCUAUAUUUCUUGCAAGCUUUUUCUUCAAUUCCUCAUGUUUCUUUACACAUGGGGUUCUGAUGUUGGUUGGAGAAAUGACUUGGUUUCAUUGGCAUUGUUUACCAAGACAAGAGCUUUCUUGAGAUGAGUGAGAUUCCAUUGUCAAUUUUGUUUACAAUCAUCUAGUCAUAACCAUUGAUAAUCCCCUGAAAACAGGUCUUGCUUGUUUGUUUUUAGUGUUUUUUUUUUGUUUGUUUUUUAUUUAAUAUAAAUUUUCUAGAGUCUCUUGACUCUCUCUGAAUAAUACACCUCAGCGACUAGGUAGAACACUAUCAACAGAAUCUUUUACAACCAUAUUCAUUACGUUCCUAGGACAAUCAAUCUCCUAAACAUUAUCCUCAGUAAAUCUAUGGCUAAAGUGUGCUAUCUUCUCUACUGGCCUGUUCCUCUCCCUUGAGAUAUGACUAAAUUUAGCAUUCAUUCUUGAUUGAGAGAGAUAUAAUGUUGAAACAAUGACACCAUGUGCUGAAACAAUGACACCAUGUGUUGUUGAUAAAUGUCACACACACAAAAAUUCUAGGUCUAAGUUUUUGUGUUUGUGUAGCGCCUAAACACACACUAGACCAGCCUUCCUCCAAACCAUAAGGUACACACAUAGAUUACGGGGCUCUCCCCAACUUGUAACUUACUGAUUUCCAACAGAAUACAAGAGGCGCUCUGUAAAGACUCCUACUAGGUAGUUCACUUGCUUUUUAGAAGGUCAGGCUCUCCUUUUAUAAAGGUUGCACCAAGCAGUCCUAAUCCUACUAGGAGACUAACUUUUGAGUCCUAGUCUGAGUUUGAAUCAAUCUCAACAGAUGACAAAUUUGAGUAGGACUCCAAGUCCUACUGAAUUUAAAACUCUCAUGCCACAUCUCUCUACCUCCUUAUGCAUGAAGAUUUAGUUUCCUAUCCCGAUUAGGAGUCUUCUCAUGUCAAGAGUCCCUUUCUCUUCCUGUAUUAGGUCUCAAUCUCCCACUUUGACUAAAAGUCUCAUGUGAUAGGAGUAUGUCUCAUGCAAUAGGAGUCUUGCUCAUGUGAUGCAUCAGUUCACCAUGCUUCCUAGUAUAGGAGACUACACCUUGCUCAAGCCAUCUCGAUGCCAAGAUGUGUCUACUCAAAUCAUUCUUUUUUUUUUCUCUCUCUCGUUUUUGAGAAGGGAUGAAGAUUAUGUGGCAGUAUAUCUCAAAAAAAAUCUAUACCUAUCGUUCUCACACAAAUACAUAUUAAAAAUCAUUCAUUUUUUCUUGUUUUCCACUUGUUUUUAUGGAGUUGAUCGUGUGUUUGGUUCAGAUUAAAAAAUCAAUUAAUCUACAGGUUUUUUCUUCUAUGCUAGAACUUUAAACCUAAGUUUUUCUUCCCUACAACUCAAAAAAACGCAGUUCAUAAAAACCAUAAUACAAAAAUGUUGAAACAAUCAACAUAAUGACAUUAAUAAAAGAAAAAAAAUGAUAGAUCUAAAAGAUUUUGGCUUACCUGGGAGUCCACAAAGAGAAGAAUGUCGAUUGUGAGCGUGUUGACUAUGGGUGAGAGAAAAGGUAGAAGAAGAUUAUGAUUUUUAUUAUAUAUAGGGUUUGUAUAUUGAGAAUUUUUGGAUUGUGGGUAUCAUGUGGAAACAAUGGGCUUUUUAUAUAUUGGUCCUCAUUAUUAAUUCUAAAAGUGGGCUCAAGUAGGCUCAUUAAGUUAUAAUAUUUAAAAAAAAUUAUUUUAUAUGAUGUUACUUCCUGAAAAAUGACACUACUAAUAUAAAACUAACAUCAUCUAACUACCUCAAUUGAAGAUUUUUAAUAUGAUGUGUCACCUUUAUUAAUUAUAAACCUUAUGGUGUCAUUAUUUUAAAAGUGACACCAUAAAUUAUUUUUGUAGUAGUGUUUAUGCAUGUUAUAUGUCAUUUCGAAGCUCAGGAAGUCAACAAUCCAAUGCUUCAAACAGUGUGAGAUUCGGAGUUGAAAUGAAGGAGUUACAGCCAUUGGAAGCCGAUCACUCCAAGCUGAAGGAAGAAUUUUGCACGGCUGCGAAAUCACCCUUUUGCUGCGAAAUGAUUUCGCAGCCAUUUUGCACAGUGCUGUGGAAUUUCUCCUGAAGUUUCCCGAUAUUUGCGACCGACACUUUUGGAUAUUUUGCUUCAGAUUUUUUAUGUCUAAAUCCCUUUUUUCUCCUUGUAACCCACCAAUUAUAGGAUUCCUUAGUUAUUAAGUUUGGAAAAGGGGUGAAUAACCUCAGAUAUUUUGUUUUGUAAUUUUCUUUAUAUAUAGGUCUCGGGAGCCUGUUCUCGAGAGGAGGACGAGAACCUUUUGUAAUAGUAAGGAAUAUAUUUUACAGAGCACUUGCUCUGCUUUUCAUAUAUAUAUUUUUGUUUUCUCGUUAUUUUUCUUUCUAUCCAAUCAAACUCUGAGGAUUUUUCCUCAGAGGAUGAGAGGCUAGACUCUUCGUCUCUUGGAGUGAAGAAAGCCGGGUAAGUUUCCACAUGCAUAAAUUGGAAGUUUUGUUGUUUUAGUUUUUAAUGAAGAGAAAGUGUGACCCGUUAAUGGUUUUUAUCUUUUUAGUUAACUUAAAACACCUUUAAAUCACCUGGGCCAACACUUGGUAAGGCAAGUGAUCUCCUUCCAUGGAGAUGCACUAGUUUAUCUCUUACGAGCUUUUGGGAGGUGACUUGAAGGUAGGAUUUUCUAGAAUUUCCAACACUUGGUAAGCUUUUGGACUCCAAGGAGACAUCCAUUAGUUAUCUCUUGCGAGCUUUUGAUGGGUAAUCCAAGGUUAAAGAUCACCUUGAAUGGCAAGUGCUAGGUGAGAGGUAUGAGCCAUUGCAAGGUGCAUCAGUGAGAGGGAUUUAGUGUUUGAACCCAUUAAUGGGAAGCAUCUAUACAGCACCGGUUAGAGAAUUAAUGCGAGGAAAAGAAACAAGUGACCAAAACUCUCCUUUUUGUACGAGGAACCUGAGCCUAGUGAUCUGAACUCCAAGAAACACUUUUCUUUGUAAGUAAAAUCAGUUAUUAUUUUUGAUUAGUUUAAAACCAAACCUUUUUCAUUCAAACAUCUUUAUGUUUUCUUUUAAAGCUAACCUUGAAAUGAAAAGGCACCAAUUCAGCUUUGAAUUAAUAUCAUUUGCAAAGUGAAAACCCAUCCCAGUUAACGAUCCUAGAGCCACUAUGCUAUAGUAGCUUUGUCUUUGCUACCCUAGUACAUGGUGUAAUAGGUUAUAAAUUUUGGUGAUUACUCCCUCAAUCAAGGAGCACCAGCUGGACAUGAAUCAGUUGAGACACCAAUUGGGCAUGAAUCAGGGUGGCGCGAUGCCACCCUCCGGCGCCUCACCUGAAGGCAGACGACACCCCUUCAUGAAGGUGUCGCUUAGGCACGCAAGGCGUAACGCAGUCACCUGACUUGCCUCCGACUAGGUACGCGGCGUACGCCCUCCUUAUCCUUCUUCUUCUUCUUCUUCUUCUUCUUUUUCUUCCAUUGGGUUGCAAAGGACUAGGCUGAGCCUUAAUUUUCAUUUUAUUUUAUUUUAUUUUUUAGGUCUGAAACAACUUCGUUUAGGCCCUUUUUAAUUUUAAAGGAACAUGCCAAAAUGAUGUCGUUUUGGAGCCUUUUUUUUUAUAUAGAAAAAAAAGGCCAAAACGACGCUAUUUUGGCAUGUUCCUCCAUUCCAACCCUCUUUUCUAGUCUUUCUCAACCUAAGACCACUCUCAAUCGUGAUGGAGAAGUGAAGAAGAAGAAGAAAAAUAGGGGAAAAUAGGAAAAAAAAUAGAGGGAAAAUAGUCAUGUACCUUCUGGACCUCGGUAUUUUUCUCUUUUCUUCACUUUUUUGUAUUUUGACAUAAAAAUUUACUAAAUAAAAAUAAAUAAACAAAAAACACUCAUAUGCAUAUUUGUUGUUAAUGUGAUAUGCAUUUUUUUUUCAAUUUUUUUUCUUAAUUUAAUUAUAAUUAUCUUACUGUAGAGUAUAUAUAAUUUGUUUGCAAGAUGGAUAAUGAGAGUGGAACUCAAGUGGACUCCAGUACAAGUGGAAGAAGAGAUCCUAGAUGGAAAUAUACUCGUUUGGUUAAUGAAAAAGAUUUGAACACCAACAUAUGCAUUUUUGUGAUAAAGUAACCAAAUGAGGCAUAUAUAGACACAAGCAACAUCUUGUUGGUGGAUAUAGAAAUGCUAAAAAGAGUAGAAAAUGUCUGGAACAUGUUAGAGAAGACAUGGAAGAGUAUAUGAGUUCCAAGAAAAAUAAAAAAUAGCAAAUGAAUAUGGGGAGUGAGAUGUUAAUGAAGAUUUGUUUGGUUUGGAAUAUGAAGAUUUUGGUGAGUAUAUUAAUAGUAGAAUGAAUGUCACCAACAUUUUUAGUGGAGGUAGUAACCGAGGAGGAAGUGAUGGUAGGAUGUUUUCUUCAAAAAAACCAAGACAAAAAGGUCAUAUGGAUCAUUUUUUUCACUCCUAAUGCAGAGAUGGUUGUUCAAAAUCGAAGGAGUGGAAAGAUUAAUCAAACUACCAUCAAUGAUGCCUACAAAAAGGAAACAAGAGAAAGAACUUGUAUUCUUAUCACAAGAUGGAUGUGUGAGGCGAUUAUUCCAUUUAAUGUAGUCACAUAUCCGAGUUUCCAACCAAUGAUUGAGGUUAUUGGCCAUUAUGGUGUGGGUAUGAAAGGACCAACUUUUCAUGAGGUAAGAGUUACUAACCUUAAGAAAGAAUUGGCUCUCACAAAAAAUUUGAUGAAAGAUCAUAUGGUGGAAUGGGGAAAAAAUGGAUGUUCAAUUAUGUCAGAUGGAUAGACCAAUAGGAAAGAGAGAACUUUGGUGAACUUUUUGUUUAAUUUUUCAAAGGGAACCAUGUUCAUGCAAUCCAUUUAUGCUUCUUCAAUGAUUAAGACGGGAGAAAAGAUGUUUGAGUUACUUGACAAAUGGGUAAAACAAGUUGGUGAGGAGAAUGUUAUUCAAGUUAUAACAGAUAAUCACUCAAGUUAUGUGAUGGCAGGUAAUAAAUACUAUUUCUUGAAUUUUUAUUUACUUUUAAAAUUUGAAUUAUUUAUCUUGAGAACUUAUGUAAAUUUAUUAUUUACAAUGUCACAUAGGGAGGUUGUUAGAAUUAAAGCGCCCACAUUUGUAUUGGACACCAUGUGUUGCACAUUGCCUUGACUUGAUGUUGGAAGAUAUUGGAAAGCUACCAAACAUCAAGAGGACAUUGGAGAGGGCUAUAUCACUAAAUGGGUAUAUUUAUAAUCGCUCAGGGCUACUUAACAUGAUGAGGCGGUUUACUGGACAAAGGGAAUUGCUUAGGCUUGCUAAGACUCGGUUUGCAACUGCUUUCAUCACAUUAUCGCGAUUGCAUGAACAAAAAAACAACUUGGGGAAGAUGUUUACAAGCUCAAAUUGAUCAGAUAGUAAAUGGGAAAAAGAGUAGAAAGGGAAAACUAUAGCCAACAUAUUUCUAAUGCCUUCAUUUUGGAACACUAUUGUGUUUUGCUUAAAGGUUUUGGGUCCCCUAGUUCGUGUGCUUCGUUUGGUUGAUGGUGAAAAAAAAGCUCCUAUGGGAUACAUCUAUGAGGCCAUGAAUAGAGUUAAGGAUACAGUUGUGACAAGUUUUAAUGGAAAUGAAGAGAAGUACAAAGAAAUCUUCAACAUCAUUGAUAAGAGGUGGGAGAUUCAGCUUUACCGGCCUUUGCAUGCAGUAGGGUACUUUUUGAACCCGGAAUUCUUCUAUGAUAAACCAGAAAUAGAGUAUAAUGCGGAGAUUAUGAGUGAUUUGUAUAAAUGCAUCUUAAGGCUAACAAGAGACCUUGCUAAGCAAGAAAAAGUUGUGGCCAAAAUGAGUUUGUUCACAAAUGCCCAAGGACUAUUUGGGAAUGAGUUAGCUGUUAGGACAAGAAAGACUAGAGCACUAGGUUAGUUAUUUAGUUUUGUUUAUUUAAAUGACUACAAUUUAUUUUUGCUAAAAUAGGUGAAUUGUUUCACUAAAUUGUUAAUAUCUAUACUACAGCUGAAUGGUGAGCUGCAUAUGGAGCUUCAGCUCCAAAUUUGCAAAGGUUUGCAAUGAAAGUCCUCAACUUAACAUGCAAUGCAUCAGGUUGUGAAUGGAAUUGGAGCAUCUUUAAAAAUGUAAGUGACCAAAAUAAUUACAAGUAAUAGUCUAAUAGAGUCUUGAAUGUAACCUAAAAGCUAAAACUUUAAAAUAUAUUUAUAAGCUUAUGAAUUUUUGCAGAUUCAUAGCAAGAGGAGAAAUAGGUUAGAUCAUCAACGCUUGAAUGAUUUGGUAUACAUUAAGUAUAAUCGAGCCUUAAAGAGAAGAUACAAUGAACGUAACACCAUUGACCCAAUUUCUUUGAAAGAUAUAGAUGAUAGCAAUGAAUGGUUGAUAGGAAGAAUGGAAGAUGAGGAUUCUCAUGGAGGUGCACAAGAUGAUUUUGUAUUUGAUGAUGAUAAUUUGACAUGGGGUGAUGUUGCUAUAGCUACUAGAGCUGAGGAGGCCAGGUUUGAUACUAGAGCUAGAGCUAAAGCUAGACCAAGCUCAAGCAUAAUACCACCAACGAGGAGGAUAGCUUCAAGUUCUAGAACCUUGCCUUCUCAUUCACUAAUAGAUGAAGAUGAGGAUGGAGACAUGGUUGAUUCAGCAUAUGAAGAAGAUGGGGAAGGCUACAAAUAUGGUGAUGGAAAUGAUGAUGAUGAUGAUUUAGUUGAUUUAGAGGAGGAGUGAUGAUUGCUUGUUGUGGACAAAUUUGUUAUUUAAGUGUUUUUUAAUGAUGUUUUUGAAUUGUGGACAAAUUUCAUAUUUUGGACCUUUUGGUUUGGAAACUUUGGAUUUGGAUAUGUAUUGGGCUAUUAGCAAUAUGGAUUUGGAUUUGUUUUUAUGCUUGGAGUUCUUUAUUUUUUAUGUUUUUCGUUGAUUAAAUUGAAGUUUUGGAUGAUAUUUGACGAUUUAUGUGUUUAGGACAAAUAAAUGAUUGUUAAAUUUGAUUAUAUUAUAUUAAAAUAUAUAUGUAAAUUAGGGUGCGCCUCACUUCACAAAAGCCCGCACCUUAGGUGCGCCUUGCGCCUCAGGCUCCAGGACUACAUUGCGCCUCAGGCUCCAGGACUACAUUGCGCCUUAGGCUCCAGGACUACAUUGCGCCUUGGUGUGCCUUGAUCCUUUUAAAACUAUAAUCAUGCUAAUAUAUCAAGUAAAUAAACAAAAAUAAUAUGCCCAAAACAAAAUAAGGCCAAAUGAAACAAGAAGAUAUAAACAGUAAGCUCAACACCUUUGAAGCCUAUACCUAUGAUGAUCAAUCAAUUAAGCAUAUGCCUAAAGAUUUCCUUAGGUACUCAAACUUAAGAGAAUCCAAGGGUUUGGUAAGAAUAUCUGCUAAUUAAAGUUCCAUGAAAGAACAAACCAUAAAGAAACAACAUUUUUUUCAACAAGAUCCUUAAUGAAAUGAUUACGAAAUUCAAUGUGAUUAGUAUGGGAAUGAAGAACAAGAUUCUUUGAGAUAUUUAUAGCACUAGAGUUGUCAUAAUGCAUGUUCAUGGUUCCUUCUUCAAUUCCAUAGUCUUUAAGCAUUUGUUUUAUCCACAGGAGUCGCAUACAACAAAUCCUAACAACAAUAUAUUGAGCUUCAAUAAUAGAUAAAGACAUAAAAUUUUGUUUCUUACUAAGCCAAGCCAUAAGCCAAUGUUCAAUAAAAGAUAUGUUUUUUCUAUUCUCAAAUGUUUCUAGCCCACUCAGCAUGGGAAUAUCCAACAAUCACAAAAGAAGAGUCAUAGGGAUACCAUAAACCAUAAUCAAGAGUUCCAUUUAUAUAACGAAUAUAUAAUUCUUUUAAUAGACAUUAAGUGUGACUGUUUGGGGUUUGCUUGAUAUCUAGCACAAGCUCCAAGACUAAAAGAUAUGUCAGGACGACUCGCAGUGAGGUAAAGUAAGCUUUCUAUUAUAAUUCUAUAAAGCUUUUUCUCAACAUUUUUUCUAGCUGCAUCCUUACUAAGCUUAGUGGUAGUGCUCAUUGGUGUCUUACAGUGUUUAGAAGAUUGUAGAUAGAAUUUUUGAACAACUUUCCUAGCAUACUUGGAUAGAGAAAGAAAGAUUCCAUCUUUUAGUUGCCUAAUCUGCAAUCCUAGGAAAAAACUUAAUUCAUCUACCAUGCUUAUCUUGAAUUCAGUCUUCAUCUCUUUUGCAAAACUAAGGGCAAGGUCAUUAGAGGUAGCUCCAAAAACUAUAUCAUCAACAUAAAUCUGAGCUAUUAACAACUCAUCAUUGGACCUAUUAAUAAACAAGGUUCUAUCAACUCCCUCUCUUUCAAACUUUUUCUCUAAAAGAUAGGUUAUGAUUCUCUCAUACAAUGCCUUAGGAGCUUGCUUUAAUCCAUAAGUAGCUUUCUUUAACCUAUAAACAUAAUUGAGGAAUUUAAGAUCUCAAAUUAUGUUGCUCAACAUAGACUUCUUCACUUUGGCAACUAGUUUUACUUUGCUUCUCACAAUGACCCCAUUUUCAUUUUGUUUGUUCUUGAGUAUCUAUUUUGUACCUAUGACAUGAUUAUCAUUAGGCCUAGGAACUAAGUACCACACAUCAUUCCUAAUGAAUUGAUUCAGUUUUUCCUAGAGUGUGGACAUCCAAGAUUCAUCUUUUAAACCUUUCUACACAUUCUUUGGCUCAAAUUGGGAGGUAUAGCAUACACAACCCAUCUCAUUUAAUCUUGAUUGCCACUUAGUAAUAACAUGUUCAUUCAUAUUACCUAUAACAUUGAGAUUAUGUAGUUUUUAGGUAUUUUGGAUCUAUGUUUAUCCCUUAUUUCUUCAGGAGUGUCAUAAAGAAGUACAAUUUCAUCAUUGUUGGGGUCAAUGCCUUUUUAAGGGUUAUCAUUAGCAUUAUCUUUAGAAGUCACCAAGUCUUUAGGGUUAUCCUUGAUUGAUUCUUAGGUUGAAAUUUGAUUGUCAAUUAUAUUCUGGUCAUACCUAGUAUGAUUUAUAACUACAUUAGAAGAUUCUUGGAUGACUUGUGAAUUUUGAUUAUAAACCCUAUAGGCUUUACUCAUAGUCGAAUAGCCUAGAAAGUACCUAAAUUAGAUUUAGUAUCAAACUUUCCAAGGUUCUCCCAUCCCUAAGAAUGUAGCAUUCACUGCCAAAAUUCCUAAAAUUAUGAAAGUUAGGUUUUCUCCUAAUCUAUAAUUCAUAAGAUGCCUUUUUUGUUCUAGGUCUAAGAAAAAUCCUAUUAGCAUAACAAAUAGUAUUAAUUGCUUCUUCCCAAAAUAGCAUAGAGAUAUUAUACAUGUGAAUCAUCAACCUAGUCAUCUCUUGUAGCACUUUCUUUUUUCUUUCAACUACUCCAUUCUAUUGCGAAGUUCUAGGGGUUGAAAACUUAUGUUUAAUUCCUUUUAACUCACAAAAGAGGUCAACAUCCACAUUGUCAAACUCUCUCCCUCUAUCACUCUUAAUCCUUACAAUUGGAUGACCAAUUUCCACUUAUAUUCUAUUAAAUAAAGACUUUAAAUAUUUUAUAGCCUUAGAUUCCCCCCUAAGAAAACUCACAAAGGAGUAUCUCGACAAAAUCAUCUACAUCCACAAUGACAUAUCUCUUGCCACGUUUACUUUUAGUUCAUAUUGGACCCAUAAGAUCCAUGUGAAGAAGAUCUAAAGGUCUAGUAGUCUUUAUCUUCUUAACAUUUUUGUGUGAACUCUUAAUUUGUUUUCCUUUCAUGCACUCAUCACAAAUGGGUUUAGGUUCACCACUAAGUCUAGGGAUACCUCUAAUUCUUUCAGUAUUCAUUAAGUGCACAAGAUUCCUAUAAUUUAUGUGACCCAGUCUUCUAUGCCAAAGCUUAGUAGGAUCAAGCUUAGCCUUAUUGCACAAAAAAGAUGUUCUAAAGCUAGAAUUUAUGGCAUAAAAAUUAUCAAUUGUCCUAUGCCCUAUGAUGACUAUCUUUUCCUCUUUAUUAAUUACCUUGCAUAAGUCUUGGUGAAAAUUCACUCUAUGGUCUUUGUCGCACAUUUGACUAAUGCUUAAGAGAUUUUCUUUAAGUCCUUCAACAUAAAUUACUUCAUCUAGUUUGAGCCAUCCAGGGAUAACUAUACCACUCCUGCCUUUCACUUUAGUUAGGUUUCCAUCUCCAAAAGUAACAAAUCCUACCAUCAAAGUUUUCUAGAGAAAUGAAAGCGGAUUUGUCUCAUUUCAUGUGUCUAGAGCACCCACUAUCAAGGUAUCAUUUACUAGAAAUUUAUAUUUAAGAGAAUUGAACACAACUUUACAUUCAGACUUAUCAUUUCUCAACCAAACUUGCUUAGUUCUAGGUGGUGACUUCGAGGAACUAGAUUAACUUCUAGGUUUCUGAUUGGUUUUAUUUCUUUUCCCAUCAUUCAAAAUGUUGUUUUUAAGGGAAUUAAAAUCAUUCAUAAGUCUAUUCAUUUGAGUUUCAAACCUUUCUAGAAACCUAGUGUAGCAUCAAGAUUGAGAGUGUCCAGUUUUCUUACAAUGUGUGCAUAGUGAUGUCUUUUUAGGAGAUUCUACUUGGUUAGGGGUAUCAUUCUCACCUUUGAUAAACAUGGUUUAUCCACUAAAGGGAGUUUCAUCUUUAUUGAUAUACCCCAAACAUCUUUGAUCACUAUGGGUGUUGCAUUUAUCAAGUAUUUCAUUAAGCACUUUAGUUUUAGGGUGAAAAUUUUCAUUCACAGAUGAAGAAGGCUUAUUAUUCUUGAUCUAUUGAGUGAGGACAUUAUUCUUCUCAAGGAUAGAAUGAUGCUCAAAUUCAAGAAAUCUAAUUUUCUCAAGUAAAUUAAAUUUUUCAGCACUAAGCACAUCAAUCUUAUUUUUAUUUGCAUCAAGAACUUUAUGAUUUGUCAUAUAACUCUUAAUUAAUCUUUCAUGCUCAAUAAAAAGAUUGUCAAAGAAUUCAACCAUUUGUUUAUCAGUAAACUCAUCAUCAUUAAUAUCACUAUCACUAUCACAAUAAGAAUUAUUCUUAUAUUCUAUAGAUGCAACAAAACUUAACAUGUCAUUGGGAUCGUACCUUGCAUAUUCACAAAUUGUAAAAGCACCGUCUUUAGAAUACGAGUAACUCCAUGUUGCUUAUAUAAACGUUUUAAUAUUUUUGGGGCUAGGACACUCUUAAGAGUAGUGUCCCAUGCCUCCAUACACUACAAGAAAAAGAGUCAUUAUUGACAUAUAUCCUCUUGACUUAAGAUAAUAUAUGUGAAGAUAGUCUAUUUAAAUGAACAAUUAUGACAUAUACAACUUUGUUUAAACCAAUAAUGACAUAUAUAAUAGUUAUUGCAUUUUUCCAUGACUUAUGAUGAUGCAACCAUGACAAAUAAUUUAUAAGUCAAUCUAUAAUUAAUAUGUUCAUAUGUCAAGGUAUCCAAAUGAAAUCAAUAUAUAUAUAUAUAUAUAUAUAUAUAUAUUAUUUGCUAAAUUUUCCUUGGUUUAAUGAUAUGCAAUCUUGACUAAAAAUUUAUUAGUCAAAGUAUAGUUAAUGUUUUCUGCCUAAAUAAAAGUAAUAAUGACAUAUAUGCAUUUGCUAAAUUUUUAUAUGGUUUAUAAUGAUACAACCUUAAUAGAAAUGUAUAAGUUAAUAAAUAUUUAAUAAAUUAAUAUGUUAAGAUUAGAAUAUUUGGUUGCGUCACUUUAACAUGAAUCCUAGCAUGCAUGGUGUCCAACUAGCAUAGUAGAAAUAGCCAGAGUAUAAGGAAACACCAAUUAUGGCACCAAUCAUGUAUACAACUCCAAAAAUCAAGGAUUGUGAUAAAAACAUGUUAGCAAAAGGGGUGACACACUAUUAUCAAAAGAAAAAUUAUUAAUUAAUAUUCAGGAACAUCAUUUGAUCAUGAAAAAUUACGACAACCCUCUUUGUUAUGUCUAUAUCACAAUACAAUAACCAACAAAAGUUAUGAGAUGUCAAAUGGUCUUGAAUUAAACAACAAUGCAGGCAUAAUGCAAACUUCUAGUCCAUAAUCAAAACAAGGCAUCUUUAAGAAUAAAUCCUAAGAAAAUAUUUAAAAAAAAAAAAGAAAUUGAUCACAAAAACACAUAAAAGACUUCUCGUCAAUGUCUAUAUCAACAUACCAAAGUUCAAGCAUUCAAAUAAACAACAUAUUCAAUUCAAAAUAUCCAAAAGUUCAAAAAAGUUUAGAAUUAGGCAAAAAAAAAAAAAAAAACAAUGUAAACUAAAUUUAAAAAAAAAAAAAAAAAACUAAAGGCCUUAUAAAUUCAUAAAAAAAAAUAACACAAGUCAUUUAAGAUGUUUAGAUCAUCCAAAAAUUUAAUUCAAGGGUAGAAAGCAUUCAUAAGAAUUUUUAGAACACUGUAAUUUAUCAAUUGUGCAUAUUCGAUUAUAUGCAAUAGGUGCGACUUUGAAAAAUCAUAUCUUCCUCAAUAAAGCGUAUUUUUUUUAAUAUUUUAUGGGUUAAAAUUCAAUUUUAAGAAAAAUCUAGAAAAAAUAUUCGUUUAAAUUGAAAAGAUUAAAGGUAAUUGAAUUUUACAAAGUUCUCUCAAGUGUAUAAAAGUAGACCUAAACAGAACAUGCUAAAAGAGAUUAUCAUAACUUGACUUUGAGAAAAGCUUUUUGACUCAAAUAACAUUCCAAAUAAGGAACAUUGUACAAUUUUUGGAAUUUUUUUUAAAACUUCAUAAAAUUAUCAAAACAAAUUUUAAAACUAAAGGGUCAAUAGCUAAGUGGAAGUUGGAAGGAAGGAUGUGCUUUUUUAAAAUAAAAGAAAAUCUUUUAUAUAGGGGUUCCAUCAAGUCCCCAUUCAAUAUUCAUAAGUUUAAUCUGUAUAUUUCCAUUAGCUUGAGAGUACAAGUUCAAACCUAUGUGGAUAAAAACAAAAUAUUUGAAAAACCAACAAAGGAGAAUUCAACUUAGAUUGAAAUGAGUUGCAUAAUUUCCAAAGAAAACGUGUUCUUUGCCUAAACCUAGAAUGAAUGUUUUUCUGAUGCUUUUUAUUGCUUUAAGUAUUUUUUGAAAACGACUUUAGAGGAAGUAAAAGAAACCAAGUGAUUUGAUGAUUCCUAAUCAAUAGACAGAAAAUAGGUUUUUUUUUUUUCUUAAAAGAAUUUUAAAAUAAGAGAAGCUCGGCUUGGAUCACCUUUUUUACUACUUUUCAUUUGGGAUCUAUUAGCCAAACUUAUAAUGAAAGAAAAUUCAUUUUUUAGUAAAAGAAGGUUUUGAAGAUAUGGAGUUUUCAAGGACACUAACAUAAAGAACAUGCAUGCAUGUAAGUCAAACCUUAUCAUUGAUAUCCAUCAAGACUAACACUUAAAGAUUUUUUUUUUAAUUUAAAAAAAAAUGAAUUACAAUAAAUUUACGAAACUAACAACAUCCUAAGAAUUUUGUAAAGCAAACUAAAAUCAAUAUGUNNNNNNNNNNNNNNNNNNNNNNNNNNNNNNNNNNNNNNNNNNNNNNNNNNNNNNNNNNNNNNNNNNNNNNNNNNNNNNNNNNNNNNNNNNNNNNNNNNNNUAAAAUCAAUAUGUCAAACUUUAACAUCCCAAGAAUUACCAUGUCCCAAAAAUAAGAAUUUUAAUCCAACAACCUAAACAACUAACAUGCAUUAUGACGAGAGAAUCUAAAAACCUAAGAAUUGCCAUGUCAAAGGUGAAAACUUCAAAUUCAAUAAUACAAUCAAAUACUAAAAAUUAAACAUGAGACAUGCUUACUGACAUUCUGGUGGUGGGCGCUAGGAUGAUGGCUCUUUUGCUGCGUCUUCUUCUCCAAAAAUUCUGAUUGUGGUCCUUGGAAAAAUUCUGAUCGUUGUCCCAUGAAAAAUUCUGAUCAUUGUACUCGAAUCCUUGUCCACCUCUCCAAAAAUUCAGAUCACAGUCCUCGCAAAAAUUAUGAAUGUUGUCCCUGUAAAAAUAAAAAUAAAUUAUGAACAGCCACCACUCUAGAAAUUCUAAUCAUCGUUCUCAAAAAUGGAGAAAGGACCGCCCUCUAUGUGCGAAUUUUUUUUUCCUUCUAGCACUUUGAAUUUCUUCCCCAACACGCUCAAACCUGCUUCUCAACCCCCACCUUGAAAACUCCACCAAAACGUUGAACGACACGAGCCAUCAAGCUAUUAGAAGAAGCAUCAUGGUCAUCGGUGUAGAUGACGGGGUUCGGGUCGGAGCUUUCUUGUUGGAUGGCUUUGAUGGCACGCCACAAGGCCCUCUCACCAUCACCACCAUCAUUGGUAUAUGGAUGGAAGAAUCCGAACCCCCGUCAUCCAUUGCUCCUGCCUUUGAUGAUCGAACGUGAUAUAUAACUCAAAAUUAAGGCUAUUGUACCCGAAAUUAGGCACCAUACCAGUACCUCAUUCGCCAAUGAUCUCUGAUUUUCUUACUUUCAGUGGAUGAAAUGAUCGAAGAUCUUGGAAAGUUGGAAAUGUUCCUCUUAAGUCUCAAUAACCCCCCCAAAUGUCGUGGCUUCCAAAAUUUGAUGUGGAUUAUUUCCUCUCAACUUUCCAGAAUGUGGUUUGGAACUCACGAAAUGGUGUUCGUGUGUCCUUCUAUGGUGCAAAUAGCAAGCAAGCAUCCUCGCGGUCCAAAUGGCAAUGUUGGAUUCAGUAUGGUCACAAGGUGAUGUCCUCUGAUGAAUAAAGGGGGUUUUGGAUGGUGUGGUUUAUCGUAAGGAGACCCUCAAAAUCAAAUCUCCCGUCCUUGCUCCUCAUUUUUUCUCCCAUUUGUACCCCGUUUUUAGCCUUCUUUAUUUAUUUUUUAUUUUUUUUACGUCCCCUCUGCUUCGAAACCCCCCUUGAAAAGUCUCUUAAGCCGUCCGCUUCAUCUCAUUUCCUUCUACUCAGAUCCUCACUUUCCCAUGCAGCAACCCGAUUCUCCAUGGUGCAACCCUAGUCCCCAUGAUGCGGGCCCCCCUCCUCUCAUCUUCUCUUGCUUUCAGUAUAAGUUUUCUCACAUUUUAAAAAUUCUGGUCAAUCCUUAAGGAAUGUGGUAGCAACAUCAAUAUUCUCUAGUAUUUCCAUAUCUUCCCACAAUGCAGCCCGUCCUCUUGCUUUCAAAGUCACCUAAUCCCCAUACAAAAAAAAAAAAAAAAAAGAAUCAAAGAAAACGAGGAGGAAGCAUGCAAGAAUAAUAAAUAAAUAAAUAACUAAAAUCGUGCAAAUUUUAAAAAAAAAAUCAAGAAAAAUUAGCCACAUGCAAGUAUAGCAAAAUAUUAAUUCAUGCAAUCUUAAUAAUAAUAAUAAUAAUAAUAAUAAUAAUAAUAAUAAUAAUAAUAAUAGCAAUAACAAUGAUGAUGAUGAUAAUAGAAACAAUAAUAAAAAAACAAUUCUAAUGAUGAUAAUAAUAAAAAUAAUAACAACAAAAAUAAAUGAUGACUAUAAAAAGGUAAAUAAAAAAUAAAUAAAUAAAUAUAAGUACACAACACAUAUUCAUAAAGAAAAACAUGCAAGCUAUGUAAGUCAUGCAAGCUAUGCAAGUUACGUGAGCCAUGCAAAUGAUGCAAGCUACAUUUGUCAUCUAAAUGACUUAGGGGUGUUAGGGUAAGCCUAAGCGGACUAAGUGCACCUAAACAUGGCAAGUGUUCUUAAUGGGCCUAAAUAUGUCUAAGUGAGCUGUCAGAAAAGUGUACUUAGUAUCCAGAGUGGCUCAAAGAGGUAAGCUAUAUGAGUAGCAAUGGGCCACAAAAAACUACUAUAGAGUUCUAAAAGAGCACUUAAUCAGGGCAUGUGCUAAGAGGAUAAAAUGGAAGGUCUACACCUUGCAAGAUAUUAAGGAUAAUCAAUUUAAUUUAUUUUAGGCAAUUCAAAUAGAAUAUUGAAUAUAAAACUAUAGACAAUGAGGUACAAAUUUUUUACAUGGAAAACCCCCACAAAUUGUAGAGAUAAAAAACCACGAGAUCUAAGACCUACCAAUCUAAAUCCAUUAUUCGAAGUCAAGUUACAUAGAUUUACCUGGACGUUUUACCCUAAAGACUUACUCUACAACACCUACAACUUGAUCCAUGUCCGCGACGCAACAAUUCCCUAUUGCUCCAUAGUAAAUCCUUCGGUUUCUCAAAAGGGAUUACAAUCUUUAACUAACAAUUCAAAGAUUCAAAUCCUUGAAUUAAAGAACAUGAAUGGUGUGUCAAUUAGAUUUUUCUCACAAGAAGUCCCUCCAAAGAAUAGCAGGUCUCUCAACAAUCUUUUAGGAUCUCUAUGAUCUUUCUAAUCUCCGAUUUGUAACCAACAAGGGGUUACAAGAGAUCUAUUUAUAGGCAAAAGCCAUAAGAGUUUUGGUAUCCCAAGUUUUCAAAUUAGAGUUUAAGUUAAAUUCAUUCAAAAUAGGUUUUUAAACUCGAUAGGACUGGCAUGACUGCUUGAGCAAACUUUGACCACUUGAGCUAGCACUUUACUUGAGCAGUCCUUACCUCUUGUAUAGGUUGAUUGCUUGAGUAGGAUUAAUCACUUAAGCCGUCCUUAGUACUUGAGAGAGAUUAACCGCUUGAGUGGCCUCUACUUUUUGAAAAAUAAUUUUUAAAAUCAUUUUAAGUUUAAAAAUGAUACCAAACCUUUUUAUACCUCAAAUAAGCCUUAUAUUCCAUAAGCCAAACCUUUUUAGAUGUACCAAUGACUUUUCGAUUGGAUGAAUAGCAACCCUUGAUCUUCGAUGGAGAGCAUGUCAUUAUCUAAAAAGACUUUUAUGACCAAAAAUUAAUUGGAACAAAAUUGCCGAUAAAUACACAAGACUUAAUGUCUUAACAAUUCAUUCCCCAUCCUUCAAGCCCAUGACUUAUUCAUUUUUCCCUUGUUUUGAUCCCCCCAUGCUUCUUAAUUUUUAAAUAUUUCUUUAGGCAUAUUUGAUCCCUUCCUCUUCCUUGGUUAAAAUUGAUUCUAGUAACUUCUAUUUUUUUUUCCCUCAUUUGAACACGAAAUUAAGCUCAAAAUAUAUGUUAGAUAUGCAACUAAGGUCUUAGCACUUAAUUUGGGUGUGUGGAUCCCUUUAUAUAGUAUAAAUCAUACCAUAUAUAUGUCAUUAGAGUGUAUAUUUUGACCACAAUCAAUAUCCUAUUAUAGGGUUGUGCAUCUUGGUUCAUUAAAGCAUAUGGGGACUAUUCCCCUUAUACCUGGCUAUGAAAGCCUAAGAAUGAUUGACAUUUGCAUCUGGAUGCCUAGUUGGGUGCAUGUAGCACUAACCGUGAGUCCAUACACUUAUCACUUGAGUGAUUCUACCCAAACUUAGUCAUUGUUACUAAUGAAUAAAGAAAAAUCAAUAUUUUAUUAAAAAGAAUUAAAUAUUUUGUUUCUUUUUGUUCAGUUAAAAAUAAAUUAAAAGCUUUUAAAAAAAAUUAAAUUAAAAAGCAUUUUUUUUUUUUGAAAAAAAAAAACACACAAUCAAUCUAAAAUCUAAAAGAAAAUUACUUUCAAUAACAAGCUUUUUAAAAAAAAAAGAAAAAAGAAAAGAAAAAGGCAAACAAACAAACAAACACCACUUUACUUAUUUUUUUUUUUUUAAGAAAUAUUUGGCUAAAAGACUUCAAAUACUUCUCAAAUCAUAAGAAUGACCUUUCUUCUUUAUUCUUUAAAAAAAAAAUGAAUCAUUUUGGAUAAUAUUACAUUUUUUUUUCUUUUUUUUUUCUCAAAAUAACAUUUCUCCCUCAUCCCCCAAUCGUUUCCUUCUCAUUCUUCCAAUGAAUUUUCCAAGUUCUUUCCUAGUGAAUUUGGGGGCGUGGUUCAAAUCGAAGAAAUGAUAAAAAUCGAUCACAACUCUCAUCUUUUUUUCUUAUUCAAGAUCUUUCAUUUGUUUUUUUUUUUUUUUUUUUUGAGUUGGUUUUUGUUGUUUUUUGCAGUCUUCAUCAAGAUCCUGCAUUAUCCUUUAUAUGUGUGUGUGUUUGGUUAUUGUUUUUUGUUAAUGGUUUUUUUGUUGUUGUUUUUUGUAGUUACUUUUUGUUGGAUUUUCGUGUGUGUUUCUUUCUUUCUUUUUUUUUUUUUUUUUUUGAAUGUUCAACUAGGAUUUUGGUUCAGGUUUUUUGGUUGGGAUUUUAUUAGUGGAAUUUUUGUUAGGAUUUUUUGAGGUUGUCCUUUAGUGGUAAUUUUUACUAUUUUUUGUUAAAUUUUUUUUGUAGUUUCAUUUAAACUUCUAAAAUGUGAAGAUGAGAUCACAUAAUCCUUUUAUUUAAUGUUUAAGUCCAUAUAAAUAUUCUAAUUAAGAACUUAAUUAUAAUUAAGUUUUUUUUUGUAGAUAAAAUGUUAAAUUAACUCUAAUUAAGUUUUUUUUAAAAAUAAAACUUAAUAACAACAAAGUUUAGAUCAUUAUAAUCGAGUUCUUUAUAGAUGAAAUGGAAAAAUUGACCGUAGUUAAAUUAUUUGUAAAUGAAUUUAAUUCUAGUUAAGUUUUUUUGUAAAUCAAACUUGACUCUUGUAUUUUUACUUAAUAUAAAUAAACAUCUAAAAUGAAAGCAAGAAUGAGUAAUUUGUAAGAUAAGAUAGUUACGAAAAGAUAAUGAUUUUUAUAACAAACAAAAUGAAGAAGGAUAAAAGUAUCCAAAAAGAGUUAUUUCUCGACAAAAUUAAAGUGUGAGGGGUCAUUUUUACAAUUUGAGAGUUAUUUUGAGUCAUGUGUCCAAAUAACCCCUUUUUUUAAAAAAAAAUUCCAAACCAAUGUUAAUGUCUCACAUGUAAACAUUGAGAAAUUAUUUAAAUUUGUAAUAUAGUUUCAUAUUGUCAAGGCCAAAGGGCUAUAGAUAAAUGAUGGAUUCAGACUUGGAACUUCUUUAUUUAAAAAUAUAUAUAAUUAAUUGAUAAUCAGUCAUGCUAGACUUAUUAUGUUUAUUUAAUUUUUUGUUCCCCUAAAAUAAAUCUCUCGCACUUUGACCCUUGUUAUUUCAUAGUUAUUACUGGUGCUCAAACUCUUGAGCUAGGGUCCAUGAGUGAUGUGAUCUAAUAAUACUCUUCCUAGAGGUGGUGAUUGACCUAUUUGCCUAUAGAACCUAGCACUUGCACUAAAGAGUAUUGAAAGUGAACCUUGGCUAUGCUUCUCCAAAGGUUUAAGUUAGAUCUUAACUGAAUGAAGGUCGACAAGCAUGGAUUACCUACGGCUUGAGAUGAGAGAUGGAGGUUGGGAGAGAGUUGAAAGCUAAUUGAAUUAGAGUGUGUGGGAAGAGACAUAGUUUAUGUUGCUACUCCAAGGUAGGUUGACUAAAGGGUUGAGGUCAACUCUUUCUUCAUGAAGGAACUAUUAGUUGGGUAGGCCUGUGUUUGGCAAUGCUCAAUAGAUUGUUAGGAAUAUAUAUGCCCUUGACAAAGAGUUGACUUCCAUAUUGAGUCAUUGGUGUAAGAGGUCGAGUAAGAAAGAGCAAAAGGAACUAGGCCCUAAAUGCUUAGGUCAAGGCAAGUGAUGCUUUUGAAAAGUUGUUUCCCGAUUACUAUUAUUUAAGAUUUAUGGCCUUGAUUACUAUUAUUCCUUAGUAUUCAAUAGAAAUAAAAUAUUACAAAAUCAAACAACUUAUUACCCAAUAUUAUUAAGCUCUACUUAAUUUUAAAUUCUAUUUAAAAUCAAUUCAAAAAAACAAACAACACCUGAAUCACAAGUGAAAUUUCUCAUUUUAAAAUUGAUUUAAAAACCUUUAAAAAAAUUAUCCCUUUUUUUUUUAUUUGUGUUAUCAAAUUUUAAAAACUAAUAAAAAGUAAAAAUGUAUAACAAGUCUGAUUUUUAAAAUUGUUUGCAAACUUUGGUUAAAAUAAACAUUUAAAAAUAAAUAUGUCACUAAUGACAAAAAACGAUUUUAGGAGGUUUAAGAAUGGGUCCACCGAUCCCACAAAGGGUGGUUGAAGAAAAGCCGACUCUAGAAAAAGCCUCAGCAUUCUAGGAGACUUCCUUCUAAUUUGAUUCAUUGGGUCUAUUCUACGUGUUCUACUACCAAAUUGGAACUAACCUAAUGCCUUUUAGUUUGAUAACAAGACCUUCCAUCCAUUCAUGUCCACAAGCUUCAUUUUUCUUUGUGAUACUUUUAACAUAUAAUAUAUAGAAUAUAAACAAUUAACAUUUAUAAAAAAUUUUACAAGUUUUAUUAUUGAUAAAGAGGAUAGAAAAUAUUUCAUUUUUCUAUGCAAUCACAAGGAAUCGACAUUGUGUUGGUACAUGUGAGAAUGAGAAGAUUUUUAAAAAAUUAGGUAUUUAAAAAUAUAUAUAUAUAACAAUUAAAAGAUUAUUUAUAAAUUUAAAACUCUUCAUGAAGAGCUAAUAAGAAAUUAUCUUUUGAGGAGAAAAGUUGAAUUUAACUAUUCAAUUUUUAAGUUGAAUUACAUUAUAAGCAUUGAAUCAGAUGUGUAAGUUCUUAAGACAAUUAAAAUUGACAUCCCACGUUGUAAGUAUCAACCGACAAACUUAUGGUGUCUGUUUGGUUUCAAAAAUUAUCAAAUUUGGCAUAAUUUUCAUGAAUUUCAUAAAUCUAAAAUCUAAUUUAGAAAUCAAACUUAAAAGAUUCCCUAUUAAUUAAGAAAAAUAGAAAAUCUUACAUUACCUAUACAUCAAAUUCUUUAUUUACUCCAAUCUUAGAGUCUAGAUAGUCAUUAAAAUAACUCUAGGGAUAAUAGAGAGAAGCCUCACAUUUAAAAGAACUUCAUAAAUGAAAGAUCACUCAAAAUAUUUAGGAAAACAAUAUCAUAUCAAUUAAUCAAACUAUCAAACCAUUGAUAUGUUAACUAAUAAGUAAGGACAUAGUUCUGCGUCAGUUAUGAGAAGAUGAAAACCUAUUGCGAAGAAAGACUUCGAUUUUGCAACCUUGGGUAGACUAGACAUAGCAUUGCUGGUACAUGCUGAUGAACUAGCUNNNNNNNNNNNNNNNNNNNNNNNNNNNNNNNNNNUUUCUUGACAAGAUUGAUCCUGGGAUGCAAAUCAUUGCAUUACUAGGUGAUGCUUAUGAGGCCACAUCCUCGUUAUGCUUGCUGGAGACUUUAACAGCAUGCCACCAAGUACACUGUAUCAGUUUCUGGCCUCAUCUGAAAUGGAACAUCAAUCACAACAUAGAGGCCACAGAUACCAGCAGAAUGAAGAUGCAUCCAGAACAAGGCCAUUCAUGCAUACAUGGAGCAAUGAACAAUUAAGGCCCGUCACUGGCAGCACUGGAGUUAUCUCAUAUGGUCCUUGUCAAACUCCUAUUCUUGGCUUCUGUGCAUAGUACCACUGGAAGUUUUCCCACUCCAAGAUCAGAAGGUUGAAAUAUUCUCAAGCAAGGACUUGAUCUCCAGGUUGACCUUGACUAUUGAUACUGCUUCCAUUGGACCUCUUCCUCUCUCGGAUUCAUUCAUCACUCAGAUGGGUACAAAUGACUACUGUUCAAUUCCUCAACAACUCAAAGAUCACAAAUGCAAGGGAUCAUAUGGAACUGGAUGGCCUACAGAAAGAGAUGGUGAAAGAACAGAGAAGGUGGACUCGUUAACAACUGAAGCAGAAAGGCUAAAGACUUCUUUACUUUCACAUACGCAAUCAAAAGAGGAGGCUAAGUAAGUUGCCUCUAGUCUGGGUGGCACAACUUAGAUGGAUGGCAUUGGAGAUAUGCUUGAAGUGAGUUUGAAAGAGGUUAUUUAUGCACAAGCACAACAACAUGAAUUGUAGUUUAAGCCAAAACCAAUCAGAAUGUAUAAUGGUCACCGGAUAUGUGGUUUUGGUAACACCAGCAUAAAAGUGGAUCCUCUAAAUCAACAGGUACGUGUUUGCUCAGCAUGAGAAAAGAUGGUCCUUGACCAUAGAGCAAUUCCAUUUCUGGAUUCCCUUGAGGAAUCUAACUUAUGGGUUUGGGAGUGACAGCAGGCCUAGUUCAUGGAGACUUUCAAAUGACAAUCUUGUAUCUCAUCCCAUUGAGGAUAGAGUGAUUGGUAUUCUUGACUGGGAGUUCAUCUAUAGCUUCAUUGGCAUCGUGUUGGGACCAAAUAUGCAAUCCAGGAGUAUAGCUUUCAGAUGAUAGUUGUUUUAAGUCAGGGCAAUCAGUGCAGUUACACGUUUCAGUAUGGCAAUGCUAGCAGCUAAGCGUAAAAGGGUCAUGGCCUAUGCUCUGGCUUAUCAGUGGCAGGUGGGAUCUAGGUAGCAGGUUGCUCCUUCUGGGCUUGAACCAGAUGAAAGCAAUUGGGAUGUGAUUCGGUUGGAAAGAUAAAAACAAGCGGGAUAACUCCUUCCCCACUAAAUCAGCAAUGUUUCAAGAGACAUCCAAUACAGUUUCUACCAGAUAUUACGCGUAGAGCAAGAAGUGGUUGGGGAUGACACAUCAACCUUGCAAUGUGUUCUUAACUCUGAUAUUGAAAGAACCCAACUUUUGGCAGAAAAAGCCCAUAUAAAAAAGACUAGCUCCACUCAUUUUUAAAGAGGUAACUAGGAGGGUUCACUUGGAGAAUAUCUGGCAAGCAAUACUCAAAGCAACUUGGAGAACCCCAUGGAAAUAAUUAAAGAAACUGGAAAUUUCUGCUUUGAGGUUCCACUGAGCACUGGUCAAUAUACAUGUGCUGUAGUCUACAAGGAAGGUGUGACUAAGUUGAAAGAAGUUGGACGCAACCUUUCCUAGAUAGAGACAAUUAGUUUUCCUGUGUCAAGAAUACUGCUGCCCACAUAUUGAAUUCAACAUUUGCUCCCUGCUGAUAUUUAGUCCUUUUUCUGGUCUCUUUAUUCUGAAGCAAAGAUGGCUUUGCAGAACAUAGGUGCUGGGAAUAGUGAUGAUUCCUUUUACAGGUAUGAGAUGCCCAAAAUGGUUGCCAAAAUAGAGGGUCGGGGAAAUGGUAUUAAUCAGAAAAGUUCAGCUUUUGCUCAAUGAGUUCCUGGACCUGGCAUGUGAGUAUCCUGAGCUGAAAACACUAAGAAGUUGCGACUUGUUGCCUGUCAGUUGGAUGUUUGUGACAUGGAAUCCCAUAAACCGAAUACCCAUGAGACAAGCAUUAAAGAAUUCAGAUGCUUGCCUUCUAGCUUACCAUUCUCUUUCUAGGCCUAUGAAAGAUAGUGGAAAUACACAAGCUGUAGUGGAGGUCUAUCUCAGUGAGAUGGAGGGUGUCCUAAAGAUUUCAUUACUUGUUUUUUCGCAUGGAUUUCUAUAAGUUCAAGGGCUUCAUAUGGAUGAAAAAUGGGACAUGGGAGCAUCAACAGGUGAAUUUUCUCAUGCAGGUUGCAGCUAACCGGUUAAGACUGCUAGAGGUUAAUCACUCAUAUUUCCAGUUCUUUGUUUCACAUGCUGAAGUAGAAGAGAAUACUGGGGAAACAAUCAAACCCGGUGACUAAGGUUUUCUUGAAGUUUCGAAAAUAAAAAAUGGAGCUCAUAAUGAACAAGAGAACACAGUAGUUGAGCUGCAGAAUAAAAAAGUGAAUUGUGAGAAAAUGGAUGAGUCAGUUAUAAUGUUGAGGACUUGAAGCUAGAGAAUGAGUAGCAGCACAGGAAAUCUGAUCUGGAACUGGACCUGACUACUCUACCACAAGCUUCUGUUGAUGAUUCAAGUUGGGAUUCUGAGGAACUAGAGUUGAGCUGGAGUGCCUUGGUUGAUGAGGUAGUGCGCCAAAACCAAGUGAGCAUGGACUCUGAAAUCACUACGGUAAGUUCUUCUCCAGACUACCAGCAAUAUGCAUAGGUCUCCUCAUGCAACCACCAGCGGUGCAGUCUCAGUCCUAUCCCUGGGCCUCACUCCUGUAUGGCUACCUUGGUGCACACUGUCCUCUCCCAAACCAUUUCUGUUGUUUCCUUGUGAUCUUACAUGUUUUAAAUUGGGUUUUCAAAAUCUUUUUCAUUCAAAUAAUCUCAGCUUUAAAAAUUCAUCCUUAGACAUUUUAGGCAUUAAAAUACCGACAUUUAAUAAACACUUGCAACCAUUAUUCUCCUAGCAUGCACCUUCUUAAUUUUCUUUAAUUUUCAACAAUUUUCUUGAUUUUCUCUAUUUUUAAUAAAUAUGAAUAAAUUCCAUAAUUCCAAAAAUAAUGGAAUUCCUUCCAAAUUCCUGUGAUUCCUCUAUUAUCAUUAGAGUUAGAAUUUAUAGGAUUAGUUCAUGCAAAAAUAAAAUUGGGCCUUGUUGGGAGCUCAACAUCCAUGAUAUUUUCCUUUAUAAUAAUCCAAGUGAAAUGCAUGUUAUGUAUUUAUUGACUUUGGUCCGAUUUGUAAAGUGUGUGAGAUUAUUUGCUAUGGUACACUAACCUUGUUUCUUUGAGGCACUUUUCUUGCUGCACAGAUAUGCUCUCAUCUCUACCUUGUCUAUUUAUUUAUUCCUCAUUAUCAUGCAUGAUUUGUUUUAGUCCAUGACUCUUGGUCCUUGGUAUCCACCAAUUAACCAGUCAAUUGCCAUACUUGCUUUAACUUGAUUAAUAGAAACCUAAUUUUAGGGCUUAGAGGAGUGCAAUGACUUAUCACCGUACCUUCCUGAUAGGUAACUUGACCACCGGAUCCUAACUCAGUUUUCACAAACUUGCUUUUCCCUUCUAAGAGUCACAAUUAGGAUUUUAUUUCUUAUUUUGAUUUCCUUUCUUAAAAAUAAUAAAAAAUAACUGGUGACUUCAACUUUUUUUUCCUAAAAAUCAAAAUUUUCACAAAUAAAAAGUGAGUCAUGCUAUCGAGUGAGAAUGCAUGUGAAAAAUGCAAGUCCACGAGAUCCUAUACUAGGGCAUAUUUCCCCACUUUGAGCUUAUCAUAUUCACAUCAUAUUCAAUUGGGGCUUCAUUAGGGACAUGUUUCUAUUCUUGAGACUAUCAAACCUCUUGUCAUUCUAGUCAUCCUUUUGAGAUUUGAUUUGGAGUAUUUCAUUUUAGACAUGGACAAAUUUAUAUUUUGAUUUCUUAGUGCAUUAUCAUUGAGUUGGAGACCUCACGAUUACCAUAGUUUCUUCAAGAGUAUUUAUACCCAAUUAGAUAAGUGAGAAUGUUUAUGCUUUCGAUGUAGUUGACGAGUUUAGUUUCUUCUCAUCGAAAAUUUUUCUUGAGCAAUAUGUUGAUAUCUCAUCAGAGUGUCAAAUUUGAUGUCACCUUAUUGAGAGCAUUUGAUCAGCAUCUUGUUUUUUCUCAGUUGAGCAUCUCAUAUGUCAUGCUGACAAUUAUAGUUCAAGUGUUGGACAAAGUUUUGAUAUGACUCUUAUUGUUAUAUUAAUCAUUAUUUGAUAUUAGGGCAUACCUCCUUACAGUUUUACCUUGGUGGAUGAUUUGUCAUUUUUAACCUUGCACAUUGGGCCAUACCCCUUUCAUUGAGAUUAUACAAUCUUCUGUUGACUUUGUGGCCUCUUGAUUCAUUUGCUAAUUCCUAUGAAUUAUCAUCUUAGGCCUGUUCUCCCUUUCAUUGAGUUCAUUAUCUCAAUUGCACCUUCUCUUAAGUCCUUUAGUUGUUUUGGCUAUAGAUUAUACUCCUUUGUUCCCAUUUAUGUUAGGUGUUCUCAUUUGUAAUCCUCGUACUCACCCUUCUUUCAUUUUGUUCAGGACACACCCCUUUGACAUGCAUGUUUGUGGCAUCCUUUCAUUUUGGUUUCCUUUGUGGCAUUUUUUCCUUUAAGCAUCAUCUGGGGCAUACCCCUUCACAGCCCGAAGUUGUUCAUUAUAUUCCAGUUUAGAGUUUAUCAUCAUUUUAGUUUCAUUUGUGGCAUUCCUUUUAUUUUGAUUUCAUUUGUUGCAUUCUUAUAUUUGAGUAUCAUUUUGGGUAUACACCUUCUUUUCAAUGAGUUGAUCAUCUCUAUCUUUACUCACCUUUAAGUGGUUCAACUUGGAGUCGCAAAUCAUGAUUUCCAUUAAGUAUUCAGAGCCCAUAACUCGAAGCUAUUCAUUUUAUUUCAAUUCAGAGUUUAUUAUAUUUCAGUUUUCAUUUACAUCAUUCCAUCAUUCUAGUUUCGUUUGUAGCAUUCCUUUAAUUUCGAUUUCGUUUAUGGCAUUCCUCUCUUUGAGUAUCAUCUGAGGCAUACCCUAUUUUAUUUAGUGAGUUGAUCAUCCUUAUCUUAGUCACCCUUAGUGGUUUAACUUGGAGUUGUGAAUCAUGAUCUCAUUUAGGCAUUUAGAGCCUAUAGCCUAGAGCUGUUCAUUUUAUCUUAGUUAAAAGUUUAUUAUCUUGUAGUUUUCACUUAUAAUAUUCCUUCAUUCCAGCUUUGUUUAUGACAUUCCUAUAUUUGAGUAUCAUUUGGGGCAUACCCUCUUCUAUUCAGUGAGUUGAUUGUUCCUAUCGUAGUUAAAAUGUAUUUUUAAAUUUUAAAUAAUGUUAUUGGAUGUCACACAUUAUAUUAUACAUGUACUAAUUUAUUUAAUAAAACAACGUCAAAAUUUCUAUUAUUACUUUUUAUACCAUUUAUUUACAUUUUUUUCUCAACAUUUUCAUAAGUUUUAAUCAAUUUUCAUCUCACCAAUAUUUUGUGUCAGAAUAUCCAUCAAUAUUUCCCAAUAUAUCCUUAAAAACCAAUCUAUAUAUAUAUAUAUAUUGGAUAAUAAAAAAAGGUGGCUAAAAAAUAUUAAAAUGUUAAAACUAUUAUGAUUUAAAAAAGUAUGUUCUCUAUAAAUAUUUUAGGAAACUAAAAAAAAUAAUCAUAAAAUUGUUUUGUCAUUGGCUAGAUCAUAUUUAUCAUAUAACUAUGGUAAAAAGAUUUCAUAUUCAUAAGGCAAAAAUUAUUUUUGGAACAAAUUAUGUGUGGUAUUACUAUUGACUAUAAUAACACUAUUUUAGUGGGUAGUAAUUUUUAUAGAAAAAUUGUUUAUGAAAAUUCACUUUUUUUUUUCUUUUUUUACAGGUAAAUUGCUUUUGUUACAAAGUAUAUUAGUUGAGCAUUUGCAAUAGUUUAAAUCCAUCACAAUAAUAUUUUUCUCGACAAGUAUUUGUUGUUGCAAUUAUUGUUGGUAAAUAUUUGAAUAUAAGCGAUAGAAAAUUCAAUUAGUGACGAAAUAGGUGUAUUAGAAAUUUGUGAUAGCCUAAAUUCAUCGCAAAAGUAAAUAUAAAUGGAUUGAUAAUACUUAAUGUUUUGGUAAUGUGUUUAGAGCCUACAGCUCGGAGUUAUUCAUUAUAUCUUAGUUUAGAGUUUAUUAUCAUUUCCAUUUCAUUUAUAGCAUUCCUUUAUUACAAAUUUGUUUAUGGAAUCCUUAUCUUUAAAUAUCAGCUAGGGUAUGCCCCUUUCUUUUCAAUGAGUUGAUCAUCCUUAUCGUGGUCACCCUUAGUGGUUUGACUUGGAGUUGUGGAUUGUGAUCUCCUUUAGGCCUUUAGAGCCCAUAGCUUGGAGUUGUUCAUUAUAUCUUAGUUCAAAGUUUAUUAUCGUUUUCAUUUUGUUUGUGGCAUUCCCUCAUUUUGAUUUCAUUUGUUGCAUUCUUAUCUUUGUGUAUCAUCUGGGGUAUACCCCCUUCAUUGAGAUAGUUAGAUCUUCAUUUUCAAUGAGUUGAUCAUUCUUAUUUUAGUCACAUUUUAGAGGUUUGACUUGGAAUCGUGGAUUGUGAUCUCAAUCCCUUAGGAAAACCCACAGUCGAUAAUAUUCAUUUCAUCCACAGCCUUAAGUUGUUCAUUACAUCAUAACCCUGAGCUAUUAAUUACAUCAACAACCCUGAGUUGUUCAUUACAUCAGAACUCUAAGUUGUUUAUUCCUUCACAAGCUUGAGCCUUACAUUAUUUUGGCUACCCUGAAGUGGUUUGACUUGGAGUUUGCGUAUCGUACUCUUCCUUUCGACUAAUUUUAGAGUGUCCAAAGCCCCCAUCUUUUAAGCGUUGAAAGCCUACAACCUUAAGUUGUUCAUUGCAUCACAACCUGAAGUUGUUCAUCAUUUUUAGUUAUCUUUGAGUGAUUUAACUUGGAGUUAUGCACCACACUCCCCUUUCAGCUAAAUUUUGGGCAUUUGAAGCCCACAUUUUCGAGUUAUUCACUGCAUCACAACCCUGAGCUAUUCAUUACAUCCGCAGCCUUGAGUUGCUCAUUAUGUAUACAUUCAUAAUACCUUGUCAUAUUUUGUAUGAAAAGUUAUUCUUUUACCUAGUUCAGUGAUCUUGAGUUCUAAGCUUACCGCAUCAUGUGUUAGGACAAAAUUUCUAGUCCUUUUUAGUUCUUUGGCAUAGUUCACUUCAUUCCAAUCGUUACUCUUACUUCUACUCAUAUUCCUUACAUUAGUGAUCUCUAUUAAAGAGGGGUAUAUUUGUAGACCCUUCAUUUUAUCCUCCUAACACUUGUGAUACUUUAUGUUUUCCUAAGCUUCUCUCUUACCCUAUGGUUGUCCCUAGGUGACCCAUUAACACUCGUAGAUUUUUUUUUUUCCUAAGCUACCUUUAGGGAACCUUUGUUGAGGGGCUCAUCUAGACCCACAAUGUGACUUUGACAGCUUCUCAAGUAAGAUUUUAGGUUAGACUUCACUUAGAUUUUUUUCUAGGAUAGGGUCACUUAGAUCUUUUUUAUGAUAGGAUCACUUAGACAUGUCCCUAAGCUUAGUUCACUUAGGUUGGUUUUCUUGAGUUUGAUUGCUAGGUUUUAGGUUUAGGUGAGUUUUUGACUUAAUUUCAAUAUUUGAAUGCAUGGGGUGAGUAUCAAUAUUUAGUUAUGUGAGUUCGAUGUGUCGAUUUUCUUAUUAUCUAUUGCAUUAAGAUUAAUAUUUGGAUUUUGAUCGCAUGCGUUUGAUCAUUUUUUUUUUUUUUUUUUUUUAUUUUAGAACAUUUAUGUGAGACUAAUGUUGUGACUUUUAAUUGCUUGAAUUGAUGUUUAAUCUUAAAUAUGCAUACAAUUGACCUUUAAUUUUUAAUUCCAUAAUUUUAAUUUUUAAAAAUUUUCAAUUUCAUGACUUUUACUAAUUUUAAACUUUAUUUUAAUUUUGCAUGAGAUUUGAAUGUAUACAUUGGAGAAGAUCCCUUAGUGUACAUGACUUCCCUCUAAUAGGAUGGAGAUCAAGACACUUUGGAGAUCCUUUUUUAGUUGAAGUGAUACAACCUGUAACCUACGUGUGAACAACAUGGACCCAUUGACCUUCUACAAGAUGCACAAUCUACACAAAAGGAAAUGAGACAUUUAUGCAACACAGAUAAAGGUUUCUUUCCUAAAAGAAGUACAGGCUGCCAUAUGAUAGAUUAGGGCUUUGGACUGUUAAAGAGAAGUGAUGCAUGAUUUUUUAUUUUUUAUUUUCAGAAAGAAACUUACAACACGCAUAGGAUUCAUGGGGCCACUUUCUAAAAAGAAAAGGGAUUCUUUCUUUUGGAUGAGAAUGUAGCAUAAAAGGUGAGGGCCACUUUGGAGAGAAAAAAAAAAAACCACACAGCUUCAUGGAGAGGAGAGGGCAUAGUCUGCCAUUGAAGGAGAGUUGACAACCACGUGUUCCUUGAGGAGGGGAUUCUCUCCACACAACACGCAUUGCAUCCUAAGGAGAGGAGGGUCUUCACACGUUGCCGAUCAGAGAGAAUACACAUGCACAUGGAGGAUCACUUACAACCAUAAAUAAUAGCAACUCAUCCACAGCCCCACACACAGCCGUGCAUAUUGGAGAAGCAGUAAGCUGCCACUUCAAGAUUUACCAUUGGUAGCCCGCACACAUCGUUUGGAGAAGGUAAGUCUUUUUUUUUUUUUUUUUUGUUUCAAUUCUUAAUUUUCAGUUUGUAAGCUAGUUUUCUUUAUAUUUGUUUUUAUUCCAUUAGAUUGAAAGUGGGAAUUAUUAAUCUUAGUUUUGAGUCAUCCUAUAUAGUUUAGGUGUUUUAAGAAUUCUAGUUUACAAGUUUAAUUGACCUCAUCUAAUCAAAUUCAUGUUUUUUUUAAUUUGUUUUAACUUAAUUUGGUUCAUUUUAAGUAGUUUAGGUAUCUUUAUAAUUUUAGCUCAUUAAUAAAAUUGGUCCCAUGUUUGAAAGUUCAUAUUUUUAGUUUGCUUUAAUUUAAUUUGGUUCAUUUUAAUUAGUUUGGGUACUUUUAUAGUUUUAGUUCAUUAAUAAAAUUGAUUCCAUGUUUGAAAGUUAAUGUUUUUAGUUUACUUUGAUUUAAUUUAAUUCAUCUAUUUAGUUUAGACACUUCUAUAAUUUUUGGUUCAUUAAUAAAAUUAAUUCUAUGCCUGAAAGUUCAUGUUUUUAGUUUUCUUUGAAUUAGUUUGGCUCAUUUUAAUUAGUUAAGUACUUUUAUAAUUUUAGUUAUUCUAUGUUUGAAAGUUCAUAUUUUUAGUUUACUUUAAUUUAGUCAAAUUCAUUUUAAUUAGUUUAGGUGUUUCUGUAAUUUUAGUUCCUUAGUUGAAUUGAUCCUAUCUUUUUUUAGUUUUUAUUUUAAAAUCAUUAAUGUUAGUUCUUGAUCAUCCUUAUCUUAAUUUAUUUGCUUUUAAGAUCCUAGUGGUUAGUUCAUUAAUUGAUAUCUUGUUAGUUUGUCUAAUCUAAAAUGCUUUGCUUGUUUCUUUAGUGAUCCUUCAUUUAAUUUGAUUUUUUUAGGCCCUUGGAAACUCAUGAUGAUUGGCAUUUACUCUCACCUAGUUUGGGUUGCUACAAAUUAUCACUUUGUGAUUUUAUUUUCCCUUGUUUUGCUUGGUUUUUUAUUCUUGUGUUUUGUGGUUUAAAAAUGGAACUUUCUCUUUUAAAAAGAAAGUCUUUUCUCAAAAUGUUCUUUAUUUAAAUGGAUUUUAAAAACUCCUUCAAUAAUCCUUAGGGUAAAAAAAAAAAAAAAAUCCUUUUCUUAAAAAGUAUGCAAGCAUGUUUUAAUAGGUUUACACAUUUCUUUUAUUUUCAGUAAAAAUUGUGAUUUUGAGUGGAAUAUGAAUCCAAACUUAUGGUCCCAAAUGCAUGGGAUAAUUCUUGGCUUUGAUGAGUUUGUCAAUACUCAUGCAAGGUUGGGAAUCCAUAGGCUAGAUUUGUGCAUAGCAAAUAAGGAUUUGGUGAAACCCCUUCAUAAAAUUAUUUUUCAAAAACCUUUUAUUGUAAACUUGUUGGAUUUGUUGCGUUUCUAGAAUAAAAUUUCAAUUUGGAUAAUUUAUGAUACUCCUAAAUUUUUUCCUGUGGUUGUAUGAUAUGGUGAACUUCAUGAACUUGAUUUUAGAAGUUUGUUUGAAUCAAAAAUCAUAUUUCAAAUGGAAAUUAUGAAUUAAUCUUUUAGUAGGUUCAUUUUUUGCCCCAUUCUGGAUACCCGGAUUGUUUUUGUAUUUUCAAAUUACUAGGUGACUUUGAAAAAUUAUUUUGAUUUUUUUCCUUCAUUCUAAACUUCUUGAAAUUUAUUUUAUACACAUAAAAUAUUAAAAAAAUGUUUUGUUUAUUAGGAAAAAUAUCUUUCCUUUGUUAUACCCACUAUUAGCAUCUUAGAUCUAAGCAACAAAAGCAAUACCAAUUUUUUAAAAAUUGAUCUUUUAGGGUUAAAGUAUUAACCUUUAGGUUUCAAGGUUCCCAAAUCUUAAAUUCCAAGUGUUGAAAAUGAACUUGAAGUUAUUGGAAGUCUUGUAAACCCAUGAUCUUCCGCCCAAUGACUUAACCUUAUUCUUGGAAAACUACUAGUGAGGACGAAAGAAGGGUAGAGGCUAUGACUCUCUUUCUCUCUGGAUGGUGAGAAGCAAAAGUUAUGGAAACCCUAACCCAUAUGGGCUAUUUAUAGGGAACCUAACUAGCCUUAAAUGACUUGAGCCCAUAUGGUUGGGCUUGGGUAGCUUUAUCUAACCCAAAAUGGGUCUUAAUUGACCGAAUAAGGCCUACUAAUUAAUCAAUUAGCCUAAUCCAAAGACCUUGUUCACUUACCCCUAUUGAUUCGUGCCCAGCUGGUGUACCUUGAUUUCGGUCCUCUGAUGGGAGUAAUCAACAAAAUUUAUAACCUAUUACACCAUGUACUAGGAUAGCCUCAGCUAGCAUAGCAUAGUAGCUCUAGGAUCGUUCACUGGGAAGGGUUUUCAAUUAUGAAUGAUACCAAUUCAGAGUUAAAUUAGUGCCUUUUCAUUUCAAGGUUAGCUUCAAAAGAAAACAUAAACUUUGAUUGAAAAAUGUUUUGUUUCAAGCUAACGAAAAAGAAAGUAAUGGGAAUUACUUAUAAAGAAAAGUGUUUCUUGGAGUUUUAGGAUCACUGGGGUCAGGCUCCUCAUGCAAAAAUAGAGGUUUCGUCACUUUGGUUCUUUUCCUCGCAUUGGAGAAUUAACAUAUAGUUCAUUCUCCAACCGGUGUUGUACAGAUGCAACCCAUUUAUGAAUUUCAGCAUUAAUUCCCUCUCACUGAUGUAUCUCGCAAUGGCUCGUGCCUCUCACCUAGCAUUUGUCAUUCAAGGUGAUCAUUAACCUUGGACUUCCCUUCUCAAGCUCGCAAGAGAUAAAUAAUGGAUGUUUCCUUAGAGUCCAAAAGCUUACCAAGUGUUGGCAAUUCUAGAAAAUCCUACCUUCAAGUCACCUCCCAAAGGCUCGCAAGAGAUAAACUAGUGAAUCUCCACGGACGAAGAUCACUUGCCUUACCAAGUGUUGGCCCAGGUGACUUCAAGGCGUUUUAAGUUAACUAAAAAGAUAAAAACCAUUAACGGGUUACCCUUUCUCUUCAUUAACAGCUGAAACAACAAAACUACCAAUUCUUGCAUUCGGCACCUUACCCAGCUACCUUAGCUCCAAGAGACAAAAAGCCUAGCCACCCAUUCUCUGAGGAAACAUCCUCAGAGCUUGUUUGGCUAGUAAGAAAAAUACAAUCAAAAUGAGAAGGUAAGGCAGAGCAAAACUCUGUAUUUUACUUCCUUUAAAAUUAUACAAAAAGUUGGUGUUCUCUGAGAACAAGCUCCCGACAUAUCUCCCUUAUCAAAAUUACAAGAAUAAUAUAUACAUGGUUAUUCACCCUUUUGUCUUUCUUAACAACUAAGGAAUCCUAUAAUUGGUGGGUUACAAGGAGAAAAUGGGGAUUUAGACAUCAAAUAUUUGAAGCAAAAUAUCUAAAAAUGUUAGUCGCAAAUAUUUGGAAGCACUCAGGAGGAUUUCGCAGACAUACAAGAUGGCUGCGAAAUUUCACAAACGUACAAGAUGGUUGCGAAAUCAUUUCGCAGCCAAAGGCUGAUUUCACAGCCUGCGAAAUUGGCCUUCAGCUUGCUGUGAUAGGCUUCCAAUGGCUCUAACUUCUUCAUUUCAACUCCGAUUCAUGUACCGUUUGAAGCGUUGAAUUGCUGACUUCCCAAGCUUCGAAACAACAUAUAGCAUGCAUCAAAUGGACUCUGGGAAGUGCUUCCAAAGUGUCAAACAGUUGAUGUCCUCUUGCAUUCUACAUGUUGCUUUCAUCCUUGCAUUCUUGAUUAUUUUUUUGCAAAGGACUACAAAGCUCCAAAGCGUGAAUUAUUCAUGUUAAUGAGCUUCCAAUUUCUUUGCCAUGGAUUCCAUAGAACUCUCCUUAAUCUUGGAUUGCUUUGGUGAUCAAAUUACUAUCAAAAGCACCAAAACUUACACAAUUUGAUUAGAAAUGAUUGUAAAGGUCCUUAACAUACCAAUUGAGUUAAAAGGUAAUAACUACUACUCAAAAGUGUUUAAAAGAGUUAAUUACAAGCUAUCAAAUAGCACUUUUUGAGUAGUAAUCACCUAUGCAACCUUGUAUAAUUACCAAAACACCCUUAUGCACAAAAGUGAACCUAAAGCCAAUCUGACCCUCAUAAUCCAUGUCAACCAGGUAUAUGAGCUUAGAGCGGGGAUCACUAGGACCCAUAUGAGUAUUGGCUCCCUCAUAAUCCAAUUUUGAAGUUGAUUCAACAUCCCACUACAAAGAAUCAACCAAACUCCAGUAUCAUAUGUAAAUAACAACGUGACACUAAGUGCUCGGGUCCAUGACCUACUAUCCACUACAUACAGACUCCCUAUGAAUUGGUGUCCGUAAUCUAGUAAGGUAGUGUUAUCACCUAUCAAUAAUACCUCUCAAAUCCUUGAGUUACAAAUCUUACUUAUUAUGUGAUCAACUAACAAACUCUUGCUCCAAGGAACAUAUGUCAAAUUCCACUAAAGGAAUUACUAUGGCCAUAUAUUUCAUGAUCACGUGUCCUUUGGAUCACCCAAGGGAACACACUGUCUCAAUCCUAUGAGAUAUCAUGGUGCCUAUAUUGAGAAUACAUAUUACCAUCAACCUCUAUCAACAAUGACCCAAUUCAUAAGGAUAUAUGACUACUUUAGGGUUUCACCAAAAUGUUAAACCCUUUUGUUUAUUUUGGCACAGACUUGAUAUCCUCUCAUGGUUUAGAGUCCAUGCAGUAUGGUAACUUGGUGAAUUAUGAUAAUUGAUUGCCUUGUGUCAUGAUUCACCGUAAGUCCUAUCCAAUAUGCAUCACAUACACUAGUGCACUCACCAUGGGAAACCCAUCCCGAUGGCUAAGACAAGCCAUCCCUCUAAUUAGGAGGCGGUGCACUACAAUCUCUAUUGGAUUGCCCAAAUCCAUGAACCAACGGUGGAUAAAUUACCUACUUACAAGGAGCCCAUGACUUGUAUAUUCUAUGCAAUUCCUAAUGCACCCAAAUCAUGUACAAUGUAAGAGACAUGAACUAAAUGCUCAAAUCAAUGUCAAUACACCAAAAGGAUAGCAAGGGGAUGGUUAAGUCUAACUUUGUUACAUCAUGUCUUGCUUUUGAGGGCUCAAUCCCAACAAACUCCCAUUAGUCCCAAAAGUAAUAUGGGCACCAUAGAAAAAAAUUUGUUCCAUAUCGCAUCACCUCUAUAUACUAUCUCACAAUAAGGUAACACUUCUUAUUUAUGUGUUUCCUCUUCUAGUGGUACUUCAAUUCUUUAGACCAUGCCAUCAUCCCACUAUUAUCACAUAACAAAAUCUUAGAUGAUAUAGUUAAGGGAACUACCCAUAAGCCAAAAGGCUUUCUUUGUUGCUAUAAAAACAACAAAAACCCACUUAUAGUGUACACAUACCUAGAGGUAGACUUGCGAGAGUCCUUAUCAAACUAAAGUCUAAUUUCCCAAUACGAAAGGAGUACCAACUCAUCGCAAAGACUCAGAAACAUACAAUCCCUUGUUUUCCAAAGAUACUAUAGUAUAUGUUUGACAUCCACCCAAAGCUCUAAUAAGGAAAUGAACUAAUAUCCACUCAUUAUUCAUAAACAAAGAAAAUAUCUAGUCUAGCACAUAGUAUCACAUACUUAAGGCUAUCAAUUGCAGAGGUUUUGGAUAUCACCUUAGUGCAAUCUCUCUCCAUAGAUCUCUAAGGACAUUGAUCCUAAGAAAUACAACUCCAAAAUCAAAGACUAACAAACCAUCUUGGAUUUUUGCAUCAUGUAGUUGACUAAGUGCUCAUUUAUGUAGGUGACAUGGUGCAAUUUUCCUAUUCUUGCAAUCCUGAAUGACCAAAACCCGAAGAAUAUAUUGCAUCUUCCUCUAGAUUUUCAUCUAGAACUGAGUAGACUAUCGGAUCUUGAUUGAUGGCAAUGUCCCUACAUCAUAUCCAAUGAGUAGAUUGUCAUCUACUUGCAAGAUCUUAGAGUAUCACCAUGCUUCCUUAUGUUUUCUUGUACACACAAGGCCAUUUACUAUGAAAAUGUUUGGUUGUUGUAUCUUACAAAUGAGACACACUGCAAUAGAUAGUAGUAAUUUGAUGGAUUUGAGUAUGAUCACUUUUGAAAAGGUUUUCCAUAAUUGAAACAAAGUUUCAAACUAUAACCUUUAGCUAUAGUCUUAGCCAUAUAAAACUCAAGCUUUUCAUCUACUCCUAUAUUCUUUUUGCACACCAAAUUACACCUAUGGGUUUUAUCCAUUUAGGUGCUUCUACAAGAAACCAAACUAUGUUAGAAUACAAAUAUUCUAACUACCUUUCCAUAUCUCCUUACCUUAAGUGAGCACAAACAUUGCUCACUACUUCAUCAUAAUCUAUGGGAUAUAAACCUUCCACUAUGAUGAGCCACUAAUGUACUAAAAAUCAUAGAAAUAGCAUUCCUAUAACCCUUUGGAUCUAUAGUAUCCUAUGCAAUGUGGGACUAUUUUCUAAUAUAUCCUCAAAUCUAUAUCAUUUUUUACCUUAUUCCUUAUCAUAUAGUCUUCAUAAAAAAAUUUGAUGUUUGUGUCAACAUUUUCUGAUGAUCCUGACUAUAAAGGUAAUAACUCAAAAAUCCUAUAAAAUGAUAAACCUCUUAAGAAAAAGAGGUUUUACACAGUCUAUAAAACAUAUCCCCAAAAGAAUCUAAGGAAGAUGAGAAACCUAUCCACGAUCUCACUAUGUCCAUACAAGUUUGAUAUCUUAUUUCCACCUCUCCAUUUUGCAAUAGAGACCUUGGUGCACAUAACUAGGAAAUAAUCUUGUGCUCCAUUGGAAAGAUUCAAAUAAUCUUGUCCUUAAAUUCAAUUAAUGUAUCCAAGGCAUUGGAUCUCCUAAGUGUAUAUUCAAACCUAGAGUAACCAUCACUAAAAGUGAUGAAAUACCCAUACCCUCCCCAUGCAUGGACACUAAAAUUUCCAUACAUGUCAAUAUGCAUGUACUCCAAACAUUCUUAGGCUCUAGCCCUCUUGGUCAUUUUACCAUCUAUAUAGGAUUCAUAGACUAAAAGAUCUUCUAAAAUGAAAGAGUUUAGACUUUAUCAGUUUUUGGAUCUUAUUUAGAUUAAUAUGACCUAGGUCUAGAAACCAAAUGUUUAAUUAGUUCUAGGUUUAAUCCUAAGAUUUGACCAUUCUCAUCCCUUGGAAUAGAAGACAUAUAAAAGAAGAGGAUAUUACCCCCCCACUAACCUGCAUAACUAACCUUGCAUUUGAAGCUAAAGUAAGUAUAAUCCCAUCAUUUAACCUUCUCACUUGUUGAAUAUCUUAUAAGGACUUACAAAAAGUGGGCCUGGAAUCUAUCCACCAUAAAUGGUGAAAUCCACCACUAAAUAUUCACCAACGAGAAAAGUGUACUUUUUGUUUUCCUUUAGGUAAACUAGGCAUUCCUUUUCUAGCUUCCUAGAAGGUCACAAAGGAAUUGCCCUUGAGCUUGUUUUUUUUAUUAUUUCUAUUAAACUUUCCUUAUUUGGUAUUCUUCUUCUUCUUCUUCUUAAAAGAAGAACCUGAAAAAUCGUUGACUUCCAUAUGAACACCCUAUAAUCUUUGAGAAUCCCCUUAGUCAUUCUGAAGGAAAAUGGUAAGGUCUCUAAGAUCAUAUGAAUAUUAGUGUUCAUAAUAGUACUAAGAGUAGCUUGUCAAAGCUAGCCUACCCUUAUCACCAAACACCAUUGCAAACUAGAAAGAGAAUAUCAAAGUCUCUAGUAAUCAACAAAGAUCCAAGUAGUAGACACUUAGUCUUCUAAUCUGUCUAAUACCACCUUGACAUACCACUUUCCUUUUGCUAGGCUAGUUCAAAAGGAAUAGCUAGCUCUACCUAAACUAAGUUCUAUGUAAUUAGUUACUAUAUCCAGAAUAAAAUUAAGUCCAAAUGAUUAGUUAGGCUUAACCCAAAGUGAGAAAGAGAGUGAUUAUAAAUAAAUAACAUGACAUCUGUAACAAAGAAUAUUACUAAACAUAUGACAUAAAUGAGCAUUCAAGGCAAAUGAUAAUUAAUUUAGUAAAAAUGUAGUGCUCUUAAACUAUAUGUCUUUUUGCAAGGUCUCCUAGUAUCAUAAGAAUCAAGCCUAUAUGGGGUAGGUCAUGACCUUCCAAGUAGUUAGAGACCUUCUCAGACUGAUCUCCUUCCCUUAACCAUAAAGGUACCUAAAGGCAAGAUACCUUUUAUUUGGUGCAUAGACUAUGCAAGUGGGACUGCAUGGGACGAUUCUACCACUUCAUAUCCAAUGUCUAGUGUAUAACCAUUGUCCUUGAACUAUCAAUGUUACCAAGUGAAGAACCCCACUGUGGGGGUGGUUGCUCCCCCUUACAAACAUAUCUAGUCUUGUCCAUGUAGAGAGUCCAUAUAUCCUGAUUCUUAGGGCUAACCCACCAUGGGGGUGGUGAUGAACCCAAAUCAAGAUGGACUCAACAAUGGAGUCCAUGGGCUUGCCUAAAGCCCUCUCCCACUUAACAUAUUGAGAUAAAUAAAAACAUUUUAAAACAUUAGUAAUUACCUUAAUGAAUAAAUUAUCUUCUUUGAGAAUUUCCAAAAAUAUUUAUUUCCUAAUUGAAAACCCAAUGUUAUAAGAGAAUGUCCAUAUGAAAAAUUUAAAAUUUCUAUGAGAGUAUUUUAUCCAAAAAAUAAUUUUGAUAAAAUGUCUACUCUCAAAUUUUAAAAUCUAUUUUCAUAAAAAAAUAUUCUUCUUCACACAAUUCCAAUUAAUAAAUAUUGUCUAGAAAAUAGUUUCAAAGAAAUUUAUUUUCAUCAAAUUACUAAAUAUGUUUUUGGUAAUAAUCUUUUAAUGAUAAAUUAUCUCUAAUGAAAAGGUCCAAUAGAUAUUUAUUAUCCAAACUGGAAACUUAGUGUAAUAAGGAAACCUCCAAUUUAUAAAAUCUUGAAAACUUAAGAGCACCUUAUCCAAUUAGAAAAUAUUUAAUUCUUCAAGGAUUCUCAACAUAAAUAAAUAAAUAAGAAAAAUAUUUCAAAUCCUAAAAAAUAAAUUUAGCAAGGAACUUUAUCUCUCAUAUUCAAAAUUCUUCAUAAAUUUAAUUUUCUUAUUCCUACACCUCCCUAAUUUAGUACAUAUUCUUAAAUAUGAAAUCUAAUUUUCAUAAUAAUCUAUUCCAUUAAAAUUAGCAAAAAUAAACUUUUAGUAGUUCCCUGAAUGAUAAAUUUUCCAUCUUGAAAAUUCAAAAAAAAAGUAGUUACUCUCCAAAUUAAGUAUUAGUGUAAUAAGAAAGUUUCCAAAAACUUAAAAAAUAAAAACUAAAGAGCACUCUAUCCAAAAAGGAAACUAUUAUUCUAUAAGAAUUCUUAUCAAAAUAAUUUAGAAUUCUUUAGAAUAAUUUAGAAAAGGAAACUUGUCUCUCUAAUUUAUUUUCACAUGUUUUAUUUUCUUAAUAUGCACUAUUCCAAAAUUAAGUAAAUAACAUACUUUGGAAUCUAAUUUUCAAGAAAAUUUAUAUCCAUUAAAAUUACUAAGAGUUUUAUACAAUUUUCAUAAGAAUCUUUUAAUAAUUCUGGUGAGCUUCUUAAAAUAAAUUAUCUAUCAUGAGAAUUUUCAAAAACUUUAUUUAUUCACUAAGUUGGAAUACUUGUGCUUAUGAGGAAUAUCCAAUUUUAUAAAAAAAAAUUAAAAUAAGAGAAUCUUCCCUUAAUAAAGAAACUCAAGUCCUUGAAGAUCUUAAAAUUAGAAACUUUGAAAAAAAAAAAAAAAAAGAUCUUCUAAGGAUUUUUAGAAAAGGAAACUAGAUUCUCUCACAAGUUUUUAAAAAAAUCUUUCCACAUAAAAAAUUCUUUAAUAGUAGCAUCAUUCCAAUUUUGAAUAAAACUUAAUUUGGAAAUAACCUUCUUAUGAAAAUUUAUUUUCCAUGAGAAAAUCCAAAAUUAGUAACUUUGAAAGCACUUUUCAUCACAUGCAAUAUAACAAUAUGCAUAAAAAAUGAAAUAUUCAAAAAAGAGAUCCCAUGGCCAAGGGAUAAUUUUCACAACUUUCCAAUUGUGAACUAAAGCCAAUGGUCUUCAACUUGACACCAAUAUUUGGCAUUAGAACUCGCCAAAAGAAGAUCUUGUAAAGCUGUCACAAUUCAACAACUUUCAAGCCUAACAAGUGGCCUAAAAAUUAAGCCCAAACAAGCAAAAAAUAAUUGGAUCUGUAUACAAUCCCAUAACAGCAUACCCUAUGCUUAACUUUGCUUCAAACGACCAUAUCUCCCUCAUUUCAACUUCAAAUUGUGAACCAUUUAUGGUGUUAGAUUCCUGACUUUCUAAGCUUUAAAACCAUAUGCACCUUGCCCUAAGAAACUCAUAGGAGACAACCCUGAUUUUGAGCAAAAAAUAGCGUUGUUGUGCAGCCAUGGAUCUCGAAAAAAGAAACUUUUUUUUUUAAUUCAAUCAAAGGAAGGAUUCAACAUUUCUUCCAUAUCCAUUAAAAUCCUUUAAUCUUCAUAGAUGAUGUUCCAAUAAAGAUCCAAUCUUUAUUGACAUCAUUGAGGAAAUAUUCUCUUGUAGCCCUCCAUAGAUAUUAAAAAAUAUUACUUUAUAUCAUAAAAGAAAUCUUAUGGAGCUUACAACCCGAUCUAUAGAAAAGAUUAAAACUUUAUAAGAGAAAAAGAAAACCUAUACUCCUUUAAUGGAUCUUACAACCAAAUCCAUGAAGAAACAAAGAAAAAUAAUAGAUCAUCUCAUUCAAUCAUCACAAGCAAUAAUAAAAAGGAACAUACAUGCACUUCUUGUCCAUGGGAUAAUAUCAAGGCUGCAAAAAAUAUGUUAGUUCACCCUAAAUAAAGAUCUAAGAAUGCUUAUAACAUUGUGCUCUAAUACUAAUUAUUGGCAUCUUAGAUCUAAACAAAAGCAAAAAUUUAAAAAAAUAAAUAAAAUUGAUCUUUUAGGGUUAAAGUACUAACCUUUAGGUUUCAAGGUUCUCAAACCUUAAAUUUCAAGUGUUGAAAUGACCUUGAAGUUGUAGGAAGUCUUGUAAACCCACGAUUUUCUGCCCAAUGACUCAGCCUUAUUCUUAGCACACUUCCAAUGGGGAGAAAAAGAGGGUGAAGGCUCUAGCUCUCUUUCUUUAUGGAUGAUGGAAGACAAAAUUUAUAGAAACCCUAAACCCUAGAGAGUAUUUAUAGGGAUGCUAAUUGGACUUACCCUUGUGCAACCUUGCAUAAUUACCAAACCACCCUUUAUGAACAAAAGUGAACCUAGAAUCAAUAACCCUCAUAAUUUGUGCCAACAAGGUAUAUGAGCUCAAAGAAGGGACCAUUGGGACCCAUAGGAAUACUAGCUCCCUCAUAAUCUAAAAAUGAAGAUGAUUCAACAUCUCACUAUAGAGAAUCAUUUGAACUCCAAUAUCCUAUGUAGAUAACAACGAGACACUAAGUGCUCAAGUCUAUGACCUACUAUCCACUACAUAUGAACUUCUCAUGAAUUGGUGUCUAUAAUCUAACAAGGUAGUUCUAUCGCCUAUCAAUAUUACCUCUCAGAUCCUUGAGUUAUUGAUCCCACUUAGUAUAUGAUCAACUGACAUACUCUAACUCCAAGAAGCAUAUGUCAUUCACAUGUCCUAUGGAUCAUCCAAGGGGACAUACUAUCUCAAUCCCAUGAGAUAUCAUGGUGCCUAUAUUGGGAAUACCUGUUCCCACCAAUCUCCAUCAACAGUGACCUAAUCCAUAGGGAUAUAUGACAACUUUAGGGUCUCACCUAAAAGUCAAAGCCUCUUGAUGAUUUUUUCAUGAGCUCAAUAUUUUCUCAAUGUUGAGAGACAAUGUAGUAUAGUAGGUUUGUGAAUCAUGAAAAUUGAUAGCCUUGCGCCAUGAUUCACCAUAGGUCAUAUCCAAUAUGCAUCACAUACACUAGUGCACUCACUAUGGGAAACCCAUCUUGAUAGCUAAGACAAGUCAUCCCUCCAAUUAGGAGAUGGUGUACUACAAUCUCCAAUGGAUUGCCCAAAUCCAUGAACCACUAUGGACAACUUAUCUACUUACAAGGAACUUAUGACUUGUAUCUUCUGUGCAACUCCUAAGGCACCCAAGUCAUGUUCACUAUGAAAGACAUGGACUGAAUGCUCAAAUCAAUGUCAAUACACCUAAAGGAUAUCAAGGGGAUGGUUAAGUCUAACUUUGUUACAUCAUAUCUUGCUUUUAAGGGCUCAAUCACAAUACCCACUACACUAUCUUAAUGUUGAAUAAAGAGGUUCUUUGAUUGUUUUUAAAAUUGAUUUGUAUACUUUCUUGUCUUGCUAUUAUUAUUUUUUUAAUUAGAUAUUUUGAAUAUAUUGAAUGAUUUUUUGUAUGAUUUUAGAGCACUUUUAGGUUGGUUAAAAAAAAUUUGGUUUAUGCAUGUUAUUAAAUUAUGUCAUAUUCUGAACCCUUUAAUAUAUUUUUGUAAAUUGGAUAAUAAAGGCUUCAUUAUAUUUUUUGGCUAGUUGGAUGAUAAACUAGAUACGUAGAAGAUGUUCCCUAAAAAUUUUUGUAAUUAAAUUCACAUUCUAAAUAUUUUUCAUAGGAUUUACUUGCAUGUUGAAAUUUUUGUAUAAUGUUUUAUUUAUUAUUUAAUAUGGAGUUAAUUGACUAAUCAUCACUUGAUCUUGCCUUUGGUAUUGUAUUGUAGACAUAUGAGGAUGUUAUAUGUUUUUUUUUCUAUGAUGAAAUAAUUCUUCUAGAUAUUUGUUUAGAGUUUUUCAAGUAAAUGUAAUUGUUCUACCCUUUGCUGUGUGCUUUGUCUUAUUCUCUAAUUUUGGUAUUUUUAAGCUAUCUUGUACAUAGUUUAGCCUUAAGAAUGAGGUGUAUGCAUGUCCUAGGUAAUAGUUUAUAUUUCUUUGGAUUCUUAUCAUUUUAUUUAAGCUAUACAUAUACCAUGUGUAUUAAGAUUCACUAUCACAACUAUUUAUUAUUGUAACUGUUCUAACCACCCUUUAGCUUUAUGGAAAUUCCUUGUAGGUUAUUUAUGCAAUCCAAGUACACCCCUUACACUUUUACCCCUUAGGUUUUGUAAAUAUUUAUGUUUUUUGUGUCAACAUCUUCAUAUUUGAUAUUGCUUUGUUAUGCUAUGAUUGGUGUUUGAUUCCUUGAAUGAGAUAAAAUGCAUGUUGUAUGUUGUAUUAUUUGUCAAACUAACUUUGAUGUUUUCAUGAAAGUGCUUUAGUUUGUAGUUUAACAACGCUCAUCUUCCUUUCUUAUAUGAUUGAUUUAUGUGGUUUGAUUGUUUCAAUGUGAAUAGCAUUUUGUUUGGCCUUAGGUACACUUACCUUUGUUAUUUUUUGUAUCCAUGAUUUAUCACUUAAUUGUCAUACUUACCUCAACCUAGUUAGUAGAAACCUAUUUGUAGGGCUUAGAGGGAUGCUACCUUUAUGGUACUUUCCUAAUAGCUAAUCUGGCCUUGAUCUAUACUUAGACUUGGUUUUUCAAAGAUGCAUUUUUUCAAAAUUAAGGAGUCGUUUUUUAGGGUUUUAUUUCUUAUUUUAUUUUCCCUUUUAAAAAUAAAUAAAAAUAAGUGGCAAAUCCAAGUUUAAAAAAUCAAUUUUUCACUAAGAUAAUGAGUCACCUGGUCAAGUGAGGAUGCAUGUGAAAAAUGUAGGUCCACACAUGUCUUUCCCUAAAAAAUGAGUCACCUGAUGACUUUAUUUCUUAUUUUAUUUUCUCUUUUAAAGAUAAACAAAAAUAAGUAUCAAUUCCAACUUCUAAAAACAAAUCAGCUCUUCAUAAUAAAAAUGAGUCUCGUUGUCGAGUGGAGACUCACAUGAAAAAUGUGGGUCCACAAAAUGGUAACUCCACUAGGAAUGCUUAGAGGGUUAAACUUGAACUCGAGUUAAGGGGAAAUGUGACAUUGAAUUAAUAGAUUAGUGGAUACCUUCUCAUUGUUCCUUUGUUGUAUGCUUGCAUAUUUUAGGGCAUAUGAGAGGUUGACUUGAUGAUUAUUUUGUAAAUAUUGCAUGUGCCUUACUGUAUAUUGAUUUUUGUUAUUAUAUGUGUUUAUAUAUCUGCCCAUGUCUAUAUAUAUUUAUUUUUCAUGAUUGUGUGCUGCAUGACUACCUUUCUUCUCCAUAAUUCGUGUUUUUCUUCUUUGUAUAGGAGACAUGUUUAUCCCUCGAACUCCCUAGUCUUGGUCGAUUUUCUUCUUUUGAUAUCGUAUUUUGUGUAUGAGACUUGGUGUCUUGUUUGUUUCCUGACUAAGCUAGCGAUUAGGAGUAAGGUCUAGUUGUGGGCUAUGUUUGGGAGCACCUAGAGUAUUGUCAUGACAUUAUCAACUCCAUGAGAUUGUUAUCGUAAAGUAGGUUACCACAUCAUCGGCCUUACCACAUCAUUUUUACUUUAUCAUUUAGUCACCUCAUUUCUACUAUCACCCCACUUUACCACAUCAUCCUAUCUCACCAUGUCAUCACUUUGCCACAUCCCUGAUGCCUUAACAUCAUCUUAUGUUGCCAUAUCAUCCUUGACACAUUUUUUUAAUCCUAUUAACAUCCUACCUUAUAAUCUCAUUCUUAACGCCAUUCUUAUUUUGCCUCAUCAUCAUACCUUAUCAUUUCAUCCCAUAUUUUUUUUUUCAUAUCAUCAUCCUAUCUUUUGCACCAUUGUGAUGCCUUAGAGAGCAUCACAACAUCAUUGACAUCAUGUUAAUAGAGGUUGAUUACUACUCAAAAAGUGUUAUUUCAUAGCUUGUAAUUAACUCUUUUAAACACUUUUGAGUAGUAGUUAUUGCCUUUUAACCCAAUUAACAUGUUAAGAACCCUUGCAAUCAUUUCUAAUCAAAUUGUGUAAGUUUUGGUGUUUUUGUUAGUAAUUUGAUCACCAAAACAAUCCAAGAAUGAGGGAGAAUUGCAUAUAGUUCAUGGCAAAGCAAUGAAGAGCUCAAAUUCAUGAAGAACCAAGCUUUGGAGCUCCAUAGCCCUUUGCCAAAGUCGUUCAAAGUAUGCAAGGAGAGAAGCAAGGAGAGAGGAAAAACAGAGUGAAGAAAACAGAGGAAAGCUAGCUGCAGUCUUCUUGCGCACUUUUGGAGCACUUCCCGAAGUCCAUUUUCUACAUUCUAUAUACCAUUUCAAAGCUCAGGAAGUCAAGAAUCCAAUGCUUCAAACGGUGUGCUAUUCGGAGUUGAAACGAAUGAGUUACAGCCAUUUCAAGCAGAUCACUCCAAAGUGUUGCGAAAUCAGCCUUUUGUUGCGAGAAUUUCGCAGCCUUUUUGUACAGUGCUAUGGAAUUCCUCCUGAAGCUACCCGAUACAUGCCACAAGCUGGAACGCUGAGAACCUCAAGGUGGAAGCCAAUUUCGCAGCCCUGCGAGUUUAACUUGUUGUUGCGAAAAUAUUUCGCAGCCCUCUUGAGUGUCUGCGAAAUCUCGCAGACACCAUUUUUCACCUGCGAAAUGAUCCUUAAUGCUUCCCGAUGUUUGCCACCGACUCUUUUGGAUAUUUUUCUUCAGAUAUUUUUGUAUAAAUUUCCAUUUUCUCCUUGCAUUCAGCCACUCAUGUAAUUCCUUAGCUAGGAAGUAUCCAAGGAAGGGUAAAUUACCUUCCUAUAUAAACUCUCUUGUAAACACUCUCAGGAGACGCUCGGGGAAGUAUGUAAUAUAUAGAUAUAUCAUAUAUAGAAUCAAGGAACAGAGCACUUGCUCUGUUUUUCAUAUAUAUUCUUGUCUUCUCUUUUAUUUUCAUUUUCUAGCCAACCAUUCUCUGAGGAUUUUUCCACAGAGGAUGAGAGGCUAAGCUUUUUGUCUCUUGAAGUGAGGAAAGUCGGGUAAGUUUCCACAUGCAUAAUUUGGAAGUUUUUUUGUUUUAGUUUUUAAUGAAGAGAAAGUGUGACCCGUUAAUGGUUUUUAUCUUUUUAGUUAACUUAAAACGCCUUUAAAUCACCUGGGCCAACACUUGGUAAGGCAAGUGAUUUCCAACCAUGGAAAUGCACUAGUUUACCCCUUGCGAGCCUUUGGGAGGUGGCUUGAAGGUAGGAUUUUCUAGAAUAGCCAACACUUGGUAAGCUUUUGGACUCCAAGGAGACAUCCAUUAGUUAUCUCUUGCGAGCUUUUGAAGGGAAGUCCAAGGUUAAAUAUCAUCUUGAAUGGUAAGUGCUCGUGAGAGGCAUGAACCAUUGCAAGGUGCAUCAGUGAGAGGGAUUUAGUGUUUGAACCCAUUAAUGGGAAGCAUCUGUACAGCAUCGGUUAGAGAAUUGACUAUAUGUUAAUUCUCUAAUGCGAGGAAAAGAAACAAGUGACCGGAACUCCCUUUUUGUAUGAGGAAUCUGAGCCUAGUGAUCUGAAACUCCAAGAAACACUUUUCUUUGUAAGUAAAAUCAGUUAUUAUUUGUGGUUAGUUUAAAUCUAAACCUUUUUUCAUUUAAACAUCUUUAUGUUUUCUUUUAAAGCUAACCUUGAAAUGAAAAGACACCAAUUCAGCUUUGAAUUAAUAUCAUUUGCAAAGUGAAAACCCAUCCCAGUGAACGAUCCUAGAGCCACUAUGCUAUAGUAGCUUUGUCUUUGCUACCCUAGUAUAUGGUGUAAUAGGUUAUAAAUUUUGUUGAUUUCUCCCUCAAUCAAGGAGCACCAGCUGGACACGAAUCAGCUGAGACACCAAUUGGGCACGAAUCAGAGGUCACCACAUCGUCGCCACUUAGAUUUUAAUCAUUAAAGACUUGUUUAACCCAUAACUAGAUUUAAGAUAUAUGUGUGACUAGUGUGUUUACUUUUCUGCUUUAGUUUAAGAGGUUAUUUGGAUGCACUUAUGCCACACACUACACAGUUUAGAUUGUCUUGUAUGUGUGUUGAGAAAGGUAACAUGCAUUAACUAGUAGAAAACCUUGACCAUUAGGAAACCACCUUAAGAUGUUAAGGAAGUCCAAGUGUAAAGGUAAUGACCACCUUACAUGGAAGUUCCUAGUAUCUUUGGAGGCAUGUAGGAGGUUACGUAUCGAUAAUGAGUACGAUUGUUCCUACUAGGCCUACCUUUUAAAGCUACUUUACCUUGUAGAAUGAGAAUUAGAUCCUUAGACCUAGGAUACCUACCCACACUUAGGUGCAUUUGUGUAUAGGAAUUUUCUGACAACAAUUUUGCAUCAACAUUAGAGUUCCAUUAGCAUAGAUUAGUUGUAUUAUCAUCCUCUUCACUCUUCAUUAGUUGGAUUCGGUUAGUCAAUCUUCUAAGUUAUACAUUCAUCGAUCUUGUAUAGUUUUCUUCCUCUUAGAAUUUUGUCAACCUUAAGAUGUUGUAUAUAGAGAGGAUUUACAUUUUUAAAUGUAUUGUCAAUCUUUUAAGGUGUUGUACAUUAGGUGUAGCAUUCUAGGAUGUGUUUAUUUGACAUUGUUAGACCUAAGUCUAGGGUUUUGUGUUCUGUGGGUCAUUGAUAGGUUCCUUAGGUGAGUCAUGUUAGUUAGAGUUUUGGGGACCUAACUAGUUUCUUCUAGGUGAGAUGGUGAGACGUUUGUCAAAGUUGGUGAGACUAUUUAUUUUUGUUUCAUCAAAGGUCAUCUUGGUUAUCGAGUCUAUGUUAGUCUUGUGGUAUAGUUAAAGUUUGAAUUCAUUGUAGAAUGUUUUGACCUAUUAGUAUUUGUUUCUAUUAUGGAUGUACAUUGAUCAUUAGACUUGACCUUUUUCAUUAAAUAUAUGUUUGUGUCUUAUAGUGCACAUGUUAGACUUUUGAUAUGACGCAUUUUUCACUUGCAUAUCAUGAUCAUUAGGCCUGACCCAUCAUAGAGGAUACUGAGCCCAUUAACCUAGGACUAAAUAAUCAACUUAGGGAGCUUAAGAUUGUGGCUCAUUUGUCUUGUGAUCAGAUUUGUACCUUACCCACUUCCAUUCCCAACUUGACCUUUACAUCCUAUCUUUCUCGAACCUUGUACGACAUUUACCCCUUGACACCAUCACAUGACCUUUACAUCAUUUUUUAUCAUAGCUUAUACAACAUCAUCUAAAUGGACAUUAUUCCAUUCUAUUUAUUUAUUGUAUGUACUUGAGGUUGAUUUUAUGAGAUGAGAAGGAUGACUUAUGAUGAGUAGGAUGGUCGAUUGCAUGAGAUCAUUGACUAUUCUAUGGUUGAGGGGAGCAUAUUGAGGUUAUUAUAGAGCAUCCAGAAUGGGAUAUUUAUGUAUGAUUUCAAAGGAAUGGAAUGCCUACAUUUUGAUGGACACCAAUCUUUAGUGUUGACCAUGCAAGAGUUUAAGAGCAUGAUUUUUGAGGUUAUGAUCAAAGGAGGGGUGGCCAUUAUUUCAUGAGCCUAUUUAUCUAAUCACCUUUAUGUAUAAAGUUACACUUUGCUAGCCAAUUGAGUCAUGUACUUUUAACCUUUUGAUUCAUUAGCCCCCUUACCUCGUUUCUCAUACCUAGGGUUAGGGCCUCUUGGCACAUCUUUGCUUAUAGAUAAGAUCACCUAGGUUAUGGGCUCCUCAGGUGAUUCAUCUUUUGUAUUCAUUAUGUUCGUCUUAAUCAUUUGUAUUCUUUCAUCCAUACCUCUUCUCAAUACUUGUUGUAACCAUUUGAAUCAUUGUUCCUUAUUCUGUCAUUAUGAGUUCAUAUAUGUACAUAAGGGUUAGUCUUCUUGUAUAUAUAUCGAGAUUUGUAUACGUUGCCUUGGGAUCCUUGUACAUGAUUUCUUGGAUUCAUUGGUUUUAUUAUUGUUAAAAAGAAAAAAAAUUAUGAUGUUAAUCUUUGUUAGCGGCUUUUGUGAAAGGUUUGAUAAUUUCAUUAUAUAUAUCCAUCUCAUUUAUACAUCGAGUUAUGAUUGAGUUGUGGGUUUUAUCUCUAGCUAUGACAUUUUGCUUCCCUUGUACUCAAUUACACUUUUUAUUUAGAGUUUUAUUCUCAUUCAUAGUGGUUAUGUUCUUUUUUGCUUGUAUAUCGAGUUGUUAUUCAUUAACAUUGUUUGCUUUACCUCUAGCCAUUGUACUAUUUCUUUGAUUCCUUUGAGCCUAUUCCAGAGUCUCACCUUUGAUUCCUUUGGUAUCUAUGUAGUUUUUAUCUUGGGUUUGUUUUUCUUUCCAUUGAUUUCAUCUUUUCAUUCAUUCAUCAUAUGUAUCAUAGUGUAUUCUUUUCAUUCAUUCAAUUAUCUAUAUCAUAGAGCAUUUGUGAGGUUUACAAUCUUUGAGUUUCUUUAUCUAUUACACUGUAUAUGGAAAAGGCAUGGGGAUUAUAUCAUUAGGAUUAUUGAGCUUAGUUUCCCUUUGUUUCUUUUACCCUAUUACCUUAGACUACAUUACAUCCUGGGUCUUAAGACCACCUUAAGGUCAUGACAUCUUGCAUUAUGCUUGAUAGCUCACAUGUGGGCAACAUUUGAGAUUGGUUGGAGAUCACUUGGAGCAUGAUGGAUAAGAAACUAUGAGAAGGUUUAUACUAGGGCAUCGAUGAUUGAUUUUUGAUAUGAUAGAUUAUACUAAGGCAUAGUCAUUUCAUUCUCUCUUAUGGAGUGAUACAUUCCCAAUUGGUGUCUCAGCUGAUUCAUGUCCAGCUGGUGUCCCUUGAUUUUGGUUCUUAGGGAGUAAUCAACAAAAUUUAUAACCUAUUACACCAUGUACUAGGAUAGCCUUAGCUAGCAUAGCAUAGUGGCUCUAGGGUCGUUCACUGGGAUGGGUUUUCACUUCACAAUUGAUAUUAAUUCAAAGUUGAAUUGGUGCCUUUUCAUUUCAAGGUUAGCUUUAAAAGAAAACAUAAAGAUGUUUGAAUGAAAAAGGUUUGGUUUUAAACUAACCAAAAAUAGUAACUGAUUUUACUCACAAAGAAAAGUGUUUCUUGGAGUUUAGAUCACUAGGCUCAGGUUCCUUAUACAAAAAGGGAGUUUCGGUCACUCGUUUCUUUUCCUCGCAUUAGAGAAUUAACAUAUAGUUAAUUCUCUAACCGGUGUGGUACAGAUGCUUCCUCUUAAUGGGUUCAAACACUAAAUCCCUCUCACUGAUGCAUCUUGCAAUGACUCGUGCCUCUCACCUAGCAUUUGCCAUCCAAGAUGAUCCUUAACCUUGGAUUACCCGUCAAAAGCUCGCAAGAGAUAACUAAUGGAUGUCUCCUUAGAGUCCAAAAGCUUACCAAUUGUUGGCUAUUCUAGAAAAUCCUACCUUCAAACCACCUCCCAAAGGCUCGCAAAAGGUAAACUAGUGCAUCUCAAUGGACGGAGAUCACUUGCCUUACCAAGUGUUGGCCUAGGUGACUUAAAGGCGUUUUAAGUUAACUAAAAAGAUAAAAACCAUUAACGGGUCACACUUUCUCUUCAUUAAAAACUAAAACAACAAAACUUCCAAUUUAUGCAUGAGGAAACUUACCCGGAUUUCUUCACUCCAAGAGACGAAGAGCCUAGCCUCUCAUCCUCUGAGGAAAAAUCCUCAGAGUUUGAUUAGCUAGAAAGAAAAAUAAUGAGAAAACAAAAUAUAUAUGAAAAGCAGAGCAAGUGCUCUGUAAAAUAUAUUUCUUACUCUCGUCGGAUUACAUAAUGAUCGUCUCUCAGAACAGGCUCCCCAUAUCUUUUAUAUAUGGGGUUAUUCACCCUUUGUUCUUACUUAAAGACUAAGGAAUCCUAUGAUAGGUGGGUUACAAGGAGAGUUUGGGGAUUUAGACAUCAAAUAUCUAAAGCGAAAAAUCUCAAAAUGUCAGUCACAAAUAUCGGGAAGCUUCAAGAGAAAUCCGUUGCACUGUGCAAAAUGGCUGCAAAAUUUUUGCAGCAAAAGGACAACAUUUUUGCAGCCCAAGUUGAUUUCGCAGCCGUGAAAAAAUUUCCUUCAGGUUUGAGUGAUAUUCUUGCAAUGGCUGUAACUCCUUCAUUUCAACUCCGAAUCAUACACCAUUUGAAGCAUUGGAUUUUUGACUUCCUGAGCUUCGAAACGACAUAUAGAAUGCAUAAAUUGAACUCUAGGAAGUGCUCCAAAAGUGGCUGACAUGACUGUCAUCAAGAAUGCUUCAUGGCAGAUUUCUCUUUGCUUCCCCUCCUUGCAUUCCGGAUUUGCUUAUGGCAAAGGACUUCAAAGCUUCGGUUCUUCAUGUUUAUGAGCUUUCCAUUGCUUUUCCAUGGAUUCCAAAUAACUCUCCUCAAUAUUGGAUUGCUUUGGUGAUCAAAAAGCUAUCAAAACACCAAAACUUAACACAAUUUGAUUAGAAUUGAUUUCAAGGGUCCUUAAUAUGUUAAUUGGGUUAAAAGGUAAUAACUACUACUCAAAAGUGUUUAAAAGAGUUAAUUACAAGCUAUCAAAUAGCACUUUUUAAGUAGUAAUCACUCCCCCCAACCGACAUAUUGCUAGUCCCUUAGCAAUGAAGGAGAGAAAAAUAAAAAUAUAAAAUACAUAAUUUACAACAUCAUGCUUAAUCAAAAAACAAUUUCCAAGUGGCAUGAUGAUCUAACUCUCACAUGGAAUAUUAAAGAAAUAAAACUCAAACUUCAACAAGAGUUAUCAAAUAACUUGUCUAAUCACAAUUCUUAAAGAGAAGGCAUUAUGCAAAUUUAAGCUUUAAAAGAGUUUCCACUCCCAAAGGGUCAAACCUUACUCUUCCACAAAAAUCUAAGUGUUACUUAUUAGUUUCCGAAUAUAAUAUGUUGAACUAAUCUCUCCCCCCAACCUAGUUCUUUUUCAAAGCUUAGCAAACUGAUUAACCUCCAAUAGGUUAAGAACGCACCUCUUUUCUCACAAUUUUUUUUUCAUUGUAGGAGUACAAGGCUUAAAGGUAUUCUUUUCUAAAUUGUCCAUGUAACGGGGGUCCAUUGAUGACUCCCAACCAAUUAAGGUUUAGGGCAUCAAGUUUUAAGGAUUUUUCAACCACUAACUCCUCAGAUUUUACCCUGGCCUUUUGAGAAUGAAUUUUAAUACCCAAGCACCUACAGUAUGUUAAACUCCACCUAUUCACCCUUGUAACGAGCAUUGAGGUCAGUGACUUCCAACCAAUGAAGGCUUAGGGCACUAGGUUUUAAAGAUUUUCACCAUAUACCCCUUAGACCUUGCUCGGGUUUCAAGGCAAGCAAACAUUUUUUCUUUCUUUCUUUCUUUUUCAAAGGCUCAUUGGCCUUUUAUAAGGUGUCCCAACACUAUUAAAUGAGGUCAAAGGUACCAAGUCUAAAAUUUUCCUAAGUCAAGAGGGAAAUAGUUUUUCAUCUUAUACUCAGAACUUAUUGUGCAUAGUGUGUGAAUAGCUUAAAGUGGAAGAACUAAACUUGAAUUCAAUAGAAGUUUCAACAAUUCAUCAACUAAAGUAAGCAUAAUACAAAAUCUAAGUCAAGUAAAAAGACAAAAAUUCAAUUUCUCCCAUUUUAGUUUGAAAAUUUUUCCUUAAUAACCAUGAAGAGUAGAAUAAAAACUAAAAAAAAAAAAUUUAAAUUAAGCAAAAAGAAACUAAAUUACCAAAAUAACUUAGCAUUAAUAACAAAACUUACUUCCUCAACUCUCCCCCCAACCAAGCUGAACAUUGUCCGAUUGAAAAAUAGGGAGGAAAUGGUACCUCCUGAGUAACAUGGAGUCUGAGUCAUAUAGGAGAAACCACAUGUUUCAAAGAAAACAUAAGAGUUAGUGAGUAGAGGAAAUAGAAAAAUGCCAAGUUUAAACAAAAAAUGAUGUCUAUAUAUGAUGUAUAUAUAUGAUGUAUCAUCAGUAAUACAUCCAAUCCCAUAAUAUAAGACAUCAAAACAUGGAAUUAUCUAUACUAAUAUAAUAUGUAAAGACAAAAAGUAAAGAGAUGAUCAAGUAAUGGUAAGGUCCUAUGGAGUUGAUGCAUCUGUGGUGGCCUCUUGAGUGGAUUGGAUCAGGACUUUGGCCUCUGUUUUAGUAGUCUCCUUAGGUGGCAUAGUCUCCUCAACUGGAGCUCUCAGCUGGAGCCAUGGGCUCUGAUAGUUUUAGGAGGUCAAAAAUGGAGUGAGAGGCUUCGUGUGUGUGAUCUCAGGGUGCAUGGGGCUCUCUCCUUAGAUGCAUGGUUGUGAGGCUCUGUUGGCAUUUUUGCAACUUCCCUUGGCUUUGUAAGGUGUUUUCACAAAUCAUUUCAUAACUUGGAGGCCAUUUCUUAGCCACUUCGAAGCCAAAAGGAAAAAAGAAAAACAUUUUUUUGCAGCCCAUUUCGAAGUUUGGAAAUCAUUUCACAACCAUUUUAAAGUUUGGAAAAUCAUUUUGCAAUCAAAAGACCAUUUUCACAGCAAAUGGAGGAUUUCACAGGGGUAGCUAUGGGGUUGCGAAAACAUUUCGCAGCCAAAUGGGAAUUUCGCAGCCCAUUUUGAUGCCUGGAGCAUUUUCAUAGCCAUUUUGAAGCUUGAAGAUCAUUUUGUAUCCAUUUUGAACCUUGGAGAUCAUUUUGUAGCCAUUUCGAAGUUUGGAAAUCAUUUGGCAACAAAAUGGGAAUUUCGUAGCCCAUUUUUUAAGCUUGAAGCAUUUUCGCAGAGGGGAGUGGAUUUUGCGGAGGAGGGGAAUUUUUGCAGCCCAUUUCGCAGCUGCGAAAUGGGCAUAUGGGUGCUGCGAAGUGGCACUCGUGUGCCAAAGGGUGGUUUCGCAGCUGCGAAACACCCUUCGAAAUGGGGGCACGGCUGCGAAAUCAAAAAAAUUCCCGCUUUGGCUUUGCGCGGUUUGUCUUCAAAUGGCCAUAACUUCUUCAUUUCUAAUCCAAAUCGCACACCGUUUGAAGCACUGGACUCCUGACUUCAUAAGAUUUAAAACAACAUAUGUUAUACAUAAUUUGAGCUCCAGAAAGUGCUCCAAAAACGUGUCCAAUAGUAGCGAAAUGGGGUACGGCUGCAACAUUUCCAUUCAUCUUUGUACAGUCGUCUUCAAACGGCCAUAACUUCUUCCUUUCAACUCCAAAUCGAGCACCGUUUGAAGCUAUGGACUCCUGACUUCCCAAGAUUUGAAAUGACAUAUGGUAUGCAUGAAAUGAACUUCGUUAAGUGAUCAAAAUGUGUCCAAUGGGGGUGCGGCUGUGACAUGUCUGUUCAUGGUGUGCGCGCUGAAGGAUUUUAAGGCAUGGGGAUUUCGUAACCAUUUUGCAGCUGCGAAAUGAGUGUAGGGGGCUGCGAAAUGGCUCUCAUGUGCCAAAGGGUGGUUUCGCAGCUGCGAAACACCCUUCCAAAUGGCGUAUCGACUGCGAAAUGGAGGAUUUCAAGGCGUGGAGGUUUCGCAGCUGCGAAAUGGAUGUACGGGGCUGCGAAACCAUUUCGCAGCAAGGGGGCGAUUUUCGCAGCAGGUCAAUUUUGGCUACGAAAUUUCGCAGGCCAUGCUCUCUCCUUGCUUUUGAGCUCCUCUUGAUUCCCAACUUCCUUCUUUCACCUCUUUUGACAUUUCUCUUGAUUUUGAUCAUCCAAAAACCUAUGUUACAUCAAAACAAAUUAGAAUUAAAGCAUUGAAAUCAAAAUUAAAGCAUUGAAAUCAAAAUUUAAAACAUGAAAUUAAGAUUAAAACAAGUAAACAACAAAACAAAAAGAUAUGGACUAGCUAGUCUUUAAAAAGACUAAGUCCAUCAAAAAAUUUGAUCUUGAUUUAGCUUGCCCGGAUCCCAUAUGAAGUUUGCAUCCCUCACUUGAGACUUGGUUUGUAUGAUUUUCCCAUACAAAGCUUGGGGGAAAGGUGGAGGCAUGUGUUUUUUCAUCAUUUCUUCCUUGAUGACUAUCCUCUAUGGUUCUUCAUCUACAUUAACAUCAUAGCCAUCUUUUUCUAUGCUUUUCCCCUUUUUCUUUUCUUUUUAUUUCCUCCCUCUUUUCUUUCUUUGUUUCACUGUCUUCCUUAUGCUCUAGCUUGCAUGUGGGCAGAUCAACCUCUUAACCACUCCUCAAAGUGAUAACCAUUUUAACUUCCUUCACCAUUGAAGAUUCUCCCUCCUUAGCCUCCAUUUCAUGGAUACCCUUUUGAUUUUGAUGAGGUUGAGAAGGAAAGUUUUCUUUCUCUUGCACUGUGUUGAGGUUGGCAAACCUUGAGAUUGAACAUUGGAGAUUAUCUAUCUUCUGAGAUAGAUCACUUUGCACUCCAUCCAUCUUUUUGUUCAAUGAACUCUCUACACUGUCAAUUCUUUGAGUAAGCUAAGCAUUGAUGGAUUUUUAAGCUUCGAGAAAGUCUCCCACGACCUUGCUAAGAUUCACCAUAGCUUGAUCAAGGUUCAAGGCUUGCGGAAGUGCUUGAACAUGUUGCUUGUACUGAGGUGAUUGUGGUUUCCAAGAGAAAUUUGGAUGGUUCCUCCAAUUGGAAUUGUAGGUGUUGCAAUCACCAAACAUUUCUCUUACCGUUGGAAUGGUAGGACACUCAUCCACCAAGUGCUCAUAAGAUAGACAAAUGGAACAGGGCAUAGGUUUCAAUGGUGUCUGAGAGAUGGCUUGCACUUCUUGCAUCUUCUUCAUUUCUAGCUCUUCCAAUCUCCUUGCCAUAGCUGCAAUCUUUGUCUUCAUGUCUAUGUCGUCAUUCAAAAUAUACAUCUCACCCUUAGCAUUAGGUUGAGACUUCAUUCUCCCCAUAUUUCUAGCAUUUGGUUCAUCCCAUCCUCUUGAAACUUUAGCCACAUAACUCAUGAAGUUCAUGGCUUCCUCUACUAUCUCGUAUUCAAUAUGGCAUGCACAACUAGCAAUUUGUGAAUUAAAAACAGAGAAAACAAAAGAAAAACAAAAGAAAACAAUUCUAAGAAAAAAAAUUAAGGUAAACUAAAAACUAAAUAAAAGGUAUACUCAAAUAUGAACAAAGGAAAAUAGACAAAUAAAAAGAGUUAGUAAAAAGAAAAGAAAAUUCACCAAACUUGUGAUGAAGAUCACAAGUACUCUAGAAAGGUGAUAUCACUGUAAAGUGGCACCAUUCCCGGCAACGGCGCCAUUUGAUACGUUCCCAAUUGGUGUCUCAGCUGAUUCAUGUGCAGCUGGUGUCCCUUGAUUUUGGUCCUCAGGGAGUAAUCAACAAAAUUUAUAACCUAUUACACCAUGUACUAGGAUAGCCUUAGCUAGCAUAGCAUAGUGGCUCUAGGGUCAUUCACUGGGAUGGGUUUUCACUUCACAAUUGAUAUUAAUUCAAAGUUGAAUUGGUGCCUUUUCAUUUCAAGGUUAGCUUUAAAAGAAAACAUAAAGAUGUUUGAAUGAAAAAGGUUUGGUUUUAAACUAACCAAAAAUAGUAACUGAUUUUACUCACAAAGAAAAGUGUUUCUUGGAGUUUAGAUCACUAGGCUCAGGUUCCUUAUACAAAAAGGGAGUUCCGGUCACUUGUUUCUUUUCCUCACAUUAGAGAAUUAACAUAUAGUUAAUUCUAUAACCGGUGUAGUACAGAUGCUUCCCCUUAAUGGGUUCAAACACUAAAUCCCUCUCACUGAUGCAUCUUGCAAUGGCUCGUGCCUCCCAUCUAGCAUUUGCCAUCCAAGAUGAUCCUUAACCUUGGAUUACCCGUCAAAAGCUCGCAAGAGAUAACUAAUGGAUGUCUCCUUAGAGUCCAAAAGCUUACCAAGUGUUGGCUAUUCUAGAAAAUCCUACCUUCAAACCACCUCCCAAAUGCUCGCAAGAGGUAAACUAGUGCAUCUCAAUGGACGGAGAUCACUUGCCUUACCAAGUGUUGGCCCAGGUGAUUUAAAGGCGUUUUAAGUUAACUAAAAAGAUAAAAACCAUUAACGGGUCACACUUUCUUUUCAUUAAAAACUAAAACAACAAAACUUCCAAUUUAUGCAUGAGGAAACUUACCCGGAUUUCUUCACUCCAAGAGACGAAGAGCCUAGCCUCUCAUCCUCUGAGGAAAAAUCCUCAGAGUUUGAUUAGCUAGAAAGAAAAAUAAUGAGAAAACAAAAAUAUAUAUGAAAAGCAAAGCAAGUGCUUUGUAAAAUAUAUUUCUUACUCUCGUCGGAUUACAUGAUGAUCGUCUCUCAUAACAGGCUCCCCAUAUCUUUUAUAUAUGGGGUUAUUCACCCUUUGUUCUUAUUUAAAGACUAAAGAAUACUAUGAUAGGUGGGUUACAAGGAGAGUUUGGGGAUUUAGACAUCAAAUAUCUAAAGCGAAAAAUCUCAAAAUGUCGCUCGCAAAUAUCGGGAAGCUUUAGGAGAAAUUCUGUUGCACUGUGCAAAAUGGCUACGAAAUUUUCGUAGCAAAAGGACAACAUUUUCGUAGCCCAAGGCUGAUUUCGCAGUCGUGCAAAAAUUUCCUUCAGCUUGGAGUGAUCUGCUUGCAAUGGCUGUAAAUCCUUCAUUUCAACUUCGAAUCGUGUACCGUUUGAAGCAUUGGAUUUUUGACUUCCUGAUCUUCGAAAUGGCAUAUAGCAUGCAUAAAUUGGAAUCCAGGAAGUGCUCCAAAAGUGGCUGACAUGACUAUUAUCAAGAAUGCUUCAUGGCAGAUUUCUCUUUGCUUCCCCUCCUUGCAUUCCGGAUUUGCUUAUGGCAAAGGACUUCAAAGCUUCGGUUCUUCAUGCUUCUGAGCUUUCCAUUGCUUUUUCAUGGAUUCCAAAUAACUCUCCUCAAUCUUGGAUUGCUUUGGUGAUCAAAAAGCUAUCAAAACACCAAAACUUAACACAAUUUGUUUAGAAUUGAUUGCAAGGGUCCUUAAUAUGUUAAUUGGGUUAAAAGGUAAUAACUACUACUCAAAAGUGUUUAAAAGAGUUAAUUACAAGCUAUCAAAUAGCACUUUUUGAGUAUUAAUCAUGGAGUAUGAUAGAUCAAGAGUCACUCAUAUUCAUAUCGACAUAUAUCUAUUUUUAAGAUAUAGGAUAAAGUUUGAUUUUGAUUUGACGAUUUACACUGGGGCAAAUCCAUCUCAGGGAGUUUAUAUUUUGACGUAGCCCUCUUAUUGGUGAUUAAUUUUUUAGAUGAUAACUUAUGUUAGGGCAUAGUCACUUCAUUCCUUCUCAUGGAGAAUGAUAGAUCAAGAGCCACUUGGAUUCAUGUCUACAUAUAUUCAUUUUUUAGAUUUGGGAUAGAGUUUGAUUUUGAUUUGACAAUUUACAUUGAGGCAUAGCCACCUUAGAGAGUUUAUACUGGUGUAUAACCCUUUCAUUGAUGAUUGAUUUUGAGAUGAUAACCUAUCAUAAGGCAUAGUCACUUUAUUCCUUCUCAUGGAGCAUGAUGGAUCAGGAGUUGCUUGGAUUCAUAUCGACAUAUAUCCAUUUUUAAGAUCUAUGAUAGAGUUUGAUUUUGAUUUGAUGAUUCAUACUAGGACAUAGCCACUUUAUUCCCUCUCAUAGAGCAUAAUGGACUAGGAGUCACUUGGAUUCAUAUCGACAUAUAUAGAUAUAUAUAUAUAUAUAUAUAUAUAUAUAUAUAUAUAUAUAUAUAUAUAUAUGUAUAGGAUAAAGUUUGAUUUUUAUUUGAUAAUUUAUACUAAAGUAGAGGUCUAUCUUGAUGAGAUUGUGUAUAUUACGACAUAACCAUUCUAGAGAUUACCUUUCACCAAGGUUUGAACAUUUCAGAUGUUACCUUAUAUACUAGGGCAUACUCCUCUUAUCAGUGCUUGAUUUUGGAGAUAAUUAAUUUGUUGGGGCCUUACCCAUUUUGACUUGAUAGAUUCAUGUUGGGACAUAGCUCACUCAGUUGAUGAUUUAUUUUUUUUAUUUUUUUUCUGAAAUAAUAGUUUAUACUAAGCAUAACCACUCUAUUUAACUCCCUACAUUGGGCCAUAACCAUUAUCUUAGAGGUGAUCAUACAUUUUUUUCAAAAGUAAUUUUUAUAAAUAGAGGUGUGGACCCCGUAUUUUUGCUCGAUGUUUUCCCACUCGAUGGCGAAACUGGCUUUUUUAUUUAUUUGGUGAAAAUUUGAUUUUUUUUUUUUAAGGAAAUACUUGGAGUCGCCACUUAUUUUUGUUUUAUUUUUAAAGGGUAAACAAAAUAAGAAAAAAAAACUCUAAAUGUGACUCCUUAUUUGGAAAGGACAGUCUAUGAGAAACCAAAUACAGGUUCGGGGGUCAGGUUACUUAUCGGGAAGGUACGGUAAAGACCAUAGUACCCCUCUAAGUCCCUAAAAAUGGGUUUUUACUUAAUAAGGUAAGGCAGAUGUGGCAAUUGAUGAAGAAGUCAAUGGAUACCGGUGAAAUAAUUAAAUAAUAAAGUGAAUCAUGCAUCAGAAUAAAUGAAGUGGGAAUGAGAUCGUACCUUGGCAGCAAUUAAUAGUGCGCUAUCAUGGAAACAAGGUUAGCUCAAGUAUAAAAUCAUCACAUGCAUAUCAAAUAGUAAGAGAAAGAUCAAGCAAUAUUCAUUAAGCAUAACAACUGACAAUCAAGAGAGAAAACUCAAGUGUAGGGCCCCCACCAAAGCCCAAUUUAUCUUGCAUGAAUUAGUCUCACAAAUUCCAUUAUUUUGGAAUUGUGAAAAAUUCAUUCUUACUUAUUUAAAAAUCAAGAGGAACAGAAAAAUUGUUUUUAAAUCAAAGAAAAAUUUAUGAAGGUGCUUGCCUAAGAGAAAAGGGCAACAAGUUUACUAAAAACAGGAUUUUUGGUGUUCCUGAACCUUAAGGAAAGAUGAAGAGUAGUAGAAUUAAAGAAAUAUUUGAAAACUAGAGUGAAAUCAAAAUUAUUCAAAAAAAUUGAAAGCUCUAAAAUUAUUUGAAAAUUAGCAUUUUGAAAAUUAGAUUUAAAAAUCGGAAUUUUGGGAAUUAAAUUUGAAAGAAAUUGGAAUUUUGAAGAGUUAUUUAAAGAUGGAAUUUUAAAAAUAAAUAAAUAAAUAGAAUAAUAAUAAUAACAAAAAUAAUAAUGAUUAAAUAAAUAAAUAUGAGAAUUGGAAUUUUGGAAAUUGGGAAUUAAGUUUGAAAAUCGGAAUUUUGAAGAAUUAUUUAAAGAUGGAUUUUUUUAAAAAUAAAUAAAUAAAUAGAAUAAUAAUAAUAAUAACAAAAAUAAUAAUGAUUAAAUAAAUAAAUGUGAAAGUUGGAAUUUUAAAAAUGAACAAAUAGAAUAAUGAUAAUAAUGAAAAUAAUAAUCAUUAAAUCAAUAAAUGUGAAAAUUGGGACUUUAGAAAUUAAGAAUUAAAUUUGGAAAUCGACAUUUUGAAGAGUUAUUUAAAGAUGAAAAUUUUAAAGAUCAAACAUGAAGGAUAGGAAUUUCAAAAAAUUAUUUGAAAAUAGAAAUUUGAAAAUUAAAUUUAAGAAAAGAGGAUUUUGAAGAAUCACUUGAGAAUGGAAUUUUAUUUAUUAUUUUUUUUUUAAAUUAGAUUUGAAAGAAAUUGGAGUUUCGAAAAUUUAUUUGAAGGUGACAUUUUAAAAAAAUAUUAAAUUUGGAAUGUUGGAAUUUUUGGAAAAUUUAUUUGAAGAUUAUAUUUCGGAAAAUUAAUUUUUGAAGAUUGGAAUCUAGGAAAAUUAUUUUGAGGAUAGAAUUUCGGAAAAUUAAAUUAAAAAAAAAUGAAAUCUUGGAAAAUUAGAAUUUUGAGAAAUUAUUUUGAAAAGUAAAUUUGAGAAUAGAAUUUCGGAACAUUAAAUUUCGAAAAUUGGAAUUUUAGAAAAUUAUUUUAAUAUCCAAAUGUGAAUAAAUAAUAAAUAAAAAAAUGGGUUGUGGUGAUCCUCGUGUGCAAAUUACACAUGUCCAGUACAGUGGCAAUAAACCCAUUUUCCAUCAGUUGCUCCAUGCACUGCUAGAACCCAUUUUCCAUACCCCUUAUCCACCACCGCCAUCAAAGCCAUUAAAAGUCUCAUAACUAGUGCAGCCAUGCAUGGAGCAUUAAACCCAUUUCCCAUCCAAACAAACAGAUACCAUCGAUCAAACUUUGAGAAUCCUCGCCGGCUUCACCACCGGAUUCUCCUUCGCGAUCAUUGCCCGUCCUGCCGCCUUGUAAUCGAACCUGCACUCAUGCCGAUCGGAGUACCGAUGAUUCGAGCAGAACAUAUUGCCACACCGGUACCGAAAGCCGAUCAGUCCUAGCUUCCUCUUGCAUUUGGAGCACCAGUUCACCUCCCUCCUCAUAUCCUUGUUUCUCAGUUGUGAACAUUUCCUCUUGUAAAUUUUCUGAGUGCUACCUCCAGCCUUAACCUCGUCAUAAAGCUUCUUUUCCCAAGCAUACAACCUUCCCAGUGUUAAUGAAUGGCUUCAGGAUGAAGACCGUGAUGAGCUACGGUGCCCUGUGAUAGCUUGGAUGAGUUUUUUUUUUUUUUUUUUUUGUCGAGUUCCCUACAUGCUCUAACCAUGGUACAAAGCUCGAAGAUUUCAUAUUCAUUUAUCAAUUAUGGAGAGCAACGCAAAUGCCAGAGAAGCAUCUCCAUAGUGCGAAACCUUAAACAUCCAACCCAAAAUGCCACAAGCUGAGAACUCCCAUAAACGAAGACCACCUCUGUAUCUGACCAACCAUGAGCAAACCCAUUUUACCCGAUCUUCACAAAGUUUCCAUCUCUCUCAAAAACAUUUUUGAUAUCAUGACCUCCAUAGCCAGGACACCCAAGAAAGGAAGGGGAAGAAAACAUGGAUGCAGAAACAUAGAGAAUGAAACCCAAGGAGAAUGGAGGAAAGGCAGAUAAUGGGUGAGUAAUCAAACAAGCAACAUUUCAUUGUUUGCCAACGGGCUGGGGUUGGUGAGUGAGCCAAAACAUAUUCUAAGUAAGGAUCAAAACACGGUCGCGAGCAUUUCAUAAAGAACCAAAACAAAAUCGAACUAAUUUCAACAAAACCAAUAAAAAAUGAAACAUGAACAUAUUAUGGCCCAAACUAAACAAUUCAAAGAUCAAUAAAUAAAACUAAAUGCAUGACAUGAUACCCAUACCCAAGCCAAUAGUAGAUGAUGCUCAGAAUAGCAAUAACAAGAAAGGAAAACAAAGAAAACCUAAAGUAAGGCAACCUGUAGUGGCCAUACCUGAGCUCCUUAAGUGAAACUGUGUUCGGCUUCUUUUCCUUCAACUCUCUCUCUGUUCUGCUUCUCUUCCAUUCAUCUCACCCUUUUUUUUUUUUUUUGUAGACUCACCUCUGUCCUAAAAAAAACCGCUCCUCAUCGCAUGCUCCGAUCAUGCUCUACAGCUCCCUCAUUCCCCUCAUCUCUACCUUGUUAGCUCCCGUUCCAUCCAUCAUCUCUUGCUCAGAGAUGUCUCUCUCUAAACCACCACCAUGGCAAGUUGGUGGUGGUUGCCACACGUCCAUGCAGCUCGCCCCCUCUAGAAAGAGGUCCCCUCACUUCAAAAAUGAAAAAAUUUCAACUCCCGGGUCGCGUCCACAUAGGGAUCUACAAGAGGUCUUAAAGAAUUUUUAUUUUUAUUUUUUAAAUAAGAAUAGCAUGAGUAAACCUUUAAAUCGAACUAAAAGACCUUUUUUAAUUAAUUGGUAAACUAAUCUCCUACUAGAUGAAAUCUAGAAUUCUUUCUUAAUAAAGUUGGAAUCCUUGGGAACAAAUUUGUGAAAUUCUUUCUCUAAAUAAAUUAAUAAUAAAGAAUUUUUUUCUAGGUAAAAUAAAAAAAUAUGUUUUUAAUAAAAGUGGGUUAAAUUCCUUCUUAUAAACUUGGAAAUAUCUUUCUUUAAGUUUGUAGAUUUUUUAAAAAAAAAUAAAUAAAUAAAUAAAGAUUGAAUCAAAACAUUUUUUUAAAUAAAUUAGUAAAAUUCACCCCUCUUCUUAAUAAGGUAAGCAAAAAUCAUUUCUUGUACAACAAAUCAAAUCAAAUCUUUUAUAAUAAAUUGAAGCUUUGUGAAUAAAUAAAUUUAAAUUACUAAUUUGAAAUUGUUGUUAAAAUAAAUGAAUUCUUCGAAAAUUUUUGGAAAUUAUAUUAUGAUAUUUGAAAUAAUAAAAUCUUUCUCAGAAAUUAUUUUGUGCAUCUCUCAUGUAUCAUUUCCACAUAUCCUUAUAAUUUGCUUUUGCAUUAUUCUGUGUACUUAUCAUUCUUUUUUUCAGUAUCCAUGAUUAAUUAAUUAAUUAAUUGUCAUAAUUCCCUUUUACGCGCUUACUAAAAACCUUUUUAAGGCUUAAAGGGGUGCUAGCCUAUGGUACCUUCUCAUAUGGUACCUUCCCAAUAGGUAACCUGACUUCUAGAUUCGAACUAGGUUUUUACUGACACGUCUUUUCUUUAAAAAAUGAGUAACAAUAUGGCUUUAUUUUUUUUCUUUUAAAAAUAAACAAAAAUGAGUGACGACUCUAACCUGAAAAAAAAAAUAGUUUUUUAUAAUAAAAACAAGUCUCGCCAUCAAGUGAGACACACAUGAAAAAUGAGAGUUCACAAUUGUAUUUCUUAGACUUAAAAUAUAAUACAAUUACUAAAUCAAUGAAUGUUGUGAGUUUUAAAAUCUUUGAUCAUAAAAGAUACAAAGUAUAAUGGAACAAAUAGAUUUCAAAAGAAAAAAAAUGUUUAAAAUGGAAAAUCUAACAAGAAAGACAAUGAAACAAGGUGAUACGGUAGGAGUGAUUACUACUCAAAAAGUGCAUUUUUAUAAGCUUAAACUUAAUUAUAUUAAGCACUUUUGAGUAGUAGUUAGAUCUUUUAUCCCAAUUGGCAUGUUAAGGACCUAGCAAAUGUUACUAACCAAUUUUUGGUAAGUUUUAGUGUUUUUGGUAGCUUUUUGAUCAUUGAAACAGGCCAAGAUUGAGGGAGAGUUUGGAGCACAUGAAGAAUCUGAGCUUUGGGGCACUUCAAAACCCCUUGCCAAACUUGGAAAGGGGUUGGCAAAGCUAUUAGUAGUAAGAUGGAGGAAAACAGAGCAUUUUGCAAGGCAAAAUCAUUAGUUUUGCAGGGUAUGCCAAAUUUUGGCAGGGUGUGCCAAAGUUUCGCAAGAUGUGCAAAAAAUCACUUUGUGCGCACCGACCUUCGAGAUUUUUCUCCAGAACUGUAAUUUUUCCUUUUUACUCCUUUUGUAAUAGAUAAAUGACAUUAGGGUUUGUUUAGGAACUAUAAAUAGGGGUUGGAAAACCUCUCAAAUCAUAUUAUGUUAUGUUAGAUAUUAUGUUUUAGAUACUUUUGUAAAGACGAGUUUUUCUCUGCCUUUCCUUCUCAUUUUCUCUUCACUUUCUCUCUAGCCAAACACCCUUUGAGGAUGAUUUCUCAGAGGAUGAGUGGCUAAGUUUCACGUUUCUUGGAGUGAUGGAAGCUAGGUAAAGGACCCGGAUGCAAAUGUGGGAGUUUUCCUUGCUUUAAAUGAAGGUAGUUGUGUAUCAUUAAUGGUUUGUAUUUCAAGUUUCAGCUUUAAUCCCUUAGAAUCACCUUGAAUGGCCAAUACUUGGUAAGCUUUUAGGAUUCUAAGGAUGCCAAUUGCUAGAUCCAUGGAUGUCCAUUAGUUAUCAAGUACGAGCCAUUGGAAGGUAGUUCAAGGUGAGGGUCUUUAGUGUUUAAAGCCAUUAAUGGGAAGCAACUACCAUUUUUCAAGAACCCUUUGGAUCAAAACUUAUUUGCUAAAUACAAAUCCGGUUUGGGAGAUAACCAUCCUUUAUGUUAUUGUCCCCAAUGUGAGGAGAAGAUCCGGAAUUUCCCACUUUGCAACAGGAACUUGAUCCUAGUAACCUAUAGCUCCAAGAGACUCUUUUUGUAGUAAUUUCAGUUGUUUAUGUAUGCUUAACUUAAAAUCAACCUUUCCAAUCAAUCUUAUUUUCAUUAAAAACUAAAUUUCCAAAAAAGGAAAUCACCAUUUCUCAUUUCAUUAAUGUUAAGUGUACAAAGAAAACUCAUCCCUGUGGACAAUCCUAGAGCCACUAUACUAUAGUAGCUUUGUCUUUGCUACCCUAGUAUAAGGUGUUGUAGGUUUAAUAAAUGUUUUGAUAAACACCCAACUGGGCAUGAAUCAAGGAGUUAAAUAGAGAAAUAUUUUAUCCAUGAAUUUAUAGUUUAUUUAGUAGAAAAAAUUUCUAAAGAAAUAUUGCAUACAUUAAUGGAUUAAGUAGAUAAAAGGAAUUUAAGCAAUUUGACAUUUAUGCUUUAGUUAGAUAACAUCAAAUAGAAAUUUGAUAUUAUUAGUUUCCAUAUUGAGAUUAGAAAUCUAUUAAAUGGACAUUAAGAUUAUCUUUCUUUGAAUGGCUAUAUAAAUUAAGAGUAUAUGGGGGUAACCUAAAGGAUUUCUGACAAGAACACGAAGUUAGGGAUAUAUACAUUUAGCUAGGUUGGAUUAUAACCAAUCCAAGAAUCAAAUAGGAGUUGAUUGGUUUUAACUAAAGUAUUAUAAAUUUAUUUAUUGACUCAAACUAAUCCAACUUAAUAUUAGUUUGAUUCAAUUUAGUUAACUUAAUUUAGACCAAAAUAUUGAGCCUAUAUAUUUUUUUUCUCUACAUUGACCAUAGAACCAAAAUGAUUGAUUUGUUUUAGAUAAAAAUAGUUUUUUUUACAAAUAAUAAAAUUAAUUUUUUUUUAAAAUAAUGUGUAGGAGCAAACCAGUGGGUUAUUUUCUUAUUGGGAGUAAGUCAAUGAGUAGUAUUAUUGACAUAUUGGGUGCUCAUGACUUGAAAUUAUAUUAUCAUCAUUAUUAAGUUCCACGGUACACGAAUUUUAAAUGUUAGGUCAUGCCUUAUGCCAUAAGCAACUUUUAUUUGUAAUAAAGCGAUGAGAGUUAGGAUCUAGGCCUCCAACACCAAACUGUAGCCUAGCUAAGUUAGCUUUGGAUGGCAUGGUUUCACUCACAAAGUCUCAAGAUUGUCCACAAAACUCCAAAAUCCAAGUAAAUUAUAUUUGUGCCUCCCCUUCUACUGCUUGGGUUUGUUUGCCAAUCCACUUUUAGUAAGUGAUCUAGGUCAAACCUUUCAUAAUCCAAAUACUUAAACUAGUUUGAUCUCUAGUUUCACUACACUACCAAAAUAAAGUAAUUCAAGUAGAAAGAACCAAUGGCACAUACAUGACAAGUUUUGCUAUUGGGGAAGUUUACAAAUAGUCUGUGGAGACCUUUUUCUAGUAUAAUUUGAGACAAAUGCUAAUGGGUUGCCCAUGAACUAUUAUCCAAGGCUAGUUAGGCUUAUCUGUCAAACAAUAGAAAUUCAAGAUUUGGGGGCCAAAUGAAAGUGAUCAAGUUUGAAGUUAAUGGAAUUGCUUAUUAGCUCAAUAUAGAGGCUUAUCUCAAGCACCUUAUCAGUACAAUGCUUCAAGUUGAUUAACUACAUGCAUACACUAAAGACUUCCACAACAAAGGAAAUUUGGCAAGAAUAAUCUAAAGAGCUACUGCAAGAGAGAAUGAUCUUUUGAACAUAUGUAAUUGGUUGUGCAUUAAUUAAGAAGGCUUCUAAAGUUGGAUAAGUUGUUUAUAAUUUUUAAAAGGGAAUUUGCAAACUUCACAGAAUUGAUCUAAGAGAUAUUUACCAAUCAUGAUAAUAAAGUAUUGAGGAAAAACUUUAGCAGCAAACCAAGUUGUAUUUGCUAAGAAUACUUACUACAUAAAUAUUAAGAAAGAAACUAUUUAGUGGUAAAAGACAAGUUGAUAGUUUUAGUUCAUGAAGUUUUCAUUGUCUAAGCUAACAUCAAAAGCUAUAAUAAGAUAAAUCCCAAUAAGGUAAGACAAAAGGCUACACAGAAGGGAGAUCUUGCUCCUUGUUGAAAAUCUCAUUCAAUUGCAAAUCUACCACAUCAAGAAUGCUUCCUCUUCUAUAAUUUUCUCAUACCCAACCACAAUACUAUUAUUAUACUUGUUCUGCAUGCUUUUUUUCUUUUCUUUUUUUUUUUAGCUUUCUAAGUUAUUUUUUCUUUGGCUAUAGCAAUAGUUUCACUAGUGUGUUAAAUUCUCUUAUAGGUAAUUCCUCAAACAUAUAAUGUCCUCAUUGUUGCUAUUAAGUCUUGUAGUAUGAAAUGAAAAAUUAAAUUUCUUGUAUUCAAAAUCAAAUGGAAGCACAUGGAUUAAAAAAGGAAAACACAAGAGAAACAUGAAAUCCAAUUACAAAGAGUAGUAUCAAAUUUUCCAUAUCUAAAAAAUUCAAGUGUUAAGAUUUCUAAGAAUGAAAAAAAAAAAAAAGGUACAUUGAGAGAAGACCUACAUCUACAAAACAUCAAGGUGUGAGGUUAAGAGAGGAAUGAAUUCAAUCCAUACCUGAUAUGAAGACAUGGAUUCGAACACAUUGACUAGAUUUGAAGAAUGCAAUUCAUCCAUGGGAACUUGUGUACUUGAAGAGGGUUGGUUUUGGGAGGUAUUGGAAGAUGAUUGGAGUAUGGUGGUAGUUGUUGAAAGGAUAGAUGGUGGUGGGAAGCCAUAGCUACUAAUGAAGAGGAAGUUAGAUGAAUUGGAGACUCGAUGAAGAAGAUAAUGUGAGCUUGAUAAAAUUUCCUCCAACUUUCCCCUUCUCUUUCUCUCUUAUUUUCCUCACUAAUUUUUAAGGAAAGUAGAAGGGAAAAUAUUACAAUAUUUUCUUUAGCAUUUUCUUUUAUAUUUAUUUCCAUCAUAUUUUUCAUGUCACCUAAACUAAGGAAAAUAUCUUUCCAUAUUAUUUUUUUGGUCCUUUCCCUUGCAUUUCUAAAAAUCAAACACAAUCUUUAUAAAUAAAAAUUAAGAACUAUACCAAGAUUGUAUAUUCUUCCUCUUUAUUCCUGCAUUUCUACAUCUACUACUCUAUUUGACAUCAUAUUUUUACUCUAUUAUUCAAUAAGCAUUCCUCCCUUCAUAUAGAGUUAUCUUCACACCAAUUCAUAAGAUAAGAAAGACGAAUGAACCUUGGGGCAAGGUUGGACAACUAGUGGCAACUAGUCAAGGCUUGAAGUCAACUUUUGCUUGACUUUUUUUGGCAUGGGAAUCUACUUGUGGACCCCUCUUUAGCAUGAAAAUGGCUAGAAUGUGUUAAGCUCUCUUAUUAGAUGAUAUAUGAUGUGUGAACCAUACGCCAAUCAUAGGGUAGGGAAUAUAUGGUAAUUAUGCAAAAAUAAUGAUAACAAAAAAAAAAAAAAUUGGUAUCCAAUUAUAUAAAAAGACAUCUUCCAACAUUUGAUAUAUAUCUGUAAAAAUUAAGCGGAAAAUAUUUUUAAAAAAAAACAUAUUGAACCUAAAAAUAGGGACUUAAUAAUAAAAUAAAGCAAAAAGGUAAAAGUAAAACAAAAUAUUAAAUAUGAAUAUUGUUUAGGUAUUAAAAAUAUUAUUAUUUAGGUUUAAUCAUGGUUUGUUAGAGGAGUUUGUAUAUAUUAUUUUUAUUUUUAUUUUUUAUCCUAUCUCUAUCUCUGCACAAAGUUUGUAAAUUAAAUAUUUAUUUCUGUUAUUUAAAGGAAUUAUUGAAAUGAUUGCAUGAAAGAUUUAUUCCAUAACCUAAAAUAAUGAUAUUGGCAUUAUUUAUUUACAUAUAUAUAUGUGUGUGUGUGUGUGUGUGUGUGUUUACUCGAAUGAUAGGCUGAUUUUUAGCCAUUAUAAUAAUAAUUGUAUUAUUUAUUAUUGAAAUAAAAUGGUUGUUGUCCUCUAAUUUUGAUUUGAAAUAUAGGGGGUAUUUCUAACACUAAGAUGAUGUUUAUUUUUUUAUUGAAUAAAAAAAAUUAAAAUAUUUGAUUUUAUUUUAUUCAACUAAAAUCAACUUGUUGAUAUCAAUCAACAUAACUAAAAUUAACUUAUAAUUAAUAAGUUUAGUUUAGUUAUGUUGGUUGAUAUCUACUGGUUAUUUUUAACUAAAUAGAAAAAAUUAAAUAUUUUAGUUUUUUCUAUUCAAUAAAAAAGCAAACGCAUCUAAAAUUAUAUAAUAAAAAUGCUUUGACUAGAAAUAAAUUUCAUGUGGACCACUAUCAAAUACCAUGCACAAGGAGAAAUAUGAAUCCUCACUAGCUCUUUGAUUUUAAUUCAUUGAAUUUCAUGUUCCCUAAAACAAAAUUAUAUUUCAUGUCAUGUAUUAUGAGUAGACAACCAUUCCUUAUGUUAGAUUUUAGAUAAAGAACAAAUAUUGGAGAUUGAAGUUGUAAGAAAUUAGGAAAUCCUAAUUUUAAAUAUGUAACAAAGUUCUAUAAUCGCUUCAAUCCAUGUUUUAAAAUUUGUAUUUCUUUCUAAUAUUGGAGCAAACAUUUUCUUUCUUUCUUAUAAAUUUAAUCUGGGAAUGAUUUAAAAAUAAAUAAAUAAGAGCCCUUCUAAAUAUUAAAAAGUAACACUUUCUUAUAAAAUUUAAUUAGGUGGAUGGUAAGGUCAAAUUUGGGAUAGCUUCAUAGUUUUUGCUUUAACUAAAAAAUAAAAUCAAAAUUAAAGUAACAAUUUUUAAGGGGAAAUAUUGAUAUUGUAAAAGUUUUAUUAAACAUGAAAGAAUUUCUUAAAUAAACAAAAAUAGAAUUGUAAAAUUCUUAUAAGAAAUAACAUUUUUAUGACUUCUACAUGAAACCUUUUUUUAAAGUUGUAAGUUUUUUCUUAAAAAUAAUUAAAUAGGUAUAAAAACUUUUAUUUAACUCUUAAAAGUCAAUCCAAAUAAAAUAUAUAUAUAUAUAUAUAUAUAUAUAUAUAUAUAUAUAUAUAUAUAUAUAUAUAUAUAUUUGAAAAUCACUUUUAAAAAUCCAAAAAAAAUCACUUAAAAAUAAUUUAUAAACAUUUUAAAAAAAAUUUACAUCUAAAAAACAAAAAAUUAAAAAUAACACUUUCUUAUAAAAUUUAAUUAGGUGGAUGGUAAGGUCAAAUUCGGGAUAGCUUCAUAGUUUUUGCUUUAACUAAAAAAUAAGAUCAAAAUUAAAGUAAUAAUUUUUAAGGGGAAAUAUUGAUAUUGUAAAAGUUUUAUUAAACAUGAAAGAAUUUCUUAAAUAAACAAAAAUAGAAUUGUAAAAUUCUUAUAAGAAAUAACAUUUUUAUGACUUCUACAUGAAACCUUUUUUUAAAGUUGUAGGUUUAAAUAAAAACAAAAUUAAAUACGUAUAAAAACUUUUAUUUAACUCUUAAAAGUCAAUCCAAAUAAAAUUUAUAUAUAUAUAUAUAUAUAUAUAUAUAUAUAUAUAUAUAUUUGAAAAUCACUUUUAAAAAUCCAAAAAAUCACUUAAAAAUAAUUUCUAAACAUUUUUUUUAAAAUUUACAUUUAAAAAACAAAAAAUUAAAAAUGAUUUAUUUUUACUAGUUAUUUAAAUUUAAGAAAGCAGGAAAGGUUUACUCUGAUGUUAAAAAUAAAAAAUAAAAAAAUAAAAAAAAUAAAAAAAAAUUAUGGGUUGAAAAGUAAUUAAAUCACUAAAAAAUAGACUUAGAGUUCUUAUUUUAAUUUGAAAUAAAUAAAUAGAAAAGAACUGAUUUUCUCUCAAUUGUGUAAGACUUCAUAAAAAUAUUCUUAUUUGCAAAAUAUUUUGAGUUUUAAAAGUAAAAAUUAAACAAAUCAUUUCAUGACCUUUUUCACAAGUAUCCAUUUAGAUCAUAGUCUAAUUUUAAAAUAUUUGAAUAAUCCAAUCACUCUAAACUAUAUCAUUUAUAAUUUUUAAAAUUAUUGGAAUAAAAUAUGGAUAAGUAAAAAAUGUCAAAUGAAAGAUAAUUUCAAACUUUUAUCAUGUUGAAAAGAACUGGAAUGGGCAAAAGUUGUCAAAUCAAGACUUCAAUGGAAAAUUCCACCAUUGCAUAUCUCAAAGAUUAUUCAACAACAUUAUCUUUAUAGACUUUUAACAAUCCAUGAAAUUGACAAAUAAUAUAAUAAUCCCAAACACAAUAUUCUAAAACUUUACAUUAUUCUUGUUAUUUUAAUACAAGAGGAAUCCUUAGUCAACAAUUUUUUUGAACAAAAAAUAAAUAAUGAAAUCUACAACUUUACAUUAUUCUACAAUUUUUUUGAACAAAAAAGAUAAAUAAUGAAAUCUUUGGCAUGUUAAUUCUUUGCAACUUCAACAUGGUGGCAUGUUGGAUGGCGGAGGCAACAUUUGAGCUUCUGGGUGUUUACCAUUUUUCACUAUGAACGUAGUUUCCAUGCCCCAAGUCAGAUGGCAUUCUACAUGGCAGUGCAUGAACCACACUCCUGCAACAGAGAAAAUAUACCAACAUUACACCUAAUUUAUUGCAAUAUUAAGAAAAAUUAUUUCCUUGGUAUGCAGGUUGGUAGUUUCAAGGGGUUUUUUUUUUUUUUAAUAGAGGACAUGAGUGCUUGCAACAUACCAGGGUUGGAUGCCUCGAAUCUGAUUGCUACCCAACCAUUCGUAGGAAUAGAGAUGGUAUUCUGAAAAGGAGGAUCCACCAAAUUAUAGCGCAAAGGGUCCCUAUUUUUAUCGAAAUUCCUAAAUCCCCAUCCAACAAGGUAGAAACUGUAUCCAUGGAGAUGCAUGGGGUGGCGUGUCCCUGCAACCAAGUUUGUCCCUUGAAAAACAAUCUCCAUCGUGGAGUUAUACUCUAGCACCCUUACUUCUGUUCCGUUUUUCGGCGUCUAAUACUCUAAUGGAAGAUAAUCAGGUGUAAAAUUGAACACCAGUGGUGGAACGCUAGGAAAUUUAUCUCCAUAUACACCACUGAUGUUAUAAUAGUAAGCUUGUAGUAUGUCAAUCGUAAGGGAUUGGAAGCUUAUGUUGUUUAUACUUCCAGAGAACCGCAUCCCAUUGGGCCCUGCACAUGAAUUAUUGGGGCAUAGGAACAAGUUUACAGAAACAGUGUAAAUCAGUUUAGUGCUCAGGCUCAAUGGGACAUUGGAAGGAUGUUCCGCAACUGCUAAGCUUCGGAGGCCGGCCAUGACCUGAACUGAAGCAUUUGUGUCAUUGUAUGCAGGAAAAUGAGGCAAGGAGGGAGGUGAAGAUGGAGUGUAGUAUCCCCUGUACUGUACAAUAGCUGUGGUGGUUGUGUUAUCAUAAAAAUUUUGAGCUGCCGGGGCAAUGGAAUAAAUUUUAGCCACCAUGUAAUAGUGAUCCGGGCAUUGGUUAGCUUCUAGUAAGACAUCGAAGGUUUGGCCAGGAUAUAUUGUGAUAUAAUCUCGUGUCAAUGGUUUCAUGUAGCUACCAUCUAUUCCAACAACUGUCAUUUUAUGCUUGGCAAUUGAGAAGAAGAGAGCCUCGUGCAAGGUAGCAUUGAUUAUGCGAAGUAGAUAGGUCUUUCCAUGAUCCACCGUUAGCUUGAAUGUGCCUGUAAUUAGAAAGGGAAAGUUGUACACUUACGACUAGAAAAAAGAAAAAGAAAAACUUUCCAUGAGGAUCCACCAAUUAUGAAGUGAUUGAUUGAUUAGGGGUGUAAAUUUGGCUCCAUAGUUCAAAAUUUAUUUGGACUAACCUUUCCUUAUGUGUUAAAUCAUGGCUCUACCAUCCUCAGAGCUAUAUUCCUCUUUCUUAGCAUUAAGUUUUAAAUAUAUUGAUGUUAAUAAGAAAAAGUAAUAUGGUUAACAUACAAGAAAAUGAGAUCAGUGUACAAUUUUAAAAUGGGAAGUUAAACUUUAUACCUGAUUUUGAGCAUGGAUAUAGAUCCCCGGGUUGUCCAUUUAUCAAUAAAGAAUCAGAGGCAUUGGGCUCAGCUCCAAUUGCAAGCCCUUCAUCUCAAACCGCAUUCACAUCACUCUUCCACCAUUGUCCCGCAUUUCAACAACUCCAAUAAUUUUAGAUUUCGCUUUGCUCGUUAAUUCAUGAUAUGUAAAUUAACCUUUAAAAGUAACUACACUUAUACCUAAUAUGAUGGGAAUUUCUGCGUUAGGUUUGGAAAAAAGAUGAUUGGUUCCAUUCUUGGGAUAAACGAUUAUAGCUCCAUGAACGGUGGCUCGGGUCUAGUCACUGUGAGCAUGCCACCAUAGAGUGCCUUCUUUGGAGGAAAGGAUGAUCUUCUGGCUAAACUUUGACCCUGGUUGAAUUGGGCAUUGUGUGAUAUACUCAGGACCAUCUGUCCAUGAAUAUCUAGGCAUGUUCACCCCAUGUAUACAAAACAAUAACUAUACGUUAAAACUAGUACUAAUUUUUAGACUAACAAAAGAUGGCAUGCAAUAGCAUAUUAUCAUAGUAACAAGAGGCAUCAAUUGUAUUUCAGUGGAAUUGAUGCAAAUAACCCUAAAAUAUUGUUUUAAAUUUGAAUUUAUUUGCAAAGCAAUACAUUGUAGCCCCCUCUUAGAAAUAAAAGAAUGUAUGUCAUGCGGGCAUGCUACCAACCGCUAUCUUUCUCUUAGACAUGCAUGGGACCUACCAAUGAAUGGUGAUAUUUUCUUUUCCCUUGUUAUAGACGUUAAUAAUGAUCGUCUCUCCUUUUGUAUUAAAAUAACAAGAAUAAUGUAAAGUUGUAAAAUAUUGUGUCUAGGAUUAUUAUAUUAUUUGUCAAUUUCUUGGAUUGUUAAAAGUCUACAAAGAUAAUGUUGUAGAAUAAUCUUUGAGAUAUGCAAUGGUGGAAUUUGCCAUGGAAGUCUUCAUUUGACAACUUUUGACCAUUCCAAUUUUAUUCAACAUGAUAAAAUAUCAUGUUGUGAAAAAGGUCAUGAAAUGAUUUGUUUAAUUUUUACUUUUACAACUCAAAAUAUUUUGCAAAUAAGAAAAUUUUAAUGAAGUCUUUAACAAUUGAGAUAAAAUCAGUUUUUUUUCUACUUAUUUAUUUCAAAUUAAAAUAAGCACUUUUUUCCUAAAUUUAAAAUAAUUGAUAAUAAUUUAUAUUUUUACCUCCUAUUUUAGUAAUAAUAUCACAAGACUACACCAGAUAAAGGGAAAGGAAAAAAAAAUAAAAGAUAAAAAAUAAAAAAUCUUCCAUUUCCAUUGCAUGGGGACAAAUUGAGUCUAACCGCACACUGAAGGAACUCCAAUUCUAUUUUUAGUGAUUUAAUUACUUUUUAAACCCUCAUUUUAUUUUUAUUUAUUUUUACAUUAGAGCAAACCCUUUCCUGCUUCCUUAAUUUAAAUAACUAGUAAAAACAAAUCAUAUUUAAUUUUUUUUUUUAAAUGUAACUUAAAAAAAAUAUUUGGAAAUUAUUUUUAAGUGAUUUUUUGGAUUUUUAAAAGUGAUUUUCAAAUAUAUAUAUAUAUAUAUAUAUAUAUAUAAAUUUUAUUUGGAUUGACUUUUAAGAGUUAAAUAAAAGUUUUUAUACCUAUUUAAUUUUUUUAAAAAAAAACCUUGUAACUUUUAAAAAAAAAAGUUUCAUGUAGAAUUCAUAAAAAUGUUCUUAUAAGAAUUUUAUAAUUCCAUUUUUUUUAUAUAAGAAGUUCUUUCAUGUUUAAUAAAACUUUUACAAUAUCAAUAUUUCCCCUUUAAAAUUAUUACUUUAGUUUUUAUUUUAAUUUUUAGUUAAAGCAAAAAUUAUGAAGCUAUCCCGAAUUUGACCUUACCAUCCACCUAAUUAAUUUUUGUAAGAAAGAGUUACUUUUUAAUAUUUAGAAGGGCUUUUAUUUAUUUAUUUUUAAAUCAUUCCCAAAUGAAAUUUAUAAGAAACAAAUAAAAAGUUUGCUCCAAUAUUAGAAAAAAAAUUGUUGACUAAGGAUUCCUCUUGUAUUAAAAUAACAAGAAUAAUGUAAAGUUAUAGAAUAUUGUGUCUGGGAUUAUUAUAUAGUUUUUCAAUUUCUUCGAUUGAUAAAUGUCUACAAAUAUAAUGUUGUAGAAUAAUCUUUGCAAUAUGCAAUAGUGGAAUUUGCCAUGGAAGUCUUGAUUUGACAACUUUUGCCGAUUCCAAUUUUAUUCAAUAUGAUAAAAUAUCAUGUUGCAUUAGAAAAGUUUGAAAUUAUCUUUCAUUUGACAUUUUUUACUUAUCCACAUUUUAUUCCAAUUCCAUACAAGGUUAGGUAUCAUAGUAAUAAUUAAAAAAAUUAUAAAUGAUAUAGUUUAGAUUAAUUGGAUUAUUUAAAUAUUUUAAAAUUAGACUAUGAUGUAAAUGGAUACUUGUGAAAAAGGUCAUGAAAUGAUUUGUUUAAUUUUUACUUUUACAACUCGAAAUAUUUUGCAAAUAAGAAAAUAUUUUUGAAGUCUAACACAAUUGACAUAAAAUCAGUUUUUUUUCUAUUUAUUUAUUUCAAAUUAAAAUAAGCACUUUUUUCUAAAUUUAAAAUAAUCGAUAUAUAAUUUAUAUUUUUACCUCCUAUUUUAGUAAUAAUAUCACAAGACUACACUAACAUAAAGGAAAAGGAAAAAAAAUAAAUAACUAAAAUAUCUUUAUAGACUUUUAACAAUCCAAGAAAUUGACAAAUUAUAUAAUAAUCCCAGAUACAAUAUUCUACAACCUUACAUUAUUCUUGUUAUUUUAAUACAAGAGGAAUACUUAGUCAACGUUUUUUUUAAACAAAGAGCUGAAUAAUGCAAACAUUCAAUGAAAUCUUUGGCAUGUUAAUUCUUUGUAGCUUCAACAUGGUGGCAUGUCAGAUGGCGGAGGCAGCACUUGAGCUUCUGGGUGUUUACCAUUUUUNNNNNNNNNNNNNNNNNNNNNNNNNNNNNNNNNNNNNNNNNNNNNNNNNNNNNNNNNNNNNNNNNNNNNNNNNNNNNNNNNNNNNNNNNNNNNNNNNNNNGCAUGAACCACACUCCUGCAAUAGAGAAAAUAUACCAACAUUACACCUAACUUAUUGCAAUAUUAAGAAAAAUUAUUUCCUUGUAUGCAGGUUGGCAGUUUCAAGGGUUUUUUUUUUUUUAAAAAAAAAAAAUUCACAUGAGUGCUUGCAACAUACCAGGGUUGGAUGCCUCGAAUCUGAUUGUAGCCCAACCUUUCGUAGGAACGGAGAUGGUACUCUGAAGGGGAGGAUCCACCAAAUUGUAGUGCAAUGGGUCCUUAUCUUUAUCAAAAUUCCCAAAUCCCCAUCCAACAACAUAGAAACUGUAUCCAUGGAGAUGCAUGGGGUGGUGUGUCCCUGCAAUCAAGUUUGUCCCUUGAAAAACAAUCUCCACUGUGGAGUUAUACUCAAGCACCCUUACUUCUGUUCCGUUUUUCGGCGUCUGAUACUCUAAGGGAAUAAUAUCAGUGGUAAAAUCGAACACUAGUUCUGGAACACUAGGAAAUUUAUCUCCAUAUACACCACUAAUGUUAUAAUAGUAAGCUUGCAGUAUGUCAAUUGUAGGGAAUUGGAAGCUUAUGUUGUUUAUACUUGCGGAGAACCGCGUCCCAUUGGGCCCUGCACAUGAAUUAUUGGGGCAUAGGUACGAGUUCAUACCAACAGUGUAAAUUAGUUUAGUGCUCGGGUUCAAUGGGACAUUGCAAGGAUGUUCCGCAUCUGCUAAGCUUCGGAGGCCGGCCAUGACCUGAACCGAUGCAUUUGUGUCAUUGUAUGUAGGCAAAUAAGGCAAGGAGAGAGGUGAAGAUGGAGUGUAGUAUCCCCUGUACUGUACAAUAGCUGUGGUGGUUGUGUUGUCAAAAAAAUUACGAGCUGCUGGGGCAAUGGAAUAAGUUUUAGCUGCCAUGUAAUAGUGAUCCGGGUGUUGGUUAGCUUCUAGUAAGACAUCGUAGGUUUGGCCAGGAUAUAUUGUGAUAUAAUCUCGUGUCAAUGGUUUUGUGUAGCUACCAUCUGUUCCAACCACUGUCAUUUUAUGCUUGGCAAUGGAGAAGAAGAGAGCCUCGUGCAAGGCAGCAUUGAUUAUGCGAAGUAGAUAAGUCUUUCCAUGAUCCACCGUUAGCUUGAAUGUGUCUGCAAUUAGAAAGGGAAAUUUUUAUACUUAUGACUAGUGAAAAGAAAAAGAAAAUUUCCAUGAGGAUCCACCAAUUAUGAAGUGAUUAGGGGUGUAAAUUUGGCUCCAUAGUUCAAAAUUAUAUUCGGACUAGCCUUCUCUUAUGUGUUAAAUCAUGGCUCUACCAUCCUCAUAGCUAUAUUCCUCUUUUUUAGCAUUAAGCUUUAAAUAUGUUGAUGUUAAUAAGAAAAAGUAAUAUGGUCAAAAUACAAGAAAAUGAAAUCAUGUACAAUUUUAAAAUAGGAAGUUAAACUUAAUUUGUACCUGAUUUUGAGCAUGGAAAUAGAUCACCAGGUUGUCCAUUUAUCAAUAAAGAAUCAGAGGCAUUGGGGUCAGCUCCAGUUGCAAGCGCUUCAUCUCGAACCACAUUCGCAUCACUCUUCCACCAUUGUCCUGCAUUUUAACAAAUCCAAUAAUUUUAGACCUUGAUUUGUUGGUUAAUUCAUGAUAUGUAAAUUAACCUUUAAAAGUAACAACACUUAUACCUAAUAUGAUGGGAAUUUCUGCAUUAGGUUUGGGAAAAGGAUACUUGGUUCCAUUCUUGGGAUAAACGAUUAUAGCUCCAUGAACGGUGUUUCGGGUCCAAUCACUGUGAGCAUGCCACCAUAGAGUGCCUUCCUCAAAGGAAAGGAUGAUCUUUUGGCUAAACUUUGACCCUGGUUGAAUUGGGCAUUGUGUGAUAUACUCAGGACCAUCUGUCCAUGGAUAUCUAGGCAUGCUCACCCCAUGCCUGCAAAACAAUAACUAUACAUUAAAACUAGUACUAAUUUUUGGACUAACAAAAGAUGGCAUGCAACAACAUAUUGUCAUAGUAACAAGAGGCAUCAACUGUAUUUCAAUGGAAUUGAAGCAAAUAACCAUAAAGUAUUGUUUAAAUUUGACUUUAUUUGCAAAGCAAUAUAUUGCAACCCCCUCGUAGAAAUAGAAGAAUGUAUGUCAUGUAGGCAUGCUGCCGAUUGCUAUCGUUUUUUGAGAUACGCACAAGACCUACCAAUGAAUGGUGAUGUUUUCUUUUCCUUUGUUAUAAACGUCAACAAUGAUCGUCUCUCCUUUCUUAGCAUAUAUAGUUGGUCCAGGAAAUUGUCCAUUUACUGUUAAGAUGUUCUUGGUGCUACAAAGCCUUGUAUAUGAAGCUUCCUUCACCUGCAACCAAUUAAAAGUUAACCAUGCAACCUCAUCCCUAAAGACAUAUUACAUGCAUGAAUAGUUGCAUCGAUCCAUUCAUGCAAGUGUAUAACCAAUUAGAAAUUGAUAGCCUGCAUGAAUGACUCAAUGACACAGGGUACCCGAGACCCCCAUGGGGGUCAUACGGUGGAAAAUGAGAGUAAUACUACUCCCUAAAUAUUACGAUCAUAAGGUGGCGUUAAGGCUAAAAUCAUA
rnacentral:lncRNA from 1 species